rnacentral:lncRNA from 1 species
CAUCCUCCAAUGAUGGCAUCUGGUCAUCAUCUUCCUCACUUUCAGUUUCCACCUCUCCAUCAACACGUGCGAUCAUGGUUCUCUUAUUUGGGCAUUGUGAAGCUAUAUGACCUACUCCCAAACAACGAAAACAUUUAAUAUCACGAUUACGAGUUUGGGAUUCAUUUUUACCUUUGUUGACAUUGGGAGCUUCAUCUCUUCUUUUUGGUGGUUCAGUUUUGGACUUGAAAACAACCCCUUCAUCUUUCCUCCCAUUUGGCCUCCAUGAAGUAGAGGAGCCGGGAUUUUGAAAUGACCGAGUUCCUUUCCUUUUAAGCUGUCGUUCCACCUUUAUUGCCAUGUGCACCAUGUCCUCCAACUCCACAUAGUGUUGUAACUCCACCACGUUGGCAAUGUCCCGAUUCAGCCCAUUCAAAAACCUUGCCAUAAUAGCUUCCCUAUCCUCCUCUACAUUAGCCCAAAUCAUGGCAAUCUCCAUCUCCUUGUGAUAGUCAUCCACGCUCCUAUAGCCUUGAGUAAGACUCUGUAAUUUCUUAUACAAGUCCCUAUAGUAGUGACUAGGGACAAACCGCCUCCUCAUGGUGGCUUUCAUUUCCUCCCAUGUCUCAAUAGGCCUCUCAUAGUUUCUUCCCACCAUAUAAUAGCAUAGUCAGUAAACUCAAUCACAGCUAGUUUUACCUUUUUCUCCUCGGAGUAGUUAUGACACUCAAAGAUGAACUCCACCUUCUUCUCCCACUCCAAGUACACUUCUGGAUCAUUUUUCCCUUGGAACGAAGGUAUCUUCAUUUUGAUGUUUCCUAGGCUUCUAUCAGUCCCAUCUUGCCAUCUUGGAGCUCUUCGCAAACCUCUACCACGCCUUUCACCCCUUGGCGCAAACCUGCCCUCAUGGUUCAAUGAAGCUUGAUCCUCUUCAUCUUCAAACUCAUCCUCAUGGUAGUCAUCAGAAUCAUCAAUGCGCGCACGCCUUCCUUGCCUUCUAGCAUUAGGGGCUCUUUGGGUACGCUCCUCUCGCAAAGAAGUGAUAACAGCGUCUUGCCUAUCCAUCCGAUCUCGAAUAUCACUAAACACCACGUUCAUGCGUUCAAACUGUUGUUGCAUAGCCUGCAACAUGAGGGAUGACUCAUCCCCUUCUUCCUUAUUUGAUGUUUCGCCCUUGGAAGACAUAUUUUUGAAACUACAAAAAAAAUGUUAGAAAUAAAUCCUCACAACACUCCCUCACGUGUUUGCACUCACACUCGUGUUUCACUCUUAAAUUAGCUUUUUCCCGAUAUUAGUCUCACUCUCUUGCCUUUUUCCACUCGUAGCUUCCCCUUUUUAGUUCUGCUUAAACUAAUAAACUUGAUCAAGAAAAUCAACUUGUAGUAUCUAAACUAAUACCAAUGGUAAGAAAAAUAUGACAAAAACACUAAAUCAAAGGAAGAGGACAAAAGAAAAUAAUAUUUUGAUUUGAGAGAAUUGAAACUACACUCAAUAAAUAUUUUUUUUUUCUUUUCCUUUUUUUUACUUUUCUUUUUUUUUUUUUUUUUUUUUUUUUUUUUGAGCUUGGUGCAUGAUUUUAACCUAGUGCAUGUCAAAAAAAUAAGAACGAGGAAUAAAAAACACAAAAGGAACAAGAUAGGAUGAUAAGAGGAAACAAAAGAUAAAGGAAUAGAAAACUGAUUUUAGAACUUAUGCUCUAAUACCAAAUGAUGCGAACCUCAAUCGACACGCUUUGAGACCCAACAAACAGUAUUGGAAUAAUUGCCUAAGAAAACUAAAAUACAGAUUUUUGAUAGAACCCUGACCCAACGUUUAUAAGUGAAACGCGAACCAAAAGUAUAAGUAACAAACCUUGACCCAAUGAUUACAAUGGAAUCACGAACCGAAGGUAUAAAUUUUAAAAGCCACAAGGAAGAAUCCCUGAUAAGUUCACAGUUUUUUGAAGAACCAAAAGAAGAGCAAAGCCUCACCUUUUCUGAUUUUUUAUUCAAUAAUAAUUAUCCCUAUUACAAUGAGUGCGUGUUAUUUAUAUGUCAUGAAAAAAACUUACUAAAUAUUAAAACCCUAAACUAAAAAAUGUACUAAAUAUUAAAACCCUAAAUAAAGGUUGAUUUGGUUUGAAAUUAGCAGAUCCAAAAUAGGAAAAUAACUAAAAAAUGUUCUAAAUAAUAAAAGCCUAAAUUAAGGUAGAUUUGGCCUGAAUUUAGAAACUCUAGAAUAGAAAAUAACUGAUAUGAAGCUGGAAAGUCAAUCAGUCAUUAAUCCAUGCCAUAAAUCACGUACAAUCAAGCCAGAUUAGCCCUCAAUAGCUUGGAUUAAAUUUAUUACACCUUCAUCUUCCUUUGGGCCAAACUUGGAAUGUCCUGCGUUAGAAUCAACCCAAAUCUCUUGAAUUAGCCCAUUAAGUGCUUCUUUGAUCUUCUUAGAUCUUGCUUUAGUAAUAGGCCAAACUGGAACAUGCAAUGGAUCCUUGAAUGAUUGUUGAUUCUCAUCAAAGAGAGAAUGAAAACACAAGAUUUUAUAGUGGUUCGACACAACCUGACCUACAUCCACUCUCCUCUAGCUUCAAUCCCAAGCUUGAGGUUCCACUAAUUCAAGGCUUCCAAACCAAGCCUUCAAGCAAUACAAUUGGAUUAUGGUUCCAAUCCACCCUCUUGGACUUUGGCUCCAAACACCCUUUACAAACCUUAAGAGAUAUCAUACUCUUGAAUAACCCCUCAAGUGAUACCCUACAUUUGAGAAUCCUUAAGUGAUACCUCAUACUUAGAUUCUUCCUCUCAAAGAUAUACAAAUAAAUAAUCUCACAAAAUCCUAGUACAAAAAUUUUAAUCUCAAAUGAUACAAGAAAACUAGGAUUGAAUGGUGCACUAAUAAUAUGCAAGUUUUAGAACAAUGGUGCACUCAAAACACUCUUCCAAAGCUCAAAUAUAUUCAAGAAAGGUUUAGGAAGGUUAAGCUCAUAAAAAAAUGAAGAUUUGAAGCCUUUUUAUAGAUGAAAAAAUUCAAACUAGUCGUUAGGGGUUCAACCGAUCAAGCUGGGGGUCGACCAAUUAACUAGCCAUUAGCAUUUAAUGUUUGGCAGGUGACCGUUGGACCUCGACUGGUUACUGUUCACACCUUAACCGGUUGAACAACUGUUCUAGAAGAGAGAGAAGGUUUUUUGCACCCCUCGACCAGUUGAGUUGGAGGGUCAACCAGUUCCUCAUCCGGUUCAAUCAGUUGAGCCGUUUUUGGCUCAAAAACCAACUUUUUCGACUUAAAACCUUUUUAAAAAGUUUGGAAAACAUUUGACACAUGGUUUUAGUUGAAAACAUGAAAUCAUCCAAUUUUAAAAAAUUUAAAACAAAAUAACUCUUGGAUGAUUUUGGUGUAUAAGUAAAGAAUGUAAUACAUGAAAAUCCUAGUGCACCAACAACCUUACAAAGAGAUCUUAUGAAGCUUGGGUCUUGAAAAACACUUCUCUUUGAGGUCUUCUUCUUCUUCUUGAUAUCUCUUUGGCUUGAUUUGCCUUUGUAAUUGCCACUUUGGAAAUCAUCUUGCCUAUUCACAUUUGAAAUAUAAUCAUUAGUUCUAAGCCUUGUUUUGUUAUCAUCAAAACCGAGAUUAACCAAACCUUGGUUUCACAAAUACAUAACUAUUUUAAUUUUAAAAUAAUGUAUACUUAUUUAAAUUUAUUUCUAUUGUUUCCCUUUUUUUUAUGAAAAAUCUAAUUUCACUUACUAUUCAUUGAAAUUAUUCAAUAUUUUUUCACUCCAUAAACCAAUUAAAUUGCUUUUCACAAUUCAAAUAUUCAUCCAAUUUUUUCAACAAAUAAUUUGAAGUUAAAAUAAAAUAAAUUUACUUUUCCUUAAUUUAUAAAUUAUAUCACCAAAUUAUUUUUUUAGAAUUUUUAAUUUAUUUAAAUUGUUUUUUCUUUACCUGUUUGGUUUAUCACUUUAUAUUACAAAAUAAAUAAACUGCAAUUUAUCGGUCAAAUGAUUUUUAUUUUUACAAAUCAUUCAAUAUAUAAAAUAAUUCUUGAAAUUAUAUAAUUGGAUGUUUUGAAUAUAACAAUUUUUGGUGUUGCACUGGAUUCUUAUAUUUGUAUAGGUGGUUGAUUGGUUGGUGACCAAUAAAGUUUGUUUUUUUCUUCUUCUUUUUUUCAAUUCAAUUAACCCUCACAUGUGGCAUUUGACCAUUGGUUCAAGAUUAGGGGUAUGGUACCGAAAUAUCAGCAUGACCCUAAUAUCGUAUGCGUCCAUAAAAAAAAUAUUAAUUUUAUAAGUGUACAUUUAUUAUUAAAUUACAUUAAAUUUUAUUCUACAAUACUAUUGUGCUAUUUAAUUAUAAUGUCUCUAAUUUUAAAAUGUAUUUAAUAUUAAAAUCAUGAUCCAUUUAAUUCAAUUGUAUUAAAUGAUAUAAAAUAAAUGUAUAAUUUUUUUAAAUAUUUAUAUUUUUAUAUUUAAUUAAUAUAUAAAUGAUAUAAAAAAAAGUUAAGAAAAUUAUCACCAUAAUUUUUAUAUUUUUAGUGGUCAAUUAAGUUAAAUUUUAAAAUAAAAUAAUUAUAAUUAAUUUUGUUUAACACAAUAUUUCAAUGAAAUUUCAUUGAAAUUAGUGGAAAUUUACAUCCCUACUUACUACAAAGUUGAUUGUUAGGGCUCUACAUAUAUCGUACCCAUGACACCUCGACUACUAACAAUGCAUCCCAUCCUAAGGAGUUAAAGAGCUAUUGUGGCCAAUGUUACCCCUUGGUACCAUUAGGGCUUAUGGACUUCUUUAGUAUUCUAUGAACUUUAUGGCUACAUGACUUGGUCUUAACAUCUAACUUCUAUUCUUAUGGUGGGCCAAAUAGUGUAAGGGACUCUUCACUUAUUAGGCUACUUUCUACAAAAGGAAUAUUUUUACAUUCUAGAUGUGAUGUAUGAUGUACUUCUAGCAUUGUGUCUCCUUCAACAAGUGAGAUUUAGUAUGCAACAAGACAUGAAUGUUUCUCCUGCCUAAGUUUCUUACCCAAUUUUCUUGUUAGUCAAAUGAAACAAAAUUUAAUGUCGGUCUAAAGAAGUCACCUGCAAAUAAUGAUGUUUAUCCAAUCAACUACUACUAUCAAGUGAAACAAAAUUUAAUAUGGGUCUAAAUGAGUAACUUGCAAAUGAUUAGUCAACUACCAAUUAUUAUUAUUAUUAAAACUUAGGAAAAUUCUACAAUACCGCAGGCAAUACCAUAGCUCCAACAUGUUGGAGUCGUUGGAUGGGUGAUGUUAAAUCUCAACCGUUUAAAUAGUGAGUUAUAAAAAAAAUUGAAAAUUAAAAUAGGUAAUUGGUUGCUACCUACAUGACACAAGUGAAAAAUCCAUCUUCUUACCCUCCUACCUUCUUCUCUAUAUUUGGUCUUUGGUUUAGGAUUUGCAUUUUAGGUGAGAAAUCAUAUGUUUUAUAAGCCCCAUUUCCAAUGAGAAAUCCUCUAGUUUACAAGCCCCAUUUUUUAUGAGAAAUCCUUUGGUUUAUGAGCUCAAUUUUUAGUGAGAAAUCCCUUUACCCAUUUUCGGUGAUAAAUUCAUCCAUCUUUCCCAUAAUAAAUCCCUCUAUUUUUGGUGUUAAAUCUCUUUAUUUGUAUAUUGGUUCUCUUCUAUAUUGUGUUCCCAUGAGAAAUUCAGGUUCCCUUUCAGUGACACUUAAGUUUUACGAGGAAUUAAAGGAGAUGUUGAACCUAGAAGUGGUGUUGAAGACUUGUUUUCAGUUGCAAGGAAGUUUUCAAGACCUGAAUUGAAGAUAAACCCUGGAAGAAUAAGAAAAAAAAAAAAAAAACUCGAAGUGAUAACAAAGGAGGACAAAAAAGAAAAAAAACUAGAGUUAAAAAUAAAAUGUCUUCACUGUACCAUAUAUUUUGGUGGUUUUGUUAGAAAUUGAUGAAAUAAAAAUAGUAUUCUACUUAUGGAUUGAUCACAUUAAUGAAAAAUACUAUGUUUAUAUCCAUAAUUGAGCAUUAAAGAUGAUAUAAUGGAAAUGUUCAUAAUUUUGCCACCAUUGAAAAUGUAAAGAGAUUUUGGAGUGGUAAUUAAAUUUCUAUUUUAUUUGGCAUUCAUUUGUAAGAUAGUAAUAGAAAAUUUUUUGAAAUGUGAAAUAAAUUGUGUGGUGGAUUUGGAUGGAUAAUUUUGUUUGUAUUUUAUUUGGUAUUUGUUUGUUUGUAAGAUAGGAAAAGAAAAUUGAUUGAAAUUUAAGAUAAAUUUUUGUUAAGAUAGUAUGGUGGUGGAAGUAUUUUUUAUUUAUUAUGUAUUAGUUUGAUUUCAUUUUUUUCCCGUAACCAUUUUGAUUCUUAUCAUUUAUACAAUGAUCUAAUAUAAAAUAAACAAUGAUAAUAAGUUAUUAUGUUUUUUUAAAAAUGUUGAAGCCUCUAACAUAUUUAAUAUAGAAUGAAAAUAAAAAUAGAAGUUAUUUUAUGGUAUUUGAAAUCAUAUUAGAAAAUUGACUUAAUGAUUUGAUUUAUUUUUUAGGAGCAAACUUGAUGGUGUUGAACUUCCUAGAUAUCCAAAGAGAUCUAUCAAAGCUUGGAUACAUUAUUAGUAAGACAAAAUAGAAAUAUGUAAAAUAAUAAUUUAUUAUUUGUGUUGUGUUGUUAUAGUUAUAUUUGUUUGAAAUUGUUGUGCAGUAACAAUCAAUUGGGCAUGAUCAAGGAAGAUAAUAAAGGAGUUACAAUAAAUAAUGAUGUAAGGGAUAGUACUCUUUUGGCUAAUAUAAUUAUUUUUUAAAAUUUGAAUUUGAAUUAAGUAGUAAAUUAAUGUUGUUGAGGAAAAAUUUGAGCAUGAAGUGAAAUAUGCUUCCAAAAGUAGAAAAAGAAGGUUUCAUGGUAAAGUUAAAUGAAAGUUCAAAAUGAUAUUUGCUUUAAAAGAGCACAACUCCAAAAGUAAAAGUGUUUAAUUAAUAAAAAAUUUCAUUACUUGUAUAUUUGUUAAAAAUUAUAUUAAUUUAAAUAUUUUUAUGUACCUUUUCAAUUACAUCUUCAAACAUGAUGUUUUUUUUUUUUUCUUGUUCAGGUGUAUAUUAAGUAUAAUAUACUAAUGUUUAUCUCAUAUUAUGUGAUUAGAAAUGAUUUUGUUUGGGAAUCCAAAAGUUAUAUUUAAUCUAAAAACAUCAAUUGUGAGUAAGUGCAUUAUAAUAAGGUUAGUAAUAAUUUCUAAUAUUUUAUUGCAUACAUCAAAGUUAAAGCAGAUAUAGUUUUGACCUUCAAUAGAGUUUGACAAUAUUAAAUUUUUCCUCCUUUACAACUAUUCAUUCCAAUGCAUCACAAUUAUCCCAAUCAUUGGUAUUUAUGUGUGGUUAAUUUUAAAUAUUGUAAUAUCCAAAUUUUGGAUUCAUUAUGAUCAAGAAGUAGGGACGAGUUUUGAUAUAAUAAUGUGAAAAUAGUGGUAUUCUUUCAAACUAUGUUUUUCUUUUUUUUGUUUAUGUAAUGCAUAAUUAUUAACACUUUGAAAAUGAAAACCUUCUCCAAGCUUGAUGAUAUAAGGAAAGAUGUGUUCCAGUUCUCCAUUAAUUGGCCAUCUUUGGUUUCCACCCAAGAUAAUGGGUUAUAUAUAUGACUCACAUGAAUAUUGUUUAUCUAAGCUAUAAUGAUUACAUCAUUUUAUUAAGUCGGUUUGCAUUUCUUCUAUUUUUAUUAGGUGGGAUUUUGGAGUCCAUGUGAUUAAACAUAUGCAGACAUUCAAAAAUGGUGAUCCCAUCGAGGCUUUUAGCAUAUCAAGUUUCAUUCAAAUAUGUUGGCAAAUAGCAAUUAAUUUAGUGCUACACGAGGGAAACAAAGAAAAACAAACGAUUUAGACUAUUAUUUGUACAAAUACAUCUACAUGAGCAAUGAGAAUAUUAUUAUUAUGAAAUUUGUUGUUUUUUCAAUUUUCAUCUAUUGCAUCUCCAAAUAUGGUCAUUUUCAUGGGAAGUAGUAACAUUGGAAGACCAUAUAGGGUUCAACAUAAUUACUAUUAUGGAUCGAUUGAGCUUUCCUCAAUUGAUAGCAAUGAAGUGAUUGAUUGGUUCUGAAAAAUAAAAAGAGUUUUCCUGAAUCCAUAAGUUUCUUUUUCUUCAAUCCAACAAUUAUGUAAUACUAUGUUUAUGAUUAAACAAUAUACUAAGUCAGAACAUCAACAAAUACAAGUACUAAUUUUAAUCUAUCCUAAUUUAUUCCAUUAAGGAAUAACAAAAAGCAUGCAUAUCAUUUUCAUAUGGAGUAUUGUUUGGAUUUUCACCAUGACAUUUUUUGUAACAAUUUGUUCAUAAUGUUGAAAUUGUGGUUCCUGCACAUUGACAGUCCAUGGUUAUAAUAUACACCUCUAAUUUCAUUACAAGUUGUUCAACAUUAUCAUUAUCCAAUAAUUACGCAAUACUAUGUUUAUGAUUAAACAAUAUACUAAGUCAGAACAUCAACAAAUAAAAGUACCGAUUUUAAUUUAUCCUAAUUUAUUCCAUUAAGGAAUAACAAAAAGCAUGCAUAUCAUUUUCAUAUGGAGUAUUGUUUGGAUUUUCACCAUGACAUUUUGUUGUAACAAUUUGUUCAUAAUGUUAAAAUUGUGGUUCUUGCACAUUGACAGUCCAUGGUUAUAAUCUACACCUCUAAUUUCAUUACAAAUUGUUCAACAUUAUCAUUAUCCAACAAUUAUGCAAUACUAUGUUUAUGAUUAAACAAUAUACUAAGUUAGAACGUUAAUAAAUACAAGUAUUGAUUUUAAUCUACCCUAAUUUAUUCCAUUAAGGAAUGACAAAAAAAAAUGCAUAUCAUUUUCAUACAAAGUAUUGUUUGGAUCCUCACCAUGACAUUCUGUUGUAAUAAUUUGUUCAUAAUGUUGAAAUUGUGGUUCCUACACAUUGACAGUCCAUGGUUAUAAUCCACACCUCUAAUUUCAUUACAAGUUGUUCAACAUUAUCAUUAAAUAAUGCAUAUUAAAAAUGUCUUAGUGAAAUGUGUUAAUGUGAGGAGAGUACAUUUAUCUUUACACAAAGAUCCCAUAUACAUGUUAGAUGGUGGAUUCCACAUACGAUCCGCUCUCAUUCCUUGUAUUUGCAGAAUUUAAGUCAUGUAAAGUAAUGUGACUUUAGGUAUUUUUAAAGUUUAUUAAAUUAUUUAGAAGACAAUCAUACAUGACUUAAAGUUUAGAAAAUGUCAUGUGAAUAAUUUAAUGAAGCCAUCUAUUCCAUUUUAAUGUAACAUUGGGAAAACAAUUAAUGCAUUCAAAACCAUUAUGUUAGUUAUAAAUGUAACUACAACUAAAUAUUGACAUUUACGAGUAACACGUAAAGGAUCUUGCAUAACAUAUCGUCAUCAUUGAUACCAUGAGGGAUUGUAGAUUGUCAACAUUUUCGAAUAGUGUGGCCUACUUUUCUUGAAUAGUGUCAACACUUACAUACCAUAAAUGAUCUUUUACAUCGACUACAUUGUCUUCUUUUUUGAAUAUGUGAUGCAACUUUGCUUGGAUUUCCUUUAGUCUUCACUGAUCACAAACUUGAUGGUGACCUAUGGCUCCAUCUAUUCCUAAAUUUUUUUCCCUUCAAAUUAAUAUUACAAAGCUCCUUUAUUUUCAUUAUUAAACUUUCAAUUUCAUUUUUUGCUUGUAGAAAUGAAGUUAAAGAUUAUGAAACAUAGUAAGAGAGUUUGUUGCACAUAGAACUCAAUGAAUUGUAACAUACGAUGUGAACCAUGUCAUUUUUCAUCCCAUUCACAAGUGGUGAUCCUGGAUGCGACUUUGCUAAUUCUAUCCACCUCUUUAAAAUACAUGAACUAGGACUUUCUUCUAACUACUCAACCUUCAUAACAACAUGUGACAACAAGGGAUGUCAAUCAACUCAAACAUCAUGCACAAGCAUUUUAAUGUUACAAUAUUUAACCAAAAUUAGACUUCUCAUUUAGAGUUUGGGUGUCUAAACUUAGAUAAUGUGUAUGACUGAAAUGUAUCCUUGUUUAUAAGUCCUACUACAAAGAAUAACUUUACAUUCUUCAUCUUCUAGUGAAAUUUGAGGAAGGAUUCCUUAGUGUACAUACUGGUAGCAUGAUUUUCAAGGAUGGAUAGUUUUGUUGAAAGAACAAGUCAAGAAUUCUUAUACUCAAACUCUACCUUUGCCUCAUUGUGUCGAAUUCUUGUUAUUGCCUUAUCAAAUUGUUGUACAAACUCAUACAAUCGCAAAUGAAUUUUCAAAAAUCAAUUUAGAUAAGCAUUCAUACCCUCACACCUUUGUGUGCUUCUCAUCUCUCCAAAGAAAUUUCCUGGUAAAUAUGCCUCUACCCACCUUUUUUGUUUCACAUAAAUCUCUGUAACCCAACAAUUUUCAUGAAGACCUAACUUUUCAAUCAUAUCAUGCCAACAGUAUUUGAAUUAUUUGGGAUUCCCUCUCAUGAACAGGCACCUUGAAAAGGUGUUUGCAAAGUCCUUAAUAUGCACAUUUGUGAAUACAUUAUAUUGGAGAUAACAUGCAAUCAUGAUAUGACAUGCAUCAAGAAGCACUUUUUGUUGCCUUACACAUUGCUUUAUUCCCAUCAGUUACAAUAGAAAUGAGCUUCUUGUUCAUCAUUGUUAUAAGAAAUGUAUCCAACACCUAUUCAUAUGUACUAAUACUUUCAUCCAUCAACAACAUAAAACCAAAGACCAGAGUUUGGUGAUGAUGAUUAAAACCAACCAACACAACUAGUGACUUCUUAUAGGCAUUAGUCCGAUAUGUUGUAUCAAAUGCCAACACAUCUCUGAAACAUGCAUAAUCUAAUCGAUAUGUAGAAUCAACUCAAAACAAGUUUGCUAGUUGACUUUCUUCAUCAAUAUUGAAUUUAUAAUAAAAUGAAGGAUCCACUUAUGUCGUCCUACACAAGUAAGUCAAAGCCACUUCUGCAAUACCAUCUUUAAUUUCAAUUCUACGCAUUGCAUCAACAUGAUUAUAUAUAUCUUUUGGUGUGAAACCAACAUGUUCAUGUCCUCCUAAUUGUUAGAUCAUAUAGUCCACAAUUUGGGCAAUUUUAACAUCAACUUUUCACAUAGCAUUAACUUGAGCCUUAUUUGGAUUACUUAUUGCUUGAUGAGACCAAAGGAAUUGUGUGUUCAUUGCACCAACCAAAGGAUGAUUAUGGUCUCCUCUAAACUUUUAAACAAUUCACUUUUCUAGUUUUCUAUUAAAGCUAAUACAAAAAGCAGUUUGACAUCUAACUCUAGUCAAUGAUUGUGGCUAAUAUUGUUGAUUCCCAUUUUCAAAACACUUUGUUGGUCAAUGUCCUUCUUUAGAACACACCCACUUUCGAGAUACUAUAUCUUCAUUCUUGUCUCAUUCCAAAUCAUCUUUUUGAAUACUAAAUCUUGUCACUUUAAUUAACAUGUUGUAAAAUGUUUUUGCAUUAUCUAUAUAAUUGAAUUGCAAUUUGCACACUUCUUCACUUGAAUACCAUUCAACACUUUCUUUUUCAAAGUGUGUGAAUCGUGGGUAUAACUCCCACCAGUAUAUGGAUCCUCAUGAAUUUCAUUUUCAAGCUUCACUAUAAAUUCCUUGCUCUCUCAUUUUUUCCAUGUCUGAUACUACCACCUGAAAAUUUCAAAAUAGAAGCAUAUUAUAGUUGUCAAUUUUACAUUGAUGAACUUAGAAUACAUUGCACCAUAUAGUUUAAAUUUUUAUCUUCUUUUUCAAUGCCAACAGAUAAUUUUUGUAAGAGGAAUACAAAAUGUUUGUCCUCUACAUCUAGUGAGUAGUAGUUGAGAAAUGGAGUUACUGGUCCCAAAAUGGUGGUCGAUCGAUUAUGGCUAGAUGGGCCAUAAUUGUGGCAAUGUGUACUAGUUGAGGAACAAUAUUCGAUCGACAACAUUGCGGUCAACUAGUAUGUGUGGUAUUGUAGAUGGUUUCGAAUGUGGCAGGGUUUAUCAGUUGAGAAACUUUUCCUCCAUUGGUACCCACUAGUGCUUUAGGCUUCAUGUAAAAAGAAAAAGAAAAAAAGUAAAUUGAGGAUAAAAAAAAUGGUUAUGUGAAAUUUAGUCCACCUACUUUUUUUGAGCUAAUAUAAAGUUCAGAAAUAUAAUUUAUUUUUCAUAAUGAGUUAUUUUCCCACAAUGAAGGCUAAAGGUAGUAAAUAAUAUGAUUUUGAUUAAUAAGGGGGCACAUUGAGUUUGCCUUGAGAAUCAAAAAUUGUACUUUUGGGUUUCUUCACUAGCACAAUUUGCUCUAAUUUUUUGCUUUCAUGGCUUCCACUCCAACACUUCCUCUUUCACACUCUCUAUUUCCCUUUAAAAAAUUUCUUUUUUUAAAACUCCUACCAUAUGGAUGUUGGUUGGUGGGUGAAUUAAUACUAGUUUUUAAUAUUUUGUCACAUUUAGGAUAUAAUUUCUACACCAGUACACUUGGUUGUUGAUAUUUACCACUUUUGAUAUAUAUGGGUAGAUGAUAUUAAAUAGGACAUUAAUAAAAAUGAGGAAAUUUUUAUUAUUUUGAUUUGUAAUGGUAAAUUGAAAAAUUCAUGAAAUUUAAAUUAUUAGCAUUUGAAUUUUUAGGGGGAAGUUACACCAUUAAUAAUGACUACAACAUUAAAAUAAGUUGAAUUGAGACUGUUCAUAAAUAAAUAAAUAAGUGAAAACUAUAUGCAAAUUACUAUAAAUUAAUGAUUUGGACAUAACAAUAAGUUCAAUUGGAACUAUGUGUAAUUAAUUAAAUUUAAAAUUGAAUGUAUGGGCAACAUGUAGAUACAUUAAAAAUUUUCAAUUAACACUUAUGCCUAAAUAAUUUAAUUAUAAAUUAAAACUACAUCCAAUUUAAUCAAAAUUAAACAAUUUACCAUUUCAAUUAGUUAAAUUGAAAGUAGCCAAAAUGUAGAUUCAUUAAAAUUUCCCAAUUAACACUUAUGCCUAAAUAAUUUAAUUAUAAACUAAAACUAUAUCCACUUUAAUCAAAAUUUAACAAUUUACCAUUUCAAUAAUUUGCAUUGAAAGUGUGGGUGAAUGAGACAUGAUUCGUGCCCAGCUGGUGUAUGUCCUGUUGAUUGGCGUUCAAUCAACUGGUGUACCUUGAUUUCGGUCCUCAGACUGGAGUAAUCAACAAAAUUUAUAAACCUAUUUCACCAUGCACUAGGAUAGCCUUAGCUAGCAUAGCAUAGUGGCUCUAGAAUCGUUCACUGGGAUGGGUUUUCAAAUUACAACUGAUAUUAAUUCAAAGCUGAAUUGGUGCUUUUUCUUUUCAAGGUUAGCUUUAAAAGAAAACAUAAAAAUGUUUGAAAAUGUUGGUUUUUAAGUAAAACCAAUAAUAAAGUAAUGGAAAUUACUUACAAAGAAAAGUGUUUCUUGGAGUUUUUAGAUCACUGGGCUCAAGUUCCUAUUACAAAAAAAGAGUUCCGGUCACUUGAAUCUUUUCCUCGCAUUGGGGAUUUAACAUAUAGUUAUUUCCCGAACCGAUGUGGUACAGAUGCUUCCCUUUUAUGGAUUCAAACACUAAUUCCCUGUCAUUGAAUCAUCUUGCAAUGGUUCAUACCUCUCACCUAGUAUUGGCCAUUCAAGGUGAUCCUUAACCUUGGAUUACCCGUCAAAAGCUCGCAAGAGAUAACUAGUGGAUGUCUCCUUGGAGUCCAAAAGCUUACCAAGUGUUGGCUAUUCUAGAAAGUCCUACCUUUAAACCAUCUUCCAAAGGCUCGCAAGAGAUAAACUAGUGUAACUCAAUGGAUGGAGUCCACUUGCCUUACCAAGUGUUGACCCAGGUGAUUUUAAGGCAUUUUAAGUUAACUAAAAAGAUAAAAACCAUUAACGGGUCACACUUUCUCUUCAUUAAAAACUGAAACAACAAAACUUCCAAUUUUUGCAUUUAGAACCUUACCCAGCUUCCUUCACUCCAAGAAACAAAAAGCCUAGCCACUCAUCCUCUGAGAAAACAUCCUCAGAGUUUGUUUGGCUAGUGAGAAAAAUACAAUCAAAAUGAGUAGGUAAGGCAUAACAAAGCUCUGUGUAUUACUUUCUUCAAAACUAUACAAAAGUUGGUCUCUGAGAAAAAACUCACAGAUAUCUUAAAAGAAAAAUUACAAAUGAUUAUAUAGAAAGGUUAUUCACGCUUCCUUCUUACUUUCUAACUAAGGAAUCCUAUGAUUGGUGGAUUACAAGGAGAAAAUAGGGAUUUAAACAACAAAUAUCUGAAGAAAAAAAUCUAAAAGAGUCAGUCGCAAAUAUCUGGGAGUACACAGGUGGAUUUCGCAAGUUGAAACAUGACUUGAGAAAAUUUUUCAAGUUGAAUUGUCCAUUUCGCAAGUUGGACCUUGAUUUCGCAAGUUGACUUUUGUGAUUUCGCAACUUGCGAAAUUGUCUUUCAGCUUGGCAUGGUUGUCUUCCAAUGACCAUAACUUCUUCAUUUCAGCUCUGAUUUGCACAUCGUUUGAAGUGUUGGACUUCUGACUUCCCGAGCUUCGAAACGACAUAUAGUAUGUAUAAAAUGGACUCCAGGAAGUGCUCAAAAUGUGGCCUAUAGCUGCUAUUCUCUUGGAUUUCUUCAUGUUAGAUUCCUCUCUCUGUUUUUCCUCCUUGCAUUCUUGAUUUGCUUUUGGAAACGGACUACAAAGCUCUAAAGCUUGGAUUCUUCCUGUAAAUAAGCUUCCAUUUGCUUUGCCAUGGAUUAUACAGAGCUCUCUUUCAUCUUAGAUUGCUUUGGUGAUCAAAAAGCUAUCAAAAAUACCAAAACUUAACAUAACUUGAUUAGAAAUGAUUGCAAGGGUCCUUAACAUGCCAAUUGAGUUAAAAGGUAAUAACUACUACUCAAAAGUGUUUAAAAGAGUUAAUUACAAACUAUAAAAUAGCACUUUUUGAGUAUUAAUCAAGACACAUUAAAAUUUCCAAAUAAACACCUAUGCCUAAUUAAUGAAAUUUUUAAAACUAAAACUAUGUCCAAUUUAAUUGAAAUGAAAUAAUUUACCAUUUCAAUUAUUUCAAUUGAAAGUAUGGGCAAAAUGUAGAUACAUUAAAAUUUCCCAAUUAACCCCUAUGCCUAAUUAAUUUAAUUAUAAACUAAAGUUAUAUCUAAUUUAAUAAAAUAUUAACAAUUUACUUGUUAGUUAUUUAAAUUGAAAGCAUGGGCAACAUGUAGAUACAUUAAAAAUUCUCAAUUAGCACUUAUGCCUAAAUAAUUUAAUUCUCAACUAAAACUACAUGCAAUUUAAUAAAAUUUUAACAAUUUACUUAUUAGUUAUUUAAAUUGAAAGUAUGGGCAACAUGUAGAUACAUUAAAAUUUUCCAAUUAACACUUAUGCCUAAAUAAUUUGAUUAUAAACUAAAAUUAUAUCCAUUUUAAUUAUAAAAAAAACCCUCCAUUCUAAGUAAAUCACUAAGGUCCAUGGUCAACUGAUUUGGGGUAGUCACAUAAAACUCUCAACCCAUCCAUUUUUUCUUCCCAUCAACAUCCCAACACCCAUACCUGGAACACAAACCCUAGAGCUGAAAUCUCAAUCCAUGGCACCCAAACGAGCUCCAGAGGCAACAACGACCAAUAACGACAAAAGGAAGAGACUGGCGAUAAAGGAAAAUGUUGAGGUCUAGAAUAAAGCCACAUUUGAUAAAGGUAUGUUCAAUACUCCAGAGCUGACAUAGAGAUUUAAUUUUCAUUUUGCCAAUAAGAGUGUCAUCUCGAUUAGGAACAUAGAUUUCUCAUAGUUAGGUUAUUUCCAAUUUUUCAUAGCUAGCUAUUUUGUCUAUGAACAAAUUAAACUUGUUUUUCUCAGGGUUGUGAAAUGCUUUUACUGCAAUAUGAAAUUCGAAGAAGAAGAACCCAUUACUAUAAACAUUAAUGGUUUAGAAAUUAAGUUUGAUGUUGGUGACAUUUGUAAGAUUUUAGAUAUUCCGAGCAAAGGGUUGUGUUUAUAUGAAUCAAAGAAGUGGCUAAAGGUUGAUGGUUUCAAACCUAUAGAAGUUGUACAAAGGUUGUGUAGCUAUAACAAAGCCAUUAUGACUAAUAAACCAACAUCUCAGACAUUAACUUUGUUGAGUAGGACCCUAUAACACAUGAUUUCUUACACGUUUAUCCCCAAAGGUGCACAUCAAGAUGAUGUUUCAUUCUUUGAGGCAUUUUUGGUUAACAACAUUCCAAUGGAGAGGAAAAUUAACAUGAGAUAUAUCAUUUUUCAGCAUAUGAAAGUUUGUCCAUUGAGUGAAGAUUUCGUCAUCCUAUAUGAGAUGUUUAUUACAAAGAUUGUUAAAUUUUUCAAUGUCAAUUUGCAUCGAAAGAGUGACGGUAAAAAGCUAAAGUCCUUUGAUACAUACAAUCUGGCCUUAAAUGCAUCUUAUGCAAUUUGUGCAUAAGAAAGAUGGUUCGUGGGGAAGAAAGUCUUUUGUGGAUCUUAUAGAGGUGGAUGUGCCUUCCGAUGAGAUGUCUUCAAAGGAGGAUGAUGACAAUUGCGAUAUAAAGGAGAAGGUAUCAGAUAGACACAUCCUCAAUUGACUUGUUCUCUAUAGCUGUUAUAACAAACUUUAUCUUUUUGUAUAUUCUCUUUUCUAGCUUAAUAUUUCCAUGUAUAUAGGCUUAAGACUAGGCAACUCUAUUAUGAUUUUAGCUGUAUAUAUUGCAUCGAUUCCUUCAAUAAGAAAUUAGAAUUUCCAAUCUCUUAUGUUGUUAUGGUAUCAGAGCGAUUAGCUUAAAUUUUUAUUUUUAUUUCUUCUUUCCCUUCCCUUCUAAUGACUACCAAGGCCAACACCACCAUUCAUAACACAAACGACCCUCAUAGCACAUUGAUUAGCAUCAAUGUUGCAGCUCAAACUCCAUUAAAGCUUACCUCCACCAACUAUGUAUCUUGGAAACUACAAUUUCAGACUCUCUUUAUUGGGUAUGAUCUUCUAGGAUUCAUCGAUGGAUCACAUCCUUGUCCAACAACAAUUCUUCCAAGAACCACUACACCAAAUCCAGCACAUACACUCUGGAUCAGGCAGGACCAACUCCUUCUCAAUGCCAUUUUGGUUCUCUGUCCCCCACCAUAAUUCCAUUUAUUGCUCGAGCAAAAACAGCAAGGGAAGCCUGGACAAUAUUGGCCAAUACAUAUGCCAAACCAUCUCGUGGAAGAAUCAAGCAGGUGAAAAAUCAAUUAAAACAAAUCACGAAGGGAUCCAUGGGUGUCUCUGAAUUCCUUCAGACCAUCAAGGCUCGGGUUGAUGAACUUGUCAUCCUAGGCGCAGUUGUUGAUGAUGAAGAUCCCUUAGAAAAGAUUCUUGAGGGACUUGGUGAAGACUACAAAGAAUUGGUGCGGGCAGUUCAAGCUAGAGAUACUCCAAUCUCCUUUGAUGAACUCCAUGAAAAGCUUCUCAACUUUGAAGCUUCUCUUCAAAGCACCACAAAGACUGAACAAUCCUACUUCCCUGCCUCUGCUAAUCCUGCCAAUCGUGCCUACUCUGGGUCACGAAACCUGCCAUACUCUAAUUCUUCCUCCAGAAACAACACAGGCUGGCGUCCACCCUCUAAUCCUGGCAAUAGCACUAUGGGCUGGCGCCCGCCGCCCACCUCUGGUAAUCGAUUCCCUACACCCACUGGCGCUAACAAUUUACAUUCAGAUUGCAGCUCUCCAAAGCCUUAUCUUGGCUACUGCCAAAUCUGCAGAAUUCAAGGACAUACAGCAAAGCGUUGUCCCUCUUUUAGAUUAAUACCAAUUGAGACAUCCACCAACACCAGUACAGCAACGCCAAACUCCUCCUGGCAACCAAAAGCUCACUUUGCUGCUAAUACCUCCAACACCCCAACAUGGCUAUUAGAUAGUGGUGCUUCUCAUCACGUCACCUCCGACUUGAGCAAUCUCUCUAUUCAUGCACCAUACAAUGGCUCUGACGACAUUAUGAUUGGUGAUGGCAUAGGACUUCCCAUAACACAUACUAGUUCCCUCUCUCUCCACACUUCCAAUACUCAAUUUUCCUUAACCAAUGUUCUCUGUGUUCCUAGCAUGAAAAAAAUUUUGAUUUCAAUUUCCAAACUCUGUAUCUCCAACAAUGUUUCAAUUACAUUCUUACCAUCUUCUUUUCUUGUAAAGGAUCUUCGCACAGGAGCAACGCUUUUGAAGGGCAAAACUAAGGAUGGUGUGUAUGAGUGGCCGGUAUCAUCACCUCUACUUGCCUUUUCCAGUGUCAAAACUAGCUCAUCAGAAUGGCAUCACUGAUUGGGACACACUACCUUUCCUAUUUUAAAGCAUGUCAUCUCUACAAAUAAUCUUGCUUUAUCAUCUUCCAGCCUUUUACAUUUUUCUUGUAACGCAUGUCAUUGCAAUAAGAGUCAUAAACUCUCAUUUUCCAAUUCUACCAUUAAUUCUAGUCAUCCUCUUCAAAUACUCUAUUCAGAUGUAUGGACAUCACCUAUUAUUUCUUAUGAUGGCUUUAAGUAUUAUGUAAUUUUUGUUGAUCAUUUUACUAAAUAUAUCUGGUUUUAUCCUCUAAAACAAAAAUCCCAAGUCAAAGACAUAUUCAUAAGAUUUAAAGCCAUUGUAGAAAAACACUUCAAUCAAAACAUCCAUACCUUGUACUCUGAUAAUGGUGGUGAAUACAUUUCUCUCUCUAACUUUCUUGCUCUUCAUGGUAUCUCUCAUCUCACUACUCCACCUCACACCCCCGAACACAAUGGCUUCUCUUAGCGGCGCCAUCUCCACAUUGUUGAAACAGGUCUCACCCUUCUCUCUCAUGCUUCUAUUCCUUUGCCUUAUUGGUCUAAUGUCUUUGCCACAGCUGUUUACUUGAUCAAUCGGAUGCCAACUCCAACAUUAAAUCUCUUAUCCCCGUAUGAAAAAAAUCUUUGGUACUCCUCCCAAUUACUCAAAACUCAAAAUAUUUGGUUGUCUAUGCUAUCCUUGGCUUCGCCCCUAUUCUAACCAUAAACUUGACUCUAGUUCUAAGCCAUGUAUUUUUCUCGGGUACUCUCUAACUCAAAGUGCCUAUUUCUGUUAUGAUCCAUCCACAUCAAAAAAAUUUGUUUCUAGGCAUGUUAGAUUUGUUGAAUCAAUUUUUCCUUUUAAAUCUUCUCUUCCACAAGCUCCACGACCUGAAUCAACCUCUGUUUCUACUUGGAUACCACCACUAAUUCAUAUCAACACCACAACAUCAGCACUUGUACCACCAUCUGCAGUUCAUCCUCAACAGCAACUCCAAUGUGAAGCUUCUGCACCUGUUACUUCUCAUCUCAACCCCGCCAACAACCAAAACCAACCACAUCAACUGCCCUCCACAAACUCCUUGCCACCCACCACUCAACCAGACCACCACACCACAAACUCAAACCAUUCUAUGCAAACUAGAGCCAAAAACAACAUUCGCAAACCUAUUCAAAAACUCAAUCUUNNNNNNNNNNNNNNNNNNNNNNNNNNNNNNNNNNNNNNNNNNNNNNNNNNNNNNNNNNNNNNNNNNNNNNNNNNNNNNNNNNNNNNNNNNNNNNNNNNNNNNNNNNNNNNNNNNNNNNNNNNNNNNNNNNNNNNNNNNNNNNNNNNNNNNNNNNNNNNNNNNNNNNNNNNNNNNNNNNNNNNNNNNNNNNNNNNNNNNNNNNNNNNNNNNNNNNNNNNNNNNNNNNNNNNNNNNNNNNNNNNNNNNNNNNNNNNNNNNNNNNNNNNNNNNNNNNNNNNNNNNNNNNNNNNNNNNNNNNNNNNNNNNNNNNNNNNNNNNNNNNNNNNNNNNNNNNNNNNNNNNNNNNNNNNNNNNNNNNNNNNNNNNNNNNNNNNNNNNNNNNNNNNNNNNNNNNNNNNNNNNNNNNNNNNNNNNNNNNNNNNNNNNNNNNNNNNNNNNNNNNNNNNNNNNNNNNNNNNNNNNNNNNNNNNNNNNNNNNNNNNNNNNNNNNNNNNNNNNNNNNNNNNNNNNNNNNNNNNNNNNNNNNNNNNNNNNNNNNNNNNNNNNNNNNNNNNNNNNNNNNNNNNNNNNNNNNNNNNNNNNNNNNNNNNNNNNNNNNNNNNNNNNNNNNNNNNNNNNNNNNNNNNNNNNNNNNNNNNNNNNNNNNNNNNNNNNNNNNNNNNNNNNNNNNNNNNNNNNNNNNNNNNNNNNNNNNNNNNNNNNNNNNNNNNNNNNNNNNNNNNNNNNNNNNNNNNNNNNNNNNNNNNNNNNNNNNNNNNNNNNNNNNNNNNNNNNNNNNNNNNNNNNNNNNNNNNNNNNNNNNNNNNNNNNNNNNNNNNNNNNNNNNNNNNNNNNNNGUCUAAAGAAUAUGAUGCUCUUGUUCGGAAUGGGACAUGGGAACUAGUGCCUUCCAAUCCUAGUCAAAAUGUUGUGGGUUGUAAAUGGAUUUUCUGUACUAAACGUAAUUCUAAUGGCUCUAUUGACAGGUUCAAGGCUUGUUUGGUUGCAAAAGGUUUUCAUCAACACCCAGGCAUUGAUUAUUAUGAUACCUUCAGUCCGAUAGUCAAGCCUACCACCAUCAGACUUGUUCUCAGUGUUGUUGUCAGUAAUGGCUAGAUACUUUGUCAACUAGAUGUUAAUAACGCCUUCCUACAAGGUACAAAAAUCUCACUGCAUUUAGGGGAUAAACUAUCUGAUCCUACGGAAUUUCGAGCGGUUGUUGGAAGUCUCCAAUAUCUGCUUCUCACAAGACUUGACAUAGCAUUUGUUGUAAACAAGCUAUCUCAGUUUAUGCACACGCCCACAAUUGAGCACUGGACACUUGUUAAGUGUCUACUUCGUUAUCUUUGUGGUACUCCUAAUCAUAGCCUUCAGCUUUAUUGUGAUUCUCCUCUAUCCUUACAUGCAUUCUCUGAUGCCUUACAUGCCUACUCUGAUGCUAAUUGGGCGGGCGACCCAUAUGACUUGUCUUCCACAGGUGCUUAUAUUGUUUAUCUUGGUCGCAAUCCUAUCUCUUGGAGCUCCAAAAAGCAGAAAACCAUUGCCCGUUCACCUACCGAAGCUGAAUAUCGAUCUGUUGCAAAUACAGUUGCUGAGCUAAAUUGGGUGUCCUUCUUGCUGUGUGAUCUUGGUAUUCAGCUACCUACUUGCCCAAUCAUUUACUGUGAUAAUGUCGGGGCAACUCAGGUGUGUUCUAAUCCUGUUUUUCACUCCAGAAUGAAACAUGUUGCUCUCGACUUCCACUUCAUUCGUGAUCAAGUUCAGAAAGGCAUUCUCAGAGUUGCUCAUGUAUCCUCCACAGAUCAACUUGCUGAUCUUCUCACCAAGUCACUUCCCAGAGCUCGUUUUCUGUUUCUUCGGGACAAGAUUGGCCUCUCAUGUCGAGCUCCAUCUUGAGGGGGCAUAUCAGAUAGACACAUCCUCAAUUGACUUGUUCUCUACAGCUGUUAUAACAAACUUUAUCUUUUUGUAUAUUCUCUUUUCCAGCUUAAUAUUUCCAUGUAUAUAGGCUUAAAACUAGGCAACUUUGUUAUGAUUUUAGCUGUAUAUAUUGCAUCGAUUCCUUCAAUAAGAAAUUAGAAUUUCCAAUCUCUUAUGCUGUUAGAAGGUACCGAAAACGAAAUUGCCACUAGAUCAUAGAGAGGCAACGAGAAAGGAGCAGAGGUCGUUGCGGAUCAUCCCUUUCAUACAACUAGGAAAAAUGUUGAGUCUUCGGAUAACCUAAAUGUCCAAAUUAGCUCAAUUGGUAUGCUCUUAGAGGAGAUGGAAUUGCCAAAUGAUGGAUGAUUGAAAUCUCUAGAAUGAUGAAUUGAUAGGUUCGAGGAGGAAUUAAAAUCGGGUAUGGAGAUUCUAAGAGGCUAGAAUAAAGAGAUGACAACAUUUCUCAAAGCCCAAUUCCCACCUCAUGACCUAGCCUAGUACUAACCCCUUCCUACAUCUUGGACUGAUUAUAUAGUUACCAAAGUUUGGUUUUUUCUUUUUUCUUUUUUGGAUAAUUUGGGAUUGUAAUUGAUAUUAUGUAUUUAUGACUUUGUCUUAGUUAUUUGGUCACUGAUGAUAAGUCAUUGAAAUAUAUAAGUGAUAUAUUUAUCUUAAUAUAUAUGGAUGGUAUAUGGAUGAUAUAUUUACUUUUACAACAUCAUUAGAUUGAUGUAUAGAGUAGUACUCCAAAAUAAAAUAUUUAAGUUUAAUUUUUUGUUAUUGUUUUUGUUUUUAAAUAUUAGAAAUAAAAUUCAACACAAAAUUCAAGAACUUUUAGACAUUUAUUUAAAGGGUAGUGAUUUUUAAAAUUGAAAAAAAAAAAAAGAAUUACUUUCUCAAGUUAUAAAAUUUUUAAAAAUGAUUUUUAACAACAUAUGUUAAAUCCAUGCUUUAGGUAAGAAUUUCUAUAUUUUAUAUUUUUUGUUUUUAAAUAUAAAAGUAAAAUGUAAAUCUACAAGAGUGUUGAGUAAUUUAAUUCUUUAAAAAGAAACUAAGAAAGUUUAAUUAAAAGAAACUAAGAAGUUAAUGAUUCUCGAAUAUAUAUAUAUAUAUAUAUAUAUAUAAAGUUAUUUAACUCUUAAAGAAUUUGAGUGUAAAAAGUUAUAAAUAUAAUUUAGGGUUAAUGUGACCCAUCUUUUGCUAGGAUUUGACUAAAUAUAUGUAACCCUUAUUGAUUUGAAAUUUUAUCAAAUAUCGCUUUUUUAUAGUAAGAGAUUUGAGUGAAAGGAGAGGGAAAUGAAAAUAACAAAUAAAAAAAAUAAAGGUAAUUGAUGAAAUUUCAAACAGUUAAAUAUAUUUAACUAGAACCUCAACGAAGGUGAAUGAAAUGAAUCAUAAAAUUUAUAACAAGAAUUGUAUAAAAGGUUUUUCUUAUUUCUCGUUGUUGUUAGAUGGAUGGUUUUCCUUGUAUGUUAAGAUUUAAAAAAUUUAUGAUGUGAAAAAGUCAACCAUGUUGAUAUAGUAUCAUAUUAAAUUUUGAAUUUGGAGGCUUUAAUAUAUGAUAAAUAGGAUUUAAUAGGAUUUAAAGUGAAGAGUCAACCAUAUUGAUAUAGGAUCAUAUUAAAUUUUGAAUUUGGAGGCCUUAAUAUAUUAUAAAUAUGAUUUAAAUAAAUAAAAUAAAGGUAAAAAUGAUUAGGAUAUAAAAUAAUGAGAUUAUGCUAUAAAAGAAAAAAAAUUAAAAUAUAAAAUCAAAAAUAAAAAUAUAAAAUAUAGAGGGUACAAAAUAAUGGAACCACAACAAGGUUUAAAAAAUGAGGAUAUAUUGUUGAUAUAUCCUCAAAUUUUUGGUUAUGUGGAUCCUGACAAUUGUCCCAUGGUUCCAACAUGCGUCUUUCAGGUACAAAACCAACCUUUGCACCAUUGGGCCAACAUGUCUUUACUUAAUAAGUAAACCUACAUUUUAUAUAUAUUUUGAAAAUCAAAAUAUUAAAAUAAAAUUCUAAUAAAGACAUUAAUUUAGUUAUUUAUUUUUAAAUUUCAUUUAAUUUAUUAUUGAAAACACAAAAAUCAUGAAUUAAAUACAAAUAUAAUAACUAUAUAUAUAUAUAUUAAGAUAGAUAAAUUAUCAUUUUAGUAUUAAAGUUAUUUUUAAAAUAAAGAAAUUAUGAUUUUAGUAUUAAAUAUAUUUUUAAAUAUCACCUAUUAAUAUUAUAAAAUAUCAUAAAUUAUAUUAUUCAUAUAUCAAUUUAUUCAUAUCUCAAUUAUAAUAUAUGUAUUAUUACUUCUUAUAUUGCUUUUUAUAAAUUUUUCAAUAUUUGACUAAUUAUUGUUCCAUCGAUAUUUUUCGAUAUGACCCAAUAUAUUCGUAAAAUCAAAAUACUUUAACAUAACAAAAACCAAUAAAAUCUAAAUGCGAUAGUGAAAUCAUAACAAAAACCAGUAAAAUCUAAAUGCCCACAUGGAAAAGGUUUGGAGCAAUAUCAUAUUAGAACAAGUGUGAUAAUUCUCAUUAUGAUAUUUGGGAUAUGAUAAAUAUAUUUUUCUUUGCUUAUUCAAUUAGGAGGAAAUGAUUUUUCAGAUAAACUAUAUAUACAGUUGGUAUUGUACUUUUUCCUCCUUUGCUUUCUUCAAAUAACUUCUAAUGUCUUUACUAAUAAAAUUAUCACUUUAAUUUAAAACCAAAUUCAUAAAAAAAAAACCCCUAAAAAUAACUUCAACAACUAACAUUUCAGGCCAAAUUCACAAAGGCUAACUAAUAUUAUCCGGGGCAAUUUUAAACCAAAUUCACAUGAGCCCUAAAACCUAAUGCAGUGAAAUUUUCGAGGAAAAUAUUAUCCAGGGCAAUUUUAAAUCAAAUUCACGUAAGUCCUAAAAUCUAAUGGGGGAACCACUUUUUGGUCAAGACUUACAGGCUGUUGUCAUUUCCAGACAGUAGUAAAUGUACAUGCCACUGACCCAUGAGUCAUCCCAUCAACGUUUAAAGUCCCAAUAAAUUGUUUGCUUGUUUGGAAGACUAACACUUUCCAAUAAAGCUGUUUCAAAUUCACUCCCGUCAACUGUGAAAAAGUCUGUAUGUCCGUUAAUGUGACUCUUUACCCUUGCAUCUUCUUCACUCUUCCCGUUGAACAAGAGGAAGUUGCAAGACUCUGGAUUAUGAGGUAACCUUCAGACGAUGCAUCUUCUUGUACACUUUUUUUUUUUCCUUUUUCACGUGUUUCCUCCACUCUUAGUAAAACCAAAUGAAUUUCUCAAGGAAAAAGAAAUUGGCAGUGACAAAAUUAAACGCCCAAAGAGAAUCACUAUCUGCGGAUCCAUUCUAUUUUAUCCUCUUCUGAUUUCCUUGUUGCCAUCUUUUCAACCGUGUGGUAAAUGGGACGGUGUGAUGUGUGAGCAAGCGAUGAUUUCAAGGAAAAGUUCAUCAUAUCUCAACUAUUAACCUUCUGGUUUGCUUGUUUGUCCUAGUGUGUUUUCUUUUCUUUCUUUUUCUUUUUCUUUUUUCCUGAUUUUUUUAUCAUAUACAAAAACUAAUCUAGGUGAUUUGUUUAUUGUAUGUAAUACUAAUCCAUUAUAUUUUGUUUCCAUGGGAUGAAGGCUCUAUAAGUUGAGUUGGACUCUUUUAUGAUUGGCUUUAAUGUUUCAUGAUUAGAUUUAUUCUUUGAGUGUUGGCUGAGAGUGGGAUCAAAACAUUUCUCAAGCACUUUGGAAGCUCUUUUGAACACGAACUUCAGUAACAUUAAUGGCUCCUUCGUCAGGAGGUAUGCUGUUGGCUUCAACAUCUUUUGAUGUUGUGAUUUAAUUUUUAUGAAUGAUAUACCUUCCUUUGGAUUAUACAUGUCAGGAAAUCAAUAGUUUGAUUUCUCAUUGCAAUGAGGUAGUUUUGAAUAUUGGACUCUCCUACUAAUUUGUCAAGUAUGGCUCUCGUGUUUUGAAGGGUGUAAAAUAAAUAUACCUUAUAAUAUAUAUAUUCUUUUUUAGAAAAUAAAGAAUUUAUUUUUGCAAAAUUCCAAGGUGCCAAAAUCAAUUAUUGAAUUUCAGAUUUUGAAAUUUGGACCAUCGAAUGUAUAUGAGGAGAUUUAGUAUAUUGAAUAAGGGUAUAAAUAAAUGAGAUAAGGUAUAAGGGAAUAAAUAAAUGCGACUCUUGAAGAUGUGUAUAUGAUAUUACCUAUUUUGUGGGAUUCGAUGCCUACUGAAAAAUGUUUUGUUUGGCCUUCUAGAUGGAUCCAUUUUUUAUUUUUUUUUUAUAUAUAGCCAUAAUACCCAGCUUCUUCCAUAUUUGUUUACUUUAAUUUUCAACCCCUUUUGAAUUCUUAAAGUUCAUUAUGGAUUUCUUUUAGGACUAUAUAAAAUGUGUUGUUUUAUUUUAUUUUUUUCUAUUAGCUUGCUCUUAUGUUUAAAAAGUAUUAGUCCAAAUGGCAAUAAUAAUUAUGAAAUUAAAAAUUAUCCAAGUUGGUUAUGCUUUAAUUAUUCACCUAAACAACUAUCUUUAUGAUUUUACAUUCACUUUAAUAUGAAAAAUAUUGUAGUGCUUCAGAAGUUACGGAGGAGAUAUUAGGAGUUGAUUGAUCAUGAGAUGGAAAUAGAAUUUUUCUAUAAAUGAUAAGCAAUGACAUUUUUUAUCUAUUCGUGUUUUGUAGUAUAGGUUAUUUCUUAUGGAUGAAAAUUGUCAAUGGCAUGAGCAAAGUCGGAAAAAGGGAGGGGUACUUGAAAGAGAGGUAUGCUUAUAUUUGCUUCCCACUUCUAUUUGUUAUACUUUUAUGUAUCAUCAACUAUGUGGUAGUGAUGUAUUUGUAUUUUAUGCUUGAUGUAUGCAUAUGAUUGGUGUAAUGCAAUUGGUGGUGUAGAUAUGAUUGUGGCAUGUUUGCAAUCAAGUACAUGCAACAUUGGAACGGGGCCACACUAGCACAUUCAAUUGCGGAGGUAAGCACAACCAAUACUUCAGUGUUUGGUUUUUUUGAAGUUUUUCCAAACCAGCCCAUGAUUUUGGUGUGUCUUGUACAGGACAAGAUGCAUCUAUAUUGAUUGAGGCUGGUCGUUACCUUGGUCACGAAUGUGGCAAACAAUGAUAGAGAGGUCAUGAAGGCAUGUCGAAUGUGACGUAUGAGGGUUGUGCCACUUUUGUUAGUUGCAAUUUAUGAACUACUAAGUAUAAAAGAUAAUGUCAAAGAGAAGGGAAAGAUAACAUGUCUGUAUAUAAUCAUGGUUUGCUUUAUUUGUUUGUUAAUAGUGUUUGCCACUAUGCACCAAUUUAUGCUAACGCAAUAAUGCACACUGGGACAAUAGUGGAAACAUUUGUCAGGAUAAUAUGGUGGGAUUUUUUGAACUUCUAACCAUCGAUCCCUUUGUCUUUUAUUCCAUGAUGCUCCAUUAACUUUAUUGUUCAUGCUUAUUGUCUUUUGUUUUACAAGAAAGGUUGAGCAUAGCCACAAAUUGGGCUAUGUUAAGUGCAUCAACAAGGCUAAGUGUGAUUAAUAGAGGCCACUUGGAACAGGGAAGGUCACUGAUGUCACCUUACUUGCCUGAGAGUGGGGCUGGUGGUGGCGGCAAUCCAUAAUCAGAAGGUGGAACCCUCUAUGCUAUUGUGAUGCUCAAAUCAGUUUUAGGUUGCACUAUUAUGAUCUACUAUAUUUUGUUUGUUUUAGAUAAAACUACUUCUUAGCUUCAUGUCACCUUCUUUUCCCUUCUUUUUAUUCUCACGAUUAUUAUUAUUAUUCUUCUUAAUUGCAGGCGACAAUUAGAAAACAUAAUUGUUGACAACCAUGAAGACACCAUGACGAAAAUAGGAGCAAUGUUACACUUCAGAAUCGUGGCUGCUGGAGAAAAGGAUGUGAUCAUACGACAUUCUCAUCAUCACUCAGACUUUAUAAUAUAACUGUUCAUAUUUUGCUUUUUGUUUGUAAAUUUAGGCAUGCCCAAUACCAGAGCUCCUCUAAAAACUCUAUAGAUACAUCAUAAUUGGUUUUUUUUGGUUUACCAUUUUUACUUUGGGCACCCAUUGCAUACUUCCGAUAUAUUUGGGUUGUGCCCCCUCUUCUGUUAGGUGGUUUUAGAUUAAUUUAUCAACAACUUAAAAAAAUACAGUGGUAUAUGAAAUUUUGGUUGAGCUAAAGAGGUUACUCCAUGACCUCUUUGCAGGUGUGUAGUUCUAUGAGAGCCAUGCAAUAUGAGAAACUAUUGCCUAGGUUGAAGAACUUGCUUUCUAUUCAGCAUACUAUUUGGCCAAGGUAAUUAUUGCUAUAUGAGAGGUGAAGCUGGAAUUUUUAAGUUUGUUUUAGAAGCCAUCUUUGUCAUGUAUGUUUACGAAUUUUGUUCGGUACGAUAGAUUUUUCUUUCAACUUCAUUCAUACUGGACCUAUGCUUGCUAGAAGGAGGUUAACACCCAUUCUAAUAAUAGUUGAUUAUCCUUUUACAUAAUUCAUUGCAGUACGAUGCGUUUGAUAUUGGCUUUAUAACCACGGACGACUUCACAAAUGUAGACAUAUCAGAAGCAACUUACCCAGCUGUUGCAAAGAGGUUAUAUAAUGAUUGGAUUAAUGGUCCUGCAAUUCCCAUAGUUACUGGUUUGCUUGGAAAGGUUCCUGCUAUGAAGUUUAAUGGUUUCAAUUCCCAGUAACUGGAUUUUAUGCGCACGAGUUGUAGGAAUAUGAUUUACAUUCUUGUAAUUCCAGGGUUGGAAAUCUGGUGCAGUUACUAUCUUAGGUAGGGGUGGGAGUGAUUUGAUAGCCACAUCCAUUGGCGGAGCCUUAGGCUUGCAAGAGAUUCAGGUACGAUCAACUCCUUAGCGCAUGGAAACUGAAAGUCCUGUGGCCAUUGGCAGUCCUUUUUGUAUCUGUACCAUGUUUUGUCUGAAUUGAUUCACAAUGUUCUCUAGUUAUAAUUGAUAAGGAUGAGGCCGACUUUAGUUGUAAAUACUUAAUAUAUUUUUAUGGAGCAAGGGUGCUUCCUACGUUCACCAUAUUGACUUGUGAUCCAAGUAUUUAUUCAUGUGCAUUGCCUAUACUAUAUUGUAAUUAUAUUACAACUUUAAGGUUUUUUUUUUAUGAGGAGUACGAUUGAUUAUUUAUCUAAUAUUUCAGAUUCAGAAGUGCAAUGUUGCUGUGGGGAUAACUAGGUUUCGUUCCCAAUAUACAUGGAAAAUUACCUUUCUACUUGAAUUAGUGUGUAAAUUUGAGCCUUUUCUUUUAUUGUAUUGAUAGUUUAAUCAUACGUGUUAAAUCCCGUAGUUCUCCUGGAUUUUCAAAUUGAUUAAUGGCUCAGUCUGUAUCUUAUUCUGACUUUUCAGUUGAGGAUUUUGAUGUUGGUUUAAGAUGUUUCAUCAAGCUUCUAAUGUGAAUGUACCUCUGGUCGUUCACCUGUUGCUAGGCAAUUUAAUGAUCUAGUAAUGCAUCCGCUUGAACUGUGUAGGACCUAUUAUGUUAUGAGAUUGUGUGGGAAGUUAGCAUUAGGUACCAUGCCUAUUGAAUGUUUUAUCAGUGAAGGAUAUUAUGAUCUUUUUAAUUUGUUGGUUCUUGCUGUAGUUUUGAUAAACAUAAUUGUUGGACCCUGAAUUUUGGAGCCAAACAUUUGACUUGUUCAAUGUGAACAGUAUAUGUGAAGCAGAGAGAACUCUGAUGCUUAAGUCAGUAAUAAUUCAAGGUGAUAGGAAAGUUUUGAUGGAAUAAGGAGUAUAUAUUUUGAUGGAAAGUUUUGAUGGAAUAAGGACUUAUAUUAUAAGUCAAUAUAUAAAUAUCCAGUAUCUACUAGGGACAUUACAUGCAUGGAUCGUAGAGUGAGGCAAACAGCACAAAUUAACACACGCACAUGAAAGUUCAGACUUUCCUAACCUGGCAAAAUUGAAGUUUAGUACAGAGUUUUAAGGUGUGGAUAAUAAGAUUAUGAGCAUUAUAGAAAUGUUGGUGUAUCUAUUAAGUACUGGCUCCUAUAUGUCAUGAACCUAUCAAGCAUAUGAUCAUAUCUUCCCCCAUCAAGCAUAUGACCAUAUGGAAGCAUGGCCACAUUCAUCAUAUCAUGUCUAUAUCCUAUCCUCAUCAAGCAUGAAUAUUUUCAUGCUUAUGUCCCUCUUUGGUUUCUGGUUGAUUGCUAAUGCAAAAUGAGCCAGAUUGUGACGCUACACCAAUUUAGCACCAGCUUGAAUAUGAGUCUACACCAGUUUAGAUCCAGCCUGCUGGUGAAUCUCUACUUGCUUAUGCCACAUAUGAACAACCCUGCCUUGGGGACAUUACAGAACUAUUCUGCAUGCUGUCAUGUAGGAUAAUGGUACAAACCUGGUAUGCACUUAUCAGUGGAGAGCAUAGCAUUUAAUUUCAUCUUUGAGGAUUGAGAGAUUUCGAAGUAUCAGUCAUGAUGGUACUGAUCUUGUCUUGAAAUUCAUGCUCUGUAAAUGGGAAAACUUACACUUCAAAAUUUUGGCAGGCAGAAAAGGCAGAUCGUGAGGGUCACAGCCUAGGUGGAACACCCCAAGAGCAUAGUGCUUCCUGUAGGCCUGAAAUGGCCCCAUCCUAUUCCAGUACCCGAGAGUGGCUGUGUCCUUAUAGCCACAAUGAAGCUUGAUGGGGUAUGCUCCUUUGAAAGAACUGUUCUCCUUCUCAGAUCUGGAACCAGACACCCACAGGAGGGGCCAUUUGCAGUUGUCAUUAACCGGGCUCUUCACAAAAAGAUCAGACACAUGAAGCCCAUUAAUCUGGAGCUGGCAACCACUUAUGCUGAAUGUUCCUUGCAUUUUGGUGGUCCUCUAGAGGCAAGCAUGUUUUUACUUAAAACAGGGGUUUUGACUUGCGAUCCAAGUAUUUAUCCACGUGCAUUGCAUGUACAAUAUUGUAAUUAUAUUACGACUUUAAGGUUAUUUUCUCUUUUGAUGAGGUGUACGAUUGAUUAUUUAGCUGAUAUUUAAGAUUCAGAAGUGGACUGUUGAUGUGGUGAUAACUAGGUUUGUUGCCAGUCAUUAAAGACACUUGCUUAGGAUACUCAACACAGUCUUGAUUUAUGUAUGUACUAAAAAUGCUGAAAGUCUAAUUUAAUUUUAGUAAGACAGUGCAUAUUGAUACACAUGAAAUAUUUGCACAUGCAAAUAUGUGAAGCUUGUGUUAUUGGCAAUCAUAUAACUUAAAGAAUUUUUUAUAAUUACAGAACAGAUAAAUUCUAAUUGUUUGAUACUCAGAGGCACAACUAUCUGUCUACAGAAUGUGUAUUCAAGAAAUGCAUUAUUAGUACUAUCCCAUAUGAAAGAGCUUGAAGAGGCAUAUAAAUGUGACACCAUCCUGAGAGAUUCAUAAUCAAGUUCAAUCCUUUAUUAUUUCUCUGUAAUUGCUUCAGCAAUAAAUCACAGGUGUUAGUUGUCUUCAUUUACUAGGAUGAUUUUGAACCACUGAGAGAAGUACUUUCUUUUCUCUAACUUGCUGAAUCCUGUUUGAGUCCUAUAUAAAACCAGGAUCCCAACUGCUUGUCUGAUAUGCCUUAGUUCAUCCCUAGCUGAGCCAGCAUACUGAAUAUAAAGCAGAUAUUAGGCCACAUUCUAAAGACAGCAACGUGUAAAGGUUACAGAGGAGUAAUUAAUCUCACCUCUUCGGUUGCUUCAUGGCACCAGUUUUCUAACUCAGCCAAUCCUAUCUUAACAAACUCCCCAUUGCUGAAUGAGCAACAUUCAUGCCUCAAAAGGAGAUUGCAAAAAUGAAUUUAAAAAUGCCAUUUACGCAUAUUACAUAAUCAAAGCAAUUGGGAUCAUAAGAAAAAAGCCAUGUUUGAGUGCACUUACCUGUUGAAUAAGUGAACACCUUGCGGACUAGGAAUGGCGGAACCUGUACAGUCACAAUAACCAACAGAAUGAGGUACUGCUGUAAGAAGAAAAACAAUCAGUUUUUGACAUUAUAUUUCGGACGGUGACACUCACAUGGUUUGCUUUCAUUAUCUUCAAGUAAUAAUUCAGGCUUUUCACAAUGCUUUGCCAAUGAGCAAUCAACGCUUGUUGUGCAACAACAUUAGCUUGAGAACGUCCCUUCACUAAACUUGCCCGAGAUGGUCUAGGUGCCUGUAUAAUGAAACGAUACUUGAAUGGAGAUCAAGAAUAUAUUGGGCAACUUAAAAGUUACAUUGAAAAAGAGAAUGAGCUGCUUUAGAUUGAAGUAGUAAAUGAGUUACUGAGAUGGUGUGUGCCAAUUGGUCAACUUGCCCAAUAGAAACAUUCUUUCUAGGUGCAAAGGAAUUGAUUGAUCCCUAAAUUCUAACAACAUAUUAUGUUAGGGCAUAUAGAUGUAAAAAAAUAUAGGAAAUAUUUACUUACCAUCUAUAUGCCCUAACAUAAUCUGUUAUACCUUUCCCUUUUCUCCCCUUAUAAGUAAAAAAUCAAACAAUAUUGUUGAAGAAAAAGUACAAAAAAAGUCUUAUAAACCCAUUGUGAAAAGAUAGUCAAUGGAUUUGUUUGUAUUUAAAAGAAUUGAAUUGCAACCAAAGUUGAUUGGUUGCGAAAAUGGGUCAUUCCAAUUGAUUUGUUCAAACUCCUCUUAGGUGAAAGCAACAUGGAAUGCAUAAGUGGGGAGGUUAGUAGAUUAGAAAAACAUGUUGAGUUUCAAACUCAUGAACUCGUAACAGCGAAGGCUCUAAUAACAUUUUAAGCCAUCGAAUUACCCCAAAUAAGCUUGAUGUGCCUUAUUGUUCCAUCAUUACCUAACAUCUUAAACUUUUGAAUCAACUUUGUAGUUUAACUUUGUAUAAAGGGGCAAGUUGUCAGGAAGUCAUUAACUCAAACCUCACUAUAUUGUUUAUUUCCCCAAUUUAUUGAAGUUAUCUGUAAUUCCAAAAGAAAGUAAAGGCAUGCAUUUUUUCUUACUUUUAUAAUUUAUGUUUGAUAUGAAUAAAGGUUGAUCACUUGGGGUUUGUUUGGAUAUAUUUAUUGGUGAUUUUUUGUGUUUAAAAUCAUAAAUAAGAGCAUUAUAAAAUAUGCAAGAACUCUUUAAGGUUAUAUUUAAAAAUUGUUGAAAAAACUAAGGUAUCAUAAAACUUUUAAUAGUUUCAAAUUUAAAAUAUUAAAAAAUGAUUUUUGAAGACAUAAGCUAAAAUUAAAUUUUUUUUAUUAACAUUUUUUUAAGUAUAAUUUUUUUUCAUGUAUUAUUUAUUAAUUUUUAGAAAGAUAGCAUGAGAAAUGUAUUUAUAUCAAUUUACAUUAUGUGUUUUAAGGAAUGUACAUUGUGAGGCAUUAAGAGUGGUAUGUUACUUGGGGUUAUAAAUUAUGCAAUUGCCAAGGUUAUUAAAUUGUCUUAGUAGAUGAAUUGGUAUUGCAAUAUGAAUUAUGUAGUUAUCUUAUUUUAUUUUAUUUUCUAUAGAUAACAUUAGAUGGUCAAAAAAGUUAUACAUCUAAAUGAUUUUCAGAUAAAUAUAUGAUAAUCAAUGAACAUGACUUGAACUCAACAUAUUCUUAACGAGUUUGGAUUAAGUAUAAAUGAGUUUGAAUUAAAGUCAUAUCGAUUUUGCAUAGCCUGUUUAAUUAAUAGGUAGUUUUCUUGGUCACUCAACAUAAAAUAAAUGUUAAUAAUGUGAAUUGGUGGCUAAGUAAAGAUGGAAGUCAAAUCUUUGCAAAAUCAUAGUGUAAUUAUACCUGCACUUUUCCCACAUGUCAAUUCUCAUGCCUAGUUUCUCUUCUAAGCUCUCAACUACCCACUUGAAGUUUCUCAUUUAUCCGCAUUUAUACCUACACCUACACCUUACCCACUUUCAUUUUUAGUGCCACUACUUGCUUCAUCGUCCUUCCAGCCCUAUAAACUCAAAUUAAGUCGAGGUGUAGGUGCAGAGAAAUGGCAUCUUCAUUUUAUCGUGAUCACUAACAACAUCCCCACUUGACUUCCCUCCUUUGCCUUUCUAUCUUCCAUUUGAUGUGCUUCCUCUUAAUUACUUGUCGUUGCCUUCACAUUAAAGAUAUGAUAAAAUAGGACUCAGACUUUGUUUGCAUAAUACAUAUUGGUCAUAAAAUGUUGGUGGUACUAAUUUGUAUGGGAACAUUACCUAUUUUGAGACGAAAAUUUCAGAUCACAUUGAAUAUGCAUUAUUUUUUGUUCAACAAUAUGAAAUUUGUGCUUUAUUUGAUGGAUGCCACAAAUAGGAUAUACUAUUACAUUUUCGUGGGAGGCAAACUUGUCCAAAAAAAUGAUGGGUUGUGGGAAUAUGUGGGUGGAAGAAGCAAAGAUAGUCACAUAUAUAAAGAAAUGUCAUUUGAAGAAUUCACUCAAAAAGUCUUACAGCUCUUCAUGUGAUGAGGAUGCACUACACCCUCAAGUUUAACCUUAGAGUCAUCCAAGAUUUAGAAGAUGAAGAUGACUUGGAUAACGUGGUUUCCCAUGGUGAUGACUUUGCUAAUGUGUACAUAGUAGAGUCACCCUGUGUGGAUGCCAUUGAAGCAAAUAUACCGAAUACACAGUUGACAUUUGGGUAAUGCACUUUCACAUGGAUAUCUAUUUAAAAUAUUGUGAAUAUCAAUUUUACGUAUGAUGUAAUCUAAUUUUGUUUAUGUAUGUAAAUGAAAAGCUCUACCUUCCAUGUUUCCUUCGUCUAAUGCAUCAUGCGAUGCAAUUCCUAGUACUAUGAUGCUAUCAAGAGGUUUUACAUCAUGUUAUGCAGACAGUGAGUACAACCUAUUUGGAAUUGAAUCGGUUUCGUGAGGUAAUAUUAGGUUUCGAACAUACAUUUAAAAAUGCAGAGGAGUUUUAGAAGACAAUAUACCAUAUGUCAUUAGUUGGGAGGUUUCAAUAUAAGUAUAAGAAUAAUUCACCUACUCAUAUGUUCAUAAAGUGUUCGAUUGAGGGUUGUUCUUGGAAGGUUACAUCUCACGCUGUAGAAGGGAAUGAAAUAUUGCGAGUUUAUACUUACCAAGUUAAUCAUAAUCAUAUAGCACAAGAUGAGUGUUCAUUUAAGGUGAGGGUUUCUUCAAAGAGAGGCGUUGUUGUUGAAGAUGUGUUAUGAACAACUCUAGAAUAUCUCAUUCGUCAAAUAUACAAGGAUUUUGAACGUGAUCAUGGAGUUCAAUUGACAUAUAACCAAGCAUGACCCCUUAAAGAGAAGGCAAAAAAAUGCAUAUAUGGAGCUCCACGUGCAUCCUACGCAUUUUUGCCUUGGUUAUGCCAUAGACUAAGGGAAAUUAACCCUAUAACUAUUGUGGAGUGCACUUCUCAUGAAGGUCAUUUCAUGCAAUUGUUCAUUGCCCAUGCAUUUUCAAUUCAAGGGUUCAUCAUGGGGUGUCGAUCGAUAUUGGCUAUUGAUUCUUGCCACCUAAGCAGUUCAUACAAGGGAGCUCUUUUGUCGGCCAUUGUAUAUGAUGUAGACGAUGGAAUAUUCCCUCUAGCCCUUGAUGUGGUUGGUUCAAAAAAUUAUGAGGACCAGUAUUGGUUCUUGGAUAAAUUAAAGGAGGUCCUAGAUAAAGAAGUAAUUCUUAUAUAAGAUAAACAUCAGGGGAUAUUGCAUAGUGUUUCGGAGUUGUUCAGGACAAAAAAUUGCACCUAUUGUUAUCGACAUGUCAAGGAAAACUUUUUUAGCUUCUUCAAUAGGCAAAACAUUAGAGGAAAGAAAGGGAAAGAAGAUGUUUUGUUACUUUUAGACAACAUUACAUAUGCUAGGUUGGAUAUAGACUACAACAAGGCAUUUAGAAAACUUGUGCGCUUUAAUGACAACCUAGCAAAGUGGGUUGCGGAGAACAGUCUCGUGCAUUUGGCGAUGUCAAAGUUCUUUAAAAGACGUUGAGAUAAAAUGACAACUAAUAUUGUAGAGUCCUUCAAUGCAUGGUUAAGAGAGGAACACCACCAAACAAUUUAUACGUUGUUGAUGCGCAUGGAUAAGCUUGUAGGCAUGUUGGAUACCCAUAUGCGUGGUACAGGAAAGUGGAAGAGUGUGGUUGGACCGAAAACAGAGGAGAAACUAAUGUAAAAUAUCAUGAGGUCUGGUUCGAUUACUGUGAUAACCUAUUUCGGGGGGGGGGGGGGNNNNNNNNNNNNNNNNNNNNNNNNNNNNNNNNNNNNNNNNNNNNNNNNNNNNNNNNNNNNNNNNNNNNNNNNNNNNNNNNNNNNNNNNNNNNNNNNNNNNGGGGGGGGGGGGGGUGCGUUUAAGGUGUUACUGGGAAGGUUUAUUUGGUUGUGGAUAUGCAGCAACAUAAGUGUACUUAUAUGAUAUGGCAAAUGUUUGGAUUGCCAUGUGCACAUGUGUGUGCUAUGAUCUGCACAUUGAGACACGAUGUGUAUGAGUAUAUCGACCCAUGUUUUCAUAUCUCCACUCAACAUUUGAUUUACUCAGGUCAAUUUCAACCAUUACCAACGCACAACAUGCCCAAAGUUUGUAAGGAUGGGAGUUUCCAAGAUGGAGGAGGCAAUUUAUUUCUUGGUUUCCAACCCUCGUAAGUGAGACAUCUUCCAAGAAGACCCCGACAAAGGCACAUUGAGUCACAAUUUAGCCAUAAGAGAGCUAUUCAUUGCUCUCAAUGCAAUGACAUAGGUCAUAACUAGUCUAAAUGUAAUAAUUCAUUGUUGUGACAUGUUUCUUUUGGUGCUUGUAAGGUUUUCAUCUUGUGGAUGAUCCCUCAUUAUUCCAUUCUAUGGUAUAUUGUGGCAUGGUAGUUUCUUUUGGUAUUUAUGUAUUACCCUUAUUAUAGGCACGCACUAUUUUUUCAUUUUUAUGAUUUAGAGUUGCUUUCAUUAAUGAAUUAAACUGAAAGUGCACUUUUAAUGUGGUAUCCUUUCAAUUGUUGUAUACUUUAACUUGCCUAUUUUAAGUAUGUCCUAUUCACUGUUUUGGUCCAAUUUUAGGCUAAAUAUUAAGAGAGAGUAUGGUACUUGAGAUUGUAUAGGUGGAUGAGGUCUCUACCAUAUUUGUUAUAGUGGGUUCACAUCAUUAGAUGCAUGUAUUUUCAUAUGAUUUAGCUAAACUUUCACAGUAUGCUAUUGUACUUGGUGUGUAGUUAUUUACUUGGUAAGUUUGGCCCUGCAUAACAUUGUACUCUUUUAUGCCCAAUGAUGGAGUUAUAUUAUUCACAAUGUCUAGUAAUGGGUAGAAUGGUUCCGAUAGUAAUUCACACCCUAUCUCGGUAUGAUACAACAUCCUUGCUUAUCUUAGUUGCUUUUUGCAUUCUUGCUUUGCAAACAUACUACUUGAGAGGUUGUGGCUUUUCCAAUAGAGUGGUACAACAACUUAUACUCUAUAGUUAUUUAAUCUAUAGGUAUUGUGAGAACAUAAAUCAGAAUGCAUAUUGGCAUAAAAGAGGCAAAAUAUAAUUUUAUGAUAGUUAUAGAUUAUAGUCGGUGUAAAAAAUGUAUGCAUUCCCUAUUUUUGGUGAGAGGUCUUUAGGUUGUGUGCAAUCUAUGGCAAAAUAUCUAAUGAUGAACAUAUGAGUAAAUUUUAAUGCAACAUGUACAUAUAUUAUGUAGGAAAUUUAUGUGAUAUCCUCAUGUCCCUUAUAGUUAUCAUGUCUCAGUUAUGUUGGAAAGUUCUCUAAUAUAAUAUAUUAAUAAUUCAACAUUUAUUUAUUUAUAUUAUUCUAUUAGCUAUGUAAGUUAUCAGGUAAUUUUUUUUGUAUAAUUUGGUCCUCUGGAAAAUGGUUAGGCACAUAAAUACUAAGUACUUGUGCUUCAGUAAAUAUCCAACUAUCAGGCUUUAGGUAACUUACAUUUUGUUCAUUUGAUUGACUAUUGUUAAGGAGAUUGUUAUGGUUAAUCAUCCAGUAUGACCAAACAAGUUUUGAAGACAAUUGAAGGCUUCUUGAACGGUUUUGCUAUUUAUUUAGUUGUACAUUUCUUUUUUUAUUACUUUUAUAUUAUCCCCUUUAACUUAGCUAAUUUUAGGUACUUCAAUUGGUUGUGAGCACAUGGAUUGUUCAAAUUUUUGUAUCAAAUCUUUCCAACUUCUUCUGUUGGUUUAGUUUCUAAUGAAUAGAUAUUGUAUCAUUUCUUGUUUUCGUAUGCAUUUUGAUUUCUUCAACAAUACAAUUGCAACAACUAUGUUAUUCACAUACACAAUUGAAGUUACAAUCUUCUGUCCAUAUAGCGCCUACCGCUGUAUAUACUAUAGUUCACAUAUGAGAAGUAGAUACCAACAAAAUUGGUUUUCAAAUGAUUAGGUUUAGAAAAUUAACCUUUUUUCCUUUAAUGUGCACCACCUAUAAAUGACUACCUUGGAAGUUAGAAGGAUUGCUGUAAACCCGUCUCCAUCUACUAGCUAAGGUAUAAGCAAUUCCAAUUGGUAGUCAAUCUGUUUUCCAUAGCUUGCAGCACAUUAGUUACAAUUGCAACAAUAGGUUUUAUGUAUAUGCAUUUAUGGUUUUGCUUUUAUACUAUAUUUUUAUGGGUUAAUGAUUGAUUUAAUACACAAGUUUUUCUUGUAUUUGAUUUGUUUAUAGUGUUGUUUUUUUAAAUAUUUUUCAAAACAAUUAGGAGAUGAGGUUUGCACUAAAUAAGCUAAUUAAUCAAAAUGUCAAGAAUACAUAGAUUCCCAGUUUGUUUUUAUGAAGAAUGAUUACAUAAUCAAGAAAAAAUAGUAUGUAGACUACUAAUCAGGAUGGUCAAUAAAGGAUCUUAUUUUGCUCUCUUCUUUCAUUGUGAUUUUAAAGGUAGGAGUUGUUUGAUAAGGCCCCUCUUAUUUUCAAAAACUUAUAAAAUUGACCUACAUCAAGAUCAAGUGAGGUUUCUAGAUAAGACUUUUCCUAGGCAUGUGCUUUUGAAACUAUCUUCAAGAUAGGACAAGUUAAGGCUCUAACUACAAAAUUCUAUGGUCUAUUAUGUUGCUACAUUGGAAGUUUAUAGGUUCUUCAGUUGGCACUAAAUUCAGUUUACAUGCUUAAAGAAUCAGAUAUUUACUACCGUGAAGCACCAGUUGGAUUAGAAGCUCAUUUACCGUUGGUAAUUGGGGAAGAUCUAGUUGCAUAAUUGAACUGGGCUCUUAGUCAUUGUAAACAAUUUGUCAUCAACCGUCCUCUAUUUGGCAGCCCAUAGUCCUUUGUCCAAAUGUUGCCCAUCAAAGUGUUAUCGUUUAAAACAUAUUCUCUAUGGUUAUGGAAAUAAACAUAUUCUUUUUUAAACUAUUUUAAUCACCAUCAUUUUGUAUCCAUUUGUGAUAGAAAUUGAGUAAAAGCUAAUUCUUAUAAUUCAUUCUCAAAUAUUGUUUCUUUUCUUCAUUAUGAUUUCAUACUAAUGUCAAUAUCAUCAUUUGUGUCCCAAUUAAUAGGAAUAGUGUGACAUUGAGUCCCAAAUUCAAAGUUUGCUUAUACAAUAGCUAAGGUGGUACUUAUGAUCCAAUCAUCUAGGUUACAAAUUUGAAUGUUAAUCAUAAAAGAUAUCAUUUCUUUAUUGUUUUUUUAUUGCAUUUGACUUGUUUUUUUACAAUAAAUCACUCUCAAUGGACAUUCCAUAUUUUAUAAACAUUGCCUAGCAUAUAAUUGUCCUCAUCUUCAUAUUAGGUUUGUUGAAACCCAAAUCUAACAUUCCCAUAGCAGAAUCUUUACUAUUAAGUGCUUAAUGCCAAUUAUACGGAGAACAAACUUGUAUCAAUAUCAGUAAGAAAACCAAUAUGAUAUAUGUAUUGAUUGUUCACAUUUUAUAAGAAAACCAAUAUGUAUUGUUUGGUGGUGGCUAACUCAAAUUGAUCAGGUAAAGAAAGAGGAGACAAUUACAUUUGCAUAUGAUCUAUGUCACAUUUUCUCUUGUCUAUUAGGAGCCCUUCACUGAUGCCAUGCUUCUGACUGUGCCAACACACUAUCAUGUGUCCCAUUAUUUGUGUGAAAUUGGAAGAUGUAGAUGUUUGUCAUCAAGUGCUAAUAUUUAUGCUACUGCAUUCUGUAACUCUUACAAAUUACAUCUUCACUUUUUGUCCUAUUUUUUCAUCACCAACUGCAUUGAUGUUGUCGUUCCUAACAUCGCCAUGUUCUCAAACAUUGCAUGCAGGCACCAUCAAUGUCUACCCGAUGCUCAACUGCACGGUUCAAGAAAAUAUGCAAUCGUUUACUCAAUGAAAAAUUGCAAGCCAUAAGAGACCUUCAAUUUGGAGGUCUCUUGGCCUUAAAUUGCACAAAGGUUCGACACAACAUCUGUCUAUUUCUAAUCCAACAUUUCAAUGUUGGAUUUAAACAGAUAGAAUUCUCACCCCACGAACACUAUGUUGUUACAACCAUAAACAUGACCCUUAUUUUCGGGCUCCCAACAAAAGAACGUAUUCUGCAGGAGACAUCUACCUCAUCAGAGCAUCAGUUUGGUACAAUUCGGGCAUGCGAGGAGAAACUCCUCAACUUACCUAUUGGGAAGGAGUUCCGUUGAGCAUUCAUAUACUAUGCAUAUGCCACGUUAUUAGCCCCCACGUCUUGGCUUGAUGGUUGCCGCAACUUGUGGAAUACCAUCCAUGAGGAUGGAUUUAGAAAUGAUGUCAAUUGAGGCCAAUUUAUGCUUGACCAACUUGUAGAGGGAAUUGGGCAAUAUCAAUAAUCAAACACCUCUUUGGUACGUGAUUGUGUUUUGUUUCUACAGGUAUUGAACAUAUAUGGGAUUUGUCUACCAUUUUCUAAUAUAAUUUUAUUUCACUACUAAGUAACAUUUGCCUAUUGAUGCUUGUAUUUAUGAUGUAGUUGCAUUAUGUAAUUAAAUUCUAGGUUCCAAGUCCUGAUCACAGUGCCCCUAGCAUCUGCAUGGACUAAUGAAUUGAUUAAGCAGCGACUAGUUAUUGAAAUAAGAGAGUCUGAAUCAUUUGGACAUACCGAGGUUUAUUUCCAAUUGAUGCAUACAGAAAUAUAGUGUUAUUACUAGCAUAACAUAUAUUAUUUUAGUGCUAAUUGUAGGGGUCCGAUGAGAUCUCCAACCGUAGAGACUAAUGUGGAGCAUAAGAUAAAUGUUGAGCCUUAAAAUAGUGAUGUAAGCUGACAAUUUUUUAAAAUUUUAAUUUAAGCUCAUUUCAUUGUAAUUUUAAUUUUUUUAUACUUGUUCAUUACAAUGAAAUAUGUGGUUAUGAAAUUUUUUGUGCAAAGAUAGUCAAUGAUCAUGUGCACGUGAAUUUACAUGUGAUAGGAAAUAUGACACCAAUACCAUGAUGCAGAACGAGCAAUCGACCAAUAUCAAAGGGGCAUACAAUAGCAGUUGGGAAUAAUGUGUGGCCUAAUGCAGAAGUUAGGAGCUCGAAGACAGUGGGGUCAAUUCAAAUGCCGCUGGUCACUUUGGCUAUGCACCAGCAGACAAUCCCACAAUCGAGGACCAUGCAUUUCCUAGCGAAGGGGACAUGUCUUGGCAUGGUGCAGACCAUGUGAUAGAUUCACCAAAUCGCAUUGUCGCCCCUGACUUUGAGUUGCAACCCAGUGUACCCAUUCAUGUACUAAGUGGUAAAAUUUAUGCAAACAUCCAUAUGGUAGUCAUCCCAACCCAAUGAUAUAGUAUACCUUUCUGCUGACUAUUGCUAAAUCCCAUAUUGCAGAUGGUGAAGAACAAGAUGAAGCUAAUGUAAUGCUAUUGAGUGUUUUUAUUAUAGCCCCCACAAACAAGAUCAUGCGGAGACACCAAGUGCGUCGAAUGGCUCCAAACCUCUUGUUCCCAUUCAUAUCCUAAUCACAAACCAGACAAUCUUCCAUAAGAAUGAACCUAAAAAAAGUAGUUGCAUUUGUCUUUGUAGGGGAUUUAAAUGCUAGGUAACAUACUUCAAACACACUCCUCUCAUUGUAUGAAAGUGAGAAAACAAAAACUAAAUUGUAUGUGUUUUUGACAGUGAGGAACUAGUGGCAAUGCAUGACACUAUCUUAACCAGAGGCAAUUUAGGAUGCUUCAAAGGGAAUGGCUGGAUAGGGAACGACGUGCAUAUGACUUCUUAUCCCUUUAUAUGCAUUAGUUUAAGUUUGAAAAUUAAAUUGUGGUUCUGACUAUUUAGUUUCUUACACUUUUAUGAUGUACGAAAUCAGGUUGUCGAUGCCUAUUGUAGAUUGUUGUAGUAUGAACAUGAAUCGAAGAUGAAAUUGUUUCUAUCGCCCUACAUAGUUGUAACAAUGAUUGAUCCAUUAAAUCAUUGCUUAACUUUAAUUUGUAACUUGAACCAUUCUUUAGCUAUAAUUAAAAAUCUAAAGUUAUCCCAUAUUUGAUAUGCAGAAAAUGGUCAUCCACUCCUAGGGAAAACACUUAGUGAGGGAGGUAGUGAUAGGACAAUUUAAGCCACAUUUGUAUCCCAUGGAUAUUCCAUAUGGGAAUGUGAACGAGGUGUAAUGCAGUGUUUUAUGAUUGUAAUUCAUUUUAGUUGCAUGAAGGUCCAUUAUCUAGAUGUAUGUUUAAUGGCAAUCCAUUGGUGGAGGUUUUCUUACCGGUUCUUAUAAAGAACCAUUGGACACUCUAUGUAUAUGACCUACACAACAAGAUAAUCCAAUUGCUAGAUUCCUGGCCUGGUAGGAAGAAGACCACUUUGAGUGGAAUACAACAAAAUCUGGUAAACUAACAAGUAACAACUAAUAAUUUGUUAGGUUUGUCUUCCCAAAGAAGUUUCAAUUGUUAAAUUAAAAAUGUUUUAGGCUAAGGUUGUCAUAUGGCUCGCUACACAUAAGAAAAAGGUACCACCUUAUGAAUUGAGGAAUGAAUUGAGGACAUUCAAUUUCCUGACGCCAGAUGUACCACCCCAACCUAAUGAGUGAGUGUUUACUUUGUAGUCCAGGUUUAUGUUCAAAUGGAUUGCAACUUAUUUUAAGUUCCUUUGUUAUUUAUAAUUCCACACUUAAUAACGUCUUGAUCAUAAUAUUGUGGUAGGCAUGAUUGUAGAGUGUUUUUUAUGAAAUUCAUGGAGUCUUGGUCAAUGGGAGGGGUUCUCCAAAUCAAUCGAUGUGGUACGUAGAAAGAACUAUGUAUUAUCAUCUCAUUAAUGUUAAAAUAGUUAGAAAAGACUAAAUUAAUUCAUUUGCUGAUUUUUUGCUAUAAACUUGAAUGAAUGCAGGAAAAGUUGAAACAUUAUAGAUUGAAGAUUAUGGGGAGUUUGUUGUUUUCACAACAGAAUGCACACCGAUAGCGUUUCAUGAGGGAUUAAUGGGGACUGUACUUUUUAAUGACACCGUAUAAAUUUGAUUUGGUUGUAAUUUAUGUUAGACAAAUGUAGUUGUGUAAAUGUUUUUGUAUGGUGUCCAUUCUGUAAUUGAACAAUGGUAGUAUGGGAUAAGUAGGAAGUCGAAAUGUUUUUGGAGACAAUAACAACAAUAAUUAAGUUGAUUGCACAACUGAACAAUGACACUAUGGGAGAACAAGUCAUAAAGCAAUAUGGCAAAUACAGGAGAAUGGAAAGAAAUUGCACACAUUAGUUAUGUUGAAAGUGACAGUUGCACUUUUUUAUGUAAUAAGAAAGUUUUUUAGUUAAGCUGAUUGUCAUUGCACUCGAUUUGUAUAGGGACAAUUAAAACCUUCGUUUUUUAUUGUAAAUGUAUGUUCAUUGUUACAGGAACUAAUGUAAUUGGAAUUAUACAUAGAUUUUCAGUGGUUUAUUUUAGAAUCCAUAAUAGGCUACGUUAGGUGUUUGGACUAUAAUAUAAAAUGUUUUAUUAUUUAUUAUUAGACUCAUGUUAUGUCAUUGUAUUGCAUUUGUAUUUAUGAUUUAUGAAAGUUUUAGUUCAUAUUGUAUAUCAACUUUUUGAAGCUUUUGCAAUGUGAUUGAUCAUUGUUAGUGCAAAAGUACAUGUAAUGGCGGUAGCAUAUUAGGUACAUUGUGAUGAAGUGUAUAACCAAUAGCAAGGAAAGAGGAAUUUAAAUUGAGAAAUGCUUGUUUUUUGUUAUCAAAACAAAAAAGAUAAGGCAAGUUGAAGAAAGUGAAGAUAUAGAAUUGAAGCAGUGGCCUUGGCUUGGCCAUUGCUGAGGUCCUUUCCUUCCUUGUGUAGUGAAAUAGUAUUAAUUAUUGGGGAGAAUAUAUUUAAUGAAACUAUAGAUGUUGGACUCUCAAAUCUCAAUUGUAAAUUGCUUAGCAUCUUCUCGGGAUUGUAAUUUUCCUUCUACUUGACUGGCAAAUCCUAUAACAAGGUCGGCUUAAGCAUAUGUACUCAUCCAAUGUUAGAGCUUUCCCUUUCAUGUAACAACUGUGAUUCUUUUUUCAUACAGUAAUAAAGUUCUUCUUAACAUAUAGUUCUUCAUAUUGUAACAACACUGUAGCAAUGCUUCAAGGAUUGUAGUUAUCAAGUUGUAAUUAUCCAACAUAAUAAUUUAAGAUUGAAGAGGUAUUACAUCUAGAUAUUGGAUCGUUUGCAUUCCAAUUAAUAUGAUUAAAAAAACUCCAAUUUGGUAGGGCAAGAAUUACUAUAAAUUGUAGUUUCACAUGACAUAGAACUUGUUACAUGGAAGGACAUAAAUAGUAUAACUCGAAUCUAAUCAGACAUGUAUUCGGGUAUGCGCACAAUGUUUUCAAACUCUGCCAUUGACAUAUCCUGACCAUUGUCUUGUGCAAAUUGAAUGCAAAUGUGCAAUAAUGACUCACAAGCUCUAUGAUGCAUCAUGGAAAGUGAGUGGACACAUCAGCUAGAGGAAUCAAUGAAUUUAGUCCAACAACUUACUAUUUUAGGUGUAUGUGUACCACGUAGAAAGUCGUUGUUUGUUCGUCGAUGCAAUCACAUUAGUUUAUCAGAAGCACUUAAUAAGAUAAAGGAGGAAAACAAUUGGAUGGAAAUUCAAAUUAAUGAUAAUUAUCCAACAACUUAAGUAAGCGAAUGCCUGAUAAUUAAUGAUCAACUUUGUUGUUAAUGUUCCAUUAUUAGCUGACCACCCCAUCAUAUAACAUUCAAAUUAGUGUGACAUCUUGUUAGUCUUACAAUCAAUUUUAAAUAGCAGUCACAUAUUACAUGUCAUGGCAUAUCGAAUGUAUUCCUUUUGAACACACUAUAGGUGGAGUACAAUUUGGUUAGGAAAAAUUAAUAAAUAUUUUUUUUAAAUUUACUAAUGAUUCACAUUUUGUCACAUUUUUCGAAUAUGUCUUAGGCAAAUUAAAUAAUAAUAAUGAUAAUAUUUUGCAUAUCAUAACAAACCAAAUCGAAUAUAUUCGUUCUGAAGAUCUUUUGGAAUUACCCAAUAGGACGUUAUAAUGUAUGUGAAGAACACUUUAGUCAUAGGAUAUUAUUAACUUUUACGAAUGACUGAAAGCGAUGGGUCACGAAAACACUAUUUAUCUGAAAAUUAACUUGACAAUGACACUUUUAUCAAACAUACGUAUUUAUAUUUAAAACUUUCAUAUAGGUCUUGUACUUUUUAUCUAUAUUAUAGAUAGACUCUCUUGCCAAUAAUAUGACUAGGCCCUCUAACCAAUCUUCAAACUAUAUAAAUGGUAUAACCUCAACUUAAACAUUAUAUGCGAGUUCAAAGCACUGUGUAAGGAACCUUGAUUCCAAACAUAUAUCAACCAUAGUGUCCAGGUAUGUUUGAAGGCAUAAAUUUUAUAUUCAAUUUAUUCAGUUAAGCAUAUUAUCAAAGUUUUAAGCAAAUAUGAAAGAAAGGCUUCAUGAAUAGAUUGUUUAUUUGGUUGCAUCAGUAUAAACAAAUACAUGGCAAAUGAAGACAAAAUCUACAUUGUUUUUGUUAGAAGGAGGUCAGGUGUAUACACAACUUGGUUUGAAUGUCAAGUUCAAGUCAUUGGUUACAAGGGUAACAUUUAUAAAUCGUACAAAACUCAUCGUGAAGCUGUAUUGGCAUGGGUGAUGUAUGAGCCUCGAAGGAAAAAACCUGAUGCACCUAUUGAAUCUGCCGAGUAUGUAGAGGGUAACCAAGUUAUUGGCCAAUUGGUAGAUGACCAAGUAUUAAAGAAGACUGUAGAUCGAAAACAAAAUUUUCUUGCUUCUUUUGUCCUCGGAUGUGUUGUAACAUUCACGAUUAUGUUUUUCGUUCAAAAGUUCUUUUAGAUAUGCUCAAAUGUGGUGAUACUAAGCAACAUGUUGUACUUAUAUUACAUGUCUUCAAUGCAAUGGUACUCUGACAAUUCAUUCUUCAUUAUUUAUUUCAGUUUUAAAACAAUACUAAAACAACAUAAAAAAAAAAAUCAGAAGUUACAAAUUGUAGAUGAUGAAAUUUAAAGGGGAAAUGAGUGAGCGAGUUCUUCAAAAUUCUUUAAAAUCCUUCAAGAUAGGCUAUCUUGUACACCUUUGUACAAUUAGCACACGUACCUUGUACACUUAGUGUAAAAGCCUUAUACAGUUACACAUUUAUGUACACCUAUAAUGCAAUGUGUGCAUAUAGAUGGUUAACUAUGUUUCUAUUGUCAUGGCCCAGGAAAAGAGGUAAAAAAAUGAAAUCGAACCCAACCAUGUAUCCCUAAUCAUCAUUUAUGAAUACAAAGUGAUGGAAUGAAUGUAUAUGAGGUCAAAUAAAUGCAUGGACUACAUGUGAUCAAGACAUGUGUGAGGAAUGUCUAUUAUCUCAUGCUUGGAAAAGGGAAAUGAGUGAGUUAGUUCCUUAAAAUUAGUUGAAAUCAUUCAAGAUAGGUACCCUUGUAUACCUGUGUAUAGUUACCAUAUAGUGAAUCCAUAUGGGUGGGGGAACCAUGUUCCAAUGUCAUGACUGACCAAAUUUUUAACAAAUAUGAUGUCAAAUUACGGUUCUAUUCACCAUUACUUUGGUAAGUAACAUGAUGAACAUGUACGAACUCACAAAAAAUUAAUGGGAUGAGUGUUUGAUCAAGUAAUGUAUGUGAUGAAUGUCCUUCAUCGUUGGAAAAUGGAAAUAACCAAGUGAGUUCUUCAUAUACCUUUCGAAUCGUUAGAGAUAGCUACCUUGUGCACUCUUGUACAGUUAGCACAUGAACCUUGUACACUUAAUGUAAAUGCCUUGUACAAUUGCACAUUUAGAUGCGCCCAUAAUGCAAUGUGUCCAUAUGGGUAGGUUAACUAGGUUUCCUUUGUCAUGGCUCAGGAAAAGAGGUAAAAACAAUGAAAUUGAACCCAACCAUGUAUCCCUAAUCACCAUUUAUGAAUACAAGGUGAUGAAAUGAAGAUGUAUGAGGUCAAAUAAAUGCAUGGCUUGCAGUGAUCAACCAAUAUGUGUGAGGCAUGUAUCUUAUCCUUCGAAAAGGGAAAUGACCAAGGGAGUUCCUCAAAAUCAUUUGAAAUCCUUCAAGAUAGGUACCCUUAUACACCUUUGUAUAGUUAGUACAUUUGUCUUGUACACUUUGUGUAAAUGCCUUGUACAGUGGCAUAAUUUCAACAUAGCUACAAUUGAACGUGUGCAUAUGGGUGGGUUAACCAUGUUCCAAUGUCAUGCCUGAGGGAAAAUGAGGAAAAUUAAACCUAAAUUAUCUUAGUAUUUAUCAUUAGUGCGGUAGCUCAUCCAAUGACCAUCUACGCGGUAAAAAAAAAAAAAAAAAAUUGAAUGGGAUGAGUGCGUGAUCAAGGAAUGUUUCUAAGGAAUGUCCCUCAUCCAUACAAAAAGGAAAUGACCAAGCCAGUUUUUUUAUAAAAAAAAAAAUUGAAAUCCUUCAACAAAGGUACCCUUGUACAACCUUGUACAACUAUCAUAUUUUUAUUGUACACUUAAUGCAAAUACCUUGUACAGUCCUAAAAAUUUGAUAUAGAUUAGUGAAUGAGGAAAAUUGAAGUCUAAAUUUGUUCUCUAACUAUUAGUCCACGAUUAUUACACAAUAAUCAUACAAAUAGAUCAAUGAAUGAUGCAAAUUAAAAACCCUUCUACUGACUUCCUACAUGGACAACAUUUGCUACUAAAAAACAAUUUUCCCUAUUAUUAUUCUCCUACUCAAGCAUGAAGGAGUUUCAAUUAUACAAUUAAUGGGGGCCCAAACAUAAAGAAUUUUAACAAAUAUGGAUGUCACAAUUCAUUCCUAAACCUAAUAAAAACACCCUCAAUCCUCCACAAACCUAGAUUCCAAUUCUAGAAACUAUACUAACUCGAAAACCACUUCAUUAGAUGGAACAUAUUUUCAUGUUCAAAGUAGGUCGUUGGGCAUAUAUGCUACUACCAUGCUACAACGGCUUCAGAUCUUGAAGGGAAUGCUUGCUUUUGAGAUUUGUUUUACCCGAAGGAAUUGUGGAAGAAUUACAUGAUCUUCACAGAGUCUUCUUCCCUAGAGUUCACCCUCUCUCUCCAAGAAACAUACCCAAAUUCUCUCUCUGAAUUUAUUUUAUUGGACAAUAGACCUAAGUCAUAGCCACGUACACAUUUUAAAGAGAUUCGACAUGACAACUUCAAUUGACCACAUGUGAAACCCAAAUUUUACAAACAUCUUAUAUGGAAAUUUGAAGGGUAUAUUUGUCUCUUGAUAUUUUAUAUCCUUCCUCUCCAUUAUGCAACUUAUAUGGCCUAAAGGUUAAUUAUGCAUUGAAAAUGAUUGUGUGAGUUUUUCAAAAGCAUUUGAAAUCCUUCAAGAUAGGUAACCUUGUACACACUUGUAUAGUUAACACAUUUGCCUUGUACACUUAGUGUAAAUGCCUUGUACAAUCAUGAAAUCCCAUAUAGGUACAACCAAACGAGUGCAUAUGGGUGGUUAAACAAUGUUUCCAUUCUCAUAGAUUAGGGAAAAGAAGGAAAAAGUUUACUCUCAUUUUGGUUCAUAUUCAUCAUUAGUGGGGGAGCUAAUGGAAUGAAUUAACAUAGUAGACAUCAAAUAAAAUGCAUUUAAUGAGUGUGUGGUCAAGCAAUGUGUGUGAGAAAUGUCCCCCAUGAUUGGAAAACGUAAAUAAGUAAGUUUUUCAAAAUCACUUGAAAUCCCUUAAGAUAGACACCCUUGUAUUCCCUUAUACAUUUAGUACAUUUUCCUUGUACACUGUGUAAAUGACUUGUACAGUUGCAAAAAUUCGACAUAGCUACAACUAAACGAAUGCAUAUGGGUAGGUUAACCAUAUUCCAAUGUCAUGGCUGAGGUAAAAGGGGGAAAAUGAAACCCAAUUUAGGUCCCUAUUCAUCGUUAGUGCGCUAACUCGUCCAAUGAAUGUGUACGAAGGGAAAUAAGGAAUGCCCCCUUUAGAAAAAGGAAAUGAGAAAGCCGUUUUUUCAAAAGCAUUUGAAAUCCUUAAAGAUAGGUAGUCUUAUGCACACUUGUAUAGUUAUCACAUUUGCCUUGUACACUUAGUGUAAAUGCCUUGUACAGUUACGAAAUCCCACAUAGGUACAACCAAACGAGUGCAUAUGGGUGGGUAAACAAUGUUUCCAUUCUCAUGGAUUAGAGAAAAUGAGGAAAAAGUUUACCCUCAUUUUGGUUCAUAUUCAUCAUUAAUGGGGGAACUAAUAGAAUGAAUUAACAUAGUAGACAUCAAAUAAAAUGCAUGCAUUGAGUGUGUGGUCAAGUAAUGUGUGUGAGAAAUGUCCCCCACAAUUGGAAAAAGUAAAUGAGUGAGUUCUUCAAAAUCACUUGAAAUCCCUUAAGAUAGACACCCUUGUAUAUUUAGUACGUUUUCCUUAUACACUUUGUGUAAAUGCCUUAUACAAUUGCAAAAAUUCGACAUAGCUACAACUGAACGAGUGCAUAUGAGUGGGUUAACCACAUUUUAAUGUCAUGACUGAGCAAAAAGGGGGAGAAAUGAAACCCAAUUUAGGUCCCUAUUCAUCAUUAGUGCGCUAGCUCAUCCAUUGAAUGUGUACGAAGGGAAAUGAGGAAUGUCCACCUUAGAAAAAGGAAAUGAGCAAGCCAUUUUUUCAAAAGGAUUUUAAAUCUUCAACAUAGGUACAAUAAGAACAUUUGUCUUAUACACUUAGUGUAAAUGCCUUGUAUAGUGGCAAAAAUUUUACAUAGCUACAACUAAAAGCGUGCAUAUAGGUGGGCUACCAUGUUCCAAUGUGAUGCCUAAGGGAAAAGGGGGAAAUGAAACCCAAUAUAGGUUCCUAUUCAUCAUUAGUGUGGUAGGUCAUCCAAUGAACAUGUAUGAAGUAAUAAAAUUGAAUGGAAUGAGUGCAUGAUCAAGGAAUGUGUGUGAGGGAAUGUCUCUCAUCCUUUCAAAAUGGAAAUAAUCUUAAAAGGAUUUCAAAUCCUUCAACAUAGGUACCUUUGUAUACCCUUGUAUAAUAAGCACAUGUACGUUGUACACUUAGUGUAAAUGUCUUGUACAGAGAAAGAAAUUCCAUACAACUACUAGUGAAUGUCUGCUCAUACAUAGGUUAAUCAUGUUUGCAAUAUUUUGGUUCAUAAAAUAAGGAAAAACUGAAGUAUCAAUUUGUUCCCUAACUACUAGUCAUCAUAUUAUUAAUCUUCUACUCAAACAUAGAGGAGUUUCAAUCAUAUAAUUAAUGGGGUUGUGCUUUGGAUCAUAGCAUAAUAAUUUUCAUAAAUAUGAAUGUCAAAAUGCAUCCGUAAACCUAAUAAAAAUACACUCAAUCCUCCAUCUACCUAGGUUCGAAUUCUAGAAAAUAUACUUAUCCCAUAAUUCUACUCUAAAAAGGAAUAUACCCUAUUUAGCAUAUUUUCAUCUUCACAAGAGGUUAUUGGGCCAAUGCUAUCAUCAGGAUCACAGUUGUAGUCGCUUUAUAUUUUCAUCAGAGUUCUUCAUUUUCUCCGUUUCUUGUGGUAGACCAACUUCUCUACUUUCAAGAUAUGUUUGAUCUAAAGGUAGCUAUUCUAGAGGAAUUGCAUCAUCACUAGAGAAUCUUCUUCCCUAAAGCUCACCAUCUAGACGAUACCCAAUUCUUCUCUUUGGACGAUAGACCUAACAAGCAUAUUCUAAAGUGAAAAUUUUUAAGAUAGGUGAAAUGACAUUUUUUAGGAGAUCAUUUCCAUAAGAUUCACUGUAAGUUUCUUGAAUUUACUUAUGUUGUGCUACAUUCCUAUGAGCCAAGAUGGAUGUGAUCAAAGCCUCAUUUGUCCCCCACCCUACAUCCAAAAAUGCUUUGUUAUUAAGUUCAAAAAAUUUUUAAACAGCCUAACAUGAGAUCAAAACGGUUGUCUUUCCUAAAACCCUGUACUGACCCAGUAAACAAAGAUCCAACACAUCAUCAAAGGAACCAACAUGAUCAAAUCAAAAUGUGAGAAAAGAAUUCAGACCCCCUAUCAUUUGGAUUUGGGAAUGAUGAUGAUAAAAUACCUGCAAAGGCUUUUCUGAGUUGGUCACAAUCCUCGACUGCUGAAGGAACCGAUCGGGGGACAAUCACAGUCGACAUCGUCUAUGAGUAUGCUAUUUACGGAGGGAGAGAAAGGGAUGGGGGUGGUGACCCUUAUGGCCUUUAUUUCAGAUUUUUAAGAUAGGUGACAUGGCAUUUUAAGUUUACCACCUAUGAAACCCAUUAUUUUACAACCAUUUGAGUUAGAAAUUUGAAGGGUAUAUUGGUUUCUUAAUAUCUUACAUCCUUCCCAUCAAUUAUGUAAGUUAUAUGGACCAAAGCUUAAUUUUUGGGCCUAGCUAGUUCCAAAACACAAUUGUCCCAUAAAUAAAAUAAAACAUUAACAAAUAAAACUUCAUAAGUAGAAGAUGACCUUUUAUAUAUCACUACAAUUAGUUCCUUAGAAGAGGGAACAUGUAAAAUUUAAUAAAUAAAUUAAUUUAAAGUUUGUACAAUAUCAAUGUAAUAAGAACUUAUAGACUCUUAAACUUGUGCAUUGCCUUUGCCAAAAAAAUCAAGCUUUCAUGAUGUUUUGUUAAAAAUUUGCUUCUCAUUUUUUAUCAAUUUAAAUUUUUUUCUUUUCCUUUAAAUUUCUAUGUUUUAUCUAUCAAUAUUUCUUUUUAAAUUUUAAAGAGGGUGAUUUAUUAUUUUUAUUUUAGUUGCAUACUUAAAUCUAUCAUUAUUGUCAAGUAUGUAACUUGAAAAUAAAAAAAUUAAUUAGAAAAUUUUCGGAAUAGUAUAAACUCAAACCAACAUGUUUGAAAUGAUGAGGGUUUAAUCAACAUGCCCUAAAAAAAAUAGGUUUGAUUGAAGUCCAUAAUAAAUACACAACCAUUACAAUAGGGAUCCAUCCUUCUAAGCUUCUUUUCUUUUGUUCAUUGUCCCUUUUUAUCUCUUAUUUUCAAAUCAAGCAUGGAGUGUUGACUAAAAAUGUAUUAGCCAUAAAUUUUUUCUUUUAUUUUUUUUACACCCAAUUUCUCACCAUCCAAACAUAGUAAAAAAAAUAAGCAAAAAAAAAUGAAACAAAAGAUAAUAGAAAAAUAAUAAAAAUUUUCUCCCCUUUCCACUUUAAGCCAUUGAAUAUAAGUGUUCGAACCUAUUGAAACCUAAAAUAAUAAAUUAAAAGAAACAAAUUUAAAACUCCAAUGGGUUCAUAGAGUAAAAUAAUAAAUUAAGGAACUUGAUGUUCUUUUUGUGUGCUGAAAGUUAUGUUUUACGAUCCUCAUUUUCUAGGUGUUCGCUUUUGCGGGAAUUUAUGAUUAUAUGAUCUGAAAAAGGAAAAAUUUUGAAAAAUGCAUGGUCAUUUACAGAUCACAUAUUAAAUAUUGUGAUUUAAAUUUUCAAAGCACCAAAAUUCUUGUUCUUCCAAAGUUAGAAUUUGAAUAUUAUAUAUCCUUACCUAGAAUUCAAAAUUAGUUGUAUUCUUCGAGAUAUACCAUUGAAACUUGAAAUUGAAAAUUUGCAAUCAACAUUGGCAUAUAUAUAUAUAUAUAUAUAUAUAUGAAUCAAGUUGGUUUGGUGUUGUAACCUACUAACCUUAGCUUGAGUCCAAUGCUUUCGAUAAGUGUAGCCCUUAGUUACUCUAAAGGGACCACUCUACCAGGUGUAGAUGUUGAUGGUGUUUUUCUUGAUAGCUUUGUAAGUCGUAUCAAGAACACUUCAAUACAUAUGCCUGAAGCAAUUUUUUUUGUUUAUCAAUAGAUGGCUGUCAUAGGAGAAAUAGCAUCAUAGGAGAGAGGAUCAAUAGGAACCAGUGAUUCACCAUAAAAUGCAACUUGUUAUGGUUCAUAACUAAAAUGAUCUAACAUGAACAUUGAUAUGGUUAAUUUUGAUCAUUCAAAACCCCCAUGAUUAUACCAAUUCAACCAUAUUGACUUCUAUGAGAUAAACAUGAAAUAAAGCAUAAAUAAAAUGCCUGCUACACCUAAUUAGACCUGUAAAAGUAGGUCAAAAGAUAACAACUGGCAUAACUGAUCUCUUGGGCAUUCACUUCAAUGUUGAAAAGCAUCGAAGGCCAGAAAAGUUAUUAAGCUGCCCAAAUAAGCCAUGUUGUGGUGAUUGCCAUUGAUAAUUCUUAUGGUAUUUGUCUUUCAACUUAAGAAAAAGGUUGACUUAUAAUUCUUGGUAUAUUCUUAUUUGAAAUGGGUUAUUUUGUUGGACUUGAUUUGGCAACAAUAAAUGAAAAACCUUGGAAGGCUGAAUUAUUCCCCACUAAAUUAGUACAUUAUGAACUUCUCUUUUCGAAUAUAUAAUGUCAGACUCUAAAAAGAUAAAAAUUUUCAAGAUUAUUACAUAGGGAAUUGCAUUUAAGCACACCUUAUAGGAUUUAAUACACCUAAUUAUGCUUUAUGCAUAGUUUCAAAUCAUUUCUAGGAAGUUGUUUGUGGUCAUUUAGAUGACUGCUUUCAAAAAUAAAAAUGGGUAAGUGAUCUCUUACAUAAUGCUUUGAUUCCUUGGACCUUUGUGCUUAAAAUGUGGUUUGAGAAGGGUUUGAUCUAAAAUGGUCAAACAUAAAGAAUCCCAAACAAGUUUAGACUCAAAGAAAGAGAAAAAAAUAGUGAGUUGAUUUAUUUAUGUGUGGAAGAAGUCUUCCAAUUGGUUUAUAACACAAUAUCCUCCUAUAAUGUCCAAAUUGUAUUGGUUGUCCAUUCUAUACACUAUUCUCUUUAUAACAACCUUAUAUAUUCCAAGCCUUUGCAAGACAUCCUUAGCUCUCCAAAGGCUUCUUCACUUUCCCAACCAACGCCUUCACAUCUCUCUUUAUCUUAUCAAGUCUUCUACCGUAUGUUUCUUGCUUCAUACAUAAACAUUUAUUUGUUAGUAACACAAAGUGGGCCAUAUAAGUACAAUUAACAUGUUACCAAUAUUCAUGAUCCACAUAGUCACUUAUCAAUCACUGCACAUAAUCAUAGUCCCGAAUGGUAGGUUAGCAGAAAACUCCAUUCAUGCAGUCUCAUUAAUGGAUUGAAAUAUCAGUAAACACUGAUAUAUCAGUACUUGGAUUUUACGAAUAUAUCGGAAAUAUCAAUGAGACAAAAAUUAUCCAAAAUUGAUGGGAAUGCUUAGAAAAAUCCAAAGAAUGAUAAAAUAAACAAGAAUAUUCAUGUUAAGGUUAUUUUAUAAGUGUAAUUGACAUAAAUAUGGUCAAAGAAAAAAAAUAUCAGUAAACAGUUAACGAUACUUGGAUUUUAAGAAUAGAAAAUAUGAAUUUUGGAUUUGUACACUUAGAAAGUUAGAAUUGAGUUAAGAAAUAUUUGAUUUUAUUAAAUGAAAACAAUUUACACAUAAACAUAAUACAUAUGACAUUGCAAUAGUCCUUAAUACCAAAAUGAAGAUCGAUGUGGUUCCAUCAUAUUGUUAAAUGAAGGAAGCCCAUCUUGUUGAAGACAACAUUCAUACCAAGACAUGGAGUUUCGAUAGUAUUGAUUAGUACAACAAUGUCAAGCAUAAAUGAGAUAAAUAUAAAAAAUAGUUAAAAAUAAAAUGAUAAUAUAGAUUUAAAAUAAAAAAUAAAUUAAAAAUGAAUAAUUAAAAAAUAAAAAAGGAUAAAUAUAUAUUUAAAAAAAAACUUUAAAAAAAAUCUCUGAUAUUUCCCCGAUAUAUUGCCGAUGUAUCCAAUAUAUUCGUCGAUAUAUCACCGAUAUAUCUCUGAUAUUUUGACAAGCUUCCUCCGCUGCUCCGCGCAUCGCUUCACGCUUGAUUUUUUUGUCGAUUUAUUGGUUCCAAAUCGAUAUAUCGUCGAUUUUACCGAUUUUUUUGUCGAUAUUCCUCCCGUUCGAUAAUUGGUGUUGAAUUUUGUUUGAUGUCGCCUGAUAUCCAAUAUAUUGGUGAAAUAUCACUGAUAAAAUCCGAUUUUUCAAUCCAUGGUCUCAUCCCACUUGUCUUGAGUGACUUGUCACUUUACAGUCAUUAUGGAACAUUAAAUGUAUGUACUAGCUACAUAUCUUGAAAGUCUUACCUCCAUUACCACUUAAACCACUUAUUCAGUUUGGUUUCCAUCACAUCUCUCAUCAACUCUCAUUCAUUCCCAUUUACACCUCCUAUUAAGAAAUAAGAUGUGUACCCAAACCAUCACUAAUUAAGUAAUUUAGUUGUUCUACAAGAGAUAUAAGAAAAUAAGAAAGUUUUUUUUCUUUUCUUUUUUCAAAAAAGAAACUUUAUAAAAAAAAGGAAUGUAUAAUUUUAGAAAAAAGAAAUUAUAUAUAUAUAUAUAUAUAUAUAUAUAUAUUGAAAUUUGCUUAAAGUAUUUUUUUUUUUAAAUUUCUAGAAGUUAUUUAACUCUUAAAAAAUUUGAGUGCAGAAAGCUAGAUAAGAAAUGUUGAGAAAUAAAGCUAUUAAUAGAAUUUAAAAUAAGAACUGUUGAGAAAUUUUUGCUUAUUUCCCUUUUUUGUUUGUUUGUUUUUAUGUGGAUCGGCUUGUAGAGAUUUAAAGAUCUUAUGAUAAGGAGUAGUCAAUGGUAUUGAAUUGAUGUGUAUUCUAACUUUGAAUUUGAAGGAUGAGAUGAAUGAUAAAAUAGAGAUUUAAAGAUCUUAUGAUAAUGAGCAAUCAAUAGUAUUGAAUUGAUGUAUAUUCAACUUUGAAUUUGAAGGAUGUGAUGAAUAAUAAAAUCUAAAUUAUUGCAUGAAAGUAUAAAUAUAAAGGAAUAUGAUACAAAUAAAUAAACUUAAAAUAAAAAUAGGAUCAUAAUAUAAAACAAUAAGACUACAAAAUAAUGAAACCUGAUUAGAAAACAAUAAAAUCAAAAUGAAAUGUGUGGCAACUAUGGAAAAGUUGCUCAACUAUAAUAUCAUAAAUACAUGUAAUAAUUCUCUUUAUGAUAUUUAGGAUAUGAUAAAAUAUGUUUUUUCUUUACUCAUUUCUUUUUUUAGUCAUUUUAUUAAGAAAAAUGCUAAGAUAUUGUAGUGGUAUUUCUCGAAAUCCAAAUCUAGACUAUUAAAUACAUAUGAUAAGAUUUGAAUUGUUAAACAAUGGUACAAAUAAAUAAAAUUAAGGUAUUAAAAUAUAAAUAAAUGAGAAUAAAGAAUAAGCAAUAUGACUUAAAAACGUAUAUAUUAUACUUAUGAAAUAUAUAUAUAUAUAUAUUUCAAUUACCUCCCUUAAAGUUUUAGGUAAAUACAACUAACCCUAAUUGAUUUGAAAAUUUGUCAAAUAUCUCACUUAUUUUGAAUUAGGGGGAAAAUGUGUGAAAAUAUCAAAUAAGAAGAAUAAGAUAGGUAUGUCAUAAAAUUUAAAACCAAUAGAAAUUAGGUGUAAAACCAAUAAAAAUUAGAUGUAUUUAACCAAAAUUUCAAGAGCGGUUAAUGAAAUUAACCUUAUAUAUUUUUGUACUGUAGGUAAACCUUUUUAUUAAAUGGUUGGAGGCGAUAGAGGCUGCAUUAAUUUAUAAAAUAGAAAGGGUUUUUCCAAAAAACAUAAGAAGUAUAUAGUGUAGGCUUCUUUGCUUUCUUCAAAAACUUUAAUUUAAUAAUUUUUAAUCUUUCUAUUAGUAAUUAUAUUAACAUAAUUACUCUAAUUUAAAACCAAAUUCAUUUAAAUAAAGAUUAAUUUCAUUGAAACCCCCUAAGGUUUGGUGUAAAUAUAUUCUAUCACCAAUGGUUUUAAAUUUCGUCAAUUAAUAUCCCUAAAAAGAUUUUAAUUAAGUAAAAAUAUUUUAGAUUAGAGUGUUGAACCGUUUUUUAAAAAUAAAAUUUUAUUUUUAAAAAAUUAAAAUUUAUAUAUGAAAUACAUUUAUAAGGAUGUUAAUUGAUAAAAUUGAAACCUAUGAUAAUUUAGAAUGUUUAUACUAAAUGGGCUAUCAACGAAAUUAACCCUUUAAAUAAAAAGAAAAACCUAAAAGUAAUUAACUUUAAGAACUUCAGACCAAUUUCACAAAAGGCUAACCGAUAUUGUUAUUGAUGGCAAUUUUAGACCAAAUUAACAGAAAGUCCUUAAAUCAAAGAUUGUGAAACUUAAGCUAAUCCAAAUUCGAAAAAGUAAAAAAUAAAAAAACCAUUUUUCGAUGAACCAGUUUUUGAAGACUUGCAGUUAGGUAUCAUUUCCAUGCAAUGGUAAAUGUACAUGCCCAGUACCACUGACUCAGUCAUCCCUUCCAGUUUAAAGUUCCAAUAAAUACAAAAUCAACAAAAUCUUUUUCUUAGCUUUCCAAUAAAGCUGUUUAAAUCCACUCCAGUCAAAUGUGAUAAGGCCUGAUAUGUCCUUCCAGCUUAAAGUUCCAAUAAAUCGUUGUGUGUUGGGAGGACAAAAUCAAUUUCUUGGUUUCCAAUACGGCUCUUCAACUUCACUCCAGUCGAUUCUGAAAUUGCCUAUGUGUCCACAAGUGUGACUCUUUCCUAUUACAUCUUCUUCUCGUUUCUGGGAAUGAGGAAAAUUUGUUGUUAGUAGUAUAUAUUAAUUGGUGUCUAGAUUGAAAGUAACCUUUCAUCAUGUCGGAGGUUGCAACGCGGUGGAUUAUGAGGUAACCUUCAGAAAAUGCAUCUUCUUUUACAUUUUCUUUUUGUUUAUAAGUUUUUGUCUUGUUCAUGUUACGAUGUUUACCAACCAAAAAUACCCUCAGGUGUUUUCUCCAUUUUUAGUAAGCCCAUAUGAAUUUCUCAAGGAAAAAGAAAUUGGCCUUCUUCCAGGCAGCCAUGAUGCCGAAACAAAAUUAAACACCCAUAAGGAAUCACAAUUCUAAUCCCUAAACAAUGGUGUGGUAAAUGGGACGGUGUGAUGUGUGAAAAUGGACGUUCCGUAUAAAAACUUGUGGAGGAAGUGAUGAUUUCAAGGAAUAGUUAGUACUAUCUUAACUAUUAACCACCUGCUUAUUCUUGCCGGGAGAAUUGUGUUUUUAACCCAAUUAGGUUUGGUAAUUGAGCUAAGGUCCUCCUUUCACUCAUAAUUAAACUCAAAACCCAAUAAAAUAGUAGAAAUUGAGAGAAAGGAUAUUAUCUUUUGAUAAUCCCUAAAAUACCCUUAACUUUUAAAUAAAAAAACUAGUUCACCCUAUCUUCCUCAUUCUCAUCCUCUCUUUUAACUCUUUUAUCCUUCUCUCACCUAUUUAUUAGUGGGAUUAAGUUGAAUCAUUUCUCAAUUAUUUUUAUCCAUUAAAUUAAAUAUAAAAGAUAAAUGGCUAAAAAUGAUUAUUGUCAAAUACAUUUUUGAAGUAAAUAACUUUUAAAUACCUAAUCAAAUAUUUUUUUUUCAAACUUACAUAAUAUAUAAUAAAUAUUCUUUUUUAUUUCAAACUUAUAUUAUUUCUUAUAUAUAUUAGACAAUUUUUAAACACCUCAUAAAAUAUUAGUAUUCUUUAUUUGUUCUAGCUUACAAAUUAGACAUCAAAUAUUUUUUUUUCAAACUUAUAUAAUAUAUAUAAUAAAUAAUUUUUAAAUACCUUAGCAUUUUUUUUUUGUUUCUUGCUUACAAAAUAAUAAAUAUGUUGUAUAUUAUUUCUCAUAUACAUUAAAUAAUUUUUAAAUACCUCAUAAAAUAUUAUCAUUAUUAUUAUUAUUAUUUCUAACUUGCAAAUUAGACACAUGAUUGUGGACCCCCAUUUCGGCUCAAUGUGUUUCCCACUCGAUGGCGAGCUCGAUUUUGAUUCGAAAAAUUAUGAUUUUUAUUGAUUAUUUGAAAAUGACUCGGAGUCGCCACUUAUUUUUGUUUUAUUUUUGAAAGGGUAAACAAAAUAAGAAAGAAAAACCCUAAGUGUGACUCCUUAUUUUGGAAAAGGUGGUCUGUGAAAAACCGGAUCGGGUUCAGGGGUCAGGUUACUUAUCGGGAAGGUACGGUAGAGACCGUAGCACCCCUCUAAGUCCCUAAAGUCGGGUCUCUACUAAUCAAAUGAAGCAAUCAUGGCAAUUGAUGAGGGAAUCAAUGAAUACUCAGAGUGAUCAUGCACAUGUGAGAAUCUAAACAUGCGUACAAAAAAAAUGACCCGAGCGGAUGUAGAUGCGUACCUGGGUAGCGAUCCAUAAAGCGCUAUCAAGAAGUGAGGUUAGUGCACAAUUAAGGAAUAGUUUCGAGCAUGCCAUAGAGCAGAAUAAAUAAAUCAUGUAUGAUAACCAAGUCAAUCAAUCAGAUCAAUCAACCGAUCAUAAGAUCAUGUAUGUGGGGUCCCCACCAAAGCCCAAUUAUUUUUGCAUGGACCAAAUCCGUAAAUUCCAUUAUUCAGAAUUACAAAAUUUGAUUCUUUGCUUAUUUCAAAACAUUUUUAAAACAGAGGAGGUGUGAAAAUGCUUGCCAGAAAGAAAGAUGACAGCAAAAUUUUAUUGGAAAUGGGACUCUUGGGUGAUCUUAAAAAUUCUAAGGAGGAAAGAUAAGAUGUUUUGAAAUGGUUUUAGAAAAGAAGUUAUAAAACGAGGAUCCAGACAUGUCUGACGGGGGAAGUUGAAUUGCCCCUCUCUCCCAAUCAGGCGUCAGGCGCUGGUUGUGAGACAUCCGAAGAGGGUUGAAUGUCGGCCGGACAGGAUUCCAGAUGUGGGACAUCCGGAGAAGGUGGAAUGGCGGCCGGACAGGAUUCCGGAUGUGGGACAUCCGGAGAAGGCGGAAUGGCGGCUAGACAGAAAUUCCGGAUGUGGGACAUCCGGAGAAGGUGGAAUGGCGACCGGGGCAGGAUUCCGGAUGUGAGACACCCGGAGAAGGGAAUGGCGGCCGGACAGAAAUCUCCCCUGGGUGGAAUGACGGCGAGGCAGGGGUUCCGGAUGUGAGACAUCCGGAAAAGGUGAAAUGGCGGCCGGGGCAGGAUUCCGGAUGUGAGACAUCCGGAGAAGGGAAUGGCGGCCGGACAGAAAUCUCUCCCGGGUGGAAUGAGCUAUGUUGCACGUCACAAGGGGAACCGUCUACGUGCGAGGGAGAGAGGGCUACGUGGCAUUUUUUUAGGGAGGAUCCCACAGGUAGGUGAAGGUUUAGAGAGAAACGGGUUUGGUGGUAUGGUUAAAGGGGUGUACACAUGGGUAUGGUAGAACGUGGUUAUGAGUAGCAUGAAGGAUGGGUAUGGGUUGUAUGGAUAUGGAAGCUUGGGUGAGUGGUUUUAAUGGGUAUGUGAAGGAGCGAAGGAUAGCAUGCACCCGUGAGACUCCAUGUAAGUGAGGGAGUGGGAUGGAGAAUGAAUGAGAGGAAAAUGGGUGUGGUGGAGAAUGCUUGAUUCCUGCAAGCUCACAAAUCUCCUCUCCAGAAAAUGCCAAGAAUAGAGGGGAAGAGCGAAGAAAAAAAGGAAAAGAACAAACAAAAAAAACUAGGAAGAAGAACAGAGCAAUAUAUAAGGGGAGAUAACACCACUAAAACCAAGCUCUACAUCACGAAGACCAAAAGAGCUUUCAAAAGAGUCUGGUGGGAGGAUCUCAAUGAACUUAACACACAAACACAAAAUACCCAACAUGUAGCUCAUACGGGAGAAAACAAAGAUCAAAUAAACAAAAGUCAAAAACAAGUUUGCCUCCUUAGGUAAUCAAAGCAAACAUCUCAAUAUCAGCAAGGAACCUAAGGCGAUCCUAAAAAAUAAGAUAAGAUAAAGUAAGAGAUAAUCAAACCUGACUGGUUCUUCUUCUACCUCUCUCCACCCAAAAAAAAAAAAACGCUUUCCCCCUUCCCCCAUUUUUCUCUUCCUCCCCCCCUAUUCACCGGUCAGCAAGCAUGGCUUGCCCAACCACUCUCUCUGCAAUGCUGUCACCUCCAACGAUCUCUGCAGCAGCCACCUUUCCUGCACCACACCUUCUACAACCAUCUUUCCUUCUCUCUCAUCUGCGCCCCUUGACGGCCUGCGGGACCUCCUUCCAGGAAUGUAAGGAAUAUGAACACUGAAGUGAAAAGAAAGUGUGAAUAGUGAGUGGAAUGAAGUGAACUCUACCGAAGAACCAAGGAGACCCCCAUAGGGACACUAGUGAAACGCAAACUCAUUCAGGCUAGCAGACGAACAACAAAGGCUCUAAUCCUAAAAGAAAAACAUAUCUCAAAGUGCCUCUAAAGCUACACUAAGGACCUAGGCUCCCUUUAAGACGUCUCCAAAAAUGACUCGAAAAACCAUAUCAAAGAUGAGUAACGGUCGAACCACCCUGGAGUACGAGAUGAAUAUGUGAUAAGCACCGAGUAACGAAGCGAGGAAAACCGAGGACAAAUGCAAAACCAUGAAGGUAAGACAUGCACUGCCAGUGAAUAUAAAUGCCAGGAGCUAUGACUCUGAAUGACAAGACUGACUCUAAACGCUAAACUGAGAAAAAUAAUGGCUUUGGAAGCCAAACCAAAAAGCUAACUCUAAAUGCUAAACUGAGAAAAUAAUAGCUCUAGAAGCCAAACCAAAAAGCUAACUCCAAACACUAAACUAGAAGGCCCAUAGGUGAAAACCUACGGUGGUGAUACAAUAAAAAAAAUACCCAUAGAUGCCAAUCUAUGGUGGUGAAACUCCCAAAUGCCCACAGAUAAAAAAUCUAUGGUGGUGAUAAUCCCGAAGGCCCAAAGAUGAAAAUCCAUGGUGGUGAAAUAACUAAAAUGCCCAUAUAUGAAAAUCUAUGGUGGUGAAAAUCUGAUCAAAGCCCAUAGAUGUCCGAUCUAUGGUGGUGAAUCUGAAACAAAUGCUCAUAGAUGAAAAUCUAUGAUGGUGAAAAACUGAAACAAAGCCCAUAGAUGUCUGAUCUAUGGUGGUGAUAAUCUCAAAAGCCCAAGGAUGAAAAUCCAUGGUGGUGAAAUAACUGAAAUAAAUGCUCAUAAAUGAAAAUCUAUGAUGGUGAAAAACUGAAACAAAGCCCAUAGAUGUCUGAUCUAUGGUGGUGAUAUAACUAAAAUAAAUGCUCAUAGAUGAAAAUCUAUGAUGGUGAAUAACUGAAACAAAGCCCAUAGAUGUCUGAUCUAUGGUGGUGAAUCUGAAACAAAUGCUCAUAGAUGAAAAUCUAUGAUGGUGAAAAACUGGAACAAAGCCCAUAGAUGUCUGAUCUAUGGUGGUGAAAAACCGAAACAAAGGGGAUGCCCUAAAUAAACUGACGGUAGGGGGAUGCCCUAAACGAGAUGACAGUAGGGGGAUGCCCUAAACGAGAUGACAGUAGGGGGAUGCCCUAAACGAGAUGACAAUAGGGGGAUGCCCUAAACGAGAUGACAGUAGGGGGAUGCCCUAAACGAGAUGACAGUAGGGGGAUGACCUAAACGAGAUGACAGUAGGGGGAUGCCCUAAACGAGAUGACAAUAGGGGGAUGCCCUAAAGGAAAUGACAGUAGGGGGAUGCCCUAAACGAAAUGACAAUAGGGGGAUGCCCUAAACGAAAUGACAGUAGGGGGAUGCCCUAAACGAAAUGACAGUAGGGGGAUGCCCUAAACGAAAUGACAGUAGGGAGAUGCCCUAAACGAAAUGACAGUAAGGGGAUGCCCUAAACGAGAUGAUAGUAGGGGAAUGCCCCAGGUGAUAACUCAUAAAGAUCGAGAAAUGGGUCUAACAACCAUGAAAUCAGCAUGAGAUGUGGCAAACUCAAAGAUGGGGAAAUGCCCCAAUAGAAAAGUGCUAAAAAUGGGGAAUGCCCCGGUAUGAUGACUCACAAAGAUCAAGAAAUAGAUUGAGCAGUGAGAAGGUACACAAAAGAUCUGAUAAACUCAAGAAUAGGGGUAUGCCCCAGUGUAAGAUAGUAACCAACAUAAGAUACAAAAUGUCACCAAACAAGACACUCUGGGAUAUGCUCAAUGAUGAUGUAAUGAAAAAACAUAUACAAAGCCUCAAUGAACAAAUGCUAAAACAAGUCCAAGCAUCACUGAAACUAUACUGACGAAGCAAAACUAAAAUAAUGGAUCAAACAAAUGCUGACCAAAACUCAAGGUCUGAAAUGUAAGCAAAUCAAGACACGACAUGUCAAAUAUCAAUAUGAGUACAUCAUCACAAGUGCGUACCAUCAUGGGAGAUGUUGAUCAUAAUGUCCAAAAGGCAUGUGAAAACUCAACCAGAAAGCUCAAGACUAGUCUACAUCUUCCUCUGAUCAAGAGAAAGGGAUAAAGUCAGGUAAGAUGAUGAAAUAUGUAGGCUCAAAAGAUGUAAGGCUCUGAUAAGAUGGGUGCAGGUAUAACGGUGUCCAAUGAAGGAUGUAUGGGUGCGUAACAAAGAUAAGUGAAUAUCCAAAUCAAACUAGGUAUGCCGAGAAGACUGAGCCCAGGGUGUCAAUGACUCCAUGAUCCAUCGAAAGCAGCAAUCAUAAACACGAAAUGGAGUCUCAAUGUCAAAAUCAGCAAGGUGGCCAUGCCCCAGUGUGAAUGCAUCAUCUCAGAAUGGGUAAGCUCUCAAUGCAGAAUGAUUUUUGGAAAGUGUGUGUCUGGCAUAAACUGUCAUCUCACAAAAUCAUCAUCGAUGAGUGGGCUAUGCCCCAGUGUAAGCAUCUCCAAAUCAACCGUCAAUGAGAGGAGUGCAACCAAUCAUACAUCAACUGAUCAAAAUGAACUUCUGCUCCUCAAAGUCAUCGUGGUAAUGUGAAGAGAGUAUAUGACCUCCUCUAAAGAAAGAGCAUGUCUCAAUGUGAACUGAUAUCUCUAAGAUCAACCGCCGAUGAAAGGGUUAUGCCCCAGUAUAAGGUAAACCCUGAAAUGAAUAAACUCCGCUACAUGCUCUCAUAAGUGUUCGUGUCCUGAUCCAAUCAUUUGAAAAAUAUGUCAACAAUGAUGAGAAGGUUACGCUCCUAUAAUCAUAUCAAAGAAAACAUCCGGUCAUAUCUCGUACUCCAGUGUGAAAUGAAUCUAAUCACCUCCAAGGAACAACUAUGCCUAAAAAACCAUCAUGAACUGAAAGGGGUAUACCCCUGUGUAAAGUACACCAUAUGAAAUGCUCCAAUCAUGUCUCAUGCUCCAAUGUGAAAGAGGACAUUUGAUAUCCUCCGAGGAACGAACAUGGCUCAAAAAUCUGUCAUCGACUGAGAAGAGUAUGCCUCGACAUAAUGGUCAUCUGAUAAAAAAACUCUGAGAUGGUUAUGCCCCCGUGUAGGGUCAUACCAUAACUCCUGGUCCAUCACAAACAGAAUGCUCCCGAAUCAAUCCCAAGUAUCGCUCACAUAAGAGCUAUCAAACACAACGUGUGAUGUCAUGGCCUCAGGGUGGUCUUAAGACUCAGGACGUAAUGAAGGCUAGGGUGAUAGGGUGAUAGAAAUGAAGGGAAACUAGGCCCAAAUACCCAAUGAUCAAAACCCAUGCCUUCAUGUAUAAAAUGCAACAUGUACAGAAAAUAUCGUGAGCCAUGGACCUAAAGAUGCCUACUGUGAAUAUGAUGUCGAUAAGGAGACAAAUGAAGCAAAACGAACUGAUAAUGAUAUGUGUAAUGAUGAUGCGAAAUGAGUAUCGAACCCGAUAUGGGUUGCUAUAAGGAGAGAAUAAGACGUGAAGUGAAUGAGGUGAAACACAAGUGACGAUAAAAAUGACAGCGAAACAAUGAAUAUAUGAAGAAAGGUGGUGAUCGACUCAGAUCAAACAUGAAGUGAAGUCACAUCAAUAAUGAAUGUAAUGAUGGAAAGGACAAUGACUCAGAGUCCUUAGGAGAAGGUCACUCAUCUCUCUCACAAAAUAGAUAUGACAAAGUAAUACAAAUAAUCAUGGGAUCUCAGAGAGCUCGCAUACGAACUCCCAAUAACGAACAUACUCGAUAAAAAUGACCCCCAGACAUCAAUAUACAUACUCAAUGAUCGAGAACACUGUGCACAUACACACAUGUGCUAAUAAUAAUAAUAAUAAUAAUUUUAUUUUAUUUUUAUUUUUUUUACAUAUAUACAAAUAUGCGUACCCUGAACGUGAACAAAUGAACCCCAAAGAUGAUAUCAACAACAAAUGGACACACUCCCAAGUGCUAAGGUAACAAACAAACUCUCUCUGACAAGAUGACCUUCUCAAACUAAGGAUCUCUAAACCAGUGUCCGCGAGAUAGAUAGUGGAAAUGAUGUGACUAUCCUUCAUGUGAUGAACUGAGGGGGAUCACCACUCAGGGUGAAGAGAAAUAUGAAACAAACAAGUAGUAGAUAGGAUAAGGAAGAAGAGAUGAGGAACACAACCAACGAGAUGAGACGAAAAUGCAGAGGUGCAGUGAUAGGAAAAGAUAAUGAGAAAAACGUGCCCCUAGGUCCAAAGCUCAUGAAACUUCCCAAACAAUGCAUGCAUACAUUAAAGGGCCCCUAUCCCGAUGUGAAAAUGUGAGCAAGGCGAUAAGAAAGAAAGGCUAUAAUGAGCAUGCGAGGCUCAAUGGGCUAGCAACGGACUAUGAUGUCAAUAAAGGUAAUAAGGUAUGAGCUAACCGAAAUGAAGGCCACCCAUCCUGCGACCACGGUCUCAGACAUCAUGCUAUCAAGCCCUCAAAUGAUCAAUACUAGAGAUCGAAGUCCAUCUGAUAUGACCACGUCAACCCUCUAGGAUCAUGCACCAACUGUACUCCAAAUGCUCCAUAAUAAUCUCAAAGAUGAUCCUCUCAAGGCAAAGUAAACGGUGAUCUCAUCAGGCACGACUGAUUACUACUCAAAAAGUGCUAUUUGAUAGCUUGUAAUUAACUCUUUUAAACACUUUUGAGUAGUAGUUAUUGCCUUUUAACCCAAUUAACAUGUUAAGGACCCUUGCAAUCAAUUCUAAUCAAAUUGUGUUAAGUUUUGGUGUUUUGAUAGUUUUUUUAUCACCAAAGGAAUCCAAGAAUGAGGGAGAGCUGUAUAUAGUUCAUGGCAAAGCUUUUGGAAGCUCAAAUUCAUGAAGAACCAAGCUUUGGAGCUCCAUAGCCCUUUUCCAAAGUCGUUCAAAGUAUGCAAGGAGAGAAGCAAGGAGAGAGGAAAAACAGAGUGAAGAAAACAGAGGACAGCAGCUGCAGUCUUCUUUCGCACUUUUGGAGCACUUCCCGAAGUCCAUUUUCUACAUUCUAUAUACCAUUUCAAAGCUCAGGAAGUCAAGAAUCCAACGCUUCAAACCGUGUACGAUUUGGAGCUGAAAUGAGGAAGUUACAGCCUUUGGAAGAUGACUGCUCCAAGCUGAAGGAAGGAUUCAGCAAAGUGUUGCGAAAUCACCCUUUUGUUGCGGAAUGAUUUCGCAGCCUUUUUGCACAGUGCUUUGGAUUUCCCUUGAAUUUUCACACCGCGAUGGAAGCCAAACACCACAAGAUGAAAGCCAACUCCGCAGUGAUGCAAAAUCAGCCGUUUGCUGCGAAGAGAUUUCGCAGCCCUUUUUGGAUGUCUGCGAAAUCUCGUAGACCUCGUUUUCACCUGCGAAAUGGUCCUUAGUGCUUCCCGAUAUUUGUGACCGACACUUUGAGAUAUUUUUCUUCAGAUUUUUAUGUCUAAAUUUCCAUUUUCUCCUUGUAUUCAACCACUCAUGUAAUUCCUUAGCUAGGAAGUAUCCAAGGAAGGGUCAAUUACCUUCCUAUAUAAACUCCCUUGCAUCCACUGUAAUCAUGGGAUGUAAUAUAGAAAUAGAUAGAUAAAUAUAUAGAAUAUACAGAGCCUUGCUCUGUUUUUCCUUCAUUUUCAUUUUCAUUUUCUUGCUAGCCAAACAUUCUCUGAGGAUUUUUCCUUAGAAGAUGAGAGGCUAGGCUCUUUGUCUCUUGGAGUGAGGAAAGCCGGGUAAGUUUCCACAUGCAUAAUUUGGAAGUUUUGUUGUUUUAGUUUUUAAUGAAGAGAAAGUGUGACCCGUUAAUGGUUUUUAUCUUUUUAGUUAACUUAAAACGCCUUUAAAUCACCUGGGCCAACACUUGGUAAGGCAAGUGAUCUCCAACCAUAGAGAUGCACUAGUUUACCCCUUGCGAGCCUUUGGGAGGUGACUUGAAGGUAGGAUUUUCUAGAAUAGCCAACACUUGGUAAGCUUUUGGACUCCAAGGAGACAUCCAUUAGUUAUCUGUUGCGAGCUUUUGACGGGUAAUCCAAGGUUAAAGAUCACCUUGAAUGGUAAGUGCUAGGUGAGAGGUAUGAGCCAUUGCAAGGUGCAUCAGUGAGAGGGAUUUAGUGUUUGAGCCCAUUAAUGGGAAGCAUCUGUACAACACCGGUUGGAGAAGGAACUAUAUGUUAGUUCUCUAAUGCGAGAAAAAGAAACAAGUGACCAGAACUCCCUUUUUGUAUGAGGAAUCUGAGCCUAGUGAUCUAAACUCCAAGAAACAUUUUUCUUUGUAAGUAAAAUCAGUUACUAUUUUUGGUUAGCUUAAAACCAAUCCUUUUUCAUUCAAACAUCUUUAUGUUUUCUUUUAAAGCUAACCUUGAAAUGAAAAGGCACCAAUUCAACUUUGAAUUAACAUCAUUUGUGAAGUGAAAACCCAUCCCAGUGAACGAUCCUAGAGCCACUAUGCUAUAGUAGCUUUGUCUUUGCUACCCUAGUAUAUGGUGUAAUAGGUUAUAAAUUUUGUUGAUUAAUCCCUCAAUCAAGGAGCACCAGCUGGACACGAAUCAGCUGAGACACCAAUUGGGCACGAAUCAACGACUGCCCAUCACAAGUCAACUCUCAUCAUAUAAGAUCAAUCUCUAUACUCACGGCAAAAUAAGUGACAGUCUCAUCAAGCAAUCGACCAAUCCACUCAUCGUAAGCCACUCGAAGAUCAUAAGAUAUCCCUCGCCAUGCAAGAACAACCAUGGGCUCAAACUCCUCAUACUCUACCUGGUCGAAUCAGAGAGGGGAUGUGUAAAGCUAGAAAAAAAAUCGAGGAUGGAAAGGUCAUAUAAUGGUCUCAAGGGUGAUGCUAUGCAAAGCUCAUAAUGGAUGGAUGUAGGUCAAAACAAAAGCAAGGUGUGGGAAGUGAGCAAGGUACUGCUAUGAUCAUAAGAAGAUGUGUCACAGUCUCGAACUCCCUAGGUCAAAUCUCUGAUCCUAGGCUAAUAGGCUCAAUAUCCCCCAUGACAGGUCAAGCCUCGAGACCACAAUGUGCAAGUGAAGAGAUGCCUCAAGUAAAAAAAUACAACACAUCAUAUCACAAAACACAAAGAUAUGUCCAUAAAAGAAAAUGCAUCCAAUGGGAUAAUCCGAUGAGUACAUCAUGCAAAAGAAAGAUAAUAAAGACAAUACUCAAAAAUCGAGUUAUAGUCUCUAAAAGUCAAAAGCAAAACAAGACUAAACAAAUAAAAACAAAAGCAGUGACUGGUCCUGUCAUCACAUCUCUGGCCAUAGAAGGAACAAAAUCUGAGCACCACUGUACCAAGGCAAACCAAUCAUGAGUCAAUCGCCCAAAUCAAUAAGAUCAGGGACUACUGGUGAAGGAGCAUCUGUGUGCAUGGCCUGAGCUGAGGUAGGAAUAGGAAACAUAUCAGACUGAGGAUGCCCAAACGUCUCAGAAUCAACAAUGUCAUGUAUGGCAUGUCGUAGAGCACUGCAACGAUCAGUGUGAUGUCCUACUGACUGAUGGUACGUACAAUAUAAAUCAAGCAAAAACUAUGAAGGCACAGAAUCUGGAAGUGCCCUAGGAGCCAGAGGAGCCAAAAAUCCCAUGGCCUGGAACGUCUCAAAAACUCUGCUUAGGGGUGUGCUCAAAUAUGAAAAGUGUCUCCGACAUAGUCGACGAGGGUGAAGUCGCUCCUGAGGAAAUGAUUACUACUCAAAAAGUAUUAUUUCAUAGCUUGUAAUUAACUCUUUUAAACACUUUUGAGUAGUAGUUAUUGCCUUUUAACCCAAUUAACAUAUUAAGGACCUUUGCAAGCACUUCUAAUCAAUUUGUGUUAAGUUUUGGUGUUUUGAUAGCUUUUUUAUCACCAAAGCAAUAUGAGAUUGAGGAGAGUUAUUUGGAAUCCAUGGCAAAGCAAUGGAAAGCUCAGAAACAUGAAGAACCAAAGCUUUUAAGUCCUUUGCCAUAAGCAAAUCCGGAAUGCAAGGAGGGGAAGUAAAGAGAAAUAUGCCAUGAAGCAUUUUUGAUGACAGUCAUGUCAGCCACUUUUGGAGCACUUCCUGAAGUCCAAUUUAUGCAUGCUAUAUGUCGUUUCAAAGAUUAGGAAGUCAGCAAUCCAAUUCUUCAAACGGUGUGCAAUUCGGAGCUGAAAUGAAGGAGUUACAGCUGUUGGAAGCCGAACACCGCAAGUUGAAAGCCAACUUCGCAGCGCUGCGAAAUCAGCCUUUUGCUGCGAAGUGAUUUCGCAGCCCUUUUGUGCGUCUGCGAAAUCUCGCAGACCUCGUUUUCACCUACGAAAUGGUCCUUAGUGCUUCCCGAUAUUUGCGACCGACACAUUGAGAUAUUUUUCUUCAGAUUUUUGUUGUCUAAAUCCCCAAACUCUCCUUGUAAGCCACCAAUUAUAGGAUUCCUUAGCUAUUAAGUUAGGAAAAAUGGUAAAUAUCCAUGUAAUAAUUAUUAUUGUAAUUUUCAUAUAAAUAGCUCUCGGGAGCCUGCUCUCAAAAAGGAGGACGACGGACCUUUUGUAAAAGUUUGAAAGAAAGUAAAAUACAGAACCUUUGCUCUGCCUUACCUUCUCACUUUGAUUGUAUUUUUCAUUUACUAGUUAUGCACUCUCUGAUGAAGUUUCCCCAGAGAAUGAGUAACUAAACCUUUAGUUCCUUGGAGCUAAGGUUGCCGAGAAAGGUUCCAAGUGCAAGAAUUAGUAGCUUUGUGGUUUCAACCAUGAAUGAAGAGAAAGUGUGAUCCUUUAGUGAUUUCUAUAUUUUUAGUUAACUUAAAACGCCUUGGAGUCACCUGGGCCAACACUUGGUAAGGCAAGUGAUCUCUGUCCAUGGAGAUGCACUAGUUUACCCCUUGCGAGCCUUUGGGAGGUGACUUGAAGAUAGGAUUUUCUAGAAUUGCCAACACUUGGUAAGCUUUUGGACUCCAAGGAGACAUCUAUUAGUUAUCUCUUGCGAGCUUGAGAAGGGAAGUCUAAGGUUAAAGAUCACCUUGAAUGGUAAAUGCUAAGUGAGAGGCACGAACCAUUGCAAGUUGCAUCAGUGAGAGGGGAUUAGAGCUGAAAUCCAAUUAAGGGAUGCAUCUGUACAACACCGGUUAGAGAAUUGACUAUAUGUUAAUUCUCUAAUGUGAGGAAAUGAACCAAUUGACCGGAGCUAUGUUUUUGCAUGAGGAACCUCCCCUGUGAACCUAAAUCUCCAAGGAAUGUUUUUCUUCAUAAUUAAUUUCCAUUACUUGCUGUGCCGUUAGUUUAAAUCUAAACCUUUUUCAACCAAAGUUUGUGUUUUAUUUCUUAAGCUAACCUUGAAAUGAAACAGCACCAAUUCACUUUGAAUUGGUAUCAUUUAUAAUUUAAAAACCCUUCCCAGUGAACGAUCCUAGAGCCACUAUGCUAUAGUAGCUUUUUCUUUGCUACCCUAGUAUAUGGUGUAAUAGGUUAUAAAUUUUGUUGAUUACUCCCUCAAUCAAGGAGCACCAGCUGGACACGAAUCAGCUGAGACACCAAUUGGGCACGAAUCAGGAAAUGUAAUAACUGGAGGGUCCCGAAGCCGGAAUGAAGGUCGUGGAUGUGAGGCACCCAAAGUAACAGAUGCCAAUGAAGCCAAACGUGGCAAUGAAGGCAUUGCUACUCCUGGAGCUCCUCUCGAUGACGAUGGAUGCUCUGACAAAAUAAGCUCCAUCCUCUCAACCCUCUGCGUCAAAUCCACCAUCAUCUCAUAAAGAGUAAUAAGAGUAAUGGAUGCGAUCUCGUCCGACAUGGUGAACCUCAACUGAAGAAGUCUAAUCUCAAUGUGCUCUGAAAAUAUCAUAACCAUCAUGUCAUCAAUCUCUGCUCGGGGACCAGUCACAACACUAAAACUGUCCAAGACUCUAAAACAAACACAUACAAGAGACACAACAAAGCAACACACGAUGCUACUCAACAUAACAACAUAUAAAAUGCAUGGUAUGAAACAAUGAUAAUAAUAAAAAGAAGAUGGAAACACAUACCCAAGAAAGCAACAAUAUCACUUAGUGAAAUGAGAGUACAUCAUGCGAAAAAUAAGACAAAAAGGUCUACUCUCGAAACAUAGGGUAUGAACUCAAAUCACUAACUAUAAAACAAGACUCAAAUAUAAAAUAAAAGAGAACAAAAACCCAAACGACCAACUAACAAUGUAGUCCCAAAAUACACCAACAAGGUCUGCCAUAUCAAAGUGUCUGGUGAAUAUCAAUGCCCUAGGUGUCUCAAACAUGAUGGUAUAAGCCUGAGGGAGGAGGAACUGCAUGUGUGGAAUAGGCUGGAAAGGAAUCAGCAGUCAUAUCUGAACCGAGAUCAGUAUCUAUGGUCGAUACAGGAAAGCUAACAGCACCACUGUCAAUAAGAUCCUGUAUAGUAUGACGUAGAGAAGCACAAUAAUCAGUACGGUGGCCCGCCAUCUGGUGAAAUGCACAGAACUCGUGAGCACGAAAACGCGGAGGUAAGGUACUCGGGGGUGGCCUAGGGGCCAAUGGUACUAAAAAACUAGUAGAUCUGAGUUGCUCAAAAGCUCUAUCCAAAGGCAUCCCCAAGUCAGAAUAAGUCCUCUGACGUCACCGAUAGGGACGAGACUGCUCAUGUCGUGGGAUACUAGUCUGUGGACGCUGAAACUGAAAUGAAGGUAGCACCGUGACAAUAUGAGGAUGCACAGAAGGGUACUACUGAACUGAAUGAGGAUAACGAUUCUGUAAAGACAGGAAAUCGCUCCUAGGUAUCCGCAAUAAUCUCGCAUAGGGAUGAUAACCAGGUCGUUGAUUCUGAAAAUCCGCACAACAUACGUCUCCAUAGCUCUCAGAUGAUCCACUAACUCUUUUCCCCUCAGUAUCUGGGGAAUGAGCAAUAUCUUACCAUAAUCCUCUAGAUAUGCCAUCAUCUACAUCGAACAAAGCCUGAACCAAUGAUCUGAAAUCCUGGAAUGGGACUCCUGUCAGAUGUCGAGCAAACCUAGGAUGCAAACUCCUAAAAAACAUGCUCAUAUGAUCUCUCUUGGUAGGUCGCUCAAUCAUCUCCGCGGCCUUCUCCCUCCAGCGGGAGAUAAAAGAAGAAACAGACUCAUCUGAUCCAUGUCUAAGAAACUCAAGCUCUCUACGUGUAACGCUCGUGUCACUACUGAAGGAAUACUGUCUCAAAAACUCCUGCGCUAAGUCCUCCCAAGUUCUCCGACAAGAUGUCUCUAAUGAAGCGUACCAUCUCUGUGUCAUGCCACUCAAUGACAAUGGGAACAAAGUGAGCAACUGUGCCUCAUCUAGACCAAGAGCCCUCAUAACUGCGCUAUAAAGUCUGAGAUGAAUACGAGGACAUCCAACACCCGUAUAUCUCUCUAUAUUAGGCAUCCUGAAACCGACUGGCAAAGUGGCUACUGGCACAUCGUCAGUGUCAUCCCACGAAAUCGUCUCAUCAGGAUCUCUCAUAUGUCUAAUCCUCCGCUCGAGUUUAUCCAUACGAGAACGAGGAUCCUCAAUAAUGGUAACUGGUGUGACAAUGGGUGGAAUGACAGCAGCCUGAUCAUGUGAAAUAGUAUGCAAAGUCUGUGUAGCUGGCAUCUAAACAGGUAGAAUAGGUGGUGGCACUGAAUCAGAUGGCGUGUCCUCGAGUACUACAUGCCUACUCUGCCGAGUAUCCAUCCUCUAACUCAAACUGGUCAAUGCCUCCUGAAUCGAAACCAUAGAAGCGAUAAGCUAACCAAUCGAAACUGACUAUGAAUCCGUUUAUAGCAGCUCAGAGAUACGAAUCAACCUCUCUCCCACUCAACCCAGGGCACUGAACCAAGACUGGGACUACAAACAGACCCCUACAAAAGAACCUGAGCAAAACGACUCAAACACGACUCAUGCAACGACACGGGAUGCAACGAACAAUGACCAAUGCAUGAUAUAAUACAAACCAAUACAUGACAGGGUGUGAUACACAAUCAUAUGGUGACAAUCAAAAUUUGGAUAUACGAUAGAAAUUCUAGAGUCACAUGAGUGUCUAGUGUGAGAUAACUACAAAUAUGACUAAAGAAUUUCUAUAGAUGACCCAGAAAAUGAUCGAGUUGUGAAGAAAACGAAUGAGGUGUGAAGAACAACACUAUCACGAGAUCGAUACUCAAUCUAGACCAAAACAUCCUUGAUUCGACCUUCAACUCGAGCUCCAUAAGAGAAAAGAUGAUAAGGUGAUCAAGGCGAAUCUCUCGAAAAAUGUGUGAAUAUGAAAAUGUGUCUUUCACCUUUCUGUAAUGAAAAUAUGAGCAUCGAGUCGAAAAUCGAACCAUGGAUCAAACAAACGAUGAGGUACUGAGCCCGUGAUAAGCGUACAAAGUAAAAAGAUGAUCAUGAACAUAUCCCAAAGUAUCGAGUGAGUGACAGCAAAGUGAAGGGGUGUCCCGAGCCAAGAAAUGAGAACGAAAUCCCUAGGGAGAAAACAUGCCAAACUCAUCGAGUAAAAAACAUAAUCUAGAGCGACAAGACGAAAGGUGAUUCAACCGUACUCAAACUCAUACCGAUCUCCAAGCACUCUCAAUUGGAGACUAAAAGGAGGGAAUGUCAAAUCCGAAGUGUAACCAUAGAGGCUCUGAAAGCCCUCAGAUGCACCCACGUGUAGGGAGGGAGUCCUAAUCGAAGGAUCUACGGAUCAACCUACAAGGUCAAGGUGGCUCUAAAUGGAUAUCGGUGGACUUUAAAGAUCCCUAGCAGAAGCGAUCAUACCCUCCGGUGGUACGCAACCCUCUGCACGCCUCUGGAGAGACGGGACGCUUCCAUGCAAGGUGGUCAUCACAUCCACACAUGCACUACCUCGACAACCUAGGGGGUUUCCUAUGGUGAAACCUCUCAAACUCUCAACACUCAAUAGAUAACUAGAGUGCACAGUGAAUGGUGUGGGUGCAUCCGAAAACCCUAUGAAUCUAGAGCAGAAGAAGAAACACACUGAUCGCACAACUAUCCAUGAAACCUAGCUUGGGGCUAUACAGGUCUUCAAUGAUCGGACUCCAAUCGCCAUCAAAGUGUCGUCCUCCUCCAGAAUGCUCCCGUACAUCGAUAUAGCCCGUCGCUAGACCCUACUCCUAAUCUCUGGCUCGGUCAGAGAGCAAGCACAUAGAAGGUCUCACACUUGCAAUAGUGAGAACCGGGAUGAAAAGAAUGACUGAAACCAAGAGAGUUGGAGAUAAGGGGAUAGAGUGCAGCCCACAUAGAUAAACAACAUGCAAUCAUGCAGAAGAAGGGUAGUCAUGCAUCAUACAAUCAGACAAAAUACAGGAUAUAUCACUCAUGUCCACACACAAACUAUGAUAGUCAAAAUGAAUAGUGAUACAGACAUCAUGCUCAAAGACAACCGAGAGAAUAUACAAGCAAGUGAAUCAAUGUCUCAAGUCAAUCGAUAUAUAACAAUGAAUCUAUACAUGCAAGGAGACCAAAACAAUCAUGGCAAAUAUCGGAAUCACUAUGCUAAGCGGAACAAGAUAGGCAAUCAAUGCAAUCAACAUGUCAACAUCUCCAACGAAUAUGGCAAUGAAUCACAAAGAAAAUAGUUAUCUCGGGAUCCUCAAUCAAGAAGAAUCAAUCAUCAUAAUCAGAAUGUCAAAUAUCUCAAACAAAUAUAUCAAUGAAGCAUGAAGAAACUGGCUAUAUCAGAAUCCCUAAUCAAAAUAAUCAACCGACAUGAUCAACAUGUCAAUGUCCCAAGUGAAAACUCGGGAACUCUCGAUGUGCAAUCAAAAGAUGAGUACCCACUGAUCGACUCACCAAACGCCACAUUUGCUUCACUUUAAGUUCAAGCUUGACCCUCUAAAUGAUCCCCAGUGGAGUUGCCAUUUUGUGAACCCCGCAUUUCGGCUCAAUGCGUUUCCCACUUGAUGGCGAGCUCGAUUUUGAUUCGAAAAAUAUGAUUUUUAUUGAUUAUUUGAAAAUGACUUGGAGUUGCCACUUAUUUUUGUUUUAUUUUUGAAAGGGUAAACAAAAUAAGAAAGAAAAACCCUAAGUGUGACUCCUUAUUUUGGAAAAGGUGGUUUGUGAAAAACUGGAUCGGGUUCGGGGGUCAGGUUACUUAUCGGGAAGGUACGGUAGAGACCGUAGCACCCCUCUAAGUCCCUAAAGUCGGGUCUCUACUAAUCAAAUGAAGCAAUCAUGGCAAUUAAUGAGGGAAUCAAUGAAUACUCAGAGUGAUCAUGCACAUGUGAGAAUCUAAACAUGCGUACAAAAAAAAUGACCCGAGCGGAUGUAGAUGCGUACCUGGGUAGCGAUCCAUAAAGCGCUAUCAAGAAGUGAGGUUAGUGCACAAUUAAGGAAUAGUUUCGAGCAUGCCAUAGAGUAGAAUAAAUAAAUCAUGUAUGAUAACCAAGUCAAUCAAUCAGAUCAAUCAACCGAUCAUAAGAUCAUGUAUGUGGGGCCCCCACCAAAGCCCGAUUAUUUUUGCAUGGACCAAAUCCAUAAAUUCCAUUAUUCAGAAUUACAAAAUUUGAUUCUUUACUUAUUUCAAAACAUUUUUAAAACAGAGGAGGUGUGAAAAUGCUUGCCAGAAAGAAAUAUGACAACAAAAUUUUAUUGGAAAUGGGACUCUUGGGUGAUCUUAAAAAUUCUAAGGAGGAAAGAUAAGAUGCUAUGAAAUGGUUUUAGAAAAGAAGUUAUAAAACGAGGAUCCGGACAUGUCUGACGGGGGAAGUUGAAUUGCCCCCCUCUCCCAAUCAGGCGUCAGGCGCUGGUUGUGAGACAUCCGGAGAGGGUUGAAUGUCGACCGGACAGGAUUCCGGAUGUGGGACAUCCGGAGAAGGUGGAAUGGCGGUUGGACAGGAUUCCGGAUGUGGGACAUCCGGAGAAGGCGGAAUGGCGGCUGGACAGAAAUUCCGGAUGUAGGACAUCCGGAGAAGGUGGAAUGGCGGCCGGGGCAGGAUUCCGGAUAUGAGACAUCCGGAGAAGGGAAUGGCGGUCGGACAGAAAUCUCCCCCGGGUGGAAUGACGGCGGGGUAGGGGUUUUGGAUGUGAGACAUCCAAAAAAUGUGAAAUGGCGGUCGGGCAGGAUUCCGGAUGUGAGACAUCCGGAGAAGGGAAUGGCGGCCGGACAGAAAUCUCCCCUGGGUGGAAUGACGGCGGGGCAGGGGUUCCGGAUGUGAGACAUCGGAAAAGGUGAAAUGGCGGCCGGGCAAGAUUCCGGAUGUGAGACAUCCGGAGAAGGGAAUGGCGGCCGAACAGAAAUCUCCCCCGGUUGGAAUGAGCUAUGCUGCACGUCGCAAGGGGGACCGUCCACGUGCGAGAGAGAGAAAGCUACGUGGCAUUUUUUUAGGGAGGAUCCCACAAGUAGGUGAAGGUUUAGAGAGAAACAGGUUUGGUGGUAUGGUUAAAAGGGUGUACACAUGGGUAUGGUAGAACGUGGUUAUUGUGGGAUCCUCCCUAAAAAGUGCCACGUGGCUCUCUCUCUCUCCCUUGCACACGCAGACGACCCCCUUAUGACGCACAGCAUCGCUCAUUCCACCCGGAUGGAAAUUCUCACUCAGUCCACCCGGAUAUCUCACGGCCGCAAUUAUAUUCGACCGACGUUCCACCUCGUUCGGAUAUCUCACAUCCGAAUCCGUCGAUAUUCUACCUUAUCUGGAUAUCUCACAUCCGAAUCCGGCCGACGGUCCACCUCAUCUGGAUAUCUCACAUCCGGAUCCGGCCGACGUUCCACCUUCUCCGGAUAUUUCACAUCCGGCGCCUACCGCCGGAUGGGAGAGGAGGACGAUUCAACUUCCUCGGACAGACAUGUCCGGAUACUCUGGUGACGCUUACCCGGACAGAUUGGCUCGUCAGACGCUCGCAAUUCGCCGGAUCCAUUUCCGCCCUCAAUCAAAAAGCAAACUCAUAUAAUAUUGACGACCAAGUCUCCUGAACUGUCACUCAUCUUCAAUGCAAGAUAAGCUCGACAGGAUAUUCCCAAAUCUUAUCAGAGUGCCUGACACAUUCCCGAUAUUUAAAGAGGCAAGAUAUUCCUAAAUCUUAUCAAAGUGCCUGACACAUCCCCGAUAUUUAAUGUCAUAAUUGAAGUGGCAGCCGCCACCUGGCACCAGAAAUGUCAUGAUUGCUUUGCCACCUUAUGAGCCGCAAUCAUGACGAUGGGACCCGCUAGCACAGCGAGGCCAUACUUUCUGACACUAUAUAAAAUGGCCUUCACACAAGGAGAAAGGUAGGCUAACUAUCCCUGACAAAGCCUGAUAACUUGAUCUCUUGAGCCAUGGCUAACAAAACCAUCGGAGGGUGUGUCCGGACAUCCUGUCCGGGCAUCUUUUUGCAGGAGGAAUGAGGAAUUACUACUAUGCGUUGAUCGAGAUUCCGUUGCUGGUAACUACUAUUGUAGCAGGGGAAUUUUUCCAUCAACAGUUAUGAGCAGCAUGAAGGAUGGGUAUGGGUUGUAUGGAUAUGGAAGCUUGGGUGAGUGGUUUUAAUGGGUAUGUGAAGGAGCGAAGGAUAGCAUGCACCCGUGAGACUCCAUGUAAGUGAGGGAGUGGGAUGGAGAAUGAAUGAGAGGAAAAUGGGUGUGGUGGAGGAUGCUUGAUUCCUGCAAGCUAACGAAUCUCCUCUCCAGAAAAUGCCAAGAAUAGAGGGGAAGAGCGAAGAAAAAAAAGGAAAAGAACAAACAAAAAAAACUAGGAAGAAGAACAGAGCAAUGUAUAAGGGGAGAUAACACCACUAAAACCAAGUUCUGCAUCACGAAGACCAAAAGAGCUUUCAAAAGAGUCUGGUGGGAGGAUCUCGAUGAACUUAACACACAAACACAAAAUACCCAACAUGUAGCUCAUACGGGAGAAAACAAAGAUCAAAUAAACAAAAGUCAAAAACAGGUUUGCCUCCUUAGGUAAUCAAAGCAAACAUCUCAAUAUCAGCAAGGAACCUAAGGCGAUCCUCAAAAAUAAGAUAAGAUAAAGUAAGAGAUAAUCAAACCUGACUGGUUCUUCUUCUACCUCUCUCCACCCAAAAAAAAACGCUUUCCUCCUUCCCCCUUUUUCUCUUCCUCCCCCCUAUUCACCGGUUAGCAAGCAUGGCUUGCCCAACCACUCUCUCUACAAUGCUGUCACCUCCAACGAUCUCUGCAGCAGCCACCUUUCCUGCACCACACCUUCUGCAACCAUCUUUCCUUCUCUCUCAUCUGCGCCCCUUGACGGCCUGCGGGACCUCUUUCCAGGAAGUUCCUCCACGUGUCAAAGUCCUACUACAGCUUCAAAAAGCGAGGUUGAUUCCUUAUGGCCACUAAGGAUGUGACACAUGGCCCGUUGGGAUAGUGACACUUGGAAAAAUUGAGCUGCUGAAAAACGAGCCCCAAAUGGGGGUCUACAAUGAUGUUUAUUAUUUCUCAUUUUAUUUUGGAAAUAAUGUAAACACUCACAUGCGUGUGUGUGUGUGUGUGUGUGUGUGUGUGUGUGUGUAUAAUAUUAAUCAAGAAGACAAUAUUUCUAGUAAUGGGCAUAAUUAAAGUCUUCAAGAUAUUCAAUCCAUUCCAAAAUUACCUAAUUGCUUCCCACACUAAUCCUAAAUAUUUUUAAAUAAAGAUUUAAAUAUUGAAAACUAUUAAAAUAAAUAUUUUCUUAUUAAAGCGAUUUUUUAAAAGUAAUAAGAUAAAAAUCAUGAAAUCUUCAAACCUCUAAUUCCAAUAAAUAUUUUGAUUCUAAUUUUAUUUCUUAUGUAUUAAUUUUUGUAGGGAAGGUGUUAAUGACAUAGUUUGGUAUAAAAAAAAAAAUCCUAUCAAUAUUCGUCUUAAUGUCAAACUCAAGUUGUUUAAAAAUCAUACAAAACCUAUUAGGAGUCUUGUACACCAUUGUAUACUUGACACAUUUCCCCUUAUACAAUUAAUGUAAUACUUUUGUAUAGUGACACAAAUUUCAUAUCCUUCCUAAAUUAUGUGUCCAUGUAGGUGUGUUAACUAUGUUUUCAAUGGUUUUGUUGAAAAAAUGGUGGAUGACUUAGGGUAAAAAAAUUUUCCCGAAUAUCAUUAUUGGGGAAAAUAUUGGAAUUUUCAUGUGAAAGUUAAAUAAAGUGUAUGACAUAGGUAUACGACCCUUGGGUGACAAGAAAAAUAAAGGAGUUGUUAAGAAUCAAUUGAAAUAUUUUACAAAGGAUGGUUUUGUACACUCUUAUACACUUAGUAUAUUUCCCUUGUACAGUUAGUAUAAUACCCUUGUACAAUGGCACAAAUUUCAUAUCCCUUGUAAGUUAUGUGUCCAUAUAGUAUGUUUAAUCAUAUUUCCAAUGGUUUAAUUGAGAAAAUGGUGGAUGAUUUAUGAUCAAAAUUUUUUCCCCAAAUAUCAUUACUAGGGAAAAUUUUGGACAUGUGUGUUUAAUUAUAUUUCCAAUGGUUUAGUUGAUAAAAUGGUGGAUGACUUAAGAUCAAAUUUUUUUCCCCAAAUAUCAUUACUGAGGAAAGUAUUGAAAUUUCCAUGUGUGUUUAAUCAUAUUUCCAAUGGUUUAGUUGAGAAAAUGAUGGAUGACUUAGGAUCAAUUUUUUUUUCCCCAAGUAUCAUUAUUGGGAAAGUUAUUGGAAUUUCCAUAUGAGAAUUAAAUAAAGUGCAUAACAUAUGUGUACAAUUCAUGGAUGAUAAGAAAAAUAAAAGAAUGGUUUAGAAUCGAUUGAAAUCUUUCAUAAAGAGUAGUCUUGUACACCCUUGUACACUUAAUAUAUUUUCCUUAUACAAUUAGUGUAAUACCAUUGUACAAUGACAAUAAAUGAAAUUUAAUUCUUUUUAUUAAUUUCAUAUAGAAAAAAUAGUACUAAACAAGGUUUUCAUUUUUUUUAAUUAAAUGUAUCUUCAAAAAGAGACAAUAUAAAAAUAAAAAUCAUUUUUAAAAAUAAAAAAUAAAAAAUAAAAACUAGAAAAAUAUUUUUAAAACAAACUCAAACAUAAUCUAUAUAAUUUUUAACUACUUGUUUUCAUCUAAAAUGAGUAAAUAUACCUUUCAACCCUUUUAUAUAAGAAAAAUUCAAUGUCUACUAGGUAUAGAUAUACACUUCUAAAAUUAGGUCAUACAAAAACAUUUUAAUUGGGUAUCUAAAAUAAAAACUAUCCAUCCAUCAUUUUUCUUUCCUUUUCUUUUUCUUAUUUUAAUAAAUUUUCAAUUAAUUUAAAUCAUUAAAAAAAUCCUUAGUAAACAAAUUUGCAACAUUUCAUAUAACUUAUUAUUAAAAGUCAUGUUCAAAAAAUUAUUAAAAUAAGGAAGAAAGAAGAUUAAAAAAAAAAAAUAAACUUUUUAUUUUAUAAUAGUAAAAAAAAACUUUAAAAUACUUUUUAGUAUAAAAGAAAAGAAAAUAGUGAAUAUAUUUAUUUUAAAUAGUGUUUUAAUCAUUAAAUUAUUUACUUCUAAAAUGUAAAAUAUAAUUUUUAUUUAUUUAAAUUAAUAUUUUUUUAAAAAGUAUUUUCCAAAAUAGUAUUUGAAUCAUUAGUAUAAUUUUUGUUUAUUUAUAAUUUAAAAAUAGAAAAUAAUAUUGAUUUUUCAAUAAUUUGUGUAAGAGUUUAAAAAAAUAAUGAAAAAUUUAAAAAUGGUUAAAUAAAAGAGAAUUUGCUAGUAAUGACAUGUGAAGAGUGGUAGAAUAAAGACAAAAAUGAGUUAAAGGGUAGUUUUGUCAAUUACUAUCUCAUAUCCUUGUAAUCAAUUAUGGAUAGUUGGAGUACCUUACCUUAAUUAUCAAAUCCAAGUGGGUUGAAAACACAAUUCUCUCAUUCUUGUUUUCUAUCUGUUAUCAUAUACAAUCAUGAAAUGAUUUGGAUGAUUUGUUUAUCAUCUGGGGUACUAAUCUUCUAUUAUAGUUUGCUUCCAUUCGAUGAAGACUCUUCUGUAACUAGCAUUAAUGUGUCAUGAUUAGAUUUAUUCUUUGAGUGGUGGCUGAGAGUGGGAUCAAAACAUUUCCUCACAUACUUUGGAAGCUCUUGAAGAACAAACACACCUUAAAGCUCUUCUAAACACAAGCUUCAGCAGCAUCAAUGGCUCCUUCGCCUGGAUGUAUGCUGUUAGGUUUAACAUCUAGCUUUUGAUGCUGUGAGUUAAUUUUUAUGAAUGCUCUACAUGUCUUACAAUCCACAGUUUGAUUUCUCAUCGCAAUGAGUUAGUUUUGAUUAUUGGAUUUUAUUACUAUCUUGUCAAGUCGGCCUCUCAGUAUUUUGAAGAAUCUGAAAUAAAUAACCCUUAUAUAUAUAUGUGUGUGUGUGUGUGUGUGUGUGUGUGUGUCUUUUUGAAUUCUUCACGUUCACUGUGGACUCCUUCCAGUAUAUAUAAAAUGUGAGUGUUUUAUUCUUUUUUUUUUUUUUUUUCAAUUAGCUUGCUCUUAUGUUGAAAUUUCAAAAUCACCAUUCAAAUUUGAAAUGGUCCUUCAACAGCCAGUUGUUUUCAAAUGGUCAUAACUUUUUUGUUUUUCGACUUUGAUUUAUGCACCAUUUGAAGCAUGGAACUCUUGACUUCUUGAGCUUCAAAAUCAUGUGUCUUGCCCUAAACAGAUUACGAGAAGAUCAAAGGUUUCUAGAGUCUCACCCGAUCUUUGUAAAUUCAAUCUUGUAUAGAGUAUUAGGUCCAAUCUCAUUAUUCUUCUUCCAAAUGUGGAUUCCCUAUCAUGAGUUUUUCAAGACCAUGUUGGUGAUGUACCAAUCUUUGAUUGGGUGGCAUUGCAUUAGAAUCCUUUAAAAAUCUACCAUUUUUUCCUUUCAACAUCCUUUUCAUUGAGGACUUUAAUAUUGUGUCAACAAGUCCUCCAAGGUACUUGAUGCGACUCAUGGUAGCUUAGCUUUAAAGGCGUAUCAACAAAAUUUAUACCUUGAAUACUAUUACUAAAGUAGCCAAGCUACUAUAGCAUAGUGGUUCUAGGAUCGUUCACUGGGAAGGGUUUUCGCAAACACAAGUGAUAUUCAAAUUAGGAAAAUAGGUGAUUUUCUUAUGGAUGUUAGCUUUAAAAGAAGAUGUAAAUGUUUUAGAAAGAUUUAAACUAAUCUAAGCUAACAUUAAAGACUAAAAUGAAAGGGUGUAAAAACAAGUUUCUCAAAAAUAGGAUAGCUAUGCUCUGGCUCUUAUGCAAAUUGGAAAUCUCAGGAUAGGCUCCUCGCGUUGGGGUUGCAACUAUGGUGAUGCUUGCUUCCCGAACCGGUAUGGAUUUAGCAAAUCAAGUUUUAAUCCUUUAAAAUGGCAAAACAGAUGGUAGUGAAUUUCAUCAAUGGUUAUUCACCUUAGACUUCCUUUGAAUGGCUCGUAAGAGAUAACUAAUGGUCUAAAGCCAAAAGCUUACCAAAUAUUGGCAACUCAAAGUCAUUCCAUGUGAUAAACUCACCUUUCAAUGGCCAUUGAAAUUGGUUCUAACAGAUUAAUGCAAAACUUGGAAUUGAAAACCUCACCUUCCAAUAGCUCAUAGGAGAUAACUAAUGGAUAGAAAUCCAAAAGCUUAUCAAGUAUUGGCCAUUGGAAGUUGUCCAAAGGAAAUAAAAACCAAACUUUGCAUUAAUGAACCUUUAAUGAAAAACGACUACCUUACUUUCCAGGUGCGAGAAAUUUCCAUGGGAUUGCAUCCAAGUCAUCACAUAACAUCCAUACUUUGAGAAACUAAAAGUUUUAGCCAAUCAUCCUCUGAGGAAAAGCCCUCAGAGGCUGUUUGGCUUCCAAGAAAAUAAAAUAGUAAAGAGAAAAGAGAAACGAGAGAGCUCUCUGUAAAACGUAACACGCAUGUUCUAUAUCUUCCAAGAGGUGAUUUCCACCCCUUAUAUAGUCUUUACAAAAGCAAAAGCUUGUGAUUGGUUAGUUACAAGGAUAAGAAAGGAAAUUACAUCAAAAAAUACAUAGGAAAAUAUCUAAAGUGGAGUCGGCAAAAACAGAGGAAAAUUCGCACCACGCAUGGGCUGUGCGAAUUUGGAAGGUGUUGUGCGAAAUUUUCGCACAAGCCUGGAGCAGUUGUCUUCCAAACGCCAUAUCUUCCUCAUUUCAGCUCCAAAUCGUACACGGUUUGAAGAGUUGGAUUCUUGACUUCCUAAGCUUUCAAAUGGUAUAUAGUAUGCAAAAAAUGUACUUCAGGAAGUGCUUCAAAAGUUCGAAAGAAGACUGCAGCUGUUUUCUUCACUCUGUUUUCCUCUUCUCCAUUGCUUGUGCUCGUGUUUCCACUUGAAAUUCAAGCCUGUAAUCAUCCAAAAUCCUUGCUUAACUCGCCCAAAUAGCUCCUCCAUCAAUUGGCAUGCUUGAAUUGGUUCAUAAGCUGAUAAAAACAUGUAAACUUGCCACAAAAUGGUUAAAACCAAUUACUAAGGACCUUAAUGAAUUAAUUGGGUUAAAUGAAUAUGAUUACUACUCAAAGGUGCUUAAAACCAUUAUUAUUAGGUCUACAAAAUAGCACUUUUUGGUAGUAAUCACACCCCCCAACCGACUCAUUGCUAGUCCCUUAGCAAUGGAGGAGAUAAAAACUAAGUAAACUAUAAUAAUAUACAUAAAAGGGAUCAUGCAAAUCACUCCAAAAAAUGAUAUGAGUGGCAUGAUGGACAUCCAUGGAUCAAUAAAGAUGUGAAACUCAACCUAUAAUAAGAGUUGUCAAAGCAUUCACUUGAUCAUAGAGUACAAAGAAUGGAUAUUAUGCAAGUUUAAGCAUCAAAAGAAUUUCCACUCUCAAAAGAUCCAAAUCAAAUUCUUCCACUAAAAGCUAAGUGUUAAUGUGAUUAGCUUCCGAGUAUAGUAUGGAUAACUAUCAUCUCCCCCCAACCUAAGUCUUUCUUUAAGCUUAGCAAAAUUAACCAUCUCUUGAUAGGCUAGGAACGCACCUCUUAUUCACAAUUCUUUUCACUUACUAAACUUAACCAAUUCACCCAUGUAACAAGCAGAGGAUCGGUGACUCCCAACCAAUAAAGGCUUAGGGCACCAAGCUUUAAAGGCUUUCGCCACCCCUUCGGACCAUGCUCAGGUUUCAAGGCAAGUAAAGAAGUUUAUUCUAUAUUUUUUUUUCUUUUUCUUUUUCGUUUUCUUUUUCUAUUUUUUCAAAGACUCAUUGGUCUUUAUGAGGUGUCCCAACACUAUUAAAGAGAGGUUAAAGGUGUCAAAUUAUGAUUUCUCAAGCUUAGAGGGUGAGAUAGUUUCACAUCUUAUAACCGGAAUCUAAUGUAUGUGUGUGCGAAUAGCUUAAGGUGGAAGAGAUAAGUUUGCAUGCAAUGGGAGUUUCAACCAUUCAUCAACUUUUAGAAGAGCAUAAUACAAACUCUAAGACUCAUGUAAUCAAGUUGAAACUCGACUUCUCUCAUUUAAUUUUGAGAGUUAAUCCUUAAUAUCCAUGGAGUUUAAAGCAAAAAGUUUAAAAUUUUAAAAAAAUAGCUAAUUUAACUAAGUAUGAUAAAAAUUUAAACUAAUACUUACUUCCUCAUCUCUCCCCCCAACCGAGAUGAACAUUGUCCUCAAUGUUUGAAUCGAAAAUAAGGAGGAAGGAAGUGGUACCUCAUGUGAUGUGGACUUGGAGUUGAGAAGGUUGAACACCUGUUUCAAAAUUCAAAAAUUGAAUGAGAGGGGAAUUUAUACUAAAUAUUUACAAAAAUGAUGAGUGGGCCCCACUUUGAGCAGCUGAGGACAAGGCUCAAAGGGUCCAUGCCAUGAUGGUAUACUCAUUUAAGUUGCAAUGACAUUUGAAUGUAGCUUGCAGGGGUGUUAAAAUUGGAGAUUUUUGGCUAAAACAGGGGAAAACAAAGGAGGAGUGAACAGUGAGUGCCAAAAUUGGCACAGUCACUGUUCACCUCCUUUGAAGCCCGACUGUGUGUUUUCCAAGUUUUGGGAAAAAAUUCAAAAAUGGUUUUUUAAAAGGUAUGGUUAGGCUCUAAACAAGAUUCCUAAGGUGUUUGGGUAGUUUUUAAAUGAUGAAAAACAAAAUUAAAUGAUGGAAAAUGAAAAUCAAAGUGGACGGCCAUGCAUGGAAUGGUUUUGAAAUUUGAUUUUUAAAAAGUUUUGGAUGUAUGGGAUUUCUAAAAUUGGGUUCCUAAGGCUUAGAAUGGAUGAAGGGAAGGUUUCUAAUGGGAGAAAACUAGAAAAUUGGUGAAGGGUGGAGAAUUAAGAAUGGUGGUGUGCAGCUAUGGAGGUUGUGGAAGAAGGUGAAUAGUAUUUUUGGCUUAGAAUGGUGUUUGUUUUUGGAAGAAAUUGGGUUUGGAUUUGAAAACAAAAGGUUUGGAAAUGCAUUCAUGAAUUUUUAAACUUGGAAAAACAUGGAAUUCAAGAAAAAGGCCUUCCCGAGAGCUUUGUUUUUAGAAAUUAGCUUGAAAAUCAUUUCGCACCAAGAUAAACAAGGUGCGAAAGUUUUCACACUGGUAAUUGAGGUGCAAAGAUAGCAUCCCGGGAGGCUUGGCUUUCCAAAAUGUAUAGAAAUUCCUUUUCGCACCAUGCACUGUCACUGUGCGAAAAAUUCGCACUGAGUGUGUUCAUGGUGCGAAAUUCCACUGAGAGCUUUGCUUAUGCAUUUUGGCUCCCCUGUUUCCUCUGUUUCACCUCCAUUUCGAUUUUUGCAAGCAUCGUACCUGCAUGAACACUUCAAAACUCAUCUUAAAAACAUAUUAAAACUAAAUUAAAGCUAAGAAUUCAAACUAAAAUAUGCAUAAAUUUAAAGAAAGCAUAGAAUUUAAAUGAAGCUGAUAACAUGUACCCCAAAAAGAAGAUGAACUAUUUAGCUCAUCCUCACUCACACACCCACUUCAUGCUGAAUUCCCCCUGGAUCCCAAACAAAAUUGGCAUCCUUCCCAUUUGGUCCAAGGGAAUUCAUUUCUCUUCUCUUCCCUGGAGAAGUGGAUGCUUUAAAGGGUUCAGGUAACCCUUUAUCAUCUUGAACCUUAUGAUUUUCAAUGGAAGGUUGGUCCAUAGAGUUGUCAUAGCAAUCCCCCACCAAAGUGUCGAUCUUCAACACUUUCCUUGAUCUUUUUGCAUUGGUUCCUUGAAGGUUAUGGUGGGGUUGAGAAGGAAGCUUCCUUUUCCCCCUUGCUAUGUCGAGAUUGGUGAGCUUCUCAAUGGAGUCUUGAACUUUUUCUAUCCUUAGUGAUAGAUCAUUAUAAACCCCCUCCAUUCUUACAUUUAUUGAACUCUCCAAAUUAUCAAUCUUUUCAUUAAGAUGAGAGUUGAUCUUUUGUUGCUCACCUACAAAGUCCUCCAUGACUUUGCUUAUCUUCAAAAUGGCUUGCUCCAAUGAAGAUGUACUCAUUGAUGGUUGAGGUUGAGGUUGGCUUGUAAGGUUGGGAUGGUUAUUCCAACUUGAGGUGUAGGAGCUUUGGUAACCGUACAUGUCUCUCACAGUUGGAAUGGUAGGGCACUCCCCUACCGUAUGCUCAUAUGAAUCAUCUCCAUUCAAAGCAUACUUACUACCCCAUUGGCUUUGUUGAACUUGCCUUUUCCCCAAUUCAAUCUGAUCCCUCAUGGAUAGGUAUGCGAAUUUGUCCUUCUCAUGAUCAUAAUGAGAGCUUUGAUCUUCAUGUGGAAUUUCCAUUUCUAAAAAAAAAUGAUAUUCAACUAAGGCUCUUUUCUUCAACUUGUACCAGGGUUCCCUCUUGGUCUCGAAUCCAACAAGGAAUGCACAAAUUGAAAUUAAAACAAAAAUAAAAGAAAAGAGAAUAAAAAAUUUAACUAAAUAAAAACUAAACUAAAAAAAAAUUAUAAGAAAACUCACCAAACUUGUGAUGAAGAUCACAAGUUACCCUUAAUGGUUGCUUCACUGUGCUUGUGGCACCUUCCCCGGCAACGGCGCCAUUUGAUUCGACUCUAACUCCAGUCGGGUCAUUUAAUCAAAAACAUUUAUAAAACCUAUGACCUCAUACUAGCGUAGCAAAGCUACUAUCCCCGGCAACGGCGCCAUUUGAUUCGACUCAUGGUAGCUUAGCUUUAAAGGCGUAUCAACAAAAUUUAUACCUUGAAUACUAUUACUAAAGUAGCCAAGCUACUAUAGCAUAGUGGUUCUAGGAUCGUUCACUGGGAAGGGUUUUCGCAAACACAAGUGAUAUUCAAAUUAGGAAAAUAGAUGAUUUUCUUAUGGAUGUUAGCUUUAAAAGAAGAUGUAAAUGUUUUAGAAAGAUUUAAACUAAUCUAAGCUAACAUUAAAGACUAAAAUGAAAGGGUGUAAAAACAAGUUUCUCAAAGAUAGGAUAGCUAUGCUCUGGCUCUUAUGCAAAUUGGAAAUCUCAGGAUAGGCUCCUCGCGUUGGGGUUGCAACUAUGGUGAUGCUUGCUUCCCGAACCGAUAUAGAUUUAGCAAAUCAAGUUUUAAUCCUUUAAAAUGGCAAAACAGAUGGUAGUGAAUUUCAUCAAUGGUUAUUCACCUUAGACUUCCUUUGAAUGACUCGUAAGAGAUAACUAAUGGUCUAAAGCCAAAAGCUUACCAAAUAUUGGCAAUUCAAAGUCAUUCCAGGUGAUAAACUCACCUUUCAAUGGCCAUUGAAAUUGGUUCUAACAGAUUAAUGCAAAACUUGGAAUUGAAAACCUCACCUUCCAAUAGCUCGUAGGAGAUAACUAAUGGAUAGAAAUCCAAAAGCUUAUCAAGUAUUGGCCAUUGAAAGUUGUCCAAAGGAAAUAAAAACCAAACUUUGCAUUAAUGAACCUUUAAUGAAAAACGACUACCUUACUUUCCAGGUGCGAGAAAUUUCCAUGGGAUUGCAUCCAAGUCAUCACAUAACAUCCAUAUUUUGAGAAACUAAGAGUUUUAGCCAAUCAUCCUCUGAGGAAAAGCCCUCAGAGGCUGUUUGGCUUCCAAGAAAAUAAAAUAGUAAAGAGAAAAGAGAAACGAGAGAGCUCUCUGUAAAACGUAACACGCAUGUUCUAUAUCUUCCAAGAGGUGAUUUCCACCCCUUAUAUAGUCUUUACAAAAGCAAAAGCUUGUGAUUGGUUAGUUACAAGGAUAAGAAAGGAAAUUACAUCAAAAAAUACAUAGGAAAAUAUCUAAAGUGGAGUCGGAAAAAACAGAGGAAAAUUCGCACCACGCAUGGGCUGUGCUAAUUUGGAAGGUGUUGUGCGAAAUUUUCGCACAAGCCUGGAGCAGUUGUCUUCCAAACGCCAUAUCUUCCUUAUUUCAGCUCCAAAUCGUACACGGUUUGAAGCGUUGGAUUCUUGACUUCCUAAGCUUUCAAAUGGUAUAUAGUAUGCAAAAAAUGGGCUUCAGGAAGUGCUUCAAAAGUUCGAAAGAAGACUGCAGCUGUUUUCUUCACUCUGUUUUCCUCUUCUCCAUUGCUUGUGCUCGUGUUUCCACUUGAAAUUCAAGCCUAUAAUCAUCCAAAAUCCUUGCUUAACUCGCCCAAAUAGCUCCUCCAUCAAUUGGCAUGCUUGAAUUGGUUCAUAAGCUGAUAAAAACAUGUAAACUUGCCACAAAAUGGUUAAAACCAAUUACUAAGGACCUUAAUGAAUUAAUUGGGUUAAAUGAAUAUGAUUACUACUCAAAGGUGCUUAAAACCAUUAUUAUUAGGUCUACAAAAUAGCACUUUUUGGUAGUAAUCAGUACUCCAUGUGUGUCUUAUUGGGACGCUAUUGCUAAUUUAGUAAAGUGUUUUCAUCAUCGAUUUAGGCAACUUUGAGUACAAGGAAGAAACGAUCUAUGCUCAUGGAAUUGGGAACCAUGGAAGGAUUGGAUACCCAACUCAAUAUCUAAUUCACUAGAGAUCAACCUUCCAUUGCUCAUUGUAAAGUUGGGCAAUUAGUUAUAUUUAUUUUCAUAUGAUUUUGCAUGCUUAUCUUUGUAAGUUUACUUCAAAUGUCCUACUUUGGAUUUUAUAGGAACACAUUAUCUAUGAUGGAGAAAGCAUGAAAGAUUCAAAAAUAGAAGAUACUCAUUUUGGGAAUUGUUGCAAGCUAUGAAGGAAUGAGAGUGAUGAUUAUGCAUUAUGGUAGAUUUAUGAAUGAUGAUAAAAAUUUCUCAUUAUUUGGUGCUUGUUAAUUUGAUGAAAUAACAUUCUCAUUGAAGGACUGCAUCAGAUCAUUAUAGUGAAGGAUGACUCUUGACAGUAGAGUUGGAAUCUUUUUAUUUAUUAAGUGAAUUUGUUCCCAAUUGUUGACAUGGUUUGAAAGGAUUGGUAAUUGGCCUUGCACAUCCUGCAUUGUUUUAGUCAUUCUUUAGAGAAAUGUAUAUAUACUUUUGCAUUCUUAAAAUUUAUUUAUUUGUUAUUUAAGCAGACCAUUCUUAAACUAGUGGCUUCUUUUUAUACUAGUCAUAUAGGGCUGCACAAUGGAUCUGGGUUCUUGGAAGUUAUAUCAAAGUGAGUGUUCUUUUGUUGGUUAUCUUUUAUUUUGUCUAUUGUCUAUGGGUUGUUUCCUUUUUCAUAGCUUAAUUUUUUUAUUUCUCAUGUUGGAGCAUUUUCUUGUUGAUCUCUUCUUGUGUUUUUUUUUAUAAGUUGCAGAAUCAUUUGUUAUCUAUGUUGGGUGUAUAACUUAAUCCCUUUUAAGAAAAAGAACUCUCUACUUCUUUAUGAAAUUUAUGAUAAUGUCAUCUUUAAAUAUAAUAGUUAAUAUUGAGUUCUUUUGAUUGGGUGCUUCAUAUUGAAGAUUGAAAAGUCAAAACUUGUCAUUUUAACUAGUGAUCUAAUCUAUUCUCAACAAGAGCAAGAUAUUUAUAGUCCUGCUAUAAGUGACCAACAUUCUAAUAUUGUGAAUAAUUCUUGUAUAUUCUCUUACGGUUUCCCAUCUAAGGUUUUGUUUUGCGAAUUUCUUCGAAAUUAUUUUCAUAUUUGAGUUUGUGUUUUCCUUUUUCACCUUGAUAUUUUCAUACUCUCUAAAUUGUUCAUCCAUCCGCAUGGAAUAGAAGUCAUUCUGGAUUUACUAAUGAAGAGAGAUAAUCAUUUGAGAUGAACUUCUUCUCUAAGGGUUUUGUGGAUAACUUUCGAAAGCAACACCCUAGUGUUGUUGGCUAUAUUGAUGAAGAGAGGUAAUCAUUUGAGGUGAACUUCUUCUCUAAGGGUUUUGUGGAUGCCUUUCGAAAGCAACACCCUAAUGUCGUUGGCAAAUCUAAUAAAAGUAUUCUACAAUUUGUGUUCCUCGAUUUUCUCCUUUAAUGCUUUUCUUGUAUUGUUUAAUAAAAUGGAGGGAAUGGGAAUAGAAAACCUUGGGUUGUGAAUUCAUGUGGGUGCAACCGUUAUUUUACAUUAUUAAGUGGCCUCGUUGAUGGGAGGAAAUGGAAAGGUGAACAAGACAUUUGUUAAAGAAAGUCAUGAAAUUAAAGUCGAGAAAAUCCAAGUUCACAAAGGUAGAACUUGAAUAACGUGCUAUUAAGGUUUCAGAGUUUCAUAAAUCUUAUGAGGUUUGUAUUCUAUGAUUCCAAAUCAAUGACACUAUGCUACCACUUAUAUUGUCAUUUUAUGUAAACAUGAUCUUAUGUCUACAUUGAAAUCUUUCUUGGACAAUAAAGUCAUUGGUAUCUCAUUUUAUAUUCUUAAUGGUGCUUUAUCUGCUUUCAAAUAUGGUAGAACUCCAAAGUUAGAACUCUAAAGUUCCAAUUUUAUUUUUAUUGUUUCUAUUCCUCCAUCCUCUCAGCAACCAAAAGAAGUGUCCAUGUAAGUAUUAAUUUGCAUUAUUUAAGAGUUUCUUGUAUGUAUGUGAAAGUUUUCAAGUAGUAGAACUAGUAUUUUGCAUUGAAAAUAUAUCAUCAAGAGGAAGGCUAAUAAUUUAUUAGUUGAAGAGUAUGCUCAAAAUGUCAACAGUGUUUCAGAUGCUUUUGGGUUAAGACAAGUAAGAGAAUGGCAAAGCAAUAUCCAAUUGAAGCUAAAAUUGUUGAAGUCAAUAAUGAAAUUGUCACUGACAAAGAGAAGUUAUCAAUCAAAACUGAGAAGGUCAAGUAAUUUGCAACAUAUAUAUCUUUUUAUUCCAAUGAUUCUUAUGUGUCAUUUAUAUUUGUUUCUACAAUUGUUGAACUUUUUCAAAUAGAGACACAUACUCACUCAAUGAGUUCACCAUAAAAAUGUGUUUUUGUUAUUAACUUGAGUUCAAUUGAUUUAACUAAGAGGAUGUCACUGUCUUGUGGUUAUCACUACUAGGCAACAAACUCUAUUAGGGGAAGUGAAAAACAUCCUCGAGGAUUAGUAUUGAACAAAUUGGAGUUGUUGAAAGAACGUUAUAUCUAUGAAUGAACUUGAACGUGGACUAUUCUUGCCCAUUAGAAGCCUAAAAAACUUUGGAUUCCAUAUAACUCCAAGACCAUGAGACCUCCUCUUCUUACUGGGAAUACAAUGUCGUUUGUGAACAAAUGUUUAAUUUAGGUUUCAAAUAGUUCAUAAUAGCUUUAGAAUGAAAUUGGAUUGAAAGUGGAAAAGAUAAAUUUUCCAUAAUUGAAGUGAAAACUAAUUUGGAGUUAUUUUAGGGAAUGAUGCAGGUUAUGAAGGAAUGAGAGUGACAAUUACAUGUUGUAGUAGAUUAUGAAUGUUGCAAGCUUUUUCCAAAAAAUGUCACCAAUGACUUGUUGAUGCCUUCAUUAUCCCAAUUCCUCACUGUAUUGGCAUUCAAAAUAUUUACUUGUGAAGAGGUGUGUUAGGUAUUUUUUAAUUGCUAUUGCACCUUAUUUAAGCUUUGUGCACUUUAAAUCGGGUAUGAAUGUGCCACUAGUGUUCUCUUUUCUUAAGAAUUCUAUGAGUGUGACUUUAAUUUUAUUUUUCUUUGUUGUUUCAUAUAUAUAUAUAUAUAUAUAUAUAUGUAUGUGUGUGUGUGUGUGUGUGUGUGUGUGUGUGUGUGUGUGUGUGUGUGUGUGUGUGUGGCAGUGAAAAUAGUUUCCAUUUGGAGGUGGAAGUUGCUAUUAUGAAAAUUGGUCUUGAAGGAAAGAAGGAUUUAAAAAAUGUGGUAUAUAUCUACCCACAAAGUCACCUAGAUUGACUAAUGAGGAGUUAAUCAUUAUCCAAGAAAAGCUUAAAAAGAAACAAAAAUUAUAUUCUUCUCCUUGGCUUGUUUUUGAACCAAUUGUAGAAAAUUAAGUUGAGAAUGAAUUUCAUUGUCAUGGAAUUUGGUGAUAAAACUCAAGUAGAUCAAAGAACCUAUUGUUUGUGGCAUUGCUUCUCUAAGGAAGGAUCACACUAAGACCUUGGGUGAAUUCUUUUUUGGAAACCUCACCAUUCUCAACAAUUGUUCUCUAAUUUUAUUUACUAUUGUAUAUUUGUGUUUCAUCUAUAGUGCAUUCAUAAUCUUCCAUGGGAUGCUCUAUAUGUAAUGUAUUUGUUUGUUGGUCUUAAAUUUGACUUUUAUGCGCUUUUCUUGAGCUCUCUAUCUCUCUUACUCACACACACACACAAUGGAAGUUGUAUUUAUGAGAGAAUAAAGAAGGGUUUUUCCAUUUUGAGUUGGUGUAUUUACGGUUUACCAUAAUGAUAUGUAGAAGAUACACUUGUAAAGAGAGCUUUCCUUAAAUCUUGAAUUUUUCAAGUUUUAGCACUCUUCUAUAGGCAAUCUAAAUGAGAAUGAAUAUGUUUUCUUUAGUAAUGAUUAAUUCGUUGCAAUGUUUUUCUUUUUAAGCAUUCGAAUUGGCAAUUUUCAUUUCUAAGUGUUUAUCUAAUUUGGGUUGAUUUCUUUCCUACUCCUAGCCUCAAAUUCUUGCAUUCGUGAUACCUUUACUUUUUGAAGCAAUGUAUAUUCUUUCAUUAGAGAUCCCAUUAGUGGUAACAUCAUCUUCCUUGUUUGUGAUAAUCAUGCUAUAAACAUAUGAUAAGAUUUAUUUAAUUUUGGUCAUUUUAUUUUAUUUUUUGUUUAGAAGGAGUUCUGAUGUAGAACAACUCUAGGAUGGUUGCCUAGGACUUUUAUCUUUUAGGGUUUAAAGAGCGGAAUAAGGUAUAAAGUUUAUGGUAACAAAAUAAAAUAUAGAAAAAGAAGAUAAAGAGAAUAAGAUAUAGAACCUUAGGCCUGUUUGGGAACUGUUUCCCAAAAUUGUUUUCUAUUCUCAAGAAUAAAAAACACCACAGAACAUGCUUGGUAACCUAAGUAAUGUUUUGUUCUUGGUGUUCUCCGUGUUCUUAAAAUCCUAUUUUCAAAUAACAUCUUUGACUUGUUUUUCCUAUUUUUGUACUAUUUAGAUAACUAAGUAAGGGGCUUAUUUUUCCUUUUUCUUCGUGUUCUCAAGUGUCCCCCCUUCAGUUUACAUCGUGAACAUCUCCACCAACAACAAAAAUAGAGAAAAACCUCUAAAAAAAAUAAUAGAAAAAUCUUUGAAAAAUCAUAGAUUCUCUCAAAAAGGAAAACUUUCAAUACCCAUGAGAUGAAGAUGAAGAAUGAACAAAUCCGAAUAAUCAACCAAUCGAGAACAAUUCCUUGGUUCCAAUAGUGUCGUUGUGGUUCGAGGCAUCUGAUUCCUCUUAUCGGCGAUGAGAUUGAAGAUCAAUGCAUUUUGCCUUCUCCUUUCUCUCUCUAUGUGGGUGAUUGGUGUGCCCUUCUCUUCUUUGCAUCUGGGUUUUGUGGGUAUGCCCUUAUCGUGCUUGUGAACGGGGAAUGAGAAGCAAGCAGGCAACCGACGAUGUAUUAUUUUAUAUGUUCAAUAUGAAUAUUAAAUAAAGCCAAAUUUAUUAUCAAAACCAUGACUUUGAAUAAUGUGUUGCACGUUGAGAAUGUCCUCAUCGACAUAUCUCUAUUGAGACAUCUAAUAUACCUUUGAUGUAUUUUCAUUAUUUACAAUUAUUUAAAGAAAUUGAAAAUCAUGCAAAUAACUUUAAAAAAUGGUACAUUUUCUUUAAAUUUUAAUGAAGAGUAAAUAUAAAAAUUAUUUAUAUUUAUAAAAUCAAAUUAACUAAAGAAAACUCUUAGUUUAAAAAAACAACUUCCAAACAUUUUUAUUAAUUUAACUAAACAUGUUUUUUUAUAACAAAAACUGUUUUCCAGAAUUCAGUUUUGAAAAUACAUUUUUUUUUUUUUUUUGUGAAAACACCAAAAAAAUUUCUUAAAAACUAUUUUUCGAAAUAGUUUCAAAAACAACAACCAAACAGACCCUUAGAGUCACAAUAAGGCAUUCUAAGAGUCUUACCUAAAAGAAAAUCAAUAGAAUAUUACCAUUAAAAAUUACAAAGUAUGCAAGAAAUGUAAUAUUAGUAAUCAUCGAUCAAUACUUUGGUUAUAUCAAUUAACCUUAUUUGUAAGCUUCUUUAAAAAAUCCAAAGUUUAUUAGGAUUCUAAUAACCUAUUAUGACUUUAAUUCUAAUUGUUUUAUAACCUAAUUAGUUACUCCUAAUUUGACUUCAAUAAAUGUUAAUCCUAAUUUACUCCAACUAAUACUAAUGCACAUCCUUACUAAUUCCUCCCAACUUGGAAAAAAAACUUAAUCUCAAGUUUUAGUGAUUUCUCUAUGGUCAAUUGAAAUAAUGAGUAAUGUCUUCCAUCAUUUCUCUAUAGUCAAUUGAAAUCAUGAGUAAUGUCUUCUACCCUUUCUCAACGAUCAAUUGAAAUUAUGAGUAAUGUCUUCCACCCUUUUUUUUCUUCGUUAAUUCCUUAUUACCAUAAGAUAGGAUUUCAAAAUCUCUUAAAAAAUUUCAAUUUCAUGCAAAACGAGUACCAAACUUUGAAAGAUUUUUCGAUGUUGUGAAAAAAGUUGAUGGUUCUUAAAAUAAUUGUGUGUCAUCAACAAGCUAGUGGUAAGUUAUAUGUCAUGCACAAGAGGACAUACUUUCAUGCACAAGUAAAUAAAAUAAAAUAAAAAAUCAUUGAGAGCAUUAUAUACUUUUGUUGGAUAUUCCUUAUCCUUAUCUUUAAAUUCAUUCACUUCUCGAGCUGUUAGAGCAAAAUAAUUUUAGUUUCCAUGUUCUCCUUUUCAAAUUGACGCAUACCUUUUUUUGUUGUACCUCAUAUGACUUUUUAACUGGUGGAACUUCUUUCUUUGGAUGAGGGAUCUUCUUAUGUGCAUUGUGUAUGAGAGUAUAUGUACUAUGUUUCGUCUUCUUUUUCUCGUUCCUAGGAAAUAGGAAUGAGAGGAGGAAGUUGUUGGUUCGCUGUGGAGAUGAGGUCGUUUAAGAUCUCCAUUGAGAAGGUUUUAGGAAAGCUGCAAGAGGUUAUUAUGGAGAGGGGAAGAGGAUUCACUAGUGGGACUAAGUUUGGGAAGACAAGUCUAAGUUGCUUCCUUGAAGGUGCAAAGGCCUGUUGUAUGUAGGAGGAAUCACUGGUUUACAAUUAGGUAUGGAAGGAAAAUGAUAGGGUUUAUAAGCUUGAGAGGCGUGUUAAUUGAGCGAGGAGGUUUCUCUUUGUGUCGUCUGUGAUGUGAAGGGAAAAAAGAUUUAAUUUGGUCUUCCCAAAAGGAAAAAGAUUAACAGGGGGAUGGGGCACAUUGGCAAGUAAGCUUUGUUCUUUGGGGAUAAGGAGCUUGUUAGCCCCUGUGAAGCUUUCUAGUUUUGUGGUGAAUAAGGGGUUGACAAAAGAUAACAAAGGGCUCUCUCUCAAGUAAGGUUUGUAUGUGGUGAAGGUUGCAAGUGCUCAAAAGAAUUUGGAUAAUAAAGUAUCGGUACGGUUAGAUAAGAAGGAAGUGUUGGAGAGAAUAGUUCCUUGGAACCUUUGUUUGGUGGGGAAGUUGGAAGGAGUGUCUAACUUGGAACCUUGGGUGCCUUAGUUAAGGAAUUGGGUGGACAAAAGGUGGAACGUUAAGAAGAAUGUUAGAAUUUCUGUCUUCAAAGUAUCUUUUUAUUGUUUUGAGUUUGAGAAUGAAGAGGAUUUGAUUGCUGUUUUGUCAAGGGGUUCAAGAAAGAUUGAAGAUAAACUCUUGGAGUUGGAGAGGUGGAGUCUUGAGGUGGGGCACUUGAGGAAGGGAGGAAUUAUUGUAGAUUAUAAUAAGAUAAGACAAAAAUAUAAAGAAAUGAAAAUUAAGAGUGCAUAAAAUGUAAAAUUGUUUACAUAGCUUGACCUUAAGCCUAGCUUCGCACCACACAAACUAAUCAUAUAUAAUAUUUUAUAUAAAAAAAUAAUCACUUAGUGAUCAUAAAAUAUAAUUAGUAUUCUAUUACAAUAAUAGUAAAAUUAAUUUUAAGAAGCUCCUUAACAAAAUGUUAAAUAGAUAUUUUGUGUUGGCAAUUUUGAUUCACAUUAUUUUUUUUAAAAAAAGUUAAUAUUUAUAGAGUUUAAAUGUGGAUAAAUUACUUUUUGAGUUUGAUUAAGAUUAAAAAACCCAUUGCUCAAGUUCAUAGGAGCCUAUAAAUAAUUGCAUUUGUAAGAAAUUUGCUUUUAGAGUAAAAAAAAAAAAAAAUGAGUCGUUAUAGUUGUCAAAGUCAUGAAAAAAAAGGUGAAAAGAGAUAGUAAAAGUGUGUAUUGUGGUUUGGAUGUUGAAUUUUUUUUCAAUAUUUUCUAACUUAAAUGGAUAGAUUUACUUGGUCAAAGCAUCAUGUAACCUAUCUCAAGAUGCAACUUCUUCUAAGUGGUGGCAGUGAUGAUGGUUUCACAUGUUGCCAAUUAGUAGGUAGAAAAUGUUCCCCCACUCAUACAAACUCUCCACUAUUUCAAUUAAUUAAAUUCACAUUUUAAACUUUAAUUUCUUUCUUUGCUUGACAUAUAUGUGCGCAUUCGAUAUGUUGAAUUAGAGGAUUCGAAGAUUCUUUAUACACUCAAGCCAAAUUUUGCAUUUCACAAAUUUAAGGAGUUCGUGUUCAAAGCAAAGAUGGUUCGUGUAUAUAUAUAAAUAAAUACUUAAAUGGAUAAUAAAUAUAUUUAUUAUUUUCUAUUUUUAAAAAUAAAAAAUAAUAAUAAAAUUCAACACAAAAUGCAAGAAGUGUUAGACAUUAUUUUAAAAGGAUGAUGAUUUUUAGAAAUUAUUUAAUUUUUUUUUUAAAUUACUUCCUCAAAUUUUAAAAUUUUAAAAUAUGAUUUUUAAGAAUAUAAGUCAAAUUCAUACUUUGGGUAAGGAUUUCUAUAUUUUAUAUAGAAGGUAUUGCAAUUUUUUGUUUUUAAAUAUAUAAAGUAAGAAGUAUAUCCAAAAGUGCUAAGUAAUUUAAUUCUUUGAAAAAGAAAUGAGAAAGUUAAUUAAAAGAAGAAUAAAAGGGGGACAAGUGUGGUUGGGGCUACCAAAAAAGGUUUUGUAAAUUGAUGAAAUUAAAGGGGUAUAUUAAAAUAAACGGUAUAAAUAUGUGCACGAUGGUAUACUCCCGCCUUCACUUUCAAGUAAUUUUAGUUUAAAAAAUAUUUUUGAAAAAAAAUUAAGUAUUUGACAAAAAUUAGUAAACACUUUUAAAAAUAUAAAAAAAUCACAUGUAAUAUUGAACAAUCAAUUCAAAUAUUUUUUAGAGAAACAUUUAAUAGAUGAUUUUUUUUUUAAAUAUUAAAAAAAAUAUUUUUAUUAAAAGCACUUUAUGCAAAAAUAUUAUUAUGACAAUGUUUCUAUUUUAAUUUUUUUUUAAUGGAAGUGUUUUCUCUUAAAGAGUUUUUAAUAAAAUUACCUAUCAAAUAUUUAUUUAGAAAAUAUUACAGGUGAUUUUUGAAUAUUACAAGUGAUUUUUUAGAUUUUUAAAAAUAUUUUCUAAAAUUUUUCAAACAUCUAAGUUUUUCUCAAAAUAUUUUUUAGACUAAAAAUAUUUUCUAAAAUCAUUAUCAAAUAUGUUUUUAUAUAUCGGUUGAAUUGAUAGUGAUUUUAGUAAACACUUUUAAUUUUUUUAAUAUUUAAAAUUUUUUAUUAUUCAAAGUGUUAUCAAGAUUAAAAACAGUUUUUAACAUGUGUUUUUUAAAGUCUGUUUGAUAAUGAUUUUAUAAAGUGUUUAUAAAUUUUUUUAGACUUUAAAAAUUAUAUCAUUUAAAUGUUAAAAAUAUUAAAAAAUAAAAUAAAAUCAUUACCAAAUAUAUUCUUAAUCUCUUCAUUAGUAAUUAAUAAUUAUGCUACUCUAAUUUAAAAUUAAAUUCAUAAAAGAACGUAAAAGUAAUAUCAAAAACCAACAUUUAAGAUCAAAUUCACAUAAAGCUAACCAAUACCACGGAGCCAAUUUUAAACCCAAUUCACGAAAGUACUUAAAUAAAAAACGGUGAAGCUUAAGCUAAUAAGUUUUCGAGGAGUUGCAGCCUAGGAGGUAGGUGUCAUUUCCAUGGAGUGGUAAAUGUACACGACAAUGGCCCAUGAGUCAUCCCGUCAAAUUUAAAGUCCCAAUAAAUUGUUGCUUUUUGGGAGGACAGAACCGAUUUCUUGGGUUUCCAGGACAGCUCUUCCAAUCCAUUCAAGUUUAAAGUAAUAUUAUUUAUUUAUAUUUACCGGAAGUUAAUGCCUAUUUUGACACUUGUUUAACAACCGAUUUUAUUUUAUUUAAAAUUUUUUUUUCUUAAAAAUAAAAAAAUGUAUUUUUAUUUAUUUUUUAAAAUUAAUUUUAAAAAAUAAUUAUAUAAAAAAUAAAAAAUAUUAAAAAUAAAAUAUUAAAUAAAAAUUAUUUUAAAAAUAUAUUUAAAAAUAUUAAAAAUAUUUUAGGUUUUCUAACAAAAUUUUAUUUUAUAAAAUGUUAAAAAAUAAUUUUUAAUUUUGUUUUCAAAAUUAUUAUUUUUUUCUCAUUAAAAUAGAUUGAUGUAUACACAUAAUUUUAAAGAAAAAAAACUCAAAUUUAAUUAAAUAAUUAUACAUUUAUCUUCUUGUACUUAUCCAAUAAAAGAAAAAAAAAAGUAUGUAAAGAAGAGAUUGUGAAGAAUACUUACAAAACGAAAGUAAAAAAAGAAAAAAAAUUAUUUAAAUAAUAAUAAUUAAUAUCAAAUAUUGGUUUUUAUCUACCAAUUUGACUUUCAAAAGUUACACGAAGAAAAUAAAGAGGAAGAAAAUUUAUUAUUUUCAGACAAUAAAAAAGAAAUCUUACCCCUUUUAUGCAACUUAAAAAACCAAAGCUCCAUUUUUCUCAACACGUGGUUGUGAAUUUCAAAAAUUUUUGAAGCAUAUUCAUGUAAUUAUAUAGAUAGAUAAAAAGGUUUAUUAAGUUCUCAUUUAAAUAUAUUUAUUGUUUUUUAUUUUUAAAAAUAAAUAAUAAUAAUAAAAUUUAACAUAAAAUGCAAGAACUUUAGACAUUACCUUAAAAGGGUAAUGAUUCUUUAAAAUUUUAAAAAUACUUUACUUUUUAAAAUUUUAAAAAUUGAUUUUAACAACAUAAGUUAAAUCCAUAUUUGUGGUAAAAAAAAAUUUAUGUUUGAAAUGUAUUUGAUUUUCAUUGAUUUGAAAUUUUCUUAAAUUUUUUUUUAUUGAAAUUAACAAAUGAAAUAAAAUAUAAUAAAUAUAAAUAUUAAAAAAAUUUAUAUAUAUUAUUAUUUAUUUGAUAUCAUUGAAUAUAUUUAAAUUAAAAAUAGAUAUUAUUAAAUAAAUUAUAUAUAUAUAUAUUUUAAAAAAUAAUUUUAAAAUUUUUAUUUUUAUUUUUUAUAUAAUUUUUAAAAUUUUUAUUAAUUUUUAUAUUAUUAAUAUUUUAUAUUAAAAUAUUUAAUAUAUGCUUAUAUAUAAAAUUGAAGUAUGAAUAUACCAAUAAAUUUAUAGUCAUUCGUCCCAUCCACUUUAAAGGUCCAAUAAAUUUUUGUUUGUUGGGAAUGACAAAAUCCAUAUCUCGGGUCUCUGUUAAAGCUCUUCAAAUCCAGUCAAGUCAACUUUAAAACAGCUCAUAUGUCCUUUACUCUUCCGCGAACGAUCAUUUAAAGAGCAAUAUAGGUGUUAUAUAGCAAAGAAACCCUUUCAUCUCUUUUUUGGUCAGAAGUUGCAACGUUGUGGUUUGUGAGGUAACCUUCGGAUAAUGCUUCUUCUUCUUCUCCUUCUUCUUUCAUGUGUUUCCUCCAUUUCUAGUAAACCCAGAUAAGUGGUUUCUCAAAGGAAAAAGAAAUUGGCCCUAUCUUCUUCCAGGCAGCCAUGAUGUCGUGAGCCCAAAAAGAAUCACUAUUUGUGGAGCCAUUCUAUUUUCUCCCGGAUUCCUUUAUUUCUGAUUUUCUUGUUGCCAUCUUUUCAACCUCUCUUUUUAAUCCCUAAACAAUGGUGUGGUAAAUGGGACGGUGUGAUGUGCGAAAAUGGACUUACCACCGUCUAAACGAAUUGUGGAGGAAGUGAUGAUUUCGAGGAAUAGUUCACUUCAUCUCUACUAUUAACCUCCUGGUUUACUUGUUCGCCCUUAAGUGUUUUCUAUUUUUUUUUUCUUUUUUGAUUUGUUUAUUAUAGACAAAUAGGUGAUUUAUUUAUCGUAUGUAAUAUUAUAUUUUGUUUCCAUUGGAUGAAUGCCCUAUAAGUUGAGUUGGGCUCUUUUAUGAUUAACUUUAAUGCUUCAUGGUUAGAUUUGUUCUUCAACUGUUGGCUGAGAGUGCGAUCAAAACAUUCCUCAAACCACUUGGAAGCUCUCGAGGACCAAACACACCUAAAAGCUCUUUUGAACACAAACUUCAGUAAUAUCGAUCAAUGGCUCCCUCGUCUGGAGGUAUGCUCUUAGCUUUAACAUCUUUUGAUGCUGUGAUUUUAUUUUUAUGAAUGAUAUACCUUCCUGUGGAGACUAUCUUUGGAUCAUAUAUGUCAGGAAAUCAAUAGUUUGAUUUUUCAUUGCAGUGAGUUAGUUUUGAUUAUUGGACUCUUAACUAUUUUGUCAGGUGGCCAGGCUCUCGGUAUUUUGAAGAGUUUGAAACAAAUAUACCUUAUAGGUUAUAUGAAUCUUUUAGAGAAUAAAAGAAAAUUUUUCCUAUAUGCUAAGAUAGUUAGUGGUGUCUAUUGAAUUUCAAAUUUAGAGCAUUGAACGUGUAUGAUGAGAUUGAGGCUAUUGAAUAAGCAUAUAAAAUAAAUGCUGCAAGGUAUUAGGUAUAAACAAAUGAGAUUGAGUGCAAACAAAGAGGUGCAAAUAAUGAGAUUUAAAGAUGUAUAUAUAGCACUAUCUGAUGAGAGGUGCAAAACUACCAUUUGGUCUUGUAGGUGGAUCUAAUCUUUUUUUGAUAUAUAGUCAUAAUAAUUGACUUCUUCCAUGUUAAUGUUAAUUUUCAACUCCUUGUGAAUUCUUCAAGUUCAUUGUGGAUUCCUUUGAGCGCCCAAUAAAAUGUGAGUGUUGUUUUAUUAUUAUUUUUUUCUAUUAACUUGCUCUUAUGGUUAAAGAGUAUUAGACCAAGUGACAAUAGUUAUUAUGAAAAUAGAAAUUAUCCAAGUUGCUUAUGCUUUAAAAAUUUAGUUAUUGACUCUAAGUAAGUACUUUUAUGAUUUUACAUUCACUUUAAUAUGAAUAAUAUUGUAGUGCUAAAGAAGAUGCAACCAUUGUAGGAUGUUAAUGAGGACAUAUUAGGGGUUGAUUUGUUAUGAGAUGGAAAUAGAAUUUUGUUAUAAAUAUUUACAUUUUGGACUUCAAAUUUUUUUAUUUUAUUUUGAAUUUUAAACAACUACAUUUGUUUAUAUUUGAAAAUGAUAAGUAAUAACAUUUUUCUCUGUUUUUUUUGUAAUAUAGGUAAUUUCUUGUGGAUGAAAAUUAUUAAUGGCAUGAGCAAAGUUGGAAAGAUGGGGGUAUUGAAAAGAGAGGUAUGCAAUUGACUAUAUUUUUAUACAUUCAAUUAUAAUUUCAUUAUGUUAUAAUUGUUUUAAAAUGUAAAGUAUAAAAAUUCAACAAUCCUUAAGACUUAGAAUUGAUGUUGAGCUUCAAUAAUGAAUAUUAACUCACGCGUGUAUCAGUUAUUUUGAGACCAAUGAAAAUAUAUCAAAUCAUUACCUUUUGAGAUCUUAUUUUGACAUUAAAAUUCCUUGUGUUGAUGAUUAUGAGGUGGAUUUAUUAUGUAAGAGGCAUGGUCUAGUUUGAAGACAAUGCAUUUACCUGUAGGAACAUUUCACUCACUUUGUCUAGAGGUGAGAGUGUCAAGGCUUAGAUUUGUUGCAAGGAUUAAUAUUAAGAUAGUGUGAGAUCUCAUUCUUAUGAUCGAUAGGCCCCUAUUCUAGAUGUUGAGGUAAUAGAGUUAAAGAAUGAUGAUGUUCAAAUUACUGAGGAGUUGCAUAAUGAUUUUAGAGGGCAGGAGUAUGACCUCAGCAUUAUAGAGAUAGGGUUGUAUGGUUUUAGUCUUAACAUCAAUGAGUAUGUGGAUUGACCUAUCUUUUAUGAGGAGAAGCUUUGCUUAGAUGAUGAAGAUGUCCAAGAUAAGGUUUGACAGUCGAAGAAGAUUCAUACAAAGUGUGACAUGGGGUAUGAUAAGUAGUACUUACUAGCUUUGAUCCUAUCACCCCUUUAGGUGGUUCCCCUUUUUUUUAUCAUAAUACUUUAUGUUUUUAAAGGCGAAAGCGUAAGGCGAGACUUUUUUGUGUUCAUAAGACGAUGCGUAAGUCUCGAGGUGUUGAGGCGUAAGCUUUUUGAGCCUCGCAUUAUAUAAUUAAUUAAUAUUUUAAAAUAUAUAAAAUAAAAUGGCAUAAAUAAAAACAUGAAAACAAUUCAUUAGAAUCAUAAAAGAAAAAAAAACAUACUAGUUCCUUACUUUCACAAAAAACCAUAACAAAGUCAUAAAAUAGAAAAUAGAUUCAACUAUACUAAUAGUUUCAAACUUCAACAAAAAGUCAUAACUAAGUCAUAAAAUAGAAAAUAAAGUCGACCAUAAUAAUAGUUCUAAACUUUUACAAAAAAUUCAUAACUAAGUCAUGAAAUAACAACUAGAGUAAAUUGUUUCAACUUAAAUCCUCAUCUUCAAGGUCAUCAUCAUCCUCAUCCAAUGUAUCAAUAGUAGGAAAAUGUCCACUAUCAUGUAUCCCCAUUUCAUGUAAAUCUUCAUCUUCAUCAAUUGGUGUCAAAUUCAACUCCUUCUUUUUGCCUUUGCCUCCACUUGUACCUAGCAUAAAGUAUUAAUUAUGUGUAAAUAUUAUAAGUUUUUUAAUUAAAUUUAAUCAAAUUUAUGACUUCAAUUUUUGAGUACUUGGUACUUCAUUAUGUUUCCUUUCGUAGGAAUGUGAAGAAAUCAUGUGAUCCGAUGAUGCUUGAGUCUCUUGGGAGUUGGAUGACACAACUCUGAUAGCAUCAACAUUGAAUAACUCAUUAUCUUGAAGCCAACAAAGAUCAAAGGGGAGGAGGGGAUCUUCUUUCUUCGCAAUCCAUUCAUCAUCCGAAUAAAUCUCCUCUACCAAAAUCUGAUCAACAUUUUGUUUCCUUUGUAGACUUCACUCUCUCAAUCUAGUGUUGUACCUUACAUACACUAGAGAAUUCAACCUUUGAUAUUCAAGUCUAUUUUUUUUGUAUGGAUCUACAAAUAAUAAAAGAAACAAAUUUAUGUGUUAAAAUGAAAUAAAGUUCUCUAACAUUAAAAUAGAUAUAUAUGUAUAAAAAUUUACAAAAAUAGAAGUAUUAUUGAUUAAAAUUUGCUCCAAUUUCUUUCACAUCCCGAAGCACUAUAAGUGAGGCUAAGGACUCGAAUAGCAAACUUUUGAAACUAUGGUGUUGAACACCCAAAUCACAUCCACCAAGUUGUAGGACUUCUUAAUGUUCGAGAAUCAAUUGCAAUACGACUCCCAAAUUCACCAAUUGCUUGGUCAUAUGCGUCCAACUGAAUGUCAGCUUUUAAACGUUCUUGAUAAUCCAAUAUCUUAUUCAUGCAUUCAAAUAAUUCCUUUCUCACCUCAUCAACAUUAGAGAACUUAUCUCUAUACUGCAAUUAAGGAUUAAGAUAAUAACCUGUUGCAUGUAAAGGUCGAUGAAGUUGCGGAGUCCAUCAUCUUGCAUCAAUUUUUCUCCAAAUUGGGCCAUAUUUUCUCUCCACACCCCCACAAUUAAAUGCAAUUUUCUCUUUAGUUGAAUCUAUCAACUCAUAAAUAUAACCCAUGGCUAAUCUUUCCUCUGAAUCAACCUCUCUCAAGACACUAACUAAUGGAAUAGUGGUCUUUAUGCAAAAAGCAACAUGGGGCUAACAAUUUAGAUCAAACAACAUUGUACUUCAAGUUUUCACACCUUCUACAUUUUUAGCCCAUGUGCUUGAUCACUAUUUUUCUGAGGAGAAUAUUGCUAUAAGAGCUUGUUUUUGCUUAUAAAGACUUUAAAGAGUAAGAAAUGCAAUAGCAAACCGUGUAAUUGCUAGAUGAAGAAGUUCAUGAUUUUUUUGUAAAUGUUCUCAUCAAGCUAAGAACCCAAGUAUGCUCAUAUAUGAACUUCACUACUUGCCUAGCUCGAGAAAGUGUAAUAGCAUGAACAUUUAGCUUUCCAAUAUCCUCCAACAUCAAAUCAAUACAAUGAGCAGCAUAAGGAGUCCACCAUAAUCUUCUCCUUUUUUUCCAUAAAGCCUCAUUCCAGCAUUCACAUAAUUAGAGGCAUUAUCAAUGAUGACUUGCUCAACAUUCUCCUCUCCAAUUUCUUCAACCACCUCAUUAAGAUAUUUGAACAUCAAUUCCUCAUUUUUUUUAUUGUAUAAAAAACAUCAAUUGAUUUCAUAAACCAAGUGCUAGUAAGACUAUUCACCAAAAAAUUGAUAAGACACCUACUAUUUUCAUCUAUUUAACCAUUUGACAUAAUUGAACAUCCAUAUUAUUUCCAAGCUUUUUUGUGAUCUUUCAUAAUGAUACUUAGAUCAUUCACCUCUUCUUUAAGAAUUCAUGUCCUCAAUUCGUGCAUAGAUGGAGGCUUAAACUCGAGCCUAAAAUUUGCAACAACAUCCAUCAUAGGAAACCAAUAAGGAUCAGUCACAGUGGUUAAUGGGAGACCUUUUGAAUACAUACACCUACCAAUUUUUCUACACACUUCCUUCCUUUCUUCUUGCUUCCACUUUGAAUUCAAAGUAUUUUGUCUAGGUUGUGAAGUGGUAAAUUUAUCCAUGGGUCUCCUAGGAAUAGGUUCCCUACUCCCACUUCCUAAUGUCGCUAUUGUUUUAGACAAGACACUCUCAUGCAUUGAAGUUGGACCCAUACCGAUUUCUUGGAUCAAUUUAUUUCUUUUCAUUUUUUGAUCCUUAAAAUUAGCCAAUGCCUCUUUGCAUUCCAAUCUAGCUUAUUCACUAACUUUGUUGCAUGGUUUCAUACCAUGAUGAGUUCUGGCUAAGUGAUGCUUGUUCACCCCUCCCAUGCAUAUUUGAUUGCAAAAUUUAUAUCUUAAAUAUUGCUCCCUGAAAACUUCAAUAACAUACUUCCAUACAAAAUAUUUUCUUGAAUUUUUCAAAUCGGUGGAACUCAUUCUAAAAAAAAUACCAAUAAUAAUAUUCAAAUUUCUACAUAACAAUAUAAUUGACUAAAAAAUAAUAACAAGACAUAAUUGAAAGGAAUUUAAAAAUGAAAUAUAAAAUUUAAUUGGUUUAAAUUUAAAAAACCCAAUAUUUUUUUUAGAGGAAUUUAAAAAUUAUACAUAUAAAAUUUAAUUGGAAUUUAAUAAUGAAAUAAAGAAAAUUUGGGUGAAAAUUAAAAUUAAACUAGAAAUAAAAAAAUAAUUUUAAGUAGAAUAUUUAAACCAAUUUACUAGAAUAUGUAUAAAAAAUGGAUGAAUGGAGAAAUAAAUAACGACUUAUUGAGAGCUCCAACUUUGGCUGAAAAGUCGAUUGUUGAGAGAGAGAGAUGAAUGUCUGUGUCGACUGUCGAGAGAGACGAAGAGGGAAUAAACCAUGGAAGAGGGAGAAAACCAUGAGAGAUGAAGUUGAGGGGGAGAAAGAGAUGAAGAGAUGAAAAGAAGGGAAAACAUGGGAGACGAAGAGGGGGAGAUCGCGAGUUCGUGACAUACUUGAAGAUGAACGAGAGGGAUUGCCGUUGGAGAAGAUGCAUUACGGUUGGUCAUCGCCUAAGGUUGAGUACUCCGUCGUCACUUGAGGUAGGGUUUCGUUUGAAGCUUUUCCUAAUUUGUGUUUGCAAAAGUCUUCAAUUGGGACUCGGGUUGCCGUUUCAAGGAUUACUUUGGGUUUUUUUUUUUUUUUUUUUUUUUUUUAAUUUUUGUUCAUGGCCACAUCAACUCCCACAAAGGUUACGCCUUUUUCUUAGAGCGUAAAAGGCGCAAUCAAAGAACGCCUCAGUCACGCCUCAUUGGAAAAGGCGUAUGCCUUUCAAGAGUCGCGUUUUAUUUCUUACGCUUCAAGGCGUUUUGGCCCCGCCUCGCCCUGAGGUGCGCUUCAAGGCGUGCCUGAGAAACGCCUUUAAAAACUUUGGUAUUGCUAUCAGACGAGUUUGAGGUUAGAGACUUGAGAUUUUUCUUUUGAUCUCUAAAAUCUAUGUAGCCAUCAAUACGCACAUGCAACUCUUAUGAUGCUUAUUUAGUAUUGUAGCACCUUUGCACUAUAACCUUCAAAGUUUGUCUUUUUUAGGUUGGUUCGAAUUUUUUAUUAACAAAUAGUCAUAUUACCAAUUGAAAGGGGUGAGAGGCAGGUCCACUUCACGAUUGAUGGUUUUCACCAUGUUCUUACUACUAAGCAAAGUUUUUAAAGGCGUUUCUCGAGCGCGGGGCCAAAACGCCUUGAGGUGUAAGAAAUAAAACGCGAUUUCUGAAAGGCGUAUGCCUUUUCCAAUGAGGUGUGACUGAGGUGCGCUUUGAUUGCACCUUUUAUGCUCCAAGAAGGUGUACGCUUUGUGGGAGUUGAUGUGGCCAUGAACAUAAAUUAAAAAAAAAACCCUAAGUAAUCCCUUAAACAGCAACUCGAGUCGCGAUUGAAAACUUUGGCAAACACAAAUUGGGAGAAAAGCUCAAAAUGAAACCCUACCUUAAGUGGCGACAAAGUGCUCAACCUCAGGUGGCGACCAACCGUAAUGCAUCUUUUUCGGCGACGAUCUCUCUCGUUCAUCUUCAGGUAUGUCGCGAACUCGCGAUCUCCCUCUUUUCGUCUCCCAUGCUUUCCUCUCUCUUCAUCUCUUCAUCUCUUUCCCCAUCUUGGCUUCAUCUCCCAUGGUUUUCUCCUUUUUCGUCUCUCUCAACAGUCGACACAGAGGCUCGUCUCUCUCUCUCUUGACAGUCGGUUCUUCAUCAAUUUUUUUUUUGUUUAUCAAAUUAACUCUCAAAUGACCUUUUCAUCCAAUAUUUAUUUAUUUAUUUAAAUCAUUUUGACCAAUUGGAGCUCUCAGCCAGUAAGCCAUUAUCUGUUUAUCCCUUCAUCCAUUGUUUUAAAUAUGCUGGUAAAUUGGUUUAAAUAUUCUGCUUAAAAUUAAUUUUUUUAUUUCUAGUUUAAUUUUAAUUUCCACCGAAAUUUUCUUUAUUUCAUUAUUCAAUUCCAAUUAAAUUUUAUUUGUAUAAUUUUUAAAUUUAAACCAAUUAAAUUUUGUAUUUCAUUUUAAAAUUCCUUUCAAUCAUGUCUUAUUAUUUUUUAAUCAAUUAUAUUGUUGCAUAGAAAUUUAAAUAUUAUUAUUGAUGUUUUUUUUAGAAUGAGUUCCUCCGAUUCGAAAAAUUCAAGAAAAGAUUUUGUGUGGAAGUAUGUUAUUGAAGUUUCCGAGGAGAAAUAUUUAAGAUGUAAAUUUUGCAAUCAAAGAUGCGCAGGAGGGGUGAAUAGACUCAAGCAUCACUUAGCGGAAACUCAUCAUGAUAUGAAACCAUGCAACAAAGUUAGUGAAGAUGCUAGAUUAGAAUGCAAAGAGACGUUGACCAAUUUUAAGAAUUAAAAAACGAAAAGAAAUGAAUGCUCCAAGAAAUUGGUAUGAGUCCAACUUCAAUGCAUGAGAGUGCCUUGUCUAAAACAAUAGGGACAUUAGGGAGUGGGAGUAGGGAACCUAUUCCUAAGGGACCCGUGGAUAAAUUUAUCACUUUACAACAUAGACAAAGUACUUUGAAUUCAAAAUGGAAGUAAAAAAAAAGGAAGUGUGUAGAAAAUUUGGUAGGUUUAUGUAUUCAAAAGAUCUCUCAUUCAACAUUGUGAAUGAUCCUUAUUGGUUUCCUAUGAUGGAUGCUAUUGCAAAUUUUGGGUUCGGGUUUAAGCCUCCAUCUAUGCAUGAAUUGAGGACAUAGAUUCUUAAAGAAGAGGUAAAUGACUUACGUAUCAUUAAGGAAGAUCACAAAAAAGCUUGGAAACAAUAUGGAUGUUCAAUUAUGUCAGAUGAUUGGACAGAUGGAAAGAAUAGGUGUCUUAUCAAUUUUUUGGUGAAUAGUCUUACUAGCACUUGGUUUAUGAAAUCAAUUAAUGUUUCUGAUACAAUAAAAAAAUGGGGAAUUGAUGUUCAAAUAUGUUAAUGAGGUGGUUGAAGAAAUUGGAGAGGAGAAUGUUGUGCAAGUCAUCAUUGAUAAUGCCUCUAAUUAUGUGAAUGCUGGAAUGAGGUUUUAUGGAAAAAAUGAGAAGAUUAUGGUGGACUCCUUGUGCUGCUCAUUGUAUUGAUUUGAUGUUGGAGGAUAUUGGAAAGCUAAAUGUUCAUGCUAAUACACUUUCUCGAGCUAGGCAAGUAGUGAAGUUCAUAUAUGGGCAUACUUGAGUUCUUAGCUUGAUGAGAUUAUUUACAAAAAAUCAUGAGCUUCUUCAUCUAGCAAUUACACGGUUUGUUAUUGCAUUUCUUACUCUUCAAAGUCUUUAUAAGCAAAAACAAGCUCUUAUAGCAAUGUUCUCCUCAGAAAAAUAGUGUUCAAGCACAUGGGCUAAAAAUGUAGAAGGUGUGAAAACUUGAAGUACAAUGUUGUUUGAUCUAAAUUGUUAGCCUCAUGUUGCUUUUUGCAUAAAGACCACUGUUCCAUUAGUUAGUGUCUUGAGAGAGGUUAAUUCAGAGGAAAGAUUAGCCAUGGGUUAUAUUUAUGAGUUGAUAGAUUCAACUAAGGAGAAAAUUGCAUUUAAUUGUGGGGGUGUGGAGAGAAAAUAUGACCCAAUUUGGAGAAAAAUUGAUGCAAGAUGAUGGACUCCGCAACUUCAUCGACCUUUACAUGCAGCAGGUUAUUAUCUUAAUCCUCAAUUGUGGUAUGGAGAUAAGUUCUCUAAUGUUGAUGGGGUGAGGAAGAGAUUAUUUGAAUGCAUGGAUAGGAUGUUGGAUUAUCAAGAACGUUUAAAAGCUGACAUUUAGUUGGACGCAUAUGACCAAGCAAUGGGUGAAUUUGGGAGUCGUAUUGCAAUUGAUUCUCGAACAUUAAGAAGUCCUACAACUUGGUGGAUGUGAUUUUGGGGUUCAACACCGUAGUUUCAAAAGUUUGCUAUUCGAGUCCUUAGCCUUACUUGUAGUGCUUCGGGAUGUGAAAGAAAUUGGAGCACAUUUUAAUCGGUAAUACUUCUAUUUUUGUAAAUUUUUAUACAUAUAUUUCUAUUUUAAUGUUAGAGAACUUUAUUUCAUUUUAACAUAUAAAUUUGUUUCUUUUAUUAUUUGUAGAUCCAUACAAAAAAAAAUAGACUUGAAUAUCAAAGGUUGAAUUCUCUAGUGUAUGUAAGGUACAACACAAGAUUGAGAGAGCGAAGUCUACAAAGGAAACAAAAUGUUGUUCAGAUUUUGGUAGAGGAGAUUGAUUCAGAUGAUGAAUGGAUUGUGGAGAAAGAAGAUCCCCUCUUCCCCCUUGAUCUUUGUUGGCUUCAAGAUAAUGAGUUAUUCAAUGUGGAUGCUAUUAGAGUUGUGUCAUCCAACUCCCAAGAGACUCAAGCAUCAUUGGAUCACAUGGUUUCUUCACAUUCCUACAAAAGAAAACAUAAUGAAGUACCAAGUAAGUACUCAAAAAUUGAAGUCAUAAAUUUGAUUAAAUUUAAUUAAAAAAAUGUAUAAUAUUUACACCUAAUUAAUAUUUUAUGCUAGGUACAAGUGGAGGCAAAGGCAAAAAGAAAGAGUUGAAUUUGACACCAAUUGAUAAAGAUGAAGAUGAAGAUGAAGAUUUACAUGAAAUGGGGAUACAUGAUAGUGGACAUUUUCCUACUAUUGAUACAUUGGAUGAGGAUGAUGAUGACCUUGGAGAGGAGGAUUUAAGUUGAAAUAAUUUACUCUAGUUGUUAUUUCAUUUAUUAGUUAUGGAUUUUUUGUAAAAGUUUAGAACUAUUAUUAUGGUUGACUCUAUUUUCUAUUUCAUGACUUAGUUAUGACUUUUUGUUAAAGUUUGAAACUAUUAAUAUAGUUGAAUCUAUUUUCUAUCUUAUGAUUUGUUUUUUAUGGCUUUUUGUGAAAGUAGGGAACUAGUAUGUUUUUUUUUUUUUUAAUGAUUCUAAUGAAUUGGUUUCAUAUUUUUAUUUAUGCUAUUUUAUUUUAUAUAUUUUAAAAUAUUAAUUAAUUAUAUAAUGUGAGGCUCAAAAAGCUUACACCUCGCCUCACAAACACAAAAACGUCUCGCCUUACGCUUUCGCCUUUAAAAACAUCGUAGUACUAAGGAUAAAAAUAUCGGUAUUUUGAUUUUACGAAUAUAUCAAAGAUGUAUCGGAUAUAUCAAAUAUACAUCAAUUGAUAUUGUGGAAAAAAAUACCGAUAGAUUUAAAAUUGAUAAAAACUCAUGAAAAUAUAAGAAAAAUUUCAUAGAAACAUAAUUAGAAGUAUAAUAAACAUUUUAAAUUUGUUUUGUUUAAGAAUUUGAUAUAUGUAUAAUAUAAUUUAUCAUAUUUGAUGAUAAUAUUUUGGAAAAAUUGUAGUGCCAUUGGAGAUAUUGUGCCUCCAUUUGAUUUAGGCCAUUGGAUGAAAGUGGUUUAAUCUUAGUCGUCUAAAUGGUAAGUGGAAAAAAAAAAAUCUAUGCUUGGAUGAAACUAACUACCUAGAGAAGGAAAGAAACGUGUAAGACGAUUGAAUUAGCUGUAAAAAUUGCAUAUGAGAUCUGAUUGAAAUUGAGUGAACAAGGGAGAGUACUUCCCUAAUAUGAGACUCAUAGAGACAUUAGUGUGUUUGCCAUUUGUUACUAGUAGUCAUACUUACGAAUUGAAAACGAAAUAGUAAGAGAAAGUAGUUUGGAGAUUGCAAUGAUGGAUUCGACAUUAAUGUUUUUAAUAGGAGAAGAAAGAAGUAAGGAAAACAUACCUAGAACUAAAAAUUCAUAGAGCUUCCUUUUUUGAGAGAAAAUGAUGAGGGCAACCUCAACAUCACUUACAAAAGGUGAGUUGGUGACUUGUGGAGUUUUCUAUACGGCGCAUUUGAGUCUUUUCUCUCCGCAUCUCCAGAAAGGCAGUUUAAAAUUGAAACUCUGCAAAACACACAAGCUGAAAAACCGCAAUAAAAGGGAUUGAAGGGAAUGAUAUUGAGAGAAUAAACUGUCACCAAAAUGAGCAAAUGAAGAAAAUCAUGAAGAGGCAAAACAAGGCAAAGAAACAGGAAAAAAUAUAAUGACAAUGAGCAUAAUAUAAACAAUUGAGAAGGAGGAAGUGGGUGUCUAUGUUUUAUUGAUUCUUAUUGCAUAGCCCCUUUGUUUUGUAUUGUAUAUUUUUUCCCAUGACUUCUCAAAUUUCUUCUUCCCCUUUAUUUUCUACUCUCCAAUGGCCAAACGCACACCCUUUUCUUCAUUCAUCUUAGCUCUCUUUCCCUCAAUUUUGUUGAACCCCACCUAGAAAAAAAAAAUUAUUAUUUACUUCAUAGGAUAACCUCAUCCUUUGGGACUCUUGGUAAAACCCACAACACCUACCAAAAAGAGAACAUUGGGUUUGAAGCUUGCACAAAGAAAGCUUUAAUAAGUGGUAAGAUACAUAAUAAGUUCUUUGCUUCUACAUUGGCAAAUUGGAAUUAAAUGCUGAAUUGGGUUUUGGAUCUACGAGAGGGUUCGUUGAGAACUUUAAUGAUUGAAUUGAAUUAUAAAUAAUGAGUUUACUCAAUGCUAUGUGGUUGAUACGGAAAAGGCAAAAGUUGAGGCUUGGGAUUGAUUCAUUUCGUUAUUGUUGUUCUUUAAGAAAUGAAAAAGUUGUUUGAGAGGAUUUGUGUAUUUAGUUUUAUGUAAUGCUAGUUUGUUAUGUACUUUGUGUGUAAAUGCUCUUUGUUUUAUUAGAAAUUACAUGUUUAGUGAACUUUUCAUUUUGAAAAUGUUAACGGGUCAUGAAAAUUAUAAAAUUGAAAGUUUUUUCUUCAAAACAUUUGGUACGAGACAAUAAGUAAUCAAAUGUAUGUAUUUAUUCACAACCAGCCUUUGUGUAAUAGAACCUGUUGUUUCUCAUAUUAAUACAUUUCAUCCAUGUAUGAUCCUUAUUUCACUUUAAAUUUUUUAUUACAUAUUUUCAUCACUUAAAUGAUAGAGUGAAAAAAAUUAUUGGCAAAAUGUGUCUUCGACAAUUGAUUGUGUCAUUUAUAAAUUAUGUAAAUAACAUGUAUUGAUACUGAUUUUAGACAGGCUGUAAUUAGGCAUAUUGAAAUUAUAAUUAGGAAUUCUUAAAUAUGAAACAUUGGUAUUCAUAGUCUCUUCAUGAUUCAUUGAUCGAUAUCAUUUAGGUGCAUGAGAUGAGGUUCCACAAACUUUAAGUUCCAUAAAUGAAAAGCUUAGAAGUGGUAUUCUGUGUUCCUAUCAUUGAAUAUGGUUUUUGGGUUAAGGAUUUAUAGAUAACAAAAUGAAUAGGCACUACAGAAUUAUGGCACAAUAUCAUCUAUAGUAUUCAUGGAGGCUCCUUUAGGAAUAGAGCCCUAUUACACAAGUUAUUAUGGAGGCUCCUUAAGGACAACAAUACUUUAUGGAACAAUAUCAUCUUUUCUAUUUAUGGCCUACACUCUAAUGCUAUUGUUAGGUAGUCAUAUUGGUGCCAUUGGAAGGUCCUUACAUAGGUAUUUUGUGAUUUCACCAUUUUCACUUAGUUCUUAAUUAGUGAUGGCAUAAAAAUUCAAUUAUGGAAAGCUACUUAGUAGUGUGAUUUACCUUUCUAUGUUCAAUUCCCAUAUUUGUAUACAGUGGCGAGCCAACGAGAUUUUAGUGCUUCAUGUACAAAAAUACCAUUUGACCUCUUUCUUGCUUCCUUUAUGCAGUUGAUAUUGUUUCAAUUCCAUUUCAAGCUAUGAACCCAAGGCACUUCAGCAUAUACUAUGGUUCAUUGACACUCCAACUGUACUUUUUCUUUAACAAACAUUAUUGAGUAGUACACAUUAUUAAACCAGCUUUGGCAUGUUUUAGACGUGGAUGUUGUUAUAAUAAACAUUUAUUUGUCAUCCCUCUGUUUACAUAUUACACUUGUGCGUACCAUUUUCCUAUAUUAUUUAGGCACUCAAUGUACUUGAUACUAUAAGUUUCACUCACAUGUCCAACAUAUUAUUAAAUAUAUGUGAGCCUUAGUUACUUCAUUCCUUAACAUUAGCUAAUUACUUUCUUAAUGUCAUGCAGUUCGUUUGGCAAUGAUAUGAUCAAUAAGUGGCAUUGCAUGGGGUACGUCCAUUAAACAUACUCAAUUGUGCAUAGAAUUGAGCAAGCUAUUAGGUACUACCUUAGCACAUCGUGUUUUAUUCCAGUGAUCAGUUGGUUAACCUUUUGUCUACUGUUGAGUGAACCUUAUGUACUACUUAAAUAUACCUUUGGUACUACCUUAAUCAACUUUAGCUACUACCUUAGUCAACAUUAGGUACUAUCUUAGCACACCUUGGGUACUACCUGUGUGACACCUCGAAACUGUAUUUCUAAACAUUAAGACACUUCAUUUGUGAAUAUUAGUUCCCUUAUUUUUCAACCCAAGGGAGUUGAUUUGUCAAGCAUAGGACCCACAAGCUGCUUUCAAUCCAUGCAUAACUUACAAUGUAUUCGGUUCCACACUCAACUAAUCAUGGCAUUAUGGUUCUCCUUUUAUAUACUAGUGAUUGUACCUUAGUUACUACCUUAAUUAACCUUAGGUACAACCUUAGUAAUCCUUAGGUACUAAUGUAGUUGCACUUGCACACUACUUGUGUGCAACAUCCAAUGUUCAUGUCUAAACCUUAAUUAGGUAGUUCCUUGUUGGAAGCUUCGGCAAUCCAUAUGUUAAGCUUAUGUAAUUUCUACAUACAAGGAAUUGUAAUCAACAUACAUAAUUCCGCAAUCUUUCGUUGUUGCAUAUAUUGUUUGUAACAAAUCUUUAUGUGAUUAAGGAAAUGGAAGUGUCACAUUCAUUAAGGAGGUGAGCUUGUUAAGACUGCCGUUGGGUCCAUCAUUGGCCUAUAUAAAAAAGUAAGUUGAUAUUGACUUCCUCAUUGGCUUAUAUCCACUUUCUAAUAGGUACUUGAAGCUCGUGUCAUAGAAACAUAAGAAAGUAUGUUGAGAUUGGCUUCCUCACUAGUGCGGGAUGUUGCUGCAUUGCGUUCUCAGUGUUUUGGAUCACACACCACUUGUUCAGUCCCUUGCCUACAACCAUCGCAACAAGUUGAAGAACAUACAAGCCGUGACACAACAGACAUUCAGCCUUUUGCUGAAGAAUUCGUAAAAACAACACAACCUCCUACUAAGCCCAUGAUCCCCAAUUGAAAUGCAAGCAUCAACAACAACCCUUGCUUCCAAACAAGUGCCCCCACAAUCUCAUGCAUAGUCCUCUCUUCAAUCGGAAUUGGGGGUAGGAGAAGAGGUGGAAAAUGUUGGGGCAGGUGCUAGUGGCACCCAAUCAGUCAUCCUUUCGUCUAUUUGGAGAUAUAAACAGACUGCUAAGAGGAUUUUGAAGCGUACUGCCAUUUGCAAAUCGCCAUUUGUCGCGCAAUGCCUGAAACAAUUCCUUAAAAUCCCACAUCAAGAUAGGGUCAUAGCUAAUUAUGCAUUGAUAGAAGAUGUUGAUCCUAGGUACAUUAAUUUGUAUUUUCCAACCAUUGUUAUAGUGAUAUAAUAUGUCAAGAACUUUAACUUAGUUUCACAUAAUCCUUUUUUGACAUUGUAGUGAGGUUUUAUGGGACAUGCAUGGGAUGUACAUAACAAGGGAAGAGUUGUCUUGUUUAAAUGGAGAUCGAUGGGUGAAUGGUGUGGUAAGUUACUAAUCCUUCAGUUGAAUUCAAUUGCCAAUUAACGGUUCAUAUGAAUGCAUGAAGUCUAGAGUCGGGUUGUAAAAAAAAUAUUGCACAAGAUACACUAAACAUUAUCAACUCUCACAAGAAUCAAUAGAUCCAUGCAAUGAAUUAUGUGGAUACAAAUAACAUGGAUGACUAAAAUAGUAGGAGGGAUAAAUCAAUGAAGUUUAGUUCACACUAUUGCUGCUCAAUGAAGGAAACAAUGUUAGAGACAAAAUUAUGCAGGCGUGUCUAUUGUAACUGAAGCAAUUCCUCGUGAAGUGUGUCAUUUUGUUCAGGUAAUCAAUAGUAUUGCACAAGAUGCACUAAACAUUAUCAACUCUCACAAGAAUCAAUAGAUCCAUGCAAUGAAUUAUGUGGAUACAAAUGACAUGGAUGACUAAAAUAGUAGGAGGGAUAAAUCAAUGAAGUUUAGUUCACGCUAUUGCUGCUCAAUGAAGGAAACAAUGUUAGAGACAAAAUUAUGCAGACGUGUCAAUUGUAACUGAAGCAGUUCCUCGUGAAGUGUCAUUUUGUUGAGGUAAUCAAUAGUAUUGCACAAGAUACACUAAACAUUAUCAACUCUCACAAGAAUCAAUAGAUCCAUGCAAUGAAUUAUGUGGAUGCAAAUAACAUGCAUGACUAAAAUGGCAGGAGGGAUAAAUCAGUGAAGUUUAGUUCACGCUGGUUAGAUGGUCAAGUUUUCCCUUGUUGUCGAUCAAUAGGUUCACACAUUGGGCCCAUUCUAAUUAAUUUUUACCAUUCAGUUUAUGAACGGUUAAUUGAAAUGAAGAGUUUAGAUUGUUGGUGUCAAAAUUCUGGAUUGAUGUUGAGGAGACAUUUUGAAUGCUGUCCUCAUCUCCCCUGGAUGUAACCGAGCUUCUGGUAGCUUUGAUAAUGGCAGAAGUAUACCAUCUGCUUCAAAAUUUGGCAUAUCAGACUUCCAGGUCAUGUAGAGUGCCCCACACCUUUCUUUUGGGUGUAGUCCAUCAAAAAUCGCAUCAUAAGGAUGCAGCAUAGAGUAUGUUUGUUCCUUUUUUUGUUAGGUUCAUCAAAAUCCACAUCUUAUGGAUGCAAUUAUAAAAGUAACAAUACCACAUUCUGGAAAUGUAAUUUGGCGGCCUCUCAUAUGGACCACAUUGAUUUCCUUUUCCCCUUUAGAACACCAUCCCUGAGAUCCGACUUUUAGUCAAACAAAAAUAAAUGCAUAUCUUAGUGUGUUUGGUUACUUCUUAUAACAACUGGUUUCCCAAAAUUAUUGGAUUUUGGAAAACAAAGAACUCUACUCUACAAAAUGUUUUGAGCUGGUGUAAUUAUUGUAAAUUGUUUUUAUUAGUAUCUUCUGCAGCGAUUUAGGCUUUUAACUUUUUGGUUGCUAUUAAAAAAGCUUGGGAGAUUUGGAAGAUCCAAGAUCCAGCUGUGGCAUCUACAUGGUGACAAUAACAAAUUAUUUUGUUUAUUUUCCAUGUUAUCUUAGUUCCAACCUUCACACCCAAAGGUUUACCUUGUUUUUUCUUUCAGAAGAAGCAACCUUAUAUUGUUUCUGCAGAUGUGGUUAUGACUUCUGCUAUACUUGCGGUGCUGAAUGGAAGAACAAAAAGGCGACAUGUUCCUGCCCACUCUGGGAUGAGAAUAAUAUUUGGGACGAAGACGAUAGAGAUUUUGAUGAUGAAUACUAUUCAGAAUAUGAGUAUUUUAUGCUUACCAAGGAACUGGUGUCAGUAUUGCAUUAGAUAUUAUACCCCUUUUUUUUGCAUGCAGUGGACUUCUCUUUUCCCUGUCUAAUCUUCUUCUCGUUUCCUUUCUCAUUUUAUCAUAUGAUGUAUUUAUUUCCUCAAAUGGGUGGUGAUGAACACUGCCAUGAGGCGGUUCUGCUAGAAUUAGGACAGGCUUACCCUUCAGUGUAACGGACCCAAUAUAUUGGCCCAUUCUUUAACAAUAGUCUUCAAUUCUAAUAGGGCAAUCAGGUUUGGAGGCAGGCCUUGCACAAGUAACAAUGAGAUUUGUGCUCACUUGAAUAAAAAUAAGCAAAUGUUUUCUUGGUGAUUUUGCUGUCCGGGUAUCAUUAAGAACUUGAACAACAUGCUGUCAUUCAGAUCCAAUCAUUUUGGCUGGGCCCCAUAGACAGAAUAUCUUGGAUCAAAUUUCAUAUUGGAUAAAGACUUUGUUUUACAGGGCAAUGAUUUCUUGGGUUUCGUUUCUUUGCUUUUCCAUUUUUUUUACCCUGCAAAUUAAAUCAUGCAAAGUGUGUUUUCACUGAUAUUUCAUUUUAUUUUCCAAUUCUAUCUAUUUGUGUGGGUGAGCUAUGGAAGGAAAUUCAAAUGAUAAUAUUGAAAAAUUAGAAAAUGUAAUUAAUAAAAGGAUAAAUUAAACAAAAGAAAAAAUAGAUGUACAAUUAAUAAAUUAUUUUUAGAUAUUACUUCAAACUCAAUUAUUUUUGGAGUUUCAUUCAAAUAUUAAAUAAUUAAAAAUAUAUAAAUUUUAACUGAUUUUUAUUAUAAUUAAUCUUCUUGUGUAUUUUCUAUAGUGAAAUUUAAUAUAAGAAAAUGAUUUUUCUUAAUAUUUUUUCUUUUUGUAAUACUUUUAAAAAAUCAAAUAGAACAUAAGAUAUCAACUUAUGUUAUAUUUGAUUAUAAAAAAAUGAUGAUUAUACAAAUAAAUGAGAUUGAGUAUAAUAGAAUAAGAUUAAGGCAUAAAAUAAUGAGAAAAAGGGAUUUUUGAUAAAAUGAUGUCACUUUGUGCCAUGUAAGCUUCAUUAAAAGCUAUACAUCAAAACUUAUCUUGAAAUCAUGUCAAGACACGACUUAAUGUAUCAUUGUGAAGUCGUACUUUCAAGUACGGUUUUAAAACAUUAUUCCUAAAGUCGUGUUUUACAUGAUUUCAAUGAUUUAUAAUGAAAUAGUGUGUUCAAGACAUAAUUUAACUCCAUUUUAUUUCUUCUCUUUAUUUACUUUUUCUUGUAAUAUAUAUGUAAAUUAAUUUAUUUCUUUUAUAAUAGUUUUAUAUACAUGUGUAAAAGGUAGCAUGAAUGUUGCAAUAGGUAGGUUUGUAGAUGUUUAUUUUGGAAGAAUAUGAACAAAAAAAAAAAAAAAAAAGCAAUUGAAAAUAAAUAUACAUAAAAAAUAUAAAAUAAUUAAUUAUUUUUGGUAAUGGUAAGUUUUGAUUGAAAUUUUAUAAGCCAAUGAAGUGUUCUAAUGGUCACAUCUUUAAAUAGGCUACCGUACAAUUACCUUUUUAAACUUGCUAAUAGUAUGAAUACGACUCUAGUAGAUAUUCAAAUCGAGAACAGAUGUGGACAACCUACGUUAACUUCAAUAUUACAAGCAUGAAACCACAUGCUACAAAGAACCCAAAAAUAAAUAAAUAAAUACUGAUGAUAGAACCAUAUGGAACUUUUUGCAUACGAUUAGCCUCAACUAAUGCAUAUUGAGCCUUUGCCACUGCAAAUGGUGAAGAUUCAUCGAGCCUCCUCCAUCUUGGUUCAUAUAGCACCCAUGCUCGGACAGCUUGCUCUCGAGAGGUAUAUGCUUUGUAUACACUCCCCUUAUAGAAAAGCACAUUUCUUUGAUAUUCAACCCAAGAAUCGUAAACUCCAUGGUUGUACCUAAUAAACACUACAUAGAAUGUUUGCAUGUUCAAUGGGCUACAAAAAAAAUAUUUGGGUUAGUUUAUCAUAAUUUGUUAAAUAAUAACAAAGGUAGUCCCUAGGCUAUAUUGACUAGUACCUAAGGUGCACUAAGAUAGUACCUAUGUUUUGCCAAGGUAGUACCUUAUGUACAUUAAGAUAGUAUAUUUAGAAACAUUAAGGUAGUACAUUUAGGUACAUUAAGGUAGUACCUCGUGCAAUAAGGUAUUAGCUUGUCUUAACUGAUUGCCUAACCUAUUACAACAAUUCAAUGCCAUGUUGAAUUAAGGAAUUUGUGUAUUGAGUCUAAUUUCUUGGUUCAUUUUCAAACUAAGAUGGAAUUGAAUGCCAUAGAUACAUCCUAUGAUUGGCCAUGAUAGUACCUACAAUUGACAAAGGAACUACAAUAAGUUCACUAGUGUAGUAGCGAAGGUGUUGAAAGGUACAUCGUUCAGGUUCACAAAUGUGGACUCCCUUAGGUACAAUAAGGUUGUACCUAAGGGACAUUAAAGUAGUAGUUAAGGUACAUGAAGGUAGUACCUAUACAGUCUUAUGUUUAAUAAGUCUCAAAUUGACUUACCAAUUACAACAUAAUAGUGUAAUGCUCGUAUAUGUAAUGGAAUUUAAGAAAUUGUGUUUUCAAUACAAAAGUGCAACAUUUUUGAAAUCAUCUUCGUCUUUAUGUUCUCCAAUAUUAUUCAGUGGAAAAGUAGGUACUGUAAUAGACAAAACUAGUACGGUUGGCAUAAGAACUACACAAGGGUUAGGAAUGAAGUAAGGUCCACUAACAUAAUAGCUAAAUUCACUAAGGCUGUACCAAAGGUGCUUUAAAAUAGUACCUAAGGUGCAUUAAGGUCACCCUUAAGGUGUAGUAAGGUAGUAUCUAAGAUACAUUAAAGUAGUACCUAAAGUGCAUUAAGUUUAUACCUAAGAUGCAUAAAGGUAGUACCUAAGGAGAACCUCCUUAAUAACCUAUUAGAACAUAAUAAUGCCAUGCUCAAUUAAGGAAAUUGUGUACUGAGUAUAGAAGUUCGACAUUUAUCAAUUCAUCUUUAAACUAAAAUGGAAGUGAAUGCCAAGGCAAGGUCCUAUGAUUGAGCAACGUGGUACCUAAGAUUGAAAUAGUUGGUUCACAAAUGUAGGACAAAAAGUUCACAAAUGUAGUACCUAAGGUGCAUUAACCUUGAAGUUAAGGUGCAUUAAGGUUACUACCUAAGGUACACUAAGCUAGUACCUAGGAUGCAUUUAGGUAGUACCUAUGGUGCCAGAAUAUAGUACCUAAGGUAUGUAAGGUUUUACCUUCACACCAUUAAGGUUGUACCUUCACACCAUUAAGGUAGUACCUAAGGGUUUUAUUGACCAACGAAUCACAACAUAAUGAUGUCAUGGUCCUAUCUGAAAUGCAUUAAAGAAAUUGUGUCUUCAUAAGAUAAGUUGCAACAUCGUUCAUCCUCAAAUGUUGUUCUCCAUCCUUAUUGAAUGCCAAAGCUAGGUACUAUACUUGAGAAAGGUUCACAAAGGAAGUACAUGUUCACAACUCAAGUACUUAAGCUCCAUUAACCUAGUACCUAAAUUUCACUCAAGUACUUCCUCUCAUGGCCUCAGGUAGUACCUAAGGUACAUUAAGGUAGUGCUUGAGGUACAUCAAAGUAGUACCUAAGGUACAUUAGGGUAGUACCUUCAUUUCAAUUAUAGUUACUUAAGCUUCCAAUUGACUAACCAAUUACAACAUAAUAGUGUCAUGCUCAUAUCUGUAAUGCAAUUAAAGAAAUUGUGUCUUAAGUACAAAAGUACAACAUUUUAAAAAUAAUCUUGAACUUGAUAUUCUCCAACCUUAUUGAAUGCAAAAGUAACUAAGGUACACAAAGUAGGAUUGAUAAACUAACUACCCAAGGUUCACAAACAAACUACCUAACCUCCAUUCGUAUAUAUAUCUAACGUACACAAAAGUAGUCCCUUUGCUGCAUUAAGGUAGUACCUGAGGUAGAUUAAGGUAGUUCUUAAGGUAGAUUAAGGUAGUACCUUAAGGUUACUAAGGUCGUACCUAAGGUACAGUCAUCACUCUACCAAAGAUGAACCAACUAACCACACAAUGACAUGCUUACACUACAAGGAAAAAGAUAUAUGGUGACAUUUAUAAUAAGUCACUAUAAACAUAGGGUGUCACUACAACAUAGCGUCACCUUAUCCACUGACACCAUAGAGGGUAUCAAUUGGUGACGUAUUUGGAAGCGACACCAAAGCAGAUAAAUGGUGACACAUUCAGAAGAGACACCAUAUAUUUUUAGUGAUGCUUAAUUUGAUAUAGAAUUGUAUGAGAUAUAUAAGGUGUCAUAUUAAAUGCAUCAUCUUUGAGUUAUGGUGUCACGUUAAAUGUAUCACCUUUAAUUUAUGGUGUCACAUCAUUGUAAAUGAUUAUGGAAGAUAUGGUUGUUUUUUGUUGAUUAGUUUGUAGAUUUUUGUAAUGCUUAUUAAUAAAUAAGACUAACCUGUGUAAAUUGUCCAUAAAUAUAAUAAUCAUAUUACAUUUAACUUAUAUUUUCAUAAUGCUUAUGAAUUAAUUUGUAACAUAUUACAUCAUCCAAUAAUAUUUGUAUAUCAAAUGUUCACAAAAUGAUAGUACAUCAAACACAUCAAACCCACCAAAACUAAAAAAGAAAAGUGAAUACACAUUAAAACAUGAUUUAGAAAUGUUAAGCUUCCCAACAUUUAUGUAUACUUGCAUUUCAUAUGCAUAAAACCGGCUAACCAUAAAAUGACACAAGAGUUGCAUCCAAAAACCCAAAAUUCUCAAUUCCAAAUAAAGUAACAUUUAUGUCCUAUAAUGUAUGACAUAAGAGUCAUAUCUAAAAACCUAAAUCUUGUUGCCUCUUUCUCCUUUCUUUUUAUUCUUCAUAUUGUCCUCCCAAGAGUGUAUACCUGCAUUUCAUAGUUUAAUGAGUUUUAGAGUUCUUAUUGAAAAUAAAAAUGUGAUAUUAUAAACAAUAAACAAAUCUAAGUACUAAUGUUUUCUUUUUCUUUUUCCUUUUUCUCAUUUUGGUAUAAAAAUAGUUCGUAAAGAAUAAGUAAUGUUAUACAAUAUCAAUGGAAAAUUCAAUCAUAUAACAACUAAGGGACUUACCAUGAAUGAUCACGAUACAUCAAUAUGAUUCAUGAUUAGUUAUAACACAAAAGUAAUCUAUUUUUCUCUAAUUUCAUCAAAUUCUACUUGAGAAUAUGUUUUAUUUGUCAUCAAACUGAAAUCAAAUGAGAAUAACAUUAAUAUCACAAUAAUUGAAAGUAUGAAAUUAUGUACAAUUCAUUAAACGAGUAAAACCUUUUAUGCAAUAACUGUAAAAUCAACAAUUAUUUCUUUAAUGAAUCUCAUAACAAAGUAGUCAUAUUUGAACUCAGUAUUAUUUUUUUACUAUUAAAUUAUUUUUAAACAAAAUAACAAUUAUUAAUAUAUUGGUUCAUUUUUAAAUACUUUCAUAAGAAUAUAUUUUAACUACAAGUUAUUUUAAUUUAUCAAAAGAUUUUUAGGAAAUGAGCUAUUAUCCAUUUAUUAUUUUCUUAUUUUUCAAAAAAUAUUUUCAGUCAUUUCAUACACGUUUUCAACUACUAAAAUUAUUGUUUUUAUAGAAUAAACAAAGAAGCAUACACUUUUCCUCCACUCACUAAGUCAACUAUUACAAUCACCAUAAUAUUUUAUUCACCUACCAAUAUCUCAUUCCAUUUAGAUAACUCUCUCAACAAAAUCAUUUCUACAAUACUUUUUACUCUCCUAUGAUAUUGAAUAUUUUAUUCCAUUUAGGUGACUCUCAACACAAAGAAAAGUAGGAAUGUCUUCUUAGGUUAACUAAACAAAGACUUUUUUUUUUACUUUACAAUAUGUAUAAAAAAAACAAUUAUUUAUUACAAGGAAUGUGGUAGAAAGGUCAUUUCAUUUUUAAAGAAUUUUUUAGAAUUUCUUAAACAUUUACAAAAAAUAGAAUCUAACAAAUUUAUUUCUAAAAAAAUUGAUCAAUUCAAAAAAGAAAGAAGAAUGUUAUUUUUUAAGAAAAGUUAAUAAACCACUUUAUUCUUGAAUUAUCUAAACAAAACUUACUAAAAAAUAUUUUAUCCCAAAUUUAUUUUCAAAACUUUCUUAUUGAAAACUAUCUCAUAUAUAAAUUAUUUUAUUAUAUAGAGAAAUUCUUAUUUUAUUCUUUUUUUAGAGAAAAAUUCACUUGUUUAUUAAAUAUCAAAGAAGUCUAUUUUUAUGUCUAUUAUAUAUAUAUAUAUAUAUAUAUAUAUAUAUAUAUAUAUAUAUAUAUAUAUAUAUAUAUAUAUAUAUAUAUAUAUAUUCUCUUAUUUUCAUACAAGAAAUUUCCAUUUAUGCCUAAAAUACUUUUAGAAAAAUCAUUGCCAACAAAAUUUUAUUUUUAAAAUUAUUUUCAACAUUCUUAUUUAAAAAAAUUAUCAUUGGAUUAUUUUCAAAAAGGACAGUCCUAAAAAAAUUAACCAUUUAUAACCCAAUUUAAACUCAAAAAUUAUCCCCAAUAUUAUUUUAUAUUCCUAAAUUAUUUUCAAACAAAAUAACAAUUAUUAAUAUUUUGAUUCAUUUUAAAUACUUUCACAAAAAUAUAUUUUAACCACAUAUUAUUUUAAUUUAUCAAAAUAUUUUUAGGAAAUGAGUUAUUUUCCAUUUAUUACUAUCCUAUUUUUCAAAACAUAUUUUCAGGCAUUUCAUUCACAUUUUAAAAUUUCAAAUACUAAAAUUAUUGUUUUUAUAAAACAACAAAGCAUGUAAAUUUCAACUACUAAAAUUAUUGUUUUUAUAGAAUAAACAAAGCAACAUACACUCAUCUUCCAUUUACUAAUUCAACUAUUACAAUCACCCCAAUAUUUUGUUCACCUACCAAUAAUUUAUUCCAUGUAGGUGACUCUAAAAAAAAAAAGUCAUAUUUAUAAUACCCUUUACGACUCUGAUAUCCAAUAUUCUAUUCUAUUUAGGUGACUCAAUACAAAGAAAGUGGGAAUGUUUUCUUAGGUUAACCGAAGAAAACCCUAAAUAACUUAAGUGCUUUUGGAUUAAUUGAGUAUCAUCUUGUAGUAGAUGUCAAUCUCUAUUGUUAGACUUCACCAAAAAGCUCCUAGCACGGUGGAAAAAAGUAUCAAAUAUAGUCAAGUCUUCAAUAAAAUACUAUUUCAUGCGAAAAAUUACUACAAACUAGUGUAUCUCUCAUUCUCAAUUAGACAAAAUUUUUAAAAAUAAUUCAUUUUUCUUGUUUUCAUUUGUUUUGGGGCUUAUUAGCAAUGAAACAAAAAAUAUGUUAGAAUGUUAAACCUAGUUUUAACUUCCUUGGAACUCGAUAAAAAACACCAUUUACAAAACCCACAUCAUAGAUAUACUAAAUCAAGAGAUAUAAAACAAUUAUACUAACAAAGUUUUUUGCAUUAAUAACAAAAAAUGAAGAUGGUAGAUAAGAGAUUUUGACUUACGCGAGAUUUUACGAAGCAAAGAAUAUCAAUUAUGGGUGUGCCGACCAUGGGUGUGAGAAGAAGGAGAAGAAAACGAUGGUUAGGGUUAAGCAAUAAGAUCUUUUAUAUUAGUUAAUGUAUAUAUGGAAACAAUGGACUUUUCAUAAAUUGUUCCUACUCACUAUUUUUAAAAAGGGCCCAUUAAGUUAUAAAAUUUAAAACUUUUUAUUUCAUAUGGUGUCACUUCCAAAAAAUGACACCGUAAAUCUGAAAUUAGCAUCAUCUAACUAUCCUAAUUGAAGAUUUUUUAUAUGAUGUGUCACUUUUAUAAAUUUUAAGUUCAAUGGUGUCAUUAUUUUAAAUGCGACACCAUAAAUAAUGACAUCAUAUAUUAUUUUUGUAGUAGUGUUAGUUUUAUGUGACUCUGAUUAUGUUGUAAGUUUUGUCGAAAUUGAAUACAAACAUGUAGGUCCUAUCAUUCCACAAAUUGACUACCUAAGGUUGCCAAAGGAACUACCUAAUGUUCACAAAUGUAGUGACUAUGCCUCACAAAUGAAGUUUCGAGGCUUCACACAGGUAGUACCCAAGUUUAACUAAGGUAGUACCUGAGGUAGAUUAAGGUAAUACUUGAGGUAAAUUAAGGUAGUACUUAAGGUAGAUUAAGGUAGUACCUUAAGGUUACUAAGGUCGUACCUAAGGUACAAUCACCACUAUACCAAAGGUGAACCAACUAACCACAUAAUACCAUGCUUACUUCUAUUUGACUAUGAUUACAUUGUAAGUUCCAUUCCAAUUGAACAUAAACAUAUAGGUCCUAUCAUUCCACAAACCAAUUGCCUAAGGUUACCAAAUGAACUACCUAAUGUUCUCAAAUGCAGUGAUUAUGUCUCAUAAAUGAAGUUUUGAGGCUUCACACAAGUAGUACCCAAGUUUAACUAAGGUAGUACCUGAGGUAGAUUAAGGUAGUACCUUAAGGUUACUAAGUUCGUACCUAAGUUACAAUCACCACUCUACCAAAGGUGAACCAACUAACCACAUAAUGUCAUGCUUAGUUCUAUGUGACUACGAUUAUAUUGUAAGUUUCAUUCCAAUUAAACAUAAACAUGUAGGUCCUAUCGUUCCAAAAACCAAAUGCCUAAGGUUACCAAAUGAACUACCUAAUGUUUGCAAAUGCAGUGACUACGUCUCACAAAUGAAGUUUUGAGGCUUUACACAUGUAGUACAUAAGUUUAACUAAGGUAGUACCUGAGGUAGAUUAAGGUAGUACUUAAGAUAGAUUAAGGUAGUACCUUAAGGUUACUAAGGUUGUACCUAAGGUACAAUCACCACUCUACCAAAGGUGAACCAACUAACCACAUAAUGCCAUGCUUAGUUCUAUGUGACUCCGAUUACGUUGUAAGUUCUGUUCGAGUUGAACAUAAACAUUUAGGUCCUAUUGUUCCACAAACCAACUGCCUAAGGUUGCUAAAAGAACUACCUAAUGUUCCCAAAUGCAGUGACUACGCCUCACAAAUGAAGUUUCAAGGCUUCACACAGGUAGUACCCAAGUUUAACUAAGAUAGUACCUAAGGUUGAUUAAGGUAGUACUUGAGGUAGAUUAAGGGAGUACCUAAGGUAGAUUAAGGUAGUACUUAAGGUAAAUUAAGGAGUUACGUUAAGGUUACUAAGGUUGUACCUAAGGUAUAGUCACCACUCUAUCAAAGGUGAACCAACUAACCACGUAAUGUCAUGCUUAGUUCUAUGUGGCACCGAUUGCAUUGUAAGUUUCGUUUGAAUUGAACAUAAACAUGUAAGUCAUAUUGUUCCAUAAACCAACUGCCUAAAGUUGCCAAAGAAACUACCUAAUGUUCACAAAUAUAGUGACUACGCCUCACAAAUGAAGUUUUGAGGUUUCAGACAAGUACCCAAGUUCAACUAAGGUACUACCUAAGAUAGAUUAAGGUAGUAUCUCAGGUAAAUUAAGAUAGUACCUAAGGGUUACUAAGGUAGUACUCAACUUCUUAUUAUGUCCAGAACAUUCUUCAAAACAUCACAAAGUAAUUACCAUUUUCAUUUUUUCAUUUCAUGAGUCUCUGAUCCAGAAAAAGCAUUUAAAAAUACUAUUAGGCUUUGGUAGUUAUAUCUAUUGAACAAAACCUUCGAAUUGUUAAGAUAUAAACCAUUGAAUAAGACUACAAUCAUAUGAGACCAAAACAAUUAGAAUACCAACAAUAAAUCUUAAAAAUAUAUACCUAAUUGAUCCAUUUUUUUUAAUCAGAUGGUUACUGCCAAUCAUUUUAUCAAGUCUGAAAUUAAAUUUAAAAAACAUUCUAAAAAGAAUGUCACCCAUCUUGACAUUUUUUUCCCUCAAUUAAUACAUUCAAGUUUUUCAACCAAAGACCAAGGAGACAACAAUAAAAACAUACACACAAUCAAAUUGGCAUUCAAAAGAAUCAUUAGAACACAUUAAGAGAUGAUGAAGGUCUAGCUACCUUAACAACAACUCGAUCCCACUCCACACUCUUGCCCUAAUGUCCACCUUCAAAUCAGGCAAAAAGGGAAAUUUCAAAUUUCGACUUAGGCCAAAGUGAGACGAACAAGUUUUCAGAUGAAGAUGGGUAAUGGAUUCAAGUGGUCAAGUUGAGAAGAGAAAAAUAGUGGGGUUAGGGCAAAAUCAGAGCAACAACUUUCGGGAAAAUGGGUAUCAUCGGGUGCGGCUGGUCAAGAUGUAAAGAGAGAAAUGGCUGAAUAAAGAAAAAUGUACACUGGAGUUCUGGAUUUGGGUUUUUGAAUUGAAAUGAGAGAAAUUUUGGGUUGUCGGGAGUGAAGAAAGAUGAGAGAAAGCUUCCAAAUGAGAAAGGAAAACUUUCAAAUUGGGUGGUCGGGUCAGGUGUUUUUAUUUUUAUUUUUUGAGAAGUUAUAGAUUCAUAUUUUAGUGUUUUUUCUUAAUUUUAGUGGUGGUGCUAACAUGGAGGUUGGGAUAAUGUUAAGGAUAUUGAGUUGGAGACACGGAGGGGCAAUUUGGGCACAAAAGAUAUAACUGACUCAGAGUGCACAAAAAUGAUAAUACUUUCCAUAUUAAAAGUUGAUUCUCAUAUUUUAUAAACUUGGGUUCCCAAAACCAUAUAUUUCCCAAAUAACAAGCCUAAAACAUAAUUUUCCCUAUAAUUUAUGUCAUAGUGAAUUUCAAAUUUGUUACAAAAGAUUUUGUAAACUAAUUAUAUGUCCUUGUAAAAUAUAUUUGCAAAAUAUAUUUACAGCUAUUCUACCAUGAGCAUAUAAUGUUGCAAGAGAAAUUUCCAUUGCUAUGUACUCGACCUCCUCGGAUUGGUGCUUGGGAAGAUGAUGAUGUAUUGGAGGUGAAAUGAAAAUUGAAAAAAGUUGGUGGAUAUGCAAAUGAUAAUGUAAGUUAUAGUUUUGAAACUUGUUAAAUAUUUGCUUUUUUUAAUUGAUUUAGAAUAGGAUAUGUGUGAUAUAUUGAUGAACAUAUUGUAGGUGAAAAUAUGGGAGAUACAAAACAAGGAAGAGGAUCGAGUUGAUCAAAAUGAGAGGAUAAUGGAGGGGGAGAAUGAGGAAGACAGUAAGAAAGAUGAGAAAUUGAAAAUCCAUCCACAUAAAGAUGUUCUUAAACAAGCAAGUUUUACAAUAUCUUUGAACUUGUAUAAAUAUUAGUAAUUAACUCUUGUAUUGUGAUGUUACUAAUCAAAUUCCUAUAUGUCAUUAGGUUGAUCCUGAGAGCUUAGUGGAGAUGGAUAAAACAUUUCAACAAUUGAAGACACAAGUAAUUGAUUUGCAUUAUGGUCUAAGUACUAGUAAUUGUGAAAAUGUUUUUAUUGAAGUUGAGGUGAAAUAUACAACAUUGAAAAGACUCUUCCUUGCUUCAAGAGAAAAACUUUUGAGAGACAAUAAGAAGCGAAUAAAGAGGGAUAUUCUUUCAUGUGAGAGAAGUUUGAAAAAGGAAAUGAACUUUAUGUUGAUACUUUGUCAACUCACAAGUUAUGCAUAAAGAAUGUGAAUGGAAAGAAUAAAGAUGCAUACUCUACAUUAGUUGAAGUGUACAUCAUUUUCAAUGAAAGUGUAGAUAUUUUACCACUUUGGAUGAAAAGACCUACCAAAGAUAAUGGAAAUGUAUAUAUAAUCUCAAAAUUUUUAUUGUAGUUAACUACUUAUUCAUUACCUAGUACAUAUAUGUAUAUUAAUGUCAUUUUCCAUGUUGGGAACCAUUACGAGUACUAUGUGGUCUUCUCGAUCAUGUCAUGAAAAUACGUAUAUCGAGGAAGAGGAAAUAGAGUAGAUUCAAGGUCUUCCUAUUUGUACAAAAUUUAGAGAAGAUGGGAAAACGUAAAGCAUGUGAGGUAUAAUACAAAUACUCAAAUACCAUUUUCUUCUUAAUGAAGCAUGACAUUUAUACCUAAUAAUUAUCCUUUUUUUUUUCAUUUAGUCAAUCUUCAUGUCCAUUCGGGAAAAUGUAGUGAAUUCUUAAUCAUUCAAUAUACUUCAAUCUCUUAUUGCUGAUUAUAUUUUCAAUAAAUUGUUGUCAACAAGGUUUGUGGUGUCUGAAACAUUCAUGGAUGUGUUGUAACAAUUUUAGCCUCCAUGUUUUUCCAUUUAUGUAAUAAAUGUUUUAUCAUAUUAUUGUUGUAGUGAGCUUCUUAUUGACUUCAAUCAUGAACAUGGAGUUUAUGGAGAUUUUGAGUGUUUACGUCUUAGACAAAAAUUAUUGGAUGUUGUAAGUAUCUAUUUCAUUCAUAUUAAUUAAUUGUUUUAUGAAUGAAAUAAAUGUAUGAAAGUUAUUAUGCACCACAAGUCGUCAAUAUAUUAGCAUCAAAGCUUAUUUACUUUGAGAGGCAAUUAAUAGGCAUACGAAGUAUAAGAUGCUAUCUUGACAUUUUGAGUAAGCUCAUUUUUUUUAUUCUUGUUUAGGAACUUAUUAAGUAUAAUAUACUAAUGUUUAUGUUAUGUUAUAUGAUUAGAAAAUUAUUUUGUGCAUGAGUCCACAAUCUAUUUUUGAUAGAAAAACAUCCAUUGUUAGUACAUUAGCAAAUUGGACGAUUGAGAGAAGGUUAGUAAUAAUUUGUAAUAUUUUAUUACAUAUAUCAAAGUUUUAGUAGAUAUUAUUUUGACCUAAAAUAGGGUUUGAUAAUUUCAAAUUCUCCGGCUUUUGGUUGAAUAGUAAAUUGAUUUAUUGCUUCUAUAUCUGCAAGUUUUUUUUUUUAAUUAAAUUGAUUUUAUAAAGCUGUUCAAUUAUUCGUUCGUUUGUAUAUUUUUUACACUUUAUAUCAACAAAGUUUUCUUGAUCUAUUUGUUCUACUAAUAACGCUAGGCAAAACUUAGCUAGUGAAUUUUUAGUGAAUUUUGAAAAUUUUUAAUAUUUUGCAUGAUUUUAAAGAUUUUCUAGGUAAACCCAAAACUCAACUAAGGUGCUUCCAAUUUUUGCAUCUAGUUGUAAAUUCUCAAAGAAGCAAACCAAUUCAAUAAAGGCCAUGAAGAGUUGUAUUGCUCAAGUGGUAGGACCAAAUAGAAGCACCAACAUGAAUUGGAAUUACACAUCGUAGCAUAGAUGGACAAAGUACAAUGGAAGUUUAGAAUUUGAAGGAUAUAUUUUAUAAAAUAUUUGCCAUGCCAACAUUCUUCAAGCAUAAAUAGAUCAGAAUAAGUGUUAACCAAUAAACAAGCUUGCCCUUAUCUCAAAUAAAUAACUAGUGGUUUGAAAUAUAAGUUUGAAAGUCCAAUUAGCAAUUUGUGGAGGAUUGUAAUAAUUAGGUCAAUGACAGACUAUUGAAUACAACUAGAAACAACAAUAGAAGAUUUGAAUAUUAAAGUGAAUCUAUCCUUAACAUAUAAGUUACAAAGAUUUGCACUAAAUCUAUCCUAAAAAUGCACUAAAUCUCAACAAAUAGAUUUUCUUCAAUCAACUAAAAAUGAUGUAACAUUGAAUACUAUUACUUGAAAAGAGUCAAAUAAGAAUGAGAAGACCAAAAGGGGAAUACAUAAUUGUAUUCAAAAGGGAGGAUUCCCCUUAUCGGUUUUGACUAAUAUGUUUCAUCUUAAUUUCUUCAUCCAUUCAUUAUGAGAUGCAUGUGAAAGAUCUCACUUUAUGACUCUCCUAAAUAUUACAAAUGUCUUAAAUAUAUUUUGGGGUUUUUUUUAGCUCAUAUUGCCAAUAACUUUUAAAUUAAACUCACUAUCAAAGUCUUAGUCUCACCCAAAUACCAAUAGUACCAAUAAUAAGGAAGUAACUAUUACCUCAGGAUGAGUAUUAAAGAAAUCUUCAUAUUUGACUUCAUAAACAAGCUUUAAUAAUAGUUGAGCCAUAAAAGCAGAGUUUUCCAGAUGACCUUCAAUGACAUCAAACAUCAAGGAAAUUUUCAUAUAUGGAUUAAUACACAAACUUUACACAUCAUGUAUGAAGAUAUAAGCAAUUUCUACAACUUCAUGAAACAUAUAAUCUAUCUGUGUAAGAUGCCUAUAUGAGAACUUUCUGAAAGAGAAAAACAUCAAUGGUUAAGCAUUUAAGGAAGGCCUAAACUAUAAAGUACAAACAAAUGGGAAAUGUAACUGAUCCUUGCACUAUGUGACUUUAAACCUGUGAUUGUGAGAGUUCUGUGUGUGCAAGAAUUUGUAGCAUAUGCAAUUCUAUCCAGAUUAAUAUCAAGAAAGGUGAGGUAACCUCGAUAUCUAAAUUUCAACAUGUGUAGUAUCAUUUAUGACCAUUAGGCGUCUAAUAAGACCAUAAACUCCUAAAGUUAUUUAUCACAUCUAUGAAUGCUCACUUCUUUUUUGUGCCAUGAAUGAAGCAAUUUUAGUUUCACAAUUCAGAUUUCCAACAAUUCCUCAUGUUUUAUUUGGGCUAGGAAAUAGAGUAUUUGAAUUUGAAGACAUUAGGUAAGAUAAAGGCAAAAAUAUGUCGUAAUGUACCAAUGGUCGAUCGCUAUGAGAAGCAGUCUUCAGUGCUGCUGCUAGACAUUGCCUAUUUUGGAGUGACUUACCCAAAUUGGCAGCGUCUAUUGAUUGAGGAAAAAAUGGAGUCGCUUGUUACAGCGGCCGACCGUUUAAAGUAAUGGUUGUCACUUGUUCCUUCAUUUUAAGAUGUCAUUUCUAGUUUUUAACUUCUACUUUGAUUUACUAGUAUGAGUUGGAUGCCUCAUAGCACGUCUCUUCAUUGCAUUCUCUUUUCCUAACUUUAUGGGAAAAUGGGGCCUUGGAGGGAUAAAAUCCUAGCUUCUAUAUGACAAGAAAGGAACAAAGAUAACUUUUAAAGGAAAAACAAAAGAUUUUUAUGUAUGAUGUCUCAAUGGCAUUACAUAGUUGCUAUGACAUGCAAAGAUCUGUAGCAGAAAGUGGAAAGUACUACAGAUGAUCUGUGAGCAGGAGCCAUGUUGAGUCAAUGGAAUCAUGAAUCACACAUCAAACAAAAAUUGCCUAGGGAUUAUGGAGACUUGGAAUCCAUUGAAUGAAAGUUAAAGAGAUUACAUGUUAUAACCUAGACCAUAUGGAUAGGUGUUAAUCCCAGAGAAUACAGGUUAGUCUUGGUUAGUUUGUAUUUCAACAAGUAAACCAAGGCCAUUAAGUUAUCUCACAGGUCAGCGAAAGGGUUGCUAUGACUUGCUGUCAAGAGGACAAACAUGUACACAACCCUAUAACUUGUUCUAACCUAUACUAAUUUAAGAUGAUUCAAUACUCCCACCAAAAUAGAUAGCAUGACUUCUAACAUUUAUGGAAAUUCCAGGUCAAGCUAUUUUACUUUAGCAUGACCUAGAUUAGAUGUGAACUUAAAUGAGUGCUUAAUAGGAUGCAAAAAUAUUUAAUGCUACCUUAACCAAAAUAUAGUAUAGAUUUGAUAUCUAGUGAAUAGUAGGCUAGGCUUCCAUAGCAGUAACAUUAAACUUGCAAUACUUGAACCUUUAAGGGAUGUCCUCAACUUGAAGCUUAAAAGGCAAUGGAUGGAAGUGGAGUUGAUUUCCAACUUAAUGGCAAUAAAAGUGGACAACACCAUUCCUUAAUAAGAUAUGAAGUACUUUGUGGAUAUAUUCUUUGAGUUUUACCUUCUUUGGAAUAUCAACAUCUGUAAUUUGGAAGAACAAGAUAAAAGGUUAACACAAGGCUCGUAAAAUGGGUGAAACUAAUUCACAACAAGAACUAAACCAAGAAAUAACAUACUAGACUACCAAUUGCUUCCAUGUCUACUGACUCCAAAUGAGGAAGGAACUCCUUUACAAUUUCUAGUUCAUUUUUCAUGAUAUUAAUAAAAUAGGUAUCCUUUUGACAAAUAUCACCAAACUGACUACAGUCUGAUCAAAUAACACAUGAAGUUAGUAUUUUGCUAUUAAAGCAGCAAAUGCAAGCAUGCAUGUAUACAACAAUUAGGCCAUGAAGACAAAAAUCAAAUACUUGCAACUAUUUAAGGCACUAAUCAGAUCCUAAUAACUGUAAAUAGGCAACUUGGUCAAUUAAAGAUAUCCAAAUAAAUAAAACACAGAAAAAAAUAAUGCAUUAGUUUGUUUUCACUAACCCAUAUGUAAGAUUUAUAAAUUUUUAUGUAGCUAUAAAGACGAAUAUUAGUACAUAACCAUCAUAAUGCAUGGUAUUCAAGAAAUUUCUUUUUUUGGUGAAUAAUGUACAUAAUUAAAAAAACAAGGUAAAGUGAAAAAGUCAAUACGUAAUAUCAAGAAAUGCAUACAUUGAAAUUGUAAAUAUUUAUAAUAAAUGAAUAGCAAAUAAGUAUUCAUACAUAAUAUCAUCUAUAUUUGUAAAACGAAAUAUAUCAUCCAUGUAACAUCCAUAAAUGUCAAUGUAAACAUAUCACUCAUAUAUGUGAUUGCAUAUCAGUGGAAAAUCAAGUCAGAAGACAAAGUCAUAAAUACAAAAAAUGUAUUACAUUCUCAAAAUGUCCAAAAAACAACCAAACUAUCCUAACUAGAUAAUCAGUUGAAGAUGUAGGAAAAGGUCAACCCUGGGUUGGGUUAUGAGGUCGGAAUUGGGCUCUCAAGAGCGCCAUCAUCUCAUCAUGCUAGUCCCGUAUAACUUGCUUACUUGCUUGGAAAUCUUUCUUGAACCUAUCAAUUCGCCCUUCCAAAGAUGUCAAUUGUCCAUCAUUCGCUAAUGCCAUCUCUUCUAAAUGUGUAGCAAUGUACCUAAUCUCAACAUUGAGGUUGUCUGACACUUUUGCCUUGUUCCUAGCUCGUUCAGAGGGAUGAUCCACAAUACCUGUAGCUCAUGCCCCAUUGUUUGGGGGUAUUUUUGUGGCAUUUUUCGAAGACCCCUUGUCUAAGACACAACCACAUCUAGAGAUGGCAUAAAAGAUUUUUUUCCCGACGAACCAUCUUUCUUACAAACAAAUUGCAUUUGACGUAGUGACGCCCAAUUAUAUGUAUCAAAUGAUUUCAACUUCUUACCAUCAGUCUCACGCCAUAAAUUAACAUAGAAGAAUUUUACAAUCUUUGUGAUAAACAUGCCAUAUAGGAGGACUGACUUUUCACUCGAUGAACAAGCUUUCAUAUGCCGAAAUAUGAUAUACCCCAUAUUAAUCUUCCUUUCUGUCAAAAUGUUGUAAACCAAAAAGGCCUCCAAGAAAGAAACAUCAUCUCAAUGUCCUCAUUUGUGGGAAUAUGAGAAAUCAUGUGCUAUAAGACCCGACUCAACAUAGUCAAUGAAUGAGAUGUUGGUCUACCAACCUUCUCAUAACCACACAACAUAUGGACAACUUCUACUAGUUUGAAACCCUCAACCUUGGGCCACUUCUUUGAUUCAUAUAAACAGAACCCUUCAUUUAGAAUAUUUAAAAUCCUACAAAGUUCAACCACAUCAAACAUAAUUUCUACACCAUUAAUGUUUUUAGUAAUGGGUCCCUCCUCUUCAAACUUCAUAUUGAAGUAAAAGUAUUUGACAACCCUAGGAUAAACAAGCUUUUUCACCAAGACAAUAGGAAGUCAUCCCAUUAUAAAAAAAAAAACUAUAAAAUCAUAAAUAACUUAGCUUUGAGAAAUCAAUGUUCCUACUCGAGUUGACAUUCCUAUUGGUGAAAUGAAGAUUAAAUCUCGAUGUUAGCUUUGGGGUUGUGAACAUACCUCUAUCAAAGGUGACCUUCCUAUGGACCUCAACAUUUUCCUCCAUCACCCGUCUUCUCCCUUUACUGGUGCUGGUUCUUAUUGCCGUUGGAGCUCAUUUCGAUGCCAUGGGAAGUGAUUUCAACAAUAAGGAUUUUCGUUCAACUAUGGGGUGUCAGAAAGUUGAAAGGAAGAGAAGAGAGAAUGGUUGAGGGUUUUAGGUAGGUCGCCUAAAUCGAUCAACCAUGGUUUUUGGUGGGAAUUACAUAUGGUUUCAAACUUUAUUUUUAUAAUAAUGGAUGUGAUAUCCUAAUGUUUAAAAUUCCAUUUUAAUAUAAUGGGUGUGAAGGUGAAUUAUUUUGUUUUUAUAAUAAUCAAAUUAAUUUAAUUAAUUAAGGUAAAUUACAUUGUUUUUAUAAUAAUUAGGAUAUAAUAUGACAACUUAAUUAAAUUAAUUAAAGUAAAUUAUUUUGUUUUCAUAAUGAUUAGGAUAUAGUAAGACAACUUAAUUACAUUAAUUAAGGUUAAUUGAUUAAAUUUUAUAAUCAUUAAGAUAUAGUAUGACAACUUAAUUAAAUUAAUAAGUGGACAAUUGAGUAAAUUUUAUAAUCAUUAGGAUAUAGUAUGACAACUUAAAUAAAUUAAUUAACGUAAAUUGUUUUGCUUUUAUAAUAAUUAGGAUAUAGUAGGACAACUUAAUAAAAUUAUUUAAGGUUAUUCAUCAAAUUUUAUAAUCAUUAUGAUAUAGUAUGACAACUUAAUAAAAUUAAUUAAGGUUAAUUCAUCACAUUUUAUAAUCAUUAGGAUGUAGCAGCACUGCUUAAUUAAAUUAAGUAAGGUGAAUCGAUCAAAUUUUAUAAUAGUUACGAUCAUGGAUGAAAAUUUUGGAAAAAAUCGCUGAAAUUUCAUGUUUCGGCCAGGGGUGAUACAAAAAAAGGGGAAAAUAUCAAAGGGAAUAUUGGAAAAAAAUCGGUGAAAAUCGCCUCAAUAUCGACUAGGAUCGAUUAAUUGAAUUUUUUUUUUAAGAAAAUCGCCUGAGACCGUAAAAUAUCACCGAUAUUUCUAUAAUUUAUUGUCGAUAUUUUGGCGAAAUUGGAAAAAAAAUCGACGAAAAAAACGUUGUGCAGUUGCGGGACUAGGCUGUUGACCGGUCAAACAAAAAAAGAUUUUUUUAGGUUGCUGGUGCGAGACUCGAACCUGAAACUAGUGCACAUAGCCUAUUCACCAGUCACCAAUGGCUACCUUGACUUUUAAUAUUUGAUGUGCACUAGAAGAAUAUAUACUAAGAUAGUGAUAAAAACAAAAUAUUUUAAUAAACAAAUUAAUUAUAAUUAUUUUAUUUUAAAAUUUAAUUUAAUUGACCAUUAAAAAUAUAAAAAUUAUAGUGAUAAUUUUCUUAACUUUUUUUUAUAUCAUUUACAUAUUAAUUAAAUAUAAAAAAUAUAAAUAUGAAAAAAAAACUAUACAUAUAUCAUCAUUUAUUUUAUAUCAUUUAAUACAAUUGAAUUAAAUGGAUCAUAAUUUUAAUAUUAAAUAUAUUUUAAAAUUGGACAUAUUAUAAUUAAAUAUCACAAUAUUAUUGUGCAAUAAUAUUUGAUGUAAUUUAAUAAUAAAUGUACACUUAUAAAAUUCAUAUUUUUUUAUUGACACAUACGAUAUUAUUAUAUCAAAUAUGAUAAUAUAUAUAUAUAUAUAUAUAUAUAUAUAUAUAUAUAUAUAUAUAUCUCAAAUUCUUAAACAAAACAAAUGUAAAAUGUCCAUUAUACUUCUAAUUACAUUUCUAUGAAUUUUUUUUAUAUUUCCAUGAGUUUUGAUCAAUUUUAAGUGUAUCGAUAUUUUUUCCCAAAAUAUCCACCAAUAUAUCUCUGAUAUAUCAUAUAUAUUCGUAAAAUCAAAGUACUGAUAUAUCUGUAAUUACCGAUAUUUUCAUCAAUGGUUACGAUAUAAUAUAUCAGCAUAAUUAAAUUAAUUAAGCUAAAUUCAUUGAAUUUUAUAAUCAUUAUGAUAUGGUAUCAUUGCUUAAUGAAAUUAAUUAAGCUCAAUUCUAUUGUGAAAUUUAAAUAUUAUAAAUUAUCUCCAUGGCCCCACAUUAGGAUAUUGUUAACAUCAAUUCAUUGAUUUCCAUAGAAUAAUUGGAAGUAUUUUCGUAUUUGAAUUCAAUUAAUUAUCCAUAAUGUAAAUUUAAGUUAAAUUACAAUAAUAUCAAUUAAUUACUUUCUAUUAUUUUGCACAUACUUUAUAUUUUGUAAAGUUAUACAUACAUCCAUUUAAAAUGAGUGUAAUGGUCGACGUUAGGCUAAAAUUUGCUCCGUGUUAUUAUUGUUCUUUUUAAUGUCCCAUAAGAAAAUUAACCAAAAAUGGUAAAAUUUAACCACCAAUUGUACCAUUAUACAAGUUUUUUUCUACAUGUGGCAAUCUAUUAAAACUUCUCAUUACUUCACCAACCAACCUCUUAUAUAUAUUAGUAGUUAUUUGGAAAUCAAAUUUUUUUUAAAGGGAGCUAGAGAGUGAAAGAGGAGUUCUCACUGUGGGAGCUCUUGAUGCAAAAUAAUAAUAAUAAUAAUAAUAAAAUAAAUAAAUAAAAUAAAACCCUAUUUCUUGAGUUAAAGCUCCCUCAAACUUGCAAUUUCCAUUGUCAAUGUAUCAUCUUUAACAAUGAUUUGUUAAACAAAACCAUAAUAGUUUUUCAAUCUAAUUACCCCCCAACCUUUAAAGUGAUGGGAAAAAUGUGUCCCAAACCUAGAUGUAAUUUGAAAAAAAAAAAAUCUCUUUAAAAAAAAUAAAUGUAGGUUAUGCAUGUCUAUAACACAUUAUUAGUAUUUUUCAUCAGUUAACAUUUUUUAUUUCAAUGUAAUGGCGGGAGCACACUUGCCACCAAUGUCUAUCGGUUGAGGUUUUUACUCAAUCGAUUGACUAAUUUUAUAGUUGGUUGCCACUGCUACUAACAAGAUUUCUGAAAGCUACUCCAAUUGAGUGACUAGUAUACAUUGCCUCUAAAAUGAAUGACUUAUACAUCAUAGGUCGACUGGAAUUAUGCGAUUGACUUAUAUGAAAGUCAGUCGAUCCUUACUUAAGUUGUCAUUCCUACAAUUUUAAACAUGUUUUCUGAAAUGUAGGUGCUACAAUUGGAGAUGAUGAAAACAAUCAAGUAAGAAUUUGAAGUAAUGAUUGAAGAGUUACUACUAUGAUGCAAACACUUUGAAAGAGAAGAUGUUGAAGGGUAUUUCGGUUGAAGAAGUGUACAAAUUGGAAUUCAAUUGCAUAGAUGAGACAAAAACGUUUUACAACUUGUUUGCCAAAGUUACCUGAUUUAGUAUUCAGAAAGAUGAUUUAAAAUAGGACAAAAAUGGAGAUAUAGCAUCUCGAAAGUGGGUGUGUUAUAGAGAAGGACAUGGAUCGACAAAGUGUUUUGAAAAUAAGAAUCAACAAUGUGAGUCGUGAUCAUUGACUAGAGUUGACUAUGAAAUUGCAUUUCAUAUUGGGUUGAAUCAUAAAUUUGGAAAGUGAAUUAUUAAGGAGUUCAUAGGAGAGCAUAAUCAUCAUUUGGUCAAUGCUAUCGACACAAUUCCUUUGGUCUUAUUGAGCAGUAAGCAAUCUGGAUAAAGCAUAAAUUAAUGUUAUACAUAAAGGUGGCGUUAAAACAACCUAAAUUAUGGAGUAUAUGGUCCAAUAAUCAAGAGGACAUCAACAUGUUGGUUUCACACAAAAAAAUAUAUACAAUCAUGUUGAUGUAAUGCGUAGAGUUGAAAUUAAAGAUGGUGAUGCAGAAACAACUUUGGCUUACUUGUGCGGAAGGCAGAACCAGAUCCUUCAUUUUUUUUAUUUUAUAAAUUCAACGUCAAUUUAAAAUUUUGACUAGAGAACUUGUUUUGGGCUUGAUUUGAUUGCUUGAUUGGAUUAUGUGUGUUUCAAAAGAUGGGCUAGCAUUUGAUACAACCUAUAGGGAAAAUGCCUAUAAAAAGCCACUAGUCGUGUUGGUGUUAAUCAUCACCACUAAAUUAUGGUAUUUGGUUGUGUACUAUUGAUGGGUGAAAGUCUUGUUACAUAUGAAUGAGUUUUGGAGAUGUUUCUUAUAAUAAUGAUGAACAAGAAGUCCAUUUCUGUUGUAACCGAUGAGGAUAAAGCAAUGUGUAAAGCAAUUAAGAAAGUCCCUGAUGCAUGUUAUCACAUGUGUGAAUGGCAUCUCCAACGAAAUUCAUUCAUGAAUGUGCAUAUUAAAGACUUCACAAGCACCUUUGCAAGGUGUAUGUUCACGCAAGGGAAUCCUAAAGAAUUAGAACAGGCUUAGCAUGAAAUGGUUGAAAAAUUGGAUCUUGAUGGGAAUCAUUGGGUUAUAGAGAUUUAUGUGAAACACAAGAGAUGGGUUAGGCAUAUUUAUGCGAAGUAGAUAUUGUUGAAUUGAUGUCAAUUACUGUUAACUUAGAUACUGUCAAAGUUUAUGAUAUUUUAUUACAAGAAAAUAGUACAUGACUUAAGGUUGCAAAUAUGUUAAGUGAACAAUUUGAUGAAGACACUUGUUCUAUUUCAAUGUCACAUUGGGAAAAGAAAUUAGUUUCCUGCACCAUGCGCAUAAUGCAAUGAAUCUUACAGGAGAAGUUAUAUAUGUAAGUACAAGUAAAAAAUGAGAAGUUUUACAAGAAAUGCAUAAUGAAUCUUACAUACCAUAUCAUGAUGAUUGCUAAUAUGAGGAAUUGUAGCUUGAAGACACUUUUGAAUUGUGUGACCUAUCAUUUUAUUUCAAUUACAUAGUCUUCUUUUUUGAAUAUGUGAUGCAACUUUGUUUAAAUUUCCUUUACUCUUCACUAUAUUUGGAUCACAAACUUGGUGAGGACUUAUGGCUCCAUCUGGUGCUAAUUUCUUGACCUUCAAAGUAUUAUUAAAGGUUCCUCAAUUUUCACAAUUAAGCUUUCAAUUUCAUUAUUCGCUUCUAGAAAUGAAGAUGACGUAUGUGAAGCAUAGAAAGGGAGCUUGUUACACAUAAAACUUAUUGAAUUGUAUUGUACAAUCUGAUCUAUGUCGUUUUCCAUCCCAUUCAUUGAUGGUGAUCUUGGAUGUGCCUUUGCUAACUUUGUCCACCUCUUCAAAAUACAUGAAGUAGGAAUCUCUUCCAAAUGCUUUACCUUCAUAACAAUAACCAUGUGGUAACAAGGGAUGUUGAUUGACUCAAACAUCAUGCAUAAGCAUUUUAAUGUUAGAAUAUUCAACCAAAAUUGGACUUCCCAUUUAAAUUUUGGGUGUUUAAACUUAGAUAAUGUGUAUGACCACAAUGUAUCAUGGCUUACAAGCCUUACAACAAAAAAUAACUUUGCAUUCUUCAUCUCUUUACGAAAUUUGAGGAAGAAUUCCUUUGUGUAUACACUCGCAUCAUGAUUUUCAAGUAUGACGAGUUUGGUUGAAAGAACAGGUGAAGAAUUGUUCAUCUCAAACUAUACCUUUGCCUCAUUGUGUUGAAUUCUCAUUGUUGCCCUAUCGAAUUGUUGUACAAACUCAUAUAAUCGCAAAUGAAUUUUCAAGAAUCAAUUUAGAUAUGCAUUCAUACUCUCAUACCUUUGUGUGCUUCUCAUCCCUCCAAAGAAAUUUUCACGCAAAUAUGCCUCAACCCAUCUUCUAUGUUUCACAUAAAUCUCUAUAACCCAAUUAUUCCCAUUAAGACCUAACUUUUCAACCAUUUCAUGCCAAACUUGUUCGAAUUCUUCUAGAUUUCCUCACAUGAACAUGCACCUUGCAAAGGUGCUUGUGAAGUCCUUAAUAUGUACAUUUGUGAAUGCAUUUCGUUGGAGAUAUCAUUCACACAUGCGAUGACAUGCAUCGAGAAAGACUUUUUUAAUCGUCUUACGUAUUGCUUUAUCCUCAUUAGUUACAACAAAAAUUGGUUUCUUGUUCAUCAUUGUUAUAAGAAACAUCUCCAACACCCAUUCAUAUGUAGCAAGACUUUCAUCCAUCAAUAGUGCACAACCAAAUACCAUAGUUUGGUGGUGAUGAUUAACACCAACCAACAUGACUAGUGGCUUUUUAUAGGCAUUUUUCUUGUAGGUUGUGUUAAAUGCUAGCACAUCUCUAAAACACGCAUGAUCCAAUCGAGCAAUCAAAUGAACUCAAAACAUUGCAUCAACAUGAUUGUAUAUAUCUUUUUGUGUGAAACCAACAUGUUGAUGUCCUCUUGAUUGUUAGAUCAUAUAGUCUAUAAUUUGGGUUGUUUUAACACUAACUUUAUACAUAACAUCAACUUAUGCCUUAUACCAAUUACUUACUGCUUGAUGAGACCGAAGGAAUUUUGUCGACAACAUCGACCAAAUGAUGAUUAUGCUUUUCUUUGAACUCCUUAACAAUCCACUUUCCAACUUUUUGAUUCAACCCACUAUGAAAUGUAGUUUCAUAUUCAACUCUAGUCAACGAUUGUGGCCCACAUUCUCGAUUCUCAUUUUCAAAACACUUUGUCAAUCGACAUCCUUCUCUAUAACACACCCACUUUUGAGAUACUUUAUCUAUAUUCUUGUCCAGUUUCAAAUCAUCUUUUCAAAUACUAAAUCUGGUAACUUUAGCAAACAAGUUGUAAAAUGUUAUAGCUUUAUCUAUGCAAUUGAAUUCCAAUUUGUAUACUUCUUCAGCUAAAAUACCCUUCAAAUCCUUCUUUUUCAAAGUGUUUGCAUCAUGGUAGUAACUCCCACCAAUAUAUGCAUCGUUAAGGACCACAUAUUCAAUUUUCACUUCAAAUUCCUGCUUGAUUGCUUUCUCCAUCUCUAAUUCUAGCACCUACAUUUUAGAAAACAUGUUUAAAAUUGUAGGAAUGACAACUUAAGUAAGGAUCAAUUUGCUUUUCUAUAAGUCAAUUACAUAAUUUUGGUUGACCUAUAAUGUAUUAGUCAUCCAUUUUAAAGGCAGUGUAUAUCGGUUGACUUGCAAUAGUCAACUAGUAUUUAACUGGUCGCCCACUUGAAGUAGCCUUUCAGAAAUCUCGUUAGUGGCAGUGGCAACCGACUAUAAAAUUAGUCAACUGAUUGAGUAAAAACCUCAACCAAUAGACACUGGUGGCAAGUGUGCUUUCGCCAUUACAUUGAAAUAAAAAUUGCCAACUAAUGAAAAAUAUUAACAAUGUGGUAUAGACUUGCACAACCUAUAUUUAUUUUUUUAAAAGAAUUUUUUUUUUCAAUUACAUCUAGGUUUGGGACACAUUUUUCCCAUCGCUUUAAAGGUUGAGGAUAUUUAGAUUGAAAAAGCUAUUAUGGUAUUGUUUAACAAAUCAUUGUUGAAUUAAGGAUGAUGCCUUGACAAUGGAAAUUGCAAGUUUGAGGUAGCUUUAGCUCAAGAAAUCUUAUUUAUUUAUUUAUUUUUUAUCUUUGCAUAGGGCUCCCACAAUGAGAACUCUUUCGCUUUCCAACUCCUUUUAAAAAAAGUUGAUUUCCAAAUAACUACUAAUAUAUAUAAGUGGUUGGUUGGUGAAGUAAUGAGAGAUUUUAAUAGGUUGCCACAUGUAGAAAAAAACUUGUACAAUGGUACAGUUGAUGGUUGGAUUUCACCAUUUUUGGUUAAUUUUCUUAGGUGACAUUACAUAGAACAAUAAUAACACGAAGGGAAAUUCAACCUAAUGUGGUUCAUUAGACUUAUUUUAAAUGGAUGUAUGUAUAACUUUGCAAAAUAUAAAGUAUGUGCAAAAUAAUGAAAGUAAUUAAUUGAUAUUAUUGUAAUUUAACUUAAAUUUACAAUAUGGCUAAUUAAUUUAAUUCAAAUACAAAAAUACUUCCAAUUAUUCUAUGGAAAUCAAUGAAUUGACGUUAAAAAUAUCCUAAAGUGGAGCUAUAGAGUUGAUUUAUAAUAUUUAAAUUUCUUAAUAGAAUAAUUGAGAAAUUUCUCAAUAGAAUUGAGCUUAAUUUAUUUCAUUAAGUAGUAAUAUCAUAUUGUAAUUAUUAUAAAAUCUAAUGAAUUCAGCUUAAUUAAUUUAAUUAUGACAUCAUAUUAUAUCAUAACUAUUAUAAAAUUUGAUAAAUUCACCUUACUUAAUUUAAUUAAGCAACACUACUAUAUCCUAAUGAUUAUAAAAUUUGAUGAAUAACCUUUUAAUUUUAUUAAGUUGUCCUACUAUAUCCUAAUCAUUAUAAAAACAAAAUAAUUUACGUUAAUUAAUUUAUUUAAAUUGUCAUACUAUAUCCUAAUGAUUAUAAAAACAAUGUAAUUUACCUUAAUUACUUAAAUUAAUUUGAUUAUUAUAAAAACAAAAUAAUUCACCUUCACAUCUAUUACAUUAAGAUGCAAUUUUAAACAUUAGGAUAUAUAUGGUAUGUCUUGUUAAAUAAUGAACCCCCUAUAUCUAAGCAUUCCAAUUCAAUAAAUAGGGGAAGUUGAAAUUAAUUUAUAUUUCCCAAUUAUCACCCAAGUAAACCAAUUUAAAUAUGCAAUUUAAUUAAUUUUUUUCUCAAUAAACAAUCUACCUAGGGUAAUCAUUGCAAUUAAAAGUAUGAGAAUUUUGACACAUAUAUAAUAUUAAUUUAUUUAAAAUAAAGUCUGAAACCAUAUGCAAUUCCCACAAAAAACUAUGGUCGACUGGUUUGGGCAACCCAUCUAAAACCCUCAACCAUUCCUUAUUCCCUUCAACUUUUCGAUACCUCAUAACUAAACAAAAAUCCUUGUCGCUAAAAUAAUUUCCCAUGGCAUCAAAACAAGCUCCAAUGACAAUAGAGACCAACACCAACAAAGGGAAGAGACUAAAGGUGGAGGAAAAUGUUAAGGUCCAUAAGAGGGUCACCUUUGAUAGAGGUAUGUUCACAACCCUAGAGCUAGCAUCGAGAUUUAAUAUUCAUUUCGCCAAUAGGACUGUCAACUUGGGUAGGAACAUUGAUUUCUCGAAGCUAUGUUAUUUUCAAUUUGAUAGCCUUUUUUUGAUAAUGGUAUGACUACUUAUUAUCUCUAUGAAAGAACUUGUUUAUCCUAGGGGUUAUCAAAUACUUCUACUGCAAUAUGAAGUUCAAAAAUGAGGGAUCCAUUACUACAAACAUUAAUGGUAUAAAAAUUAUGUUUGAUGUGACUGAACUUUGUAAGAUUUUAGAUAUUUCGAAUGAAGGGUUCUGUUUAUCUGAAUCAAAGAAGUGGCCUAGGGUUAAGGGUUUCAAACUAAUAGAAGUUGUUCAUAGGUUGUGUGGUUAUGAGAAGGCUAGUAAACCAACAUCUCAUUCAUUGAUUGUGUUGAGUCGGGUCUUACGACACAUGAUUUCUUACAUUUUUAUCCUUAAUGGAGGACAUGAUGUUUCUUUCUUAGAGACCUUUUAGGGUGACAACAUUUUGAUAGAGAGGAAGAUUAAUAUGGGGUAUAUCAUAUUUCAACAUAUGAAAGCUUGUUCAUUGAGCAAAGAUUCAGUUCUCCCAUAUGACAUGUUUAUCACAAAAAUUAUAAAGUUCUUCAAUGUUAAUUUGCAGCGCGAGACUGAUAGUAAGAAGCUGAAAUCCUUUGAUACAUAUAAUCGGGCGUCGCUGCAUCAGAUGCAAUUUGUCCGUAAGAAAGAUGGUUUGUGGGGAAGGAAGCCUUUUGUGCCCUAUUCAAAGGUGGUGUGUCUUCAAACAAAGGGUCUUUAGAUGAGGAAAAUGAAAAUCCGGAUGUGGAGAGAGAAGAUACCCAAAAUGAAAAUGCAGCAGAAAUACCCCCGAACUAUGGGGCAUGAGCUACGAGCAUUACAAAUCAUCCCUCUAAACCAGCUAAGAACGAGGCAAAAACGUUAAACAACUUAAUGUUGAGAUCAGGUUCACUGCUACAUAUUUGGAGGAGAUGGCAUUAGCGAAUGAUGGACUAUUGACAUCUCUAGAAGGGUGAAUUGAUGGAUUCAAGAAGGAUUUCCAAGCGAAUAUGGAGGUUAUAUGGGACCAACAUGAUGAGAUGAUGGCAUUUUUGAGAGCCCAAUUCCCACUUCAUGACCCAACCCAGGAUUGACCCCUUUCUAUAUCUUCGACUAAUUAUCAAGUUAGGAUAGUUUUGUUGUUUUUUUGGACAUUUUGGGAAUGUAAUAUAUAUUUUGUAUUUAUGACUUUGUCUUCUAACUUGAAUGGCCACUAAUAGGCAAUCACACAUAUGAGUGAUAUGUUUACGUUAACAUUUAUGGAUGAUAUAUUUCAUUUUACAGAUAUGGAUGAUAUUAUGUAUGAAUACUUAUUUGUUAUUCACAUAUUAUAAAUACUUACAAUAUCAAUGUAUGCAUUCUUGAUAUUGCGUAUUGAUCUUUUUUUCACUUUAUUUACUUUUUAAUCAUGUACAUCAUUCACUAGAAAAAGAAAGUUCUUGAAUACUAUGCAUUAUGAUAGUUAUGUGCUAAUAUCCGUCUUUGUAGCUGCAUAAAAAUUUAUAAAUCUUGCAUAUGAGUUAGUGAAAAGAAAUUGAUGCUUUAUUUUGAUGUGUUUUAUUUAUUUAGAUAUUUUCAAUUGACCAAGUUGCCUAUUUGCAAUUAUUAGGAUCCUAUUAGUGCCUUAAAUAGUUGCAAAUAUUUGAUUUUUGUCUUCAUGGCCCAAUUGUUGUAUACAUGCAUGCAUGAAUUUGUUGCUUUAGCAGCAAAAUACUUACUCAAUGUGUUAUUUGAUGGGACUGCAGCCAGUUUGGCGACAUUUGUAAAAAAAAUACCUAUUUUAUUAAUAUCAUGAAGGAUGAACUAGAAAUUGUCAUUUAUGUUAUUUCUUAGUUUAUAUCUUACUUGCUAUGAAUUAUUUUCACCCAUUUUGAGAACAUUGUGUUAACCUUUUAUCUUGUUCUUCUAGAUUAUAGAUUUUGAUAUUCUGAAUGAGACAAGACCCAUAGAAUAUGUCCAUAAAGUACUUCAUAUGUUAUUGAAGCAUGGUGUUGUCCACUUUAUUUCCAUUAAGUUGGAAAUUGACUCCGAUUCCAUCCAUUGCCUUUUAAGCUUCAGAUUGAGGACAUCCCUUGAAGGUUCAAGUAUUGCAAGCUUAAUGUUACUGCUAUGGAAGUCUACCGCAUACUAUUCACUAGAUAUCAAAUUUAUACUAUAUUUUGGUUAAGGUAGCAUUGAAUAUUGUUUAAAUAGGUUCAUUACACUUUGGGGGUGUUCAAAUGAUGCCUGGAAAAUCAAAAUUUAAAGAUACUAAAAAGUUGGCAAGGGUACAUAGAAUGUGAGGAAUCCUCACAUUCUUUGUGCCCUCCUAUUUCUCCACUUCUUUGGACUUUUUAUAAAUUUUUGGCACCCCAUAAUAUAGGUUUGUUACUGAUUACUACUCAAAACAUGCUAUUUUGUAGCUUGUAAUUAGCUCUCUUAAACACUCUUGAGUAGUAAUUAUUACCUUUUAACUCGAUUAACAUGUUAGGGACCCUUGCAAUCAGAUUUCUAACAAUUGUGUUAAGUUUUGGUGUUUUUUGAUAGCUUUAUGCCCACCAAAGCAAUUUAAGAAUGAGGGAGAGCUAUUUAUAGUUCAUGGCAAAGCUUUUGGAAGCUUUGAUUUUUGAAGAAAUCAAGCUAUGGAGCCUCAUAAUCCUUUGCCUUAAUCGUUCAAAGUUUACAAGGGAGAAACAAUGGAGAAGAAGAAAACAGGGGAUGAAAACAGGGGACACAGCUGCAGUCUUUUAGUGCACUUUUGGAGCACUUCCCGAAGUCCAUUCUUUACAUUCUAUAUACCAUUUCGAAGCUCAGAAAGUCAAGAAUCCAAUGGUUCAAACCACGUAUGAUUUGGAGCUGAAAUGAGGAAGAUAUGGACUUCGGAAGACAACUGCAUCAAGCUGAGGGACAAUUUCGCACACCACUGUUUAAGGUGCGAAAUCCUCAGUCCACUGUGCGAAAAUUUCGCACACCUCAAACCAACAUGCGAAAUUGGAACUCAGCGUGCGAAAAUUGGAUAUUUUUGCCGACUCUUUUUUCUUCUGAUAUUUUUGUGUUUAAAUUUCCAUUUUCUCCUUGUAUUCAACCAACCAUGUAAUUCCUUAGCUAGGAAGUAUCCAAGGAAGGGUAAAACUACCUUCCUAUAUAAAUUCUCUUGUAAUCACUGAAAAGAUAUCUUCUUUUCGGGGAGCUUUCUCCAGGAGACCAACUUAUGUAACUUUGUUAUACAAAGAUCUCUUUUGUUUAUUUUCUCUCUUCUAUUUUCUAUUUUCUUGCAAGCCAAACACCCUCUGAGGAUGUUUUCCCAGAGGAUGAGAGGCUAAACAAUAGUUUCUUGGAUUAAAGGAAGCUAGGUGAAAAGUCCAGAUUAAAAGGUGGAAAGUUUCCGUGCAUUAAAUUCAGGUAGUUGGAGUCCAUAAAUGGUUUUUAAAGCCAAGGCUUUGCCUUAAAUCCCUUCGGAUCACUUUGACUGGCCAAUACAUGGUAAGCUUAAGGUCUCUGUGGAUACUUAUUGCUAGAUCCAUAUCAGUCCAUUAGUUAUCAUGUACGAGCCAUUGGAAAGUGAUUCAAGGUGAUAGCCCAUAGUGUCUUAAGCCAUUAAUGGACCUUGACUACCAUCUCUAGUGACUUUUUAUGGAUUAAAACUUCAUUGUCAAACCUAUACCGGUUCGGGAAAUAACUAUAGGUUAAAUCCCCAAUGCGAGGAGAAAAAUCCGGAAUUUUCCACUUUGCAUCUGGAACUUGAACCUAGCAACCUUUAGCUCCAAGAGACUUUCUUUCUUCCACUUUUUACUUAGUUCUAUGUGAGUUUAGUUUAAAUCACCACUUUCAAAGCAAUUUUAUUUUCUUUUAAAUUUCAAGUUUGUGCUAAAGGAAAUCAUCAUAAUCAAUUUCUAAAUUAGAGCCUAUCACUGAUAGAGUGAAAACCCAUCCCUGAGUUCGACCCUAGAACUGCUAUACUAUAGUAGCUUUGCUACGCCAGUGUAAGGUCAUAGGAUUUAUAAAUAUUUUUGAUUAAAAGACCCGACUAGGCACGAAUCAGUUACACUUAGGAGGCAUUCAAAUGAUGCUCAAAAAAAUGAAACUAAAAAAAUACAAAAAAAAUAGCAAGGGUACGAAAAAUGUGAGGAAUUGUCACAUGUCUCGUACCUUUCCCAUUCUCAACUUCUUUGAACUUUUAAAAGUUUUUUAAGAUUUCAUAUGGCUUGGAUAUUGUUUAGAUAGCUCCAUUACACUUAGGAGGUGUUCAAAUGAUGCCUUAUAAAAUUAAAAUCCAAAAAUACUAAAAAAUUAGGCAGGACAUGAAGAAUGUGAGGAACCCUCCCUAUUCUCCACUUCUUUGAACUUUAAAAAAGAAAAAAGAAAAUUGGGACUUCAUAUGACUUGGAUAUUGUUUAGAUAGGUUCAUUCAGUGUUUGAAAUAUCGAUAAACACGUAUAUAUCAGUACUUGGAUUUUACGGAUAUAUAAAAAAUAUCAAAUAAAUAUCGAUGGAUAUUUUUACACAAAUAUCGGUGAGACGAAAAUUAUUCAAAAUUUAUGGGAAUGAUUGGAAAACUCCAAAGAAUAAUAAAAUAAGCAAGAAUACACAUGUUAAAGUUAUUUUGUAAGUGUAAUUGACAUAAAUAUGGUUAAGAAAAAAAAAUCGGUAAACAAAGAUAUAUCAGUAGAUUAAAUACUUGGAUUUUAAGAAUAGAAAAUAUGAAUUUUGGAAUUGUACACUUAGAAAGUUAAAAUUGAGUUAAGAAAUACUUAAUUUUAUUAAAUGAAAACAUUUUAUACAUAAACAUAAUACAUAUGACAUUGCAAUAGUCCUUAAUACCAAAAUGAAGAUUGAUGUGCUUCCAUCAUAUUGUUAGAUGAAAGGAGCUCAUCUUGUUAAAGACAAUAUUCAUACCAGAACAUGGAGUUUCUAUAGUAUUGAUUGUAAGUACGAACAUGCCAUGCAUAAUUUUCUUGAGUCUUAUCCACAAUUUGUCCAUGGAUGGGAAGUCUAAGGUUUUCCCAUAUGCUCGUUUGAAAUCCUUAUUGUUGCAUCUAAUAUGGAAGGUAGUACAACAUUUGUAUGUAAGAAGGAUAGUUAUACUUUUCAUACUCUUCAUUGGUGGAACUUGAAAGAUUUGGAGAAGGCUGACCAUAACUCAUUGCAUAAGGGGCAUAAAUGUUGACUUUAUUUGACGAGUCACUGAAUUGAGUCUCUAUACUCAUUGACUCUAAAUUGGCCAACAAUGAGUCCUUGUUACAUGGCAUUAUCCUUCAUUGUCUUCCUCUAUAUGGCUUGUCAAUGGCUUCAACACCUAGACUAACUCUUCUAGAGUAGUGGUAUUCAUCUUGAGUACAAUGUGUGAAAUCAUUUUCACAAGUAAAUGUCGAUGGUUGUCCACUUUGCUGUUGUCGUCUAACAUCCCCUCCAUCAUUUCCACGGUCGCUACCAUCAUUAGUCUUCUCUCCUCUAAUAACCCAAUAGUUCUCAUGAAAACCUAACUUUUCAACCAUAUUAUGCCAACCGUGUUUGAAUUCUUUGGUAUUCCCUCUCAUGAACAUGCACCUUGCAAAUGUGUUUAUGAAGUACUUAAUAUGCACAUCUGUGAAUACAUUUUUUUGGAGAUACCAUGCACGCAUGUGAUGACAUGCAUCGGGAAACACUUUUUUGUCACCUUACGCAUUCCUUUAUCCCUAUUAGUUACAAUAAAAAUGAGCUUCUUGUUCAUCAUUAUUAUAAGAAACAUUUCCAACACCUAUUCAUAUGUACCAAUACUUUCAUCCAUCAAUAGCAUAAAACCAAAGACCACAGUUUGGUGGUGAUGAUUAACACCAACCAACACGACUAGUGACUUCUUAUAAGCAUUGGUUUGAUAUGUUGAAUCAAAUUUCAACACAUCUCUGAAACAUGCAUAAUCCAAUUGAUAUGUAGAAUCAACCCAAAACAAGUUUACCAGUUGACUUUCUUCACCAAUAUUAAAUUUAUAAUAAAAUGAAGGAUCCGCUUCUGUCAUCCUACACAAGUAAGUCAAGUUGUUUCUGCAUCACUAGCUUUAAUUUCAAUUCUACGUAUUGCAUCAACAUGAUUAUAUAUAUCUUUUGGUGUGAAACCAACAUGUUCAUAUCCUCCUAAUUGUUAGAUCAUAUAGUCCAUAAUUUGGGCAGUUUUAACAUCAACUUUUCGCAUAGCAUUAACUUGAGCCUUAUCUAGAUUACUUAUUGUCUGAUGAGACCGAAGGAAUUGUGUAUUGAUUGCAUCAACCAAAGGAUGAUUAUGGUAUUCUCUAAAGUUUUUAACAAUUCACUUUUCUAGUUUUCUAUUAAAGCUAAUACGAAAAGCAGUUUGACAUCCAACUCUAGUCAAUGAUUGUGGCUAAUGUUGUUGAUUCUCAUUUUCAAAACACUUUGUUAAUCGAUGUCCUUCUCUAGAACACAUCCACUUUCGAGAUACUAUAUCUUCAUUCUUGUCUCAUUUCAAAUCAUCUUUUCGAAUACUAAAUCCUAUCACUUUGGUGAACAUGUUGUAAAAUGUUUUUGCUUCAUCUAUAUAAUUGAAUUCCGAUUUGCACACUUCUUCACUUGAAUACCAUUUAACACUUUCUUUUUCAAAGUCUGUGAAUCGUGGGUAUAACUCCCACUAGUAUAUGGAUUCUCAUGAAUUUCAUUUUCAAGCUUCACUAUAAAUUCCUUGCUUUCUCAUUUUUCCAUGUCUAAUACUACCACCUAUAAAUUUCAAAAUAGAAGCAUAUUACAGUUGUCAAUUUUACAUUGAUGAACUUAGAAUAUAUUGCACCAUAUAUUUUAAUUUUUUUGUCUUCUUUUUCAAUGCCAACAGAUAAUUUUUGUAAGAGGAUCACAAAAUGUUUGUCCUCUACAUCCAGUGAGUAGUAGUUAAGAAAUGGAAUUACAUGUCCCAAAAUGGUGGUCAAUCGAUUGUGGCUAGAUGGGCCAUAAUUCUAGCAAUGUGUACUAGUUGAGGAACAAUAUUCGAUCGACAACAUUGCGGUCGACUAGUAUGUGUGGUAUUGUAGAUGGUUUCGAAUGUGAUAGGGUUUAUCAGUCGAGACAUUUUUCCUCCACCGGUACCCACUAGUGCUUUAGGCUUCAUGUAAAAAAUAAAUAAAUAAAUAAAUUAAGGAUAAAAAAACAUGGUUAUGUGAAAUUUAGUCCACCUGCUUUUAUUUUUUUAUAUAGCUAAUAUAAAGUUCAAAAAUGUAAUUUGUCUUUCACAAUGAGUUAUUUUCCCACAAUGAAGGUUAAAGGUAGUAAAUAAUAUGCUUUUGAUUAACAAGGUGACACAUUAAGCUUACUUUGAGAAAAUUUGAACUUUUGGGUUUCUUCGCCGACACAAUUUGCUCUAAUUUUUUGCUUUCAUGGCUUCCACUCAAACACUUCUUUUUUCACACUCUCUAUUUCCCUUUAAAAAAAUUCUUUUGUUAAAACUCCUACCAUAUGGAUGUUGGUUGGUGGGUGAAUUAAUACUAGUUUUAAUAAUUUGUCACAUUUAGGAUAUAAUUUCUACACCAGUACAUUUGGUUGUUGAUAUUUACCACUUUUGAUAUAUAUGGGUAGAUGAUGUUAAAUAGAACAUUAAUAAGAAUGAGGAAAUUUUUAUUAUUUUAAUUUGUAAUGGUAAAUUGAAAAAUUCAUGAAAUUUAAAUUAUUUUAAUUUGUAAUGGUAAAUUGAAAAAUUCAUGAAAUUUAAAUUAUUAGCAUUUGAAUUUUUAGGGGAAAGUUACACCAUUAAUAAUGAAUACAACAUUAAAAUAAGUUGAAUCGAGACUAUUUGUAAAAAAAAAAAAAAAACAAACAAACAAACAAACUAUAUGCAAACUAAUAUAAAUUAAUCAUUUGAACAUAACAAUAAGUUCAAUUGGAACUAUGUGUAAUUAAUUAAAUUUAAAAUUGAAUGUAUGGGCAACAUUUAAAUACAUUAAAAAAUUUCAAUUAACACUUAUGCCUAAAUAAUUUAAUUAUAAAUUAAAACUACAUCCAAUUUAAUCGAAAUUAAACAAUUUAUCAUUUCAAUUAGUUAAAUUGAAAGCUUAGGCAAAAUGGAGAUUCAUUAAAAUUUCUCAAUUAACACUUUUGCCUAAAUAAUUUAAUUAUAAACUAAAACUAUAUCCACUUUAAUCAAAAUUUAACAAUUUACCAUUUCAAUAAUUUGCAUUGAAAGUGUGGGUGAAUUGAGACACAUUAAAAUUUCCAAAUAAACACCUAUGCCUAAUUAAUGAAAUUUUAAAAACUCAACCUAUAUCCAAUUUAAUUGAAAUUAAAUAAUUUACCAUUUCAAUUAUUUAAAUUGAAAGUAUGGGCAAAAUGUAGAUACAUUAAAAUUUCCCAAUUAACACCUAUGCCUAAUUAAUUUAAUUAUAAACUAAAACUACAUCUAAUUUAAUAAAUUUUUAACAAUUUACUUGUUAGUUAUUUAAAUUGAAAGUAUGGGCAACAUGUAGAUACAUUAAAAAAUUUCAAUUAACACUUAUGCCUAAAUAAUUUAAUUAUAAACUAAAACUACAUCCAAUUUAAUAAAAUUUUAACAAUUUACUUGUUAGUUAUUUAAAUUGAAAGUAUGGGCAAUGUGUAGAUACAUUAAAAAAUUUCAAUUAACACUUAUGCCUAAAUAAUUUGAUUAUAAACUAAAACUAUAUCCAUUUUAAUUAUAAAAAAAAAAAAAAUCCAUUCUAAGUAAAUCACUAAGGUCCAUGGUCGACUGAUUUGGGGUAGCCACCUAAAACCCUUAACCCGUCCCUCUUCCCUUCCCUUCAUCAUCCCAACACCCAUACCUAGAACACAAACCCUAUAGCCAAAAUCCCAAUCCAUGGCACCCAAACGAGCUUCGAAGGCAACAACGACCAACAACGACAAAGGGAAGAGACUGAGGAUGGAGGAAAAUGUUGAGGUCUAGAAGAGGGCCACAUUUGAUAGAGGUAUGUUCACUACUCCAAAGCUAACAUAGAGAUUUAAUUUUCAUUUUGCCAAUAUGUGUGUCAUCCCGAGUACGAACAUAGAUUUCUCAUAGUUAGGUUAUUUCCAAUUUUUCACAGCUAGCUAUUGUGUCUAUGAAAGAACUUGUUUUUCCUAGGGUUGUGAAAUGCUUUUACUACAAUAUGAAAUUCGAAUAAGAAGAACCCAUUACUACAAACAUUAAUGGUAUAGAAGUUAAGUUUGAUGUUGAUGACCUUUGUAAGAUUUUAGAUAUUCUGAAUGAAGGGUUAUGUUUAUAUGAAUCAAAGAAGUGGUUGAAGGUUGAUGGUUUCAAACCUACAGAAGUUGUACAAAGGUUGUGUGGCUAUAAUAAAGCUAUUAUGACUAAUAUACCAACAUCUCAGACAUUAACUUUGUUGAGUAGGACCCUAUAACAUAUGAUUUCUUACAUGUUUAUCCCCAAAGGUGGACAUCAAGACGAUGUUUCAUUCUUUGAGCCAUUUUUGGUUGACAAUAUUCCAAUAGAGAGGAAGAUUAACAUGAGAUAUAUCAUUUUUCAACAUAUGAAAGUUUGUUCAUUGAGUGAAGAUUUCCUCCUCCCAUAUGAGAUGUUUAUUACAAAGAUUGUUAAAUUUUUCAAUGUCAAUUUGCAUCAAAAGAGUGAUGGUAAAAAGCUAAAGUCCUUUGAUACAUACAAUCUGGCCUUAAUGCAUCGUAUGCAAUUUGUGCAUAAGAAAGAUGGUUUGUGGGGAAGAAAGUCUUUUGUAGAUCUUACAGAGGUGGAUGUGCCUUCGAAUGAGGUGUCUUCGAAAGAGGAUGAUGACAAUUGUGAUAUAAAGGAAGGAGGUACCGAAAACGAAAUUGCCAUUAGAUCACAGAGGGGCAACGAGAGAGGAGUAGAGGUCGUUAUAGAUCAUCCAUCUCAUACAACUAGAAAAAAGGCUGAGUCUUUAGAUAACCUAAAUGCCCAAAUCAACUCAAUUGGUACACUUUUAGAGGAGAUGGCAUUGGCAAAUGAUGGACGAUUGAAAUCUCUAGAACAACGAAUUGAUAGGUUCGAGGAGGAAUUUAAAUCGGGUAUGGAGAUUCUAAGAGGCUAGAAUAAAGAGAUGAUGACAUUUCUUAGAGCCCAAUUCCCACCUCAUGACCUAGCCUAGUAUUAACCAAUGUUUUCAAAACUGGACCAGUCAUUGAAUCGAAAAAAUUACCGGUUCACGGUUCACUGGUCGGAUCAACGGUCAAAUCAGUGAUGUAAUAAAUAUAUAAUUUAUAUAUUAUAUAAAAUUAAAAAUAAUUAUAAAAAUUUAAAAUAUAUAAAAUUACAAAUUUUAAUAAUGUUUGAUUUUUAUAUUUGGUAUAUUAAAUUAAAUGAUAAAUAAAAAUUUAAAAUAUAUAAAAUUAAAAAUAAUUGUAAAAAUUAAAAAUAUAUAAAAUUACAAAUUUUAAUAAUGUUUGAUUUUUAUAUUUGGUAUAUUAAAUUAAAUGAUAAAGUUUAAUAUUUUAAAUUUUAUUAAAUAGAAAUAUGUAAUAUUUAAGAAUGAAGAUAUAUUUAAGAUGCACUACAAGGAAAAAGAUAUAUGGUGACAUUUAUAAUAAGUCACUAUAAACAUAGGGUGUCACUAGAACAUAGCGUCACCUUAUCCACUGACACCAUAGAGGGUAUCAAUUGGUGACAUAUUUGGAAGCGACACCAAAGCAGAUAAAUGGUAACACAUUCAAAAGAGACACUAUAUAUUUUUAGUGAUGCUUAAUUUGAUAUAGAGUUGUAUGAGAUAUAUAAGGUGUCAUAUUAAAUGCAUCAUCUUUGAGUUAUGGUGUCACGUUAAAUGUAUCACCUUUAAUUUAUGGUGUCACAUCAUUGUAAAUGAUUAUGGAAGAUAUGGUUGUUUUUUGUUGAUUAGUUUGUAGAUUUUUGUAAUGCUUAUUAAUAAAUAAGACUAACCUGUGUAAAUUGUCCAUAAAUAUAAUAAUCAUAUUACAUUUAACUUAUAUUUUCAUAAUGCUUAUGAAUUAAUUUGUAACAUAUUACAUCAUCCAAUAAUAUUUGUAUAUCAAAUGUUCACAAAAUGAUAGUACAUCAAACACAUCAAACCCACCAAAACUAAAAAAGAAAAGUGAAUACACAUUAAAACAUGAUUUAGAAAUGUUAAACUUCCCAACAUUCAUGUAUACUUGCAUUUCAUAUGCAUAAAACCGGCUAACCAUAAAAUGACACAAGAGUUGCAUCCAAAAACCCAAAAUUCUCAAUUCCAAAUAAAGUAACAUUUAUGUCCUAUAAUGUAUGACAUAAGAGUCAUAUCUAAAAACCUAAAUCUUGUUGCCUCUUUCUCCUUUCUUUUUAUUCUUCAUAUUGUCCUCCAAGAGUGUAUACCUGCAUUUCAUAGUUUAAUGAGUUUUAGAGUUCUUAUUGAAAAUAAAAAUGUGAUGUUAUAAACAAUAAACAAAUCUAAGUACUAAUGUUUUCUUUUUCUUUUUACUUUUUCUCAUUUUGGUAUAAAAAUAGUUUGUAAAUAAUAAGUAAUGUUAUACAAUAUCAAUGGAAAAUUCAAUCAUAUAACAACUAAGGGACUUACCAUGAAUGAUCACGAUACAUCAAUAUGAUUCAUGAUUAGUUAUAACACAAAAGUAAUAUAUUUUUCUCUAAUUUCAUCAAAUUCUACUUGAGAAUAUGUUUUAUUUGUCAUCAAACUAAAAUCAAAUGAGAAUAACAUUAAUAUCACAAUAAUUGAAAGUAUGAAAUUAUGUACAAUUCAUUAAACGAGUAAAACCUUUGAUGCAAUAACUGUAAAAUCAACAAUUAUUUCUUUAAUGAAUCUCAUAACAAAGUAGUCAUAUUUGAACUCAGUAUUAUUUUUUUACUAUUAAAUUAUUUUUAAACAAAAUAAAAAUUAUUAAUAUAUUGGUUCAUUUUUAAAUACUUUCAUAAGAAUAUAUUUUAACUACAAGUUAUUUUAAUUUAUCAAAAGAUUUUUAGGAAAUGAGCUAUUAUCCAUUUAUUAUUUUCUUAUUUUUCAAAAAAAUAUUUUCAGUCAUUUCAUACACGUUUUCAACUACUAAAAUUAUUGUUUUUAUAGAAUAAACAAAGAAGCAUACACUUCUCCUUCACUCACUAAGUCAACUAUUACAAUCACCAUAAUAUUUUAUUCACCUACCAAUAUCUCAUUCCAUUUAGGUAACUCUCUCAACAAAAUCAUUUCUACAAUACUUUUUACUCUCCUAUGAUAUUUAAUAUUUUAUUCCAUUUAGGUGACUCUCAACACAAAGAAAAGUAGGAAUGUCUUCUUAGGUUAACUAAACAAAGACUUUUUUUUUUUACUUUACAAUAUGUAUAAAAAAAACAAUUAUUUAUUACAAGGAAUGUGGUAGAAAGGUCAUUUCAUUUUUAAAGAAUUUUUUAGAAUUUCUUAAACAUUUACAAAAAAUAGAAUCUAACAAUUUUAUUUCUAAAAAAAUUGAUCAAUUCAAAAAAGAAAGAAGAAUGUUAUUUUUUAAGAAAAGUUCAUAAACCACUUUAUUCUUGAAUUAUCUAAACAAAACUUACUAAAAAAUAUUUUAUCCCAAAUUUAUUUUCAAAACUUUCUUAUUGAAAACUAUCUCAUAUAUAAAUUAUUUUAUUAUAUAGAGAAAUUCUUAUUUUAUUCUUUUUUUAGAGAAAAAUUCACUUGUUUAUUAAAUAUCAAAGAAGUCUAUUUUUAUGUCUAUUAUAUAUAUAUAUAUAUAAAUUCUCUUAUUUUCAUACAAGAAAUUUCCAUUUAUACCUAAAAUACUUUUAGAAAAAUCAUUGCCAACAAAAUUUUAUUUUUAAAAUUAUUUUCAACAUUCUUAUUUAAAAAAAUUAUCAUUGGAUUAUUUUCAAAAAGGACAGUCCUAAAAAAAUUAACCAUUUAUAACCCAAUUUAAACUCAAAAAUUAUCCCCAAUAUUAUUUUAUAUUCCUAAAUUAUUUUCAAACAAAAUAACAAUUAUUAAUAUUUUGAUUCAUUUUUAAAUACUUUCACAAAAAUAUAUUUUAACCACAUAUUAUUUUAAUUUAUCAAAAUAUUUUUAGGAAAUGAGUUAUUUUCCAUUUAUUACUAUCCUAUUUUUCAAAACAUAUUUUCAAGCAUUUCAUUCACAUUUUAAAAUUUUAAAUACUAAAAUUAUUGUUUUUAUAAAACAACAAAGCAUGUAAAUUUCAACUACUAAAAUUAUUGUUUUUAUAGAAUAAACAAAGCAACAUACACUUAUCUUCCAUUUACUAAUUCAACUAUUACGUACAAUCACCCCAAUAUUUUGUUCACCUACUAAUAAUUCAUUCCAUGUAGGUGACUCUAAAAAAAAAGUCAUAUUUAUAAUACCCUUUAUCACUCUGAUACCCAAUAUUCUAUUCUAUUUAGGUGACUCAAUACAAAGAAAGUGGGAAUGUUUUCUUAGGUUAACCGAAGAAAACCCUAAAUAACUUAAGUGCUUUUGGAUUAAUCGAGUAUCAUCUUGUAGUAGAUGUCAAUCUCUAUUGUUAGACUUCACCAAAAAGCUCCUAGCACGGUGGAAAAAAGUAUCAAAUAUAGUCAAGUCUUCAAUAAAAUACUAUUUCAUGCGAAAAAUUACUACAAACUAGUGUAUCUCUCAUUCUCAAUUAGACAAAAUUUUUAAAAAUAAUUCAUUUUUCUUGUUUUCAUUUGUUUUGGGGCUUAUUAGCAAUGAAACAAAAAAUAUGUUAGAAUGUUAAACCUAGUUUUUACUUCCCUGGAACUCGAUAAAAAACAUCAUUUACAAAACCCACAUCAUAGAUAUACUAAAUGAAGAGAUAUAAAACAAUUAUACUAACAAAGUUUUUUGCAUUAAUAAAAAAAAUGAAGAUGAUAGAUAAGAGAUUUUGACUUACCCGAGAUUUUACGAAGCAAAGAAUAUCAAUUAUGGGUGUGCCGACCAUGGGUGUGAGAAGAAGGAGAAGAAAACGAUGGUUAGGGUUAAGCAAUAAGAUCUUUUAUAUUAGUUAAUGUAUAUAUGGAAACAAUGGACUUUUCAUAAAUUGUUCUUACUCACUAUUUUUAAAAAGGGCCCAUUGAGUUAUAAAAUUUAAAACUGUUUAUUUCAUAUGGUGUCACUUCCAAAAAAUGACACCGUAAAUCUGAAAUUAGCAUCAUCUAACUAUCCUAAUUGAAGAUUUUUUAUAUGAUGUGUCACCUUUAUAAAUUUUAAGUUCAAUGGUGUCAUUAUUUUAAAUGCGACACCAUCNNNNNNNNNNNNNNNNNNNNNNNNNNNNNNNNNNNNNNNNNNNNNNNNNNNNNNNNNNNNNNNNNNNNNNNNNNNNNNNNNNNNNNNNNNNNNNNNNNNNNNNNNNNNNNNNNNNNNNNNNNNNNNNNNNNNNNNNNNNNNNNNNNNNNNNNNNNNNNNNNNNNNNNNNNNNNNNNNNNNNNNNNNNNNNNNNNNNNNNNNNNNNNNNNNNNNNNNNNNNNNNNNNNNNNNNNNNNNNNNNNNNNNNNNNNNNNNNNNNNNNNNNNNNNNNNNNNNNNNNNNNNNNNNNNNNNNNNNNNNNNNNNNNNNNNNNNNNNNNNNNNNNNNNNNNNNNNNNNNNNNNNNNNNNNNNNNNNNNNNNNNNNNNNNNNNNNNNNNNNNNNNNNNNNNNNNNNNNNNNNNNNNNNNNNNNNNNNNNNNNNNNNNNNNNNNNNNNNNNNNNNNNNNNNNNNNNNNNNNNNNNNNNNNNNNNNNNNNNNNNNNNNNNNNNNNNNNNNNNNNNNNNNNNNNNNNNNNNNNNNNNNNNNNNNNNNNNNNNNNNNNNNNNNNNNNNNNNNNNNNNNNNNNNNNNNNNNNNNNNNNNNNNNNNNNNNNNNNNNNNNNNNNNNNNNNNNNNNNNNNNNNNNNNNNNNNNNNNNNNNNNNNNNNNNNNNNNNNNNNNNNNNNNNNNNNNNNNNNNNNNNNNNNNNNNNNNNNNNNNNNNNNNNNNNNNNNNNNNNNNNNNNNNNNNNNNNNNNNNNNNNNNNNNNNNNNNNNNNNNNNNNNNNNNNNNNNNNNNNNNNNNNNNNNNNNNNNNNNNNNNNNNNNNNNNNNNNNNNNNNNNNNNNNNNNNNNNNNNNNNNNNNNNNNNNNNNNNNNNNNNNNNNNNNNNNNNNNNNNNNNNNNNNNNNNNNNNNNNNNNNNNNNNNNNNNNNNNNNNNNNNNNNNNNNNNNNNNNNNNAUGGACUUUUCAUAAAUUGUUCUUACUCACUAUUUUUAAAAAGGGCCCAUUGAGUUAUAAAAUUUAAAACUGUUUAUUUCAUAUGGUGUCACUUCCAAAAAAUGACACCGUAAAUCUGAAAUUAGCAUCAUCUAACUAUCCUAAUUGAAGAUUUUUUAUAUGAUGUGUCACCUUUAUAAAUUUUAAGUUCAAUGGUGUCAUUAUUUUAAAUGCGACACCAUAAAUAGUGACAUCAUAAAUUAUUUUUGUAGUAGUGAUGAAAAAAUUUAUAAUAUUUAAUUUUAUCUUUUUGUCUUUGUAUUUUAUUGUUUUAAAAUUAUUCUAUUAAUUAAUUUAUAUUAUUUUUUAUAAUUAUUAUUAUAAAAAUAAAUAGGAAUUUAAAUAUUUACAUUUCUUUAAAGAUUUUAUAUGAUAAAAAUUUGAAAUAAAAAUAUUAAUCUUAGAUUCUUAUUAUAUAUUUUUUUAAUAACAUCAUUUAAUAAAUAUGGUGCAAUGCUCAAUGGUUCAAACUUCAAAGACUUCAAAGUUCAAACUUUAAUUUUUAAGAGAUCCAUGCGUCCAACCCUCAAAGGGGCAAUGUUUUACCUCUAAUCAGUCCCAUUCCUAGACCCACAUCGGAAGCACAUGAAUUCUAUGUGCUCUAAGUGCUUUAUAAAUACCUUGCAACAUGCCUUUUAAGCCAAACAUCUCAACAAAUUGGGCCUGGAAGCAUGGCCCACAAGUUAAAGUUUUAUAAGCUUUUUUGUCAUUGGAUUGGGCCCUAGUGGUUUGAACCAAAUAUGAGCUUAUAAUUAGUUUCAGUUUUAAAAGUAUUGGGUGUGGAAUGGGCCUAAUGGAUAAUGGGCCUCUUAGUAGUAAACAAAUAUUUGUUGAAUUAAGGUUUGGCCGGUUUGUAAAAAAUCGGAUGGUUUGUUAGGUUUGGUGGUUCAACCGUCGGUUUGAACGGUUCAAUGUCGGUUUGACCAUGAAACGGUUCAUUGAGAUGGAUCGAAUCAGCAAGUUCACUGGUUAAUGGUUUGACCGGUUGGUCUGGUCCGAUUUUUAAAACAAUGGUAUUAACCUCGUCCUACAUCUUGGACCGAUUAUAUGGUUACCAAAGUUUGGUUUUUUUUUUUUGGACAAUUUGGGAAUGUAAUUGACAUUAUGUAUUUAUGACUUUGUCUUAGUUAUUUGGUCACUAGUGAUAAGUCAUCGACAUAGAUGAGUGAUAUAUUUACCCUGAUAUAUAUGGAUGGUAUAUGGAUGAUAUAUUUACUUUUACAACAUCAUUAGAUUGAUGUAUAGCGGUAGAACUCCAAAAUAAAAUAUUUAAGUUUAAUUUAAAUAGAUUUUUUGUUUUGUUUUUUUGUUUUUAAAUAUUAGAAAUAAAAUUCAACACAAGAUGCAAGAACUUUUAGACAUUUAUUUAAAGGGUAGUGAUUUUUAAAAUUGAAAAAAAAAAGAAUUACUUCCUCAAGUUUUAAUUUUUUUUUAACAACAUAUGAUAAAUCCAUCUUUAGGUAAGAAUUUCUAUAUUUUAUAUUUUUUGUUUUUAAAUAUAAAAAAUAAAAAGUACAUCUACAAGAGUUCUGAGUAAUUUAAUUAUUUAAAAAGAAACUAAGAAAGUUUAAUUAAAAGAACCUAAAAAGUUAAUGAUUCUUGACUAUCAAGUAUAAAAGUUUUAUUAAUGGCUAUAAGUUAUUUAACUCUUAAAGAAUUUGAGUGUAAAAAGUUAUAAGUAUAAUUUAGGGUUAAUGUGACUCAUCUUUUGCUAGGAUUUGACUAAAUAUACGUAACCCUUAUUCAUUUGAAAUUUUAUCAAAUAUCAUUUUUUAUAGUAAGUGAUGUGAUUCAAAGGAGAGGGAAGUGAAAAAGAAAAAGAAAAAAAAAGAGAAGUAAUUGAUGAAAUUUCAAACUGUUAGAUAUAUUUAACUAGAACCUCAAUGAAGGUGAAUGAAAUUAAUCAUAAAAUUUAUAACAAUAAUUGUAUAAAAAGUUUUGCUCAUUUCUCAUUGAAUUUUCAUUAGAUGGAUGGUUUUCCUUGUAUGUUGAGAUUUUAACGAUUUAUGAUGUGAAAAAGUCAACCAUAUUGAUAUAGUAUCAUAUUAAAUUUUGAAUUUGGAAGCUUUAAUAUAUGAUAAAUAUGAUUUAAUAGGAUUUAAAUAAAUAAAAUAAAGGUAAAAAAUGAUUAAGAUAUAAAAUAAUGAGAUUAAGAUAUAAAAGAAAAAAAUUAAAAUAUGAAAUAAAAAAUGAAAAUAUAAAAUAUAGAGGCUACAAAAUAAUGGAACCAGAACAAGGUUUAAAAAUUCCGGAUAUAUUGUUGAUAUAUCCUCAAAUUUUUGGUUAUAUGUGGAUCCUAACAAUUGUCCUAUGGUUCAAGCAUGGGUUUUUCAGGUAAAAAACCAACCUCUGCACCAUUGGGUGAACAUGUGUUUACUUAAUAAGUAGACAUACAUUUUAUAUAUUUUAUUUUAAAACUAAAUUUUAUAUAUAUUUUGAAAAAUAAAAUAUUAAAAUAAAGAUUUAAUAAAGACAUUAAUUUAGUUAUUUAUUUUUAAAUUUCAUUUAAUUUAUUAUUGAAAACACAAAAAUAAUAAAUUAAAUACAAAUAUAAUAACUAUAUAUAUAUAUAUAUAUAUAUUAGAUAAAUUAUCAUUUUAGUAUCAAAGUUAUUUUUAAAAUCAACAAAUUAUGAUUUNNNNNNNNNNNNNNNNNNNNNNNNNNNNNNNNNNNNNNNNNNNNNNNNNNNNNNNNNNNNNNNNNNNNNNNNNNNNNNNNNNNNNNNNNNNNNNNNNNNNAAUAUAUUUUCAAAUAUCACCUAUUAUUAUUAUAAAAUAUCAUAAAUUAUAUUAUUCAUAUAUCAUUUUUUUCAUAUCUCAAUUAUAAUAUAUGUAUUAUUAUUUCUUAUAUUAUUUUUGAUAAAAUUUUUAAUAUUUUUAUGAAUUUUGAUUAAUUUUUAUUCUAUCGAUAUUUUUUUGUAUAUCCUAAUAUAUUCGUAAAAUAAAAAUAGUGAAACAAUAACAAAAACCAAUAAAAUCUAAAUGCCCCAAUGGAAAAGGUUCGGAGCAAUAUCACAGUGGAACAAGUGUGAUGGUUCUCAUUAUGAUAUUUGGGAUAUGAUAAAUAUAUUUUUCUUUGCUUAUUCAAUUAGGAGGAAAGGAUUUUUCAGAUAAACUAUAUGUACAGAUGGUAUUGUACUUUUUCCUCCUUUGCUUUCUUCAAAUGACUUCUAAUGUCUUUACUAAUAAAAUUAUAUUACUUUAAUUUAAAACCAAAUUCAUAAAAAACACCCCUAAAAAUAACUUCAACAACUAACAUUUCAGGCCAAAUUCACAAAGGCUAACUAAUAUUAUCCGGGGCAGUUUUAAACCAAAUUCACAUAAGCCCUAAAACCUAAUACAGUGAAAUUUUCAAGGAAAUAUCGUCCAGGGCAAUUUUAAAUCAAAUUCACAUAAGUCCUAAAAUCUAAGUAGAGGAACCACUUUUUGAUCAAGACUUACAGGCUGUUGUCAUUUCCAGGCAGUAGUAAAUGUACUACCACUGACUCAUGAGUCAUCCCAUCAAAAGUAUAAAGUCCCAAUAAAUUGUUUGCUUGUUGGGAAGACAAACACUUUCCAAUAAAGCUGUUUCAAAUUCACUCCCGUCAACUGUGAAAAAGUCUGUAUGUCCAUUAAUGCGACUCUUUACUCUUGCAUCUCCAUCACUCUUCCCGUUGAACAAGAGGAGAUUCAAAGAAACCUUUCACCUCUCUGUUUGUUGGAAGUUGCAAGACUCUGGAUUAUGAGGUAACCUUCAGACAAUGCAUCUUCUUAUACACUUUCUUCCUUUUUUUUUUUUUUUUUUUCGUGUGUUUCCUUCACUCUUAGUAAACCCAAAUGAAUUUCUCAAGGAAAAAGAAAUUGGCCCUAUCUUCUUCCAGUUAGUCAUGAUGCAGUAACAAAAUUAAAUGCCCAAAGAGAAUCACUAUCUGUGGAUCCAUUCUAUUUUCUCCUCUUCUGAUUUCCUUGUCGCCAUCUUUUCAACCGUGUGGUAAAUGGGACGGUGUGAUGUGUGAGCAAGCGAUGAUUUCAAGGAAUAGUUCACCAUAUCUCAACUAUUAACCUUCUGGUUUACUUGUUUGUCCUAGUGUGUUUUCUUUUUUCUUUUUUCCUGAUUUUUUUAUCAUAUACAAAAACUAAUGUUUAUCGUAUGUAAUACUAAUCCAUUAUAUUUUGUUUCCAUGGGAUGAAGGCUCUAUAAGUUGAGUUGGACUCUUUUAUGAUUGGCUUUAAUGUUUCAUGAUUAGAUUUAUUCUUUGAGUGUUGGCUGAGAGUGGGAUCAAAACAUUCCUCAAGCACUUUGGAAGCUCUUUUGAACACGAACUUCAGUAACAUUAAUGGCUCCUUCGUCUGGAGGUAUGCUGUUGGCUUCAACAUCUUUUGAUGUUGUGAUUUAAUUUUUAUGAAUGAUAUACCUUCCUUUGGAGACUAUCUUUGGAUUAUAUAUGUCAAGAAAUCAAUAGUUUGAUUUCUCAUUGCAAUGAGGUAGUUUUGAAUAUUGGAUUAUAUAUGUCAAGUAUGACUCUCGUGUUUUGAAGGGUGUAAAAUAAAUAUACCUUAUAAUAUAUAUAUUCUUUUUUGGAAAAUAAAUUCUUUAUUUUUACAAAAUGCUAAGGUGCCAAAAUCAAUUAUUGAAUUUCAGAAUUUGAAAUUUGGACCAUUGAAUGUAUAUGAGGAGAUUUAGAAUAUUGAAUAAGGGUAUAAAUAAAUGAGACUUGAAGAUGUAUAUAUAUGAUAUUACCUAUUUUGUGGGGUUUGAUGCCUACUGAAAAAUGUUUUGUUUGACAUUCUAGAUGGAUCCCUUUUUUUUUUUUUUUUUUGAUAUAUAGCCAUAAUAAUCAACUUCCAUAUUUGUUAACUUCAAUUUUCAACCCCUUUUGAAUUCUUAAAGUUCAUUAUGGAUUUCUUUUAGGACUAUGUAAUAUGUGUUGUUUUAUUUUAUUUUUUUCUAUUAGCUUGCUCUUAUGUUUAAAAAGUAUUAGUCCAAAUGGCAAUUAGAAAUUAUCCAAGUUGGCUAUGCUUUAAUUAUUCACCUAAACAAGUGCUUUUAUGAUUUUACAUUGAGUUGAUUCAUCAUGAGAUGGAAAAAUAGAAAUUUUUUAUUUACAUUUUGAAUUUUAAACUACAUUCAUUUGUAGUUGAAAAUGAUAAGCAAUGGAAUUUUUUCUCAAUUCAUUUUUUGUAGUGUAGGUUAUUUCUUAUGGAUGAAAAUUGUCAAUGGCAUGAGCAAAGUCGGAAAAAUGGAGGGGUACUUAAAAGAGAGGUAUGCAAUUGACUAUAUUUUAUACAUUUGAUUACAAUUCAAUCAUGAUUUAAUUAUGUUAUAAUUAUUUUAAGAUAAAAAGUAAAGAAGAUGAGUAAUCCCUAAAACUUAGAAUUGAAUUGAUGUUGUUGAGCUUCUAAUAAUGAAUAUUAAUAUUAUGGGUUCACACCUAUUAUACAUUUCCAGACCAAAGAAAUGUAUCAAAUUUUUAUUUUUGGAGACUUUAAAAAAUUUUUUUUUUUACUAAAAGUGCAAGACCUAACACUAGCAUUAAGAUUUAAUGCUAUAAAUUAAAACUUUAACUCCAUUAAAACUUUGACCCCAUCCACUUUUUGUUGAGAUCCAAAAUGUUGAGUUUUCUCAAAUUUUGGCCCUUGAGAGUAAUGUCAAGCACAAUUAUAGUUUGGUCAUUAUAAGCUAUUAUUUAGUUAUUUAGUUUUGGAGCUAAAGUUUUGACAAUUGAUUAACCUCUAAUAGGAGGAGAUAAGAGAGAUCUAGUUUUUAUUUAAGAAGUAUUUAGAAAAAUUCUACAGUACUGGUACCUCGGUACCAUAUCGAAAAAACAGUCUUGGCCAUUGGAACAAUUUUCCUCACUCUAUAUAAAUAAUUAUUAAUUAUCCAUGUGUAUUUUGAUUAAAUCUCUACCAUGGAUUGAAAUUUCGAUUUUUAUCAAUCAUAUUUUAUGAAUUAAAAUUAAUUUGAUAAGAUAAAUUAUUAAUAAUUUUAAUUAUUUAAAUAAAUUAAUGUUAAUAGAAAAAGUUGUUAUCACAUAUUUUUAAUAAAAUUUUAGAAAUUAAAUCUCAAAUAAAAUUUUGUAUAUAAAUUAAUUUAAUUUUUCAUUUAUAAUGUAAUAAAAUUCUAGACUUUUGAAACUUUGAAUGAUAAAAAUUUUAGUGUUAGAAAAGUUAGAAGCGCUUUCUAAAAUCACUAUCAAAACAUACACUUAAUUAUAUUUGAUUUUAUUUAUAUCUAAAAGGAAAUGGAAAGAGGAUAAUAUCCAAUAAUGAAGUUUAUUGGUAGAUAAUAUCCAAUAGUGGAAAUUGGAUAUUAGAAUAAAAUAAAUAAAUAAAUUACGAGAUAUAUAUAUAUGAUAUUGUAACACUAAUUUUGUAGAAGUAAAAAAUAAAAAAUAAUAAAUAAAUAAAAGAUAAUAAUAAUAAUGCAACACUUGAACCUAAAGACUCUCCUAAUGCAAACAAUGAAAUGUAGAUAAUAUCCAAGGAAAAUUCUACAGUACCACUUCGGUACCUAUCGAAAAAAUAGUUUUGGCCAUUGGAUGAAGAUGAUUCAAUCCGGACCGUUUAUGUAUUUUAAAAAGUUUUAAAAAUAUAUAUAAAAAUAAAAGCAAGUUGUCGGUCACCUUGAUUUCCCGCUUCUAUCUUGCUUAAUCUUGUCUAAAGACAAAAAUUUGUCUGAUGGGUAUUACACUUGACGCCUAUUUUCAGAGAGGUGAGCUAUUAGAUUGAUGGGCAUUACAACUUUUCUCGAAUUGUAGAGAGUUAAGCUUCAGAAAUUUGAGGGUGUGGAGAUGGAAUUUUUUGGGUGAAAUGAGAAUUUACAGAGAGAGUGAGCUGAGUGGGGAUUUUGAAGGAGUAAUCAAAGAGGAGAAAUCAGCAAGAAAAGAAUCAGGCGGACUUUGGCGGAGUAUCCGAAACCAAUCUCCCCCUGCAGGCAACUCUACCCACUCUCCCAGAAUAGGUACUUCACUCAGCUUAUGUCAUAUGGUAGUGAUUGAAAUGUCAAAAAAGUUCGGCGAUAUUUCUGAGAAAGACACAAUAUUUUUAUCGAUUUUUUAGGAAAUUUCUCGAUAUUUCCUACCAGUCCAGGCCGUGCACAAACAUGAUAUUUUGACCGAUUCAAAAAUAUCGUCGAAAUUUUUGUAUUUUUACCAAUUUGUUUUUGGAAAUUUCUCGAUAUUUCCUACCAAUCCAGGCCACACACAGGAUACAAAAUCUAUCCAUUUUUUUUUAAAAAAAAAACAUAAGAUGCUUAUUGGUAAUUUGAUCAUGAUUUGUAGGCAAAGCUUGUGUUUUUUAGCCUGGCUAAAAAAUCGUGGAUUUAGGUUUCGUGAAAUUUAAAUCGAAUGGCACAAAAGCCAAGAGACCCCUAAAACAGAUCCAAAAAACAUAAGGAGUAAAAAAAAAAAAAAACCAAUUUUUUUUUUAUUUUCCUUGGGGGUUUUGGAUGGAUUUUCUCGGAAAUCGAAUGGAGGAUGGAUUUUGUUGAGAAUCAAACAAGGGUUGAAAAAAAAAUGAUAACAUGAUUAGAUUAGUACCUACGAGGAUUGAGAGUGGCAAAGUAAAAUAGAGCCUUUUUAGGGAUUCUCUCGUCUGGAGGGCAACUUCAGAAAAGGGUUUCUUGACGCCCGAGGCCUCGACUGAGAGAAGUGGUAAAAAUAGGGCCUUUUUAGGAAUUCCUCUCUAUAUAUAAAUAAUUAUUAAUUAUCCAUGUGUAUUUUGAUUAAAUCUUUACCAUGGAUUGAACUUUCGAAUUUUAUUAUCGAUAUUUUAUGAAUUAAAAUUAAUUUGGUAAGAUAAAUUAUUAUUAAUUUUAAUUAUUUAAAUACAUUAAUGUUAAUAGAUAAAAUUGUUAUCACAUAUUUUUAAUAAUAUUUUUAGAAAUUAAAUCUCAAAUAAAAUAUUUUAUAUAAAUUAAUUUAAUUUUCAUUUAAAAUGUAAUUAAUUCUAUACUUUUGUUGAACGUUUUAGUGUGAGAAAUAAUAAUGCAACAUGGAUUCGAACAUAACUCUAUCAUUUUUAAAAAGUCCCUUAUUACCACUAAAGUACCUUGAUAUGAUAUAAAAUACCAUUUUAUUAGUGUUUUGAAAUUAUGAAUGUUAACUUGUGUAUAAAAUAAUAAUAAAAAUUUGAGGGAUAAUAAAAGACAUUUUUUUUUAAUAAUUGUGUUUCUAAUUAAAAUUUGAUUUGUUCAAAUAUUUAAUUAAAGUAUGAGUAUAUGUUACUCAUUAAAAUUAAAUUAAAUUCUUUUGGUCAGGUGCAAAAUGAUACGAUUGAGGAGAACUAGGAAAGUACUAAGGAGUAGAGGACCUUGGCCGCGUUUGGAUACAAUCUUGAACUACAAGAGGGACCCUAGCCAUUCUACAAAUGAACAUGUGGAUCGUGUGGCUAAUAUGUUCAAACGUUUCGAAGAUGAAUAUAUCUUAGAGCCAAAUCGUAAAAAACAUAUUCUACAAAUGUCAUUAACAGAACCUGAGAAAAAAGUUCUUGAAAAUAUAUGUGAAUCCAUUCAAGAGAGGCCUCAUGGUUUCACAAAUAGGUCUUUUGAUGACCUAGUAGUUAUUUUCAAGGAACACUGGGAAAAAUGCUUCAUGAAGAAUGCCAUUAGACGAACAACAGUGCUUUCUAUUUCUCCUAACUUACGAAAUGCAAGAUUUUCAAAUUCUAGUAGGCAUAAAAAUCUUAGAGGGUUAUGGUUAUUGAAAACAACUUCUAGAGUUAUAGAAGACAUUGUGUAUAAUCCUAACAUUGUUCCUUUUAAUUUCAAGGGAGAAGAUUAGUUUUCCUUCUAUAUAUUACAUUUUCUUUUAUGUUUUGUACAUAACAUAUAAAUAAUUUGAUAUGCGAGACAUGACAUGUCUAUUUAUCUUGUUGAUGUGGCCUCUCUCAUAAAAAAAUUCUUUAGCUCGCAUUACUUUGUUAAGUUGUAUGCAAGAUGAUCUCAUGAAAUGUGGGAAGCGUUAAAAGACAAGUAUGGUGGACUUUCAACUACGAAGUUGAGAGGACUUGUAAUGAAAUUUGGAAAUUACAAAAUACGACUAAUCUAUAAAAUGAAACAACAUCCUAAGGAGAUGAAAAGAAUGAUAAAAGAGCUUAAAACAUUUGGACAUAUGCUCAUUGAUGACCAACAAGUUGAGAAAGUCCAUUACAGGCAUCUUUUUUUAUAUAUAUAUUGUGGAAAUUUUUUUGAAAGAUAAAAAAUUUUAAAAUAUCAUACUCUAAAUUUAAUUUUUUUUUAUUUUCUAUUUCUAAUCCAACACAACAUUAUUAUUUUUUAAAAAUUAUAAAUUAUUUGAUAUAAUUUUAAAAUUUGCCUUUUUGCUAUGCCAUGUAAAAAAGAUAAGAUAAAAUAAAUAAAAAAGAUUUAAAGUAAUUAAAUUAUUUUUAUUUGAUAAUUUAAAUUUAUUUUAAUUAGUUUAACUCAUCGAUCUAAUGAUUAAUAUUUUUAGAAAAAAACUCCAUUGUUACAAAUAUUUUCAAACUCAUUGUUGUCAAAUUCAAAACUUAAUUUUUAUCAGUAUGCUCAUUAUGUUGUAGGCUACACAAUUGCUUAGUAUAAAAGGAGUUUAUCUUAUUUUGAGCAGUCUUAUUGCAUCUUGACUUAGAAAGCCAAAUAUAUAAGAUUUUAUAUUUAUUACUUAAUUAUUUGAAUAUAGUACAUAGUUUUAAUUAGUUGUAAAUUACAUUCAUAAUGUUGUAUUUUAAAUAGGAGAAACAAUCAUUUGAGGAGAAUCCCUUCAAACCAAAAACGUCCUAUGGGUUCAUGGCUUUAUUAUUUGUAAGAAUAUAUAUACAUAUAUAGUUAAUUCAUUUUCGAUAUUUAUUUAUAUGUUGAAAAUAUAAUUAUUUUUAUGUGAUGUUUUUUGCAGUCGAGAACAAGUACUCGCAAGAAAAGGAGAUGACAAGGAAUUGAUAAUAAAUCAUGAUGUAAGAACAGAAAUGGAUAUUUGCAUAAUAUGUUUUUUAGUCAAUUUUUAUACUCUAUAUGAUAACUAACUAAUUUAAUAUUACAUUUGCGAAAAGAGAUUGGAAAAAAGUGGCAAUCCCUUUCAAAUGGAAAAAAAAAAAAAAAAAAAAAAAAGUUCUUAGAAAAGUCUAAAAAAUGCCCUCAUGAAUAUAUAAAACAAAAGGGUCGAAACUCAAAAAAUGCAUAAAGGUAAGAAAUUCGAAAUUUAUGUUUUUAAAUUAUGAUAAUAUUUUCUUUCAAUUUAAAAUAUAUAUGUUUAUGUAUAUUUAUGACUUCUAGUCGUAUCUUCACACGCGUUGUUCACCUAAUCGGGUGUAUAAACUACUUCAACACUUGCAACCUAAUCAAAAGGCGGCCAUACAAGAAAUAGGGUUUGGAGGUAUUUUAGGAUUACGAUGUACUAAACUUGAUCAUAGUUUAUGUCAUUGGUUGGUAUAGAAUUUUGACAUUCUUUCAUGCAUAUUAAGUGUGCAUAACACUUCCAUUAAAUUAUCCCUAAUGGAUGUUGAGUUAAUUUUAGGCUUGAAGGCUAAGAGAGUGGAGGUAGAUAUAGAGAGAUGCACAAGUAAACGGAAUUGAUUUAUACAUGUAUUGUGAUGGGAAGGGAAAAUUUCCAUUGUUGAUGUUAGAAAACCAAAUACGACAAUAAAAGGAAUGUGGAUUAUAUGAAUGGAAUGUAAUGCCAUUUGGACUAAAAAAUGCUCCUCAGAUAUUCCAAUGAAUGAUGGAUAAUAUUUUUGGAAAAUAUUCUUUUGUUCUUGUAUAUAUUGAUGAUAUUCUUGUCUUUUCAUAUACUCUUCAAGAACACAUAAAGCAUUUAGAAUUGAUUUUUGAAAAAUUAAUUAGUCAUGGAUUAAUAGUAAGUAAAAAGAAAUUGAAAUUAUUUAAGACUCAAAUAGAAUUUUUAGGAUUAGAAUUAGAGGAUGGACAAAUAAAAUUACAAGAACAUAUAGUGCAAAAAAUAAAUAAUUUUCCAGACAAACUCGAAGACUUAAAAACCCUUCAAAGUUUUUUAGAAUUAUUAAAUUAUGCUAGGCCAUAUAUUAAAAUCCUUAGUAGAUUAGCUGGACCCCUUUAUAGUAAAACAAAAAACACAGGCAAAGAUAUUUUAACCAAGAAGAUAUUAAACUUAUACAAAAAAUAAAAGAACUUGUGAAACAUCUUCCAACCUUACAUUUACAAUAGUGUGCAAAGUUGUCUGUAAAAAGAAGCUCCAUCAUCUUCAGCUUUGUAAAUUCAUCAGCAAUCAAUAAGAAAGUAAGAAUUUUCUGUUAAAUUUUUUGCCUUCAUUUAAAUUUCUUUAUUAUGUAUUUUUCUUACCCUUAGGGGGUAAAAAGGUAAAGUAGGGAAAUGAAAAUUAUUUGAAUUAUUUUUAAGUUUUCUUUACUAGUUAAUAUCUGUAAUAUACAUGGAUCCUUUUUAUAUAAUGUUCUCAUCAACAUAAAAAAAAAAAUCGGUUUAUUUAGAAAAUUUUGGGUGUAAAAUCAUGAAUUUAAAACUAGAGUCUUUAGUCUUAACCCUUGACCUCAAACCCAUUUUUGCCGAAAAAUUGGCGUUUUAGGGAGACUAUGUCUGGUCAGAAGGGGGGUAUUACCUUGACACGAAGUGAUGUUUUAAAAAAUUUUGAAUUUUAACACCUGAAUUUUUGAGAUAUCCGAUUUCAAAAACUUAAAUUUUAAACGUUCAAGAUUUCAAAACUUAAUUUUAUACGUUCAAAAACUUUCACUAUAAGCACAGAACUCUUUUAUUAUUUUAAUAAGUCUUUGUAAAAUUUUAUAUUAUUUUAAUACUAGUAAUUAUUAGGUGUUUGAAAAUUUUAUGUUAUUUUAAUAAGUCUUUGAAAAAUUUUAUAUUAUUUUAAUACUAGUAAUAAAUGUGUUCACACUUUAAUUCAAUAAAAAACUUUAAUCAAACUCUCAUUGCUAUCAAAGUUUUUUAGAAUUAUUAAAUUAUGCUAGGCCAUAUAUUAAAAUCCUUAGUAGAUUAGCUGGACCCCUUUAUAGUAAAACAAAAAACACAGGCAAAGAUAUUUUAACCAAGAAGAUAUUAAACUUAUACAAAAAAUAAAAGAACUUGUGAAACAUCUUCCAACCUUACAUUUACCCUUAGAAAAUGAAUAUAAAAUAGUCCAAACUGAUGCUAGUCAAACACGAUGGGGAGGUAUACUUUUAGCAGUAACUAAUAUAGGAGAAGAAAAACUUUGUAGAUAUUGUAGUGGAACUUUUAAUGAUUAUCAAAAGAACCUUAGCUCUACAGACUUAGAAAUUGAAGCAAUAAUAUUAGUCUUAGAAAAAUUUCAAUUAUUUUUGAACCAAGAACAAUUUACUUUAAGAACCGAUUGUGAGAAUAUUAAAAAAUUCUUUGAAAACAAAAAUUCUUCAAAACUGUCCACCAAAAGAUGGAUAAAGUUUCAAAACUCUUUAAUUGGUUUCAAACCUAAAUUUGAACAUAUUAAAGGAAAAGAUAAUAUAUUAGCAGACUGGUUAAGUAGACAAAUAAUUAAUAAUGUCGAUAAUACUAAUGAUUGAUUUCAUGAUUACAGGAACAUGGCUCAAAGAAAACCUACGAAAGCUAGAACCUUUCAAUAUGGAACCAUAUGUCUAAACGAAGUGUUGAAUCCAAACCUAAGGUUUAACUCUUUAUUUUCUCAAAACCUUUUUGAAGAACAUAAGGUUAUUGUAGAUAAUUUUUGGUCUCUAAAACCACAGAGUUUUUCGAACCAAAAUUUAGAAUAUGGUUAUGGAAAAACAGUGUUAGCUUUAGCCCAACAUUUACAAAACCUUCAAAACCAACUGAUUGCUUUAGAAACCCAAAAAUUCCAAAACCUCAAAAUCCAAGAAAAUCAAGAAAAAAUGAUAGAAGAUUUGAAAACCAGUACAGUGUCAACCAAUCAAACCAGCUGUUCGAACAGUCAACCUGAAGUAAUUAGUUUAAUUAAGAAAUCAGUUCUUCUGACUGAACAAUAUGAAAGGCUUGUUGUUAAAAAUAUAAUUGGAGUUGAUAACUACUCUUUCGUCGAAACCUUUUUUCUACAAAACCAAUAUAACAAAGUGUUUAAAAAUCAAGAACUUUUGUAUAAACAUUUUAGAACUAAAAAUGACGAGAUAAAAACAGGGUAUAUGGCAUAUCACGACCUUGAAUUUUUCUUUGUUAUAUAUUUAGCUUAUGUAAAUAUGUCUGUUGUAAAUAAAGAAAAUUUUGAUUUAGUACCGCAACUUAUGGAUCAGGGAAUUUUAAAAAAUGUUUUUAUGAACCAUAUAUCUCAAAUCCCUGAAAAUUUCCCAGAAAAAUUGAAAGAUAUUUUAACUUAUCUUUUUAAAGCCGAAAAAUAUAUAGAUAUUGCUUUUGAAACCAUUCCACCUUUAUUUCAACCCGAUGGAUCAGUAGUACCAGCCUAUCAUCAUGUAUAUAUAAAACAUAAUAAAGAACCACUCAUCCCUCAACAAGCACCAGAAUGGGAAAUGACCCGUUCAGAUGAAUUUCCAGAAUUUUUUACUCGCUUUAGAGCUUUUCAAAUCUAUGAUCUUAGACAAACUCGGAAUAAAUUAUUUCAUCUCAUUGGCGAAAUAAAAACCAUGUCUAUAUGGAGAGUAAAACCUUUAGAACACAUUAUUGUUCCAAACCCUUUUAUUACUUCUGAAGAACAAGAUUUUAUAACCGAACUCAGUGUAGAUAUACCGGAACCAUCUUCCUACCUCAGCGAUGACGCAUUAUUUUGGGACAACCUGGACGAUGAAAGUUAUCAUAAUCUACAAAAUGCAAUGGAAGGAUGAUGUCAGCAAUGACGACAUUGAAGCAGUAAAUGUGUCUUCAACUACAAAAAUUAAAUAUGGCAGUACAAGUUCAGAAGCAGUAAAGACAUCCACAAGCCACGUAUUAUGCAUGUAAUAAAAAGAGAAGAAAAUGACAAGAGAAAGAGACAAGAAGGAAGAGAAGAACGGAUGAAUUAAAGUCACAAGUCUAUCACAAGUCUCAAAAGUAAAAGUCUCAAAAGUCUUUGUAUUUAUUUUAUACCAAACCUCUGAACACCGUAAAUAUUUUUCCUACCAUCCAACCACUUGAAAUUAAUUCUCACCUGUAUUCUCACCUGUCACUUGUAAAUGCUUUGUUUAUAAAUUAGUGGUAGAAAAAGAAAAGAAGUGUGCUCGAGAAAGUGUGUCAAAAGGUGUGUGCAAUAGUGUGCAAAGUUAUCUGUAAAAAGAAGCUCCAUCUUCAGCCUUGUACAUUCAUCAGCAAUCAAUAAGAAAGUAAGAAUUUUCUAUUAAAUUUUUUUUUUUUUUUUUGCCUUCAUUUAAAUUUAUUAUGUAUUUUUCUUACCCUUAGGGGGUAAAAAGGUAAAGUAGGGAAAUGAAAAUUAUUUGAAUUAUUUUUAUGUUUUCUUUACUUGUUAAUAUUUGUAAUAUACAUGGAUCCUUUUUAUAUAAUGUUCUCAUCAACAUAAAAAAAAAAAAAAAAAAAAAUCGGGUUAUUUAGAAAAAUUUUGGGUGUAAAAUCAUGUUUUAAAAACUAGAGUCUUUAGUCUUAACCCUUGACCUCAAACCCGUUUUUGCCAGAAAAUUGGCGUUUUAGGGAGACUAUGUCUGGUCAGAAGGGGGGUAUUACCUUGACACGAAGUGAUGUUUUAAAAUUUUUGAAUUUUACUACCUGAAUUUUUGAGAUAUCCGAUUUCGAAAACUUAAUUUUUAUACGUUCAAGAUUUCAAAAACUUAAUUUUAUACGUUCAAAAACUUUCACUUUUAGGGAGACUAUGUCUGGUCAGAAGAGGGGUAUUACCUUGACACGAAGUGAUGUUUUAAAAAUUUUGAAUUUACUACCUGAAUUUUUGAGAUAUCUGAUUUCGAAAACUUAAUUUUUAUACGUUCAAGAUUUCAAAAACUUAAUUUUAUACGUUCAAAAACUUUCACUAUAAGCACAGAACCCUUUUAUGUUAUUUUAAUAAGUGUUUGAAACUUUUAUAAGUGUUUGUAAAUUUUAUAUUAAAAUAUUAAGUAGAUGGGAAAUGUUUAUAUUAUUUUAAUGCUAGCAAUAAAUGUGUUCACACUUUAAUUCAAUAAAAAACUUUAAUUAAACUCUCAUUGCUAAUGGAGAUUUUAAGAACCUUGACUAACAAACUGUUGUUGAAACUGCUUAUUGGGAAAAGUGUGACUGGUAAUGGGAAAAGUUGGUAUCAGAGCCCCUCUCUGUGUAUUGCAGUAUAUUAAUUAGGAAAGGAGACUGUAGAUUCAAAUUAAUUUUCAGAGUACCGAACUUUAUCUUACCCCAUAUAAAGUCUGAUUAAUUUUGCUCAAUUUAUUCUGAAUCUUUAUUUGCUCUGUUUAUUUAGUGUCAUAAGAAUUAAUGUCUUUUAUUCCUUAUCCUCCUGGUAUAUAUAAUAUAGAUUAUGAUCGUGUAAAAGAACUUAAUAAUAGGUUGUAUGCUCAACGUAAAGAAUUUAGAGAAACUUGUGAUAAAUUACAUAAUUUAAGAACUACUGUAAAAGAUUUAACCACAUAUAUUAAAAACUUAACUUCUCUUAAAUAUUUGAAUGAAUACGAAGUAGCUAUACAAGAAGCUUUUGACGAACUUUUUGCUACAGAAACCAUAAUUAGAAGAGAAAUUAUAAAAUAUUAUAUUGAUAAUUUAUAUGCUAGCUCAUCUAAUUAAAACAUAUUAGAGAUAAUGAACCCUCAUCUACAAACCCAAGAGGUAAAGUAGUUAAAAUUUUUAGUAGAGACACAAUUAAAAAUAACAAACGAAGUAUUACAAGAACAAAUUCAGAAAGAAAACCAAAAUAAUAUAGAUAUUUUAAAAGAAAUCCAGAAAAGACAAAUAAAAUCUGUAGAAAAACUAAACACAGUCUUAGGAAUUAGAAAAGAAGCUGGAAGACUUUAAGAACCAUAACUUGCUAAGAAAUAACCUAGAUUAUAUUAAAGAACAAUUAGCUAGAGAGAAAAAUUUGUUAGAAAAGAAAUAGAACAAAUAAAAUUUGACAACAAAAUUUAAAAGAAACUUUAGAAAAAAUUAACCAAAAAGUAGAUAAACUUUUAGAACAAAGAAAUAUAGUAAUAUCAGAGGAAACAACUGUACUGGUUUUCNNNNNNNNNNNNNNNNNNNNNNNNNNNNNNNNNNNNNNNNNNNNNNNNNNNNNNNNNNNNNNNNNNNNNNNNNNNNNNNNNNNNNNNNNNNNNNNNNNNNNNNNNNNNNNNNNNNNNNNNNNNNNNNNNNNNNNNNNNNNNNNNNNNNNNNNNNNNNNNNNNNNNNNNNNNNNNNNNNNNNNNNNNNNNNNNNNNNNNNNNNNNNNNNNNNNNNNNNNNNNNNNNNNNNNNNNNNNNNNNNNNNNNNNNNNNNNNNNNNNNNNNNNNNNNNNNNNNNNNNNNNNNNNNNNNNNNNNNNNNNNNNNNNNNNNNNNNNNNNNNNNNNNNNNNNNNNNNNNNNNNNNNNNNNNNNNNNNNNNNNNNNNNNNNNNNNNNNNNNNNNNNNNNNNNNNNNNNNNNNNNNNNNNNNNNNNNNNNNNNNNNNNNNNNNNNNNNNNNNNNNNNNNNNNNNNNNNNNNNNNNNNNNNNNNNNNNNNNNNNNNNNNNNNNNNNNNNNNNNNNNNNNNNNNNNNNNNNNNNNNNNNNNNNNNNNNNNNNNNNNNNNNNNNNNNNNNNNNNNNNNNNNNNNNNNNNNNNNNNNNNNNNNNNNNNNNNNNNNNNNNNNNNNNNNNNNNNNNNNNNNNNNNNNNNNNNNNNNNNNNNNNNNNNNNNNNNNNNNNNNNNNNNNNNNNNNNNNNNNNNNNNNNNNNNNNNNNNNNNNNNNNNNNNNNNNNNNNNNNNNNNNNNNNNNNNNNNNNNNNNNNNNNNNNNNNNNNNNNNNNNNNNNNNNNNNNNNNNNNNNNNNNNNNNNNNNNNNNNNNNNNNNNNNNNNNNNNNNNNNNNNNNNNNNNNNNNNNNNNNNNNNNNNNNNNNNNNNNNNNNNNNNNNNNNNNNNNNNNNNNNNNNNNNNNNNNNNNNNNNNNNNNNNNNNAUUUGAAAAGCUCUAAAGCGAGUAAAAAAUUCUGGAAAUUCAUCUGAACGGGUCAUUUCCCAUUCUGGUUCUUGUUGAGGAUGAGUGGUUCUUUAUUAUGUUUUAUAUAUACAUGAUGAUAGGCUGGUACUACUGAUCCAUCGGGUUGAAAUAAAGGUGGAAUGGUUUCAAAAGAAAUAUCUAUAUAUUUUUCGGCUUUAAAAAGAUAAGUUAAAAUAUCUUUCAAUUUUUCUGGGAAAUUUUCAGGGAUUUGAGAUAUAUGGUUCAUAAAAACAUUUUUUAAAAUUCCCUGAUCCCUAAGUUGCGGUACUAAAUCAAAAUUUUCUUUAUUUACAACAAACAUAUUUACAUAAGCUAAAUAUAUAACAAAGAAAAAUUCAGGGUCGUGAUAUGCCAUAUACCUUGUUUUUAUCCAGUCAUUUUUAGUUCUAAAAUGUUUAUACAAAAGUUCUUGAUUUUUAAACACUUUGUUAUAUUGGUUUUGUAAAAAAAAGGUUUUAACGAAAGAAUAGUUAUCAAUUCCAAUUAUAUCAUAAGGUUUUAUUUUACUUUCUAAAGGUUGUACAAGGUUUUCUAAAUUUAAAGGGGUUUGACAAAUUACAUAAUUUAAGAACUACUGUAAAAGAUUUAACUACAGAUAUUAAAAACUUAACUUCUCUUAAAUAUUUGAAUGAAUACGAAGUAGCUAUACAAGAAGCUUUUGACGAACUUUUUGCUACAGAAACCGUAAUUAGAAGAGAAAUUAUAAAAUAUUAUAUUGAUAAUUUAUAUGCUAGCUCAUCUAAUUAAAACAUAUUAGAGAUAAUGAACCCUCAUCUACAAACCCAAGAGGUAAAGUAGUUAAAAUUCAUAGUAGAGACACAAUUAAAAAUAACAAACGAAGUAUUACAAGAACAAAUUCAGAAAGAAAACCAAAAUAAUAUAGAUAUUUUAAAAGAAAUCCAGAAAAGACAAAUAAAAUCUAUAGAAAAACUAAACACGGUCUUAGGAAUUAGAAAAGAAGCUGGAAGACUUUAAGAACCAUAACUUGCUAAGAAAUAACCUAGAUUAUAUUAAAGAACAAUUAGCUAGAGAAGAAAAAUUUGUUAGAAAAGAAAUAGAACAAAUAAAAUUAGAACAACAAAAUUUAAAAGAAACUUUAGAAAAAAUUAACCAAAAAGUAGAUAAACUUUUAGAACAAAGAAAUAUAGUAAUAUCAGAGGAACAAAAAUUANNNNNNNNNNNNNNNNNNNNNNNNNNNNNNNNNNNNNNNNNNNNNNNNNNNNNNNNNNNNNNNNNNNNNNNNNNNNNNNNNNNNNNNNNNNNNNNNNNNNNNNNNNNNNNNNNNNNNNNNNNNNNNNNNNNNNNNNNNNNNNNNNNNNNNNNNNNNNNNNNNNNNNNNNNNNNNNNNNNNNNNNNNNNNNNNNNNNNNNNNNNNNNNNNNNNNNNNNNNNNNNNNNNNNNNNNNNNNNNNNNNNNNNNNNNNNNNNNNNNNNNNNNNNNNNNNNNNNNNNNNNNNNNNNNNNNNNNNNNNNNNNNNNNNNNNNNNNNNNNNNNNNNNNNNNNNNNNNNNNNNNNNNNNNNNNNNNNNNNNNNNNNNNNNNNNNNNNNNNNNNNNNNNNNNNNNNNNNNNNNNNNNNNNNNNNNNNNNNNNNNNNNNNNNNNNNNNNNNNNNNNNNNNNNNNNNNNNNNNNNNNNNNNNNNNNNNNNNNNNNNNNNNNNNNNNNNNNNNNNNNNNNNNNNNNNNNNNNNNNNNNNNNNNNNNNNNNNNNNNNNNNNNNNNNNNNNNNNNNNNNNNNNNNNNNNNNNNNNNNNNNNNNNNNNNNNNNNNNNNNNNNNNNNNNNNNNNNNNNNNNNNNNNNNNNNNNNNNNNNNNNNNNNNNNNNNNNNNNNNNNNNNNNNNNNNNNNNNNNNNNNNNNNNNNNNNNNNNNNNNNNNNNNNNNNNNNNNNNNNNNNNNNNNNNNNNNNNNNNNNNNNNNNNNNNNNNNNNNNNNNNNNNNNNNNNNNNNNNNNNNNNNNNNNNNNNNNNNNNNNNNNNNNNNNNNNNNNNNNNNNNNNNNNNNNNNNNNNNNNNNNNNNNNNNNNNNNNNNNNNNNNNNNNNNNNNNNNNNNNNNNNNNNNNNNNNNNNNNNNNNNNNNNNNNNNNNNNNNNNNNNNNNNNNNNNNNNNNNNNNNNNNNNNNNNNNNNNNNNNNNNNNNNNNNNNNNNNNNNNNNNNNNNNNNNNNNNNNNNNNNNNNNNNNNNNNNNNNNNNNNNNNNNNNNNNNNNNNNNNNNNNNNNNNNNNNNNNNNNNNNNNNNNNNNNNNNNNNNNNNNNNNNNNNNNNNNNNNNNNNNNNNNNNNNNNNNNNNNNNNNNNNNNNNNNNNNNNNNNNNNNNNNNNNNNNNNNNNNNNNNNNNNNNNNNNNNNNNNNNNNNNNNNNNNNNNNNNNNNNNNNNNNNNNNNNNNNNNNNNNNNNNNNNNNNNNNNNNNNNNNNNNNNNNNNNNNNNNNNNNNNNNNNNNNNNNNNNNNNNNNNNNNNNNNNNNNNNNNNNNNNNNNNNNNNNNNNNNNNNNNNNNNNNNNNNNNNNNNNNNNNNNNNNNNNNNNNNNNNNNNNNNNNNNNNNNNNNNNNNNNNNNNNNNNNNNNNNNNNNNNNNNNNNNNNNNNNNNNNNNNNNNNNNNNNNNNNNNNNNNNNNNNNNNNNNNNNNNNNNNNNNNNNNNNNNNNNNNNNNNNNNNNNNNNNNNNNNNNNNNNNNNNNNNNNNNNNNNNNNNNNNNNNNNNNNNNNNNNNNNNNNNNNNNNNNNNNNNNNNNNNNNNNNNNNNNNNNNNNNNNNNNNNNNNNNNNNNNNNNNNNNNNNNNNNNNNNNNNNNNNNNNNNNNNNNNNNNNNNNNNNNNNNNNNNNNNNNNNNNNNNNNNNNNNNNNNNNNNNNNNNNNNNNNNNNNNNNNNNNNNNNNNNNNNNNNNNNNNNNNNNNNNNNNNNNNNNNNNNNNNNNNNNNNNNNNNNNNNNNNNNNNNNNNNNNNNNNNNNNNNNNNNNNNNNNNNNNNNNNNNNNNNNNNNNNNNNNNNNNNNNNNNNNNNNNNNNNNNNNNNNNNNNNNNNNNNNNNNNNNNNNNNNNNNNNNNNNNNNNNNNNNNNNNNNNNNNNNNNNNNNNNNNNNNNNNNNNNNNNNNNNNNNNNNNNNNNNNNNNNNNNNNNNNNNNNNNNNNNNNNNNNNNNNNNNNNNNNNNNNNNNNNNNNNNNNNNNNNNNNNNNNNNNNNNNNNNNNNNNNNNNNNNNNNNNNNNNNNNNNNNNNNNNNNNNNNNNNNNNNNNNNNNNNNNNNNNNNNNNNNNNNNNNNNNNNNNNNNNNNNNNNNNNNNNNNNNNNNNNNNNNNNNNNNNNNNNNNNNNNNNNNNNNNNNNNNNNNNNNNNNNNNNNNNNNNNNNNNNNNNNNNNNNNNNNNNNNNNNNNNNNNNNNNNNNNNNNNNNNNNNNNNNNNNNNNNNNNNNNNNNNNNNNNNNNNNNNNNNNNNNNNNNNNNNNNNNNNNNNNNNNNNNNNNNNNNNNNNNNNNNNNNNNNNNNNNNNNNNNNNNNNNNNNNNNNNNNNNNNNNNNNNNNNNNNNNNNNNNNNNNNNNNNNNNNNNNNNNNNNNNNNNNNNNNNNNNNNNNNNNNNNNNNNNNNNNNNNNNNNNNNNNNNNNNNNNNNNNNNNNNNNNNNNNNNNNNNNNNNNNNNNNNNNNNNNNNNNNNNNNNNNNNNNNNNNNNNNNNNNNNNNNNNNNNNNNNNNNNNNNNNNNNNNNNNNNNNNNNNNNNNNNNNNNNNNNNNNNNNNNNNNNNNNNNNNNNNNNNNNNNNNNNNNNNNNNNNNNNNNNNNNNNNNNNNNNNNNNNNNNNNNNNNNNNNNNNNNNNNNNNNNNNNNNNNNNNNNNNNNNNNNNNNNNNNNNNNNNNNNNNNNNNNNNNNNNNNNNNNNNNNNNNNNNNNNNNNNNNNNNNNNNNNNNNNNNNNNNNNNNNNNNNNNNNNNNNNNNNNNNNNNNNNNNNNNNNNNNNNNNNNNNNNNNNNNNNNNNNNNNNNNNNNNNNNNNNNNNNNNNNNNNNNNNNNNNNNNNNNNNNNNNNNNNNNNNNNNNNNNNNNNNNNNNNNNNNNNNNNNNNNNNNNNNNNNNNNNNNNNNNNNNNNNNNNNNNNNNNNNNNNNNNNNNNNNNNNNNNNNNNNNNNNNNNNNNNNNNNNNNNNNNNNNNNNNNNNNNNNNNNNNNNNNNNNNNNNNNNNNNNNNNNNNNNNNNNNNNNNNNNNNNNNNNNNNNNNNNNNNNNNNNNNNNNNNNNNNNNNNNNNNNNNNNNNNNNNNNNNNNNNNNNNNNNNNNNNNNNNNNNNNNNNNNNNNNNNNNNNNNNNNNNNNNNNNNNNNNNNNNNNNNNNNNNNNNNNNNNNNNNNNNNNNNNNNNNNNNNNNNNNNNNNNNNNNNNNNNNNNNNNNNNNNNNNNNNNNNNNNNNNNNNNNNNNNNNNNNNNNNNNNNNNNNNNNNNNNNNNNNNNNNNNNNNNNNNNNNNNNNNNNNNNNNNNNNNNNNNNNNNNNNNNNNNNNNNNNNNNNNNNNNNNNNNNNNNNNNNNNNNNNNNNNNNNNNNNNNNNNNNNNNNNNNNNNNNNNNNNNNNNNNNNNNNNNNNNNNNNNNNNNNNNNNNNNNNNNNNNNNNNNNNNNNNNNNNNNNNNNNNNNNNNNNNNNNNNNNNNNNNNNNNNNNNNNNNNNNNNNNNNNNNNNNNNNNNNNNNNNNNNNNNNNNNNNNNNNNNNNNNNNNNNNNNNNNNNNNNNNNNNNNNNNNNNNNNNNNNNNNNNNNNNNNNNNNNNNNNNNNNNNNNNNNNNNNNNNNNNNNNNNNNNNNNNNNNNNNNNNNNNNNNNNNNNNNNNNNNNNNNNNNNNNNNNNNNNNNNNNNNNNNNNNNNNNNNNNNNNNNNNNNNNNNNNNNNNNNNNNNNNNNNNNNNNNNNNNNNNNNNNNNNNNNNNNNNNNNNNNNNNNNNNNNNNNNNNNNNNNNNNNNNNNNNNNNNNNNNNNNNNNNNNNNNNNNNNNNNNNNNNNNNNNNNNNNNNNNNNNNNNNNNNNNNNNNNNNNNNNNNNNNNNNNNNNNNNNNNNNNNNNNNNNNNNNNNNNNNNNNNNNNNNNNNNNNNNNNNNNNNNNNNNNNNNNNNNNNNNNNNNNNNNNNNNNNNNNNNNNNNNNNNNNNNNNNNNNNNNNNNNNNNNNNNNNNNNNNNNNNNNNNNNNNNNNNNNNNNNNNNNNNNNNNNNNNNNNNNNNNNNNNNNNNNNNNNNNNNNNNNNNNNNNNNNNNNNNNNNNNNNNNNNNNNNNNNNNNNNNNNNNNNNNNNNNNNNNNNNNNNNNNNNNNNNNNNNNNNNNNNNNNNNNNNNNNNNNNNNNNNNNNNNNNNNNNNNNNNNNNNNNNNNNNNNNNNNNNNNNNNNNNNNNNNNNNNNNNNNNNNNNNNNNNNNNNNNNNNNNNNNNNNNNNNNNNNNNNNNNNNNNNNNNNNNNNNNNNNNNNNNNNNNNNNNNNNNNNNNNNNNNNNNNNNNNNNNNNNNNNNNNNNNNNNNNNNNNNNNNNNNNNNNNAUGAGCUAGCAUAUAAAUUAUCAAUAUAAUAUUUUAUAAUUUCUCUUCUAAUUAUGGUUUCUGUAGCAAAAAGUUCGUCAAAAGCUUCUUGUAUAGCUACUUCGUAUUCAUUCAAAUAUUUAAGAGAAGUUAAGUUUUUAAUAUAUGUGGUUAAAUCUUUUACAGUAGUUCUUAAAUUAUGUAAUUUAUCACAAGUUUCUCUAAAUUCUUUACGUUGAGCAUACAACCUAUUAUUAAGUUCUUUUACACGAUCAUAAUCUAUAUUAUAUAUACCAGGAGGAUAAGGAAUAAAAGACAUUAAUUCUUAUGACACUAAAUAAACAGAGCAAAUAAAGAUUCAGAAUAAAUUGAGCAAAAUUAAUCAGACUUUAUAUGGGGUAAGAUAAAGUUCGGUACUCUGAAAAUUAAUUUGAAUCUACAGUCUCCUUUCCUAAUUAAUAUACUGCAAUACACAGAGAGGGGCUCUGAUACCAACUUUUCCCAUCACCAGUUUCAACAACAGUUUGUUAGUCAAGGUUCUUAAAAUCUCUGUUAGCAAUGAGAGUUUAAUUAAAAAAUUUUAUUGAAUUAAAGUGUGAACACAUUUAUUGCUAGCAUUAAAAUAAUAUAAACAUUUCCCAUAUAUGAUAAUGCAACACUGCAAUCCUGUAGAAGUAAAAAAUAGUAAAUAAAAUAAAAUAAAAAUAAUAAUAUAACACGGAUUCGAACAUAAGUCUAUCAUUUCAAAAGAGUCUCUUAUUACCAUUAAAGUACCAACACUUGAUAUGAUAUAAAAUACCAUUUAUUAGUGUUAUGUUGUUUAUUUCAAAUUAUGAAUGUUGAUUUGUGUAUAAAAUAAUAAUAAAAAUUUGAGGGAUAAUAAAAGACUUUUUUUUUAAUAAUUAUGUCUUUCUAAUUAAAUUUUGAUUUGUUCAAAUAUGUAAUUAAAGUAUGAGUAUAUGUUACUCACUAAAAUUAAAUUAAAUUCUUUUGGUCAAGUGCAAAAUGGUACGAAUGAAGAGAACUAAGAGAGUACUAAGGGGUAGAAGACUCUGGUCGUGUUUGGAUACACUUAUGGAUUAUAAGAGGGACCCUAACCAUUCUAUAAAUGAACAUGUGAAUCAUGUGGUUAAUAUGAUCAAGUGUUUGAAAGUGGAAUAUAUUUUUCAGUCAAACUAUAAAAAGCGAAUUUUACAAAUGUCAUUAACGGAACCUAAGGAUAGUUUUAAAAAAUAUGUGGGAAUUCGUUCAAGAAGAGCCUCAUGGUUUGACAAAUAGGUCUUUUGAUGACUUAGUAGCUCUUUUCAAGGAACAUUGGCAAAUAUGCUUCACGAAGAAUGUCAUUAGAUGAACAACAGUGCUUUUUAUUUCUCCUAACUUGCGAAAUGCAAGUUUUUUGAAUUCUAUUAGGCAUAAAAAUCUUAGAGGGUUAUGGUUAUUGAAAACAACUUCUAGAGUUAUAGAAGACACUAUGUAUAAUCCUAACAUUUUUUUUUCUUAGUUUUAAGGGAGAAAAUUAGUUUUUCUUUUAUAUAUUACAUUUUCUUUUAUGCUUUGUACAUAAAAUGUAAAUAAUUUGAUAUGUAAGACAUGACAUGUAUAUUUAUCUUGUUGAUGUGGCCUGGAAGAAAAAAAAAUUCUUUAGCUCGCAUUACAUUGUUAAGUUGUAUGCAAGAUGAUCUCAUAUUGAGUAUAGGUAUACCAAACUCCUCAUGAGAUGUGGGAAGCUUUAAAAGAAAAGUAUGGUGGACUUUCAGCUACGAAGCAGAGAGAAAUUGUAAUGAACUUUGGAAAUUACAAAAUACGACUUAACCAUAUGAUGAAACAACAUCUUAGGGAGAUGAAAAGAGUGAUAAGAGAGCUUAAGACAUCUGAACAUGUCCUCACUGAUGACCAACAAGUUGAGGUAGUCCAUUAUAGACAUCUCUUUUUAAGUGAUAGAAGUCCAUGCUGACUUGUGAACUGAACCUUAUAGGUUGACAAGAUGUGUAGAAAUAGAGCGUUGGCUAUCAAAAAUGAUUGGAUCAUCACUUCUCAUUUUAUAUAUAUAUUAUGGAAAUUUUUUUUAAAGAUAAAAAAAUUUUAAAUAGCAUACUCUAAAUUUAACUUUUUAUUUUAUUUUCUAUUUCUAAUCCAAAUAGUCUCCACAUCCAGUGUGCCCUAUGAAUUCACCCACAACAAAAAAACAUCAAAGGGCGUAAGAUUUGAUUUUAUAACUAACCCGUUUUUUUUUAACUCUUUAAAAAGAAUAAAAACACAGAUAUGCAAGAUAUUUCCACCAAAUUCAAACUUUCAUUCUAUGGUUAUUUUAUGUUUCUCAAAUUCUCAUAAAAAAAACUCAAGGUUUAAGAUUGUCAAUUUUAUAUUCAUCUACACGCUGAUUUAUUUAUUUGCAUAUUUUUCUAUUAAUUAUUUCUUUUUCUUUUUCUAUUUCUUUGUGAAACCAAAAUAACAAUUAUAUUAUAUGGAGAAGGAAUAUAAGUUGAAAUGAAACUUUUACCUGAAGUUUUCUUUGGAAAAAGAGAGAUAACUUCUCCUCUUCACUUUAGAUCUAAAAUCUCAAUUUUUCUCUAAACUUUAUUCCCUAUAGUAUUUAAAAGUGUAUCCAAAACGUAGUUUAGGCUUUAUGUAUAUAUAUAUAUAUAUAGCCUAUAGUUCAAAAUUUAAGCCCAUAAGGUCUAAAAUUUAAGCUUUUGGACCCAAAGUUAUAUGUUUGGGCAAACCCAACCGUUAGGUAUGUAUAAUUACUUAAAUAGAUAAAAAUAUUUAUUGAGGUAUUGUUUACGUAAAUUUAUUAUUUUCUAUUUUUAAAAACAACAAAAUAGUAAUAACUCUCACAUAAAACACAUAAAAUAUUAGAACUUUUGACAUUUAUUUUGAAAGGGUAAUGAUUUUUAUUUUUAUUUUUUUACAUUAAGGUAUCAAAACUUUUUUACUUCCUCCAAUUUUAAACCUUUUAAAAAUAUUUUUUAAGAACAUAAGUUUAGAUAUAAAAUAUGGUGUUAUGUGAUAAUAUAUUUGGAUUGUUUUCACUUAUUUUUUACUCUUUUAAAAAUAUAAUUUUACAAAUAUAAAAAAUAAUUAAAAAUAAAAUACUACGAACUACUUUUAAGAAAUAUUUAAAAAUGUGAAAAGUAUGUUAAAAAUAUUUUAAGUUCUCAAAUAAAUUUUUAUUUUGAAAAUAUUAUAGAAUUAUUUUUAAAAACUGUUAUUAUAAAUUAUUUAAAAAUAAAUACUCUCAAAUAAACCCUAUGUUACACCUUAUUCUUUUCUUUACUUUUAUUACAUCAUUAAAUUGAUGUACAAUAAUUGUGCUCCGAAAUCAAACAUUUAAGUUUAAUUACAUGGGUUUAUAUGAUGACCGAAUUUGGAGGUUAGGAUACUACAAUCAUUUCAUAUAUGAAACCUAAAGGCUUGAAAUGAAAAUGACUUGAUAAGCUGAAAUAAUUAAGUUUACCAAAAAGUCUUAACUAGAAAUUUAAUUUCACAUAGAAAAUUCAUAUGACAAUUCUCUCAAAAGUAGUAGUAACUAGUUUCAAAACUGAACAAAUAAAAGAACUUCUCAAGCCCUUCCUACUUAUGUCACUAAUCCUUCCUAGAAUCAAGUGUACCUAAAAACAUUUAAUAGAAGGAGUGAGCUCGAAAGCCCAAUAAAGGGAAGAGAUCAAGUACAUUUAUUUUUUUUUUAUUUAAAAAAAUGAAAUAUAGAAUGCUUGUAACAUGAGUACAAUCAUAAGAACCAAACUUAUAUUACAUAUGUUAUCUUCGAAAAUGUAUCAAAUUGAAGUUCUUAAUAAACCUGCAUAUAUUCAAUAAAAAAAUUUGGUUUUUAAUAGAAGUGUCCAUCAUAGUGGGACUUACAAAAGUACCCAUCAUAGUGGGACUUACAGAGGUGCCUAUUAUAGCGGGAUUUACAUAAGUGACUAGCCAUAUUCCUUAUAUGUUGGUGGGCAAAACCAAAACCAAUUUAAUGAUACACUAUACAUUAGUAACUACCUUACUCGCUAGGUUUUUAAAUCAUUGUGAACCCCACCAAAGGUCACAAAGGUCAAUAUCUUUUUCCCUGGUUGACUAGGGCUAGAUAACUAGAAUGCAUAUGUAAAGUAAAAAUAUAAUCAAAUCAAAACAAUUCUCAAUAUCAAUAUUUCAAACUUAUCUAAACAUUUUUCAAAUUCACUAAUCAAAUAUAACAAUAAAAGUAAGAAUUUCAUGUUUUAAUUAUUAUUCUAAUUUUCUCUUUGUUAUUUAUUUAUUUGAAUUUUUAUUUUAACUCAUAAGGGGUACAAGGGAUAAAAUAUAAAGAAGGGAAAUGAAAUUUAUUUGAGUCAUAUUUUUAUUUUUUACUAAUUAAUAUCUAUAAUAUACAUACAUCCUAUAUAUAAAUCUUAAAAUAAAAUAAAAAUAAAAAGAUUGGGUUAUAGUAAAAAAAAAAUUGCUUUAAAAUCAUGUUUUAAAACUAGUCUUUAGCUUUAACCCUUGACCUGUAACUCGUUUUUGCUGAAAAAUCGACAUGUUUUUAGGAGACUUUGUCUAGUCUAAGGGGGGGUGCUACCUUUACACGAAGUGAUGUUUUAAAAUUCUGGUUUUAUUCAAAAAAAUUCUACAGAAAUUUGAUCUUCAAAUAAACUAUUUAUCUUCUUUUCCCUUGUUUUUGAAUCACCUGAGAGAUUUAAAGAAAUCCUUCAUAUUAAAGUUUUAAUAAAUAUUAUUUCAAAAUAUAUUUAUUUAUUUAUUAACCCUAUACCAAAAUCAAGUAAAAUCAAUUCAUAUAGGGAAAUAUCUAAUUUCCAUUACUUAGGUUGACUUAACUUGUUUUUCUUAAACAAUUACUCAAAAAUUUUUCUUAAGGAAUUUUAGCCUAAUAUUUUCUGGCAUCCAACCAUUUAAAUGAUUUAUUAAACCUUUUAUUAAGAUUAAUUCUUCUAUACCUCAAAAUCACAUUGGAAAUACUUCUACAACCUCCAUGGUACAAAGAAAAAAAAAACCUUUUACUUUCAAUCAACAUCAUAUUAUUUUCCAACCCAAAAUACACUAACAAAAUUUUUCAUAACCACUUGUACUAAUUUUAAUGUUUUCCUAUGAUAGUUCUAUAGUCUCCACAUGCAGUGUGCCCUAUGAAUUCACCCAGAACAAUAAAAUAUCAAAGAGCAUGAAAUUUGAUCUUGUCACUAACACCUCUUUUUUGACUCUCUAAAAUGAAUAAAAGUAUAGAUCUACAAUAUAUUUCCACCGGAUUCAAACUUCAAUCCUAGAAUUACCUUAUGUUUCUUAAAUCCUCACAAAAAAAAACUCUAGAUUUAAAAUUUAUGAAUUUUAUAUUCAUCACCGAUUUAUUUAUUUACAUUCUUUUUUAUUAAAUAUUUUUUUUAUUUCUUUGUGAAACCAAAAUAACAAUUAUAUUCUAAGGAGAAGGGAAGGAAUAUAAGUUGAAAUGAAACUCUUUGAAGUUUUCUCAGGCUCCUCUUAAUGUGGUUUAGGGUUUAUUAUUAUUAUUAUUGUUAAUUAUAUAUAUGAUAUAGUCCAAAAUUUAAGCUUAUAGACCCAAAAUUAUAUUUUUGCCCAAACCUAACCCUUAUGUGUUACAAUUUACAUGUAUAAUUACUUAAAUGGAUAAAAAUAUUUAUUAAGGUGUCGUUUAUAUAAAUUUAUAUAAAUCUAUACAUUUUAUGUAAAAGUUCUUAGUUUAUAUAAAUAUAAGAUGGUACUAUUUUUUAUUUUGCAAAUAUAAGAAAUAAGAUGUGUACCCAAACCAUCACUAAUUAAGUAAUUUAAUUGUUCUAAAAGAGAAAUAAGAAAAUAAGAAAGUUUUUUUUCUUCUUAAAAAGCUUUAUAAAAAAUAAGGAAUAUAUAAUUUUAGGAAAAAAAAAAUUAUGUAUAUAUAUAUGUUAAUGUCUAGAAGUUAUUUAACUCUUAAAAAAAUUUGAGUGUAGAAAGCUAGAUAAGAAAUGUUGAGAAAUAAAGCUAUUAAUAGAAUUUAUGAUAAGAACUGUUGAGAAAUUUUUGCUUAUUUCCCUUUUUUGUUUGUUUGUUUUUAUGUGGACCAGCUUGUAGAGAUUUAAAGAUCUUAUGAUAAGGAGCAGUCAAUGGUAUUCAAUUGAUGUACAUUCAACUGUGAAUUUGAAGAAUGAGAUGAAUGAUAAAAUCUAAAUUAUUGCAUGAAAGUAUAAAUAUAAAGGAAUAUGAUAUAAAUAAAUAAACUUAAAAUAAAAAUAGGAUCAUAAUAUAAAACAAUAAGACUACAAAAUAAUGAAAUUUGAUUAGAAAACAAUAAAAUCAAAAUGAAAUGUAUGGCAACUAUGGAAAAGUUGCUCAACUAUAAUAUCGUAAGUACAUGUAAUAAUUCUCUUUAUGAUAUUUGGGAUAUGAAAAAAUAUAUUUUUUCUUUACUCAUUUCUUUUUCUGGUCAUUUUAUUAAGAAAAAUGCUAAUAUAUUGUAGUGGUGUUUCUUAAAAUCCAAAUCUAGAUGUGGACCCCGCAUUUCGACUCAUGCGUUUCCCACUCGAUGGCGAGCUCGAUUUUAAUUUGAAAAAUGAUUUUUAUUGAUUAAGAAAAUGACUUGGAGUCGCCACUUAUUUUUGUUUUAUUUUUGAAAGGGUAAACAAAAUAAGAAAGAAAACCCUAAGUGCGACUCCUUAUUUUGGAAAAGGUGAUCUACAAAAAAUCGGAUCGGGCUUGGGGGUCAAGUUACUUAUCGAGAAGGUACGGUAAAAGACCAUAGCACCCCUCUAAGUCCCUAAAGUCGGGUCUCUACUAAUAAAAUGAAGCUGACGUGGCAAUUGACGAGUAAAUCAAUGAAUAUCCUGAAUGAUCAUGCAUACAUAAGAGUCAAGACAUGCAUAGACAACGAUUAGAGGGAAAAUGGGUACAUACCUGGGGCAACGAGCCGACAUGCGCUAUCAAUAGAGAGGGUUAGUGCACAAUUUAGGAAUAAUCGCAUGUAUGUCAGAGAGUAGGGUAAAUCAAUCACGUAUGAUAAUCAAAACAAGCGAUCAAUCAAUCAAUCAUAAAGUCACCCAUGUUGAGCACCCACCAAAGCCCGUUUAUUUAGCAUGACUUAAUGUCACAGAUUCCAUUAUUCUGGAAUUAUGAAAAAUUCGUUCACGCUUAUUAAAAUCAAGAGGAGUGGAAGAUCGUUUGAAAACCAGAGCGAAAUUAAAACUAUUUGAGAGAAAAUUAGACUUUUGAAAUUUAAUUGAAAAAUUGGAAUCUCGAAGAUCACUAGAAAAUUGGAGUUUUAGAGUUUAUUUGAAGAUCAGACUCUUAGAGGUUGAAUGUGAGAAUGUGAAUUUUAGAAAUCGAAUUUGAAAGAGAUUGGAAUUUUGAAAAUGAUUUGAGGGUUCGGGAUUUUAAAAAAAGAUUAAGUUACGAAAAUUGGGAUUAUGGGAGUUAAAUUUUGAAAAGGAUCAGAAUUGUAAGUUAUUUAAGAAGUAGAAAUUAUGAAAGUUGAUUUAUAAAAAAUUGGAAAUCUUAGAAGUCAUUCGAAGGCAGAAUUUAUAGAAAUAAUGAAUAAAAUAAUAGUGAUAAUGAUAAUAAUAAGUAGUGGGAUAAAUACGGGGAUUGGAGCAUGGGAAAUUGAAAAUUGAGUUCAAUGAUUGAGAUUUUUAAAAGAAACAAAUAGAUAAACAUAGAAUAAUGUUACUAAUUAAUCAAAACGAUAUUUGGACGGAUGAAAAUGAACAGUGAGAUUUGUGAGAUUAAAAAUUAAAUUAAGAAGUCAGGUUUUUGAAGAAUUGGACUUUGAAUAAAUAAAUAAAUCUAGGAUGACAAUUCUGCUUAAGGAAAAUAACAUUUAAAUGAAUAAAGAAGAAUAGUGGAAUUUUUAGGGUUGAAAAUUAAGUUAGGACAUCGGAUUUUUGAAGGGGUAGACUUUAAAUAACUAGAUAAAAACGGGAUUGUAAUUCUAAUUGAUGAAAAUAAGAUUUAAACAAAUUAUUGAAAAAUUAAGUUAAGGCAUGGGAUUUUCGAAGGAUUAGACUUUAAAUAAAUAGGUAAAUAAGGGAGGAUAAUCCUAAUUGAUGAAAAUAAGAUUUAAACGAAUUGUGGAAUUUUUAGAAUUGAAAAAUUAAAUUAGGGAGUUGGAUCUUCGAAGGAUUAGACUUUAAAUAAGUAAAUGAAUAUGGGAUACUAAUUCUAAUUAAAGAAAAUAACAUUUAGACCCAUAGUAGAAUUUUAGGAUUGAAAAUUAAAUUAUGACAUUGGAUCUUUUUAAAGGAUUGGAUUUUAAAUAGAUAAAUUAAUAUAGGAUGAUAAUACUAAUUAACGAAAAUAACAUUUAAACCGAAUAAAAAGAAUAGUGGAAUUUUUAGGGGUUUGAAAAUUAAGUUCAAUGAUUGAGAUUUUUAAAAGAGAUAAACAAGUGUGGAGUUUUCUAAUUGACGAAAAUAACAUUUAGGCGAAUAGUGGAAUUUUUAGGAUUGAAAAUUAAAUUAUGACAUUGGAUUUUUGAAGGAUUAGACUUUGAAUAAAUAAAUAUGAGACAAUAAUUCCUAAUUAACAAAAAUGACAUUUAGACGAAUAAGGUUUGAACGGACUAUUGAAAAAUUGAAUUAAGACAUGGGACAUUGUAGGGUUAGACUUUGAAUAAUUAGGUAAAUAUAGGAUAAUGAUUCUAAUUGAUGAAAAUAAGAUUUAGGCGAAUUAUUGAAUAAUUUAAAUUAAGAUAUGAUUUCCUUGAAAGAUUUAGACUUUAAAUAGCUAGAUAAUGUGGGAUAAAUAAUUCUAAUGGAUGAAAAUGAGAUUUAAACAAAUAUUUUGAAGAAUUAAAUUAAAACAUAGGAUUUUUGAAGGAUUAGACUGGAUAGAUGGAUGAAUAUAGGAUAAUAAUUCUAAUUAAUGAACAUAAGAUUUAAACGAAUAUUUGAAGAAUUAAAUUAAGGCGUAGGGUUUUCGAAGGAUUAGACUUUAAAUAACUAGAUAAAUACAUGAUGAUAAUUCUUAAUUGAUGAAAAUGAGAUUUAAACGGAUUAUUGAAGGAUUAGAAUUAUCUUUAUUAAAUAUAAAAUAAAUCCAGGGACCCAUGCUAUUCAUACCUCCCCUUCCUUCUUCCCAAAGCUCUUUGCCCUCUCCGGGUGUUUGGCUUCCUCCAGAAAAAAAAAACUCCCUCCAGCUCUCCACCCUUCUCCCCUUUUUUUUUGCUUCCUGCUGCUAUCUUCCUUGGCAAGCCAUCACCAACUUUGCUGUUCACCCAUCAGCAAACAUGGCUAGCCAUCCUCCCUGCUACUUCACGUCCCAUGCAGCCGGGAUUCAUGGUAAGAGAGGGGGUCCCCCUCACACUUCAAAAGGAAUGCAAUGAAAAAUAAUAAAAAGAAACUACAUCCACUCUCUUCAGGUCCUCACCCAGGGGUCUACACUAGACUAUUAAAUACAUAUUGUGAGAUUUGAAUUGUUAAACGAUAGUGCAAAUAAAUGAAAUUAAGGUAUUAAAAUAUAAAUAAAUGAGAAUAAAGCAUAAACAAUAUGACUUAAAAAUGUAUAUUAUAUAUAUAUAUAUAUAUAUAUAUAUAUAUAUAUAUAUAUAUAUAUAUAUAGUUUUAGGUAAAUACAACUAACCUUAAUUGAUUUGAAAAUUCGUCAAAUAUCUCACUUAUUUUGAAUUAAAAGAAAAAUGCAUAAAAAUAUCAAAUAAGAAGAAAAAAAAAAAAGAGGUAUGUCAUGAAAUUUAAAACCAAUAAAAAUUAGAUAUAUUUAACCAAAAUUUCAAGAGCAAUUAAUGAAAUUAACCCAAUAUAUUUUUGUAUUGUAGGUAAACCUUUUUAUUAAAUGGUUGGAGGCUAUAGGGGUUGCAUUAAUUUAUGAAAUAAAAAGGGUUUUUCCAAAAAACAUAAAAAGUAUUCAGUGUAGGCUUCUUUGCUUUCUUCGAAAACUUUAAUUACAUAAUUUUUAAUCCCUCUAUUAGUAAUUAUAUUAAUAUAAUUACUCUAAUUUAAAACCAAAUUCAUUUAAAAAAAGAUUAAUUUCAUUGAAACCCUUUAAGGUUUGGUGUAAAUAUAUUCUAUCAUUAUUGGUUUUAAAUUUCGUCAAUUAAUAUUCCUAAAAAGAUUUUAAUUAAGUAAAAAUAUUUUAGAUUAGAGUGUUUAACAGUUUUUUAAAAAUAAAAUAUUAUUUUUUAAAAAUUAAUAUUUAUAUAUCAAAUAUGUUUAUAAGAAUGUUAAUUGAUAAAAUUGAAACCUAAGAUAGCUUAGCAUAUUUAUACUAAAUGGGCUAUCAACGAAAUUAACCCUUUAAAUAAAAAGAAAAACCUAAAAGUUAUUAACUUGAAGAGCUUCAGACCAAUAUCACAAAAGGCUAACCAAAUUAACAAAAAGUCUAUAAAUCAAAGAUGGUGAAACUUAAGCUAAUCCAAAUUAGAAAAAAUAAAAAAUAAAAAAACCAUUUUUCGAAGAUCUGCAGCUAGGUAUCAUUUCCCAUGCAAUAGUAAAUGUACAUGUCCAGUACCCUGACUCAGUCAUCCCUUCUAGUUUAAAGUUCCAAUAAAUACAAAAUCAACAAAAUCUUUUUCUUAAGUUUCCAAUAAAGCUGUUUGAAGCCUGAUAUGUCCUUCCAGCUUAAAGUUCCAAUAAAUCGUUGCGUGUUGGGAGGACAAAAUUAAUUUCUUGGUUUCCAAUACGGCUCUUCAAAUGCACUCCAGUCAAUUCUGAAAAUGCCUAUGUCCAUAAGUGUGACUCUUUCCUAUUACAUCUUCUCAUUUAUGGGAAUGCGAAAAAUUUGUUGUUAGAAGUAUAUAUUAGUUGGUGUCUAGAUUGAAAGUAGCCUUUCAUCCUGUCGGAGGUUGCAACGCAAUGGAUUAUGAGGUAACCUUCAGAACAUGCAUCUUCUUUUAUAUUUUAUUUUUUAUUUUUUUAUAAGUUUUUGUCUUGUUCAUGUUACGAUGUUUACCAACCAAAAAUACCCUCAGGUGUUUUCUCCUUUCUUAGUAAACCCUUAUAAGUUUCUCGAGGAAAAAGAAAUUGGCCUUGUUCCAGGUAUGAUGCCGUAACAAAAUUAAACACCCAUAAGGAAUCGCAAUUCCAAUCCCUAAACAAUGGUAUGGUAAAUGGGACGGUGUGAUGUGUGAAAAUGGACGCUCCGUUUGAAAUGAUGAGGGUUUAAUCAAUAAUAACAAUUGUGUUUUUAAUCCAUGUAGGAUUUAUAAUUAAGAUAAGGUACUCCGGGGUGAUGAUAAGGAUAUGCAAUAAUAAUUAACAAAAAUACCCAUUUGAUUCAUUUUUAUUUUUAUUCUACUACUUGUCACUAUUCUUUCUUAUUUAACCAUUUUUUGAAUUUUUAUUAUUUUUUUUAACUCUUUUAUAAAUAAUUAAAAAAUUAAUAUUAUUUUUUAUUUUUAAAUUACAAAAAAAAUUAUAUUAAUAAUUCAAAGACCAUUUUGGAAAAUGCUUUCUAAAAAAAUAUUAAUUGAAAUAAAUAAAAAUUAUAUUUUACAUUUAUUUUUAUUUUUUACAUUUUAGAAGUAAAUAAUUUAAUGAUUAAAAUACCAUUUAAAAUAAAUAUAUUCACUAUUUUUAAUUUUUUUUUAUAAUAAAAAGUAUUUUUAAAGUUUUUUUUACUAUUACAAAAUAAAAAAGUUUAAUUUUUUUUUUUUAAUCUUCUUCCUUCCUUAUUUUAAUAACUUUUUGAACAUGACUUUUAGUAAUAAGUUAUAUGAAAUGUUAUAAAUUUGUUUAUUAAAGAUUUUUUUUAAUGAUUUGAAUUAAUUGAAAAUUUAUUAAAAUCAGAAAAAGAAAAAGAAAUAAAGAGGAUGGAUGGAGAGUUUUUAUUUUAAGUACUCAAUUAAAAUGUUUUCAUAUGACCUAAUUUUAGAAGUGAAUUAUAUCAAUAAAUAGUAGAGAUUGAAUUUUGCUUAUAUAAAAGGGUUGAAAUGUAUAUUUACUUAUUUUAGAUGAAACAAGUAACUAAAAAUUAUAUAGAUUAUAUUUGAGUUUGGUUUUAAAAUAUUUUUCUAGUUUUUAUUUUUUAUUUUUUUAUUUUUAAAAAUAAUUUUUAUUUUCUAUAUUGUCUCUUUUUGAAAAUACAUUUAAUUAAAAAAUGAAAACUAUUUUUAAAAAUGAAAAUUGAAAACCUUGUUUAGUACUAUUUUUUUUAUAUGAAAAAAAAUUAUUUAUUCAUUUAUUGCACCACUAUACAAUUGUAUUACACUAACUGUACAAAGAAAAUGUAUUAAGUGUACAAAGGUGUACAAUGCUACCAUUUGUGAAAGAUUAUAAUUAAUUAUGAGUCAUUCCUUUAUUUUUCUUAUCACUCACGAAUUGUGCAUAUAUGUCAUGCUCUUUAUUUAAUUCCUGCAUGGAAAUUCCAAUACUUUCUCUAAUAAUUAUAUUUGGGGAAAAAUUUUUUGACAUUAAGUCAUUCACCAUAUUCUCAACUAAACCAUUGGAAAUAUGGUUAAACACUCCUACGUGGACAUUGACACAUAACUUAUGAGGGAUAUGAAAUUUGUGUCAUUAUACAAGGGUAUUACACUAACUGUACAAGGAAAAUGUACUAAUUGUACAAAGGUGUACAAGAUUACCCUUUGUGAAUUAUUUUAAUCAAUUUUAAACCACUUUUUUAUUUUCCUUGUCACCCAAGGAUUGUACGCUUAUGUCAUGCAUUUUAUUUAACUCUCACAUGGAAAUUCUAAUAUUUUCCCCAAUAAUGAUAUUUGGGGGAAAAAAUUGAUCCUAAGUCAUCCACCAUUUUCUUAACCAAACCAUUAAAAAUGUGAUUAAUACACCUACAUGAACAUAUAACUUAUGAGAAAUAUGAAAUUUGUGUCAUUGUAUAAGGGUAUUACACUAACUAUACAAGGGAAAUGUGUUAAGUGUACAAGGGGUGUACAAGACUCCUAAUAGGUUUUAUACAAUUUUUAAACAACUUGAAUUUGACAUUAAGACGAUUAUUGAUAAUUUUUUUUUUUACCAAACUAUGUCAUUAAGACAUUCUCUACAAAAAUCAACACAUAGGAAAUAAAAUUAAAAUCAAUCAUGUUUGAAUUGUUCAUUAUAAGUAAACUAAAUGAAAUAUAUAUUUUUUACUAUUUUUCCUUUAUAAACAUAAUUUCAUUGUUAUCAAUAGAGAUUAAAAAAAAAUCAUAUUUAAAUGGAAUUAAAAAUAAACAAAAAUUAUUUUUAUAACAUUUUUUUUAAAUCAUUAAUUUAAAUUAUGAAAUUAGUUUUAAAAUUAAAAAUAUUUGUUGUAAUUAUAGUUUUGAAGAUUUCAUGAUUUUUAUUUUAUUACUUUGACAAAUUUGCUUUAAUAAGAAAAUAUUUAUUUUAAUGAUUUUAAAUAUUUAAAUCUUUAUUAAAAAAUAUUUAGGAUUAGUGUGGAGAGCAAUUAGGUAAUUUUGGAAUAGAGAAAUUUUGAAUAUUUUGAAGACUUUAAUUCGGCCAGUUACCCUAUUUACACUUUCAAAAUUAUUGGAAGGUUGGUAAAUUAGUAUUAAAAAUAUUGUCUUCUUGAUUAAUAUUAUAUAUAUAUAUAUGCAUGUGAGUGUUUACAUUAUUUUUGAAAUAUAAACACCAUGUGUCUAAUUUGCAAGUUAGAAAAAAAAAUUAAUAAUAUUUUCUGAGGUAUUUAAAAAGUAUUUAUUAUAUGUUCUAUAAAUUUGAAAAUAUAUCAUAUUUGAUGAUACUUAAUUUACAAGUUAGAACAAAUAAAUAAUACUAAUAUUUUAUGAGGUGUUUAAAAAUUAUUUAAUAUAUAUGAGAAAUAAUAUAAGUUUGAAAUAAAGAAUCAUAUUUAAAAUUAUAAUCAUAUUUAUCAAAUUUUUUACUAAGAUUAUCUUUAAUUCUUUUAAUAUAUUUAUACUCAUUUAUUUAAAAAAAAUGAAAUUUUGAUUUUUUUUUUUUUUUGUAAACAUGUUCUAUUACCUUUCAAGUAAAAAAUUAGAUAAGUUUGAAAGUCAAUAAAAAAAAUUAAAUACCACUUUCAAUAAUUUUUAGAUAAAAUUUUAUAUAAUAUAUUUUAUUUAAAUUUAAUUUCUAAAGUUUAACUAAAAAAUUGUAUUGAAAAUUUUCUUGUUGUGAGUCAAAAUACUUUGCAUUAGUCUAUCUAGAUAAGAAAAAUUAUUAAUAUAAUAUUAGAACUUCAUAUCUUAGUUAUUUAUUUCAAUAAAUUUAUCUUUUUAAAAAUUUUUAAAAUAAAAACAUUAAAAAUUAAAAAGCUAAAAAGGAUAUAUAUAUAUAUAUAAUAAAGUGAAGUGAUAGUCAAUUUUUAAAUUUUUUAAAAUAUGGUUAAUGUAGAAAAUAUAAAAAAUAAUUAAAAAUAAGAGAAAAAUAUAAAUGAAAGGGUAAUAUAAAUUUAAAAUAAAAAAUGAAAAUUAAACUAAAGGAUAAAAAAAUAUUUGGAUGAAAAUUCCCAAAAAAUUUAUCAUUGCUUAUAAUAAGAGCAAAAAGAUUCAAUAUCUUUAAAAAUGAAAAACAAAAAAACGUUAUUGCUUUUUAUUUGACAUAAAAUAGAAAUAUAGAUUGGAAGAAAAAGAAAAAAAAGUUAGAAAUGAGUAAUACUUAAUAGGGAAUAGAAAAGGGAAAAAAAAACACAAAAAAUUGAAAUUCACACUCAUUUGUACCUAUGUAAGGGUUAAGGGUAUUUUAGGGAUUAAUGAAAGACAAUAUCCUUCAUCUUAAUUUUCAUACUUUGUUUGGGUUUUGAGCUUAAAUAUGCAUGAUAUAUAGACCAAAUGUUAAUUUUUGGGCCUAACUGGGCCAAAAACACAAUUCUCCCUAAUCAACAUGCCUUAAAAAAAUAGGUUUGAUUGAAGUCCAUGAUAAAUACACAACCAUUACAAUAGGGAUCCAUACACAACUUCAAGGCAUGCUCAUAAAUAUAGCCUAUUCCAAUUUUAGUUUGAACUCUUUCCUAUUCUAAUAUAGCUUCUUCUCAUUUGUUCAUUGUCCCUUUUUAUCUCUUAUUUUCAAAUCAAGCGUUGAGUAUUGACUAGAAAUGUUUUAGCCAUAAAUUUUUUUUUUUUUUUUUACAUCCAAUUUCUCACCAUCCAAACAUAGCAAAAACAAAAAACAAAAAACAAAACAAAAGAUAAUAGAAAAAUAAUAAAGUUUUUCUCCCUUUUCCACUUUAAGCCAUUGAAUAUAAGUGUUUGAACCUAUUAAAGCCUAAACUAAUAAAUUAAAAGAAACAAAAUGAAAACUCCAAUGGGUUCUUAGAGUAAAAUAAUAAAUUAACGAACUAGAUGUUCUUUCUGUGUGCUGAAAGUUAUGUUUUAUGGUCAUCACUUUCUAGGUGUUUUCUUUUGCGAGAAUUUAUGAUUAUCUGAUUUGAAAAAGGAAAAAUUUUGAAAAAUGCAUGGUCAUUUAUAGAUCACAUAUUAAAUAUUGUGACUUAAAUUUUCAAAGCACCAAAAUUCUUGUUCUUCCAAAAUUAGGGUUUGAACAUUAUAUAUCCUUACCUAGAAUUCAAAAUUAGUUGUAUUCUUUGAGAUAUACCGUUGAAACUUGAAAUUGAAAAUUUGCAAUCAACAAUGGCUUAUAUUAGAAAAAUUUAGGUUGGUGUUGUAACCUACCCAACCUCAACUUGAGUCUAAUGCUUUCGAUAAGUGUAGCUUUUAGUUACUUUAAAGGGAUUGCUCUACCAGGUGUAGAUGUUGAUGGUGUUCUUUUUGAUAGCUUUGUAAGUCGUAUAAAAAACACUUCAAUACAUAUGCCUGAAGCAAUUUUUUUUGUUUAUCAAUAGAUGGUUGUCAUAGGAGAAAGAACAUCAAUAGGAAUCAGUGAUUCACCAUAGAAUGUAGCUUGUUAUGGUUCAUUACUAAAAUGAUCUAACAUGAACAUUGAUAUGGUUAAUUUUGAUCAUUCAAAACCUUCAUGAUUAUAUCAAUUCAACCAUAUUGACCACUAUGAGAUAAACAUGAAAUGAAACAUAAAUAAAAUUCCUACUACACUCGAUUGGCCCUAUAAAAGUAGGUCAGAAGAUAAUAGCUGGCAUAAUUGACCUCCUGGACGUUUACUUCAAUGGUGAAAAGUGUCAAAGGCCAGAAAGUUGUUAAGCUGCCUAAAUCAGCCAUGCCGUGGUGAUUGCCAUUGAUAAUUCUUGUGGUACUUGUCUUUCAACUUAAGAAAAGGGUUGACUCAUAAUUCUUGGUAUAUCCUUAUUUAAAAUGGGUUAUUUUGUUGGACUAAGUGGACAAUUGAUUUGGACCUUGCUUACGUGGCUUUUCCAAGUGGCUUAUCCAACUAUGAGAGUUGUUAAAGUGUAGAGGGCAUUUUUGGAAGGGCCUUAACAUCAUUAUUACAAUGUAUGAAAGACCAUUUAUUUUCCCCAAAAUCCACUGAAUUUGAAAAGUAAAAAGGCAAAGUUUCUAAAAGGCAAAAUUUUGCCCCUUGGUGUAUGGUUACAUAAAUUUUCCAUUUUUUUUUUAAAGAUUUCAUAUAGUUUGGAUAUUGUUUAGAUAGGUUCAUUACACUUAGGGGGUGUUCAAAUGAUGUCCGAUAAAAUCAAAAUCCAAAAAUACUAAAAAAAUUAGGCAAGGUACGAAGAAUGUAAGGAACCCUCCCUAGUCUCCACUUCUUUGAACUUUUAAAAAAAAAAAUUGGGACUUCAUAUGACUUAGAUAUUGUUUAGAUAAGUUCGUUCAGUGUUUGAAAUAUCAGUAAACAUGGAUAUAUCAGUAUUUGGAUUUUACGGAUAUAUCGAAAAUAUUGGAUAAAUAUCGAUGGAUAUUUUUACACAAAUAUCGGUGAGACAAAAAUUAUUCAAAAUUGAUGGGAAUGCUUGGAAAACUCCAAAGAAUAAUAAAAUAAGCAAGAAUACACAUGUUAAAGUUAUUUUGUAAGUCUAAUUGACAUAAAUAUGGUCAAGGAAAAAAAUAUUGAUAAACAUAGAUAUAUCAGUAGAUUCGAUACUUGGAUUUUAAGAAUAGAAAAUAUGAAUUUUGGGAUUAUACACUCAGAAAGUUAGAAUUGAGUUAGUAAAUAUCUGAUUUUAUUAAAAGAAAAUAUUUUAUACAUAAACAUAAUACAUAUGACAUUGCAAUAGUCUUUAAUACCAAAAUGAAGAUUGAUGUGAUUCCAUUAUAUUGUUAGAUGAAAGGAGCCCAUCUUGUUGAAGACAAUAUUCAUACCAGGACAUGGAGUUUCAAUAGUAUUGAUUGUCAGUACGAACAUGUCAUGCAUAAAUUUCUUGAAAUCUAGGGUUUUCCCAUAUGCUUGUUUGAAAUCCUUACUGUUGUAUCUGAUAUGGAAUGUAGUACCACAUUAGUACGGAAGAAGGAUAGUUAUACCUUUCGUACUCUUCAUUAGUGGAACUUGAAAGAUUUGGAGGAGGCUGACCAUAACUCAUUGCAUAAGGGGCAUAAAUGUUGGAUUCAUUUGAUGAGUCAUUAAAUUGAGUCUCUAUACUCAUUGAAUCAAAACUGGCCAACAAUGAGUCCUCAUUACAUGGCGUCAUUCUUCGUUGUCUUCCUCUAUAUGGCUUUCCAAUGCCUCCAACACCUAGACCAGCUCUUCUAGAGUCGUGGUCUUCAUCUUGAGUACAAUGUGUGAAAUCAUUUUCACAAGUAAAUGCCAAUGGUUGUCCACUUUGCUGCUAUUGCCAAACAUCCCAUCCAUCAUUUCUAGGGUUGCUACCAUCAUUGGUCUCUUCUCUUCUUGAACCAUCAUAGUCGAAAGCAAAAGUACCAGCAGCACUAGAUUUGCUACUAUGUUCAACACUCGUAGAGUCAAAAGAAGGUCGAGAAGUGACUGCCAGUUGAGAAGUUCCUUGUAGAAAUGAAUCUCUCAUGUCUUGGCUGAAACUAUCAGUAUGAACUUCUUCAGAUAACACCUGUUCAACAUCAACCCUUACUUCUCGGACAUGUGCGACAAUUCAUGGGUCGGGAUUUCCAUCUUCAUCAUUUAAAUGAAGAGGUUUAACCUAUUGAAACAAUUGGUUAUCUUAUUCUUCACCAACCUCAACUAUAAUGUCAAGUAAAUCGAGGUAAUCUUUCUCUACAACUUUGUCAUUUUUUGCCUCCACAUCACAGGUCUUUAGUUUCAUAUUAUAAUAACAAAAAACUAAUUGUUGGAGCCUCGGGUAAGUAGGCUGAUUUCUUUGCUUUGUAUGAAUUAAGGUAAAUGUGCUCCAAUUUCUCUCACAAGUUGAAAAUAAUGCAGUUUGUGAUAAAACCUUGAUGGUUAACCUUCUUAAUGUAGGAGUGUGGUUUCCAUACAUGAACCAUCAUUCAGUUACAACCAAAUAAAUGAUAUUAAUACUUAUAUUGGAAAGCUAUAAUAAUAUGUUAAUGAAAUGUAUUAUUAAUUCACAAAUAAUACUCACCAGGAACCAUUUAUGACCUUAAAGCAAUCACUGCUUGAUCACCAAAUCCUCUCAUUGCAUCUCAGAAUAAUAUAAGCUACAUAUUAAAUCAUUGAAAGUAAAAAAUUGAGUAAAUAAAAUUCAAUUAUUUAAUUUAUAUUAUAACUCUAAUAAUUUACCUUAUUUCCAAAUUGACUAAGACCUUCUGUUGCAAGAUCUAAUUUUGCAAAGACUGUCUUAAACAACUUGAAGUAGAUCAGGAUUAGUGCCAACUCCACGUUUAUAUUGAAACCUUGGAUUAAGAAAUAAUGCUACAAUAGUAAAGUAGAAAUAUAGAAUUAAAAUAUUAUGAAAGAAACAUAUUAAAUACCAAUAACUUUUGAAUAUGAAUAAUACUUAGUUACCUGCUGCAUGAAAAGAAUGUUUAAGAGUUCUAUCCCAAUGAUCUGUGAUUAUUUCUAAUACCUAUUCUUUAGCAUUAAGUUGAAUGAGGUUCUCUUUCAUAACUCAAAUCAAUUUGUACACAAAUGGCAUUGUAGGAACAACUUCUGAAUCGACAAUGUGAAGAACCAUGUAUAUCGCCUCAUAGAUUAACACAAGCUUUCCCACUAUCUCUCAAUACGCAUGAUCAAACAUAAGUUUCUCGAUUUCUUUUUCGAUUAAUGGGUCACUUAACUUGUGUUGUUCCAUUUAUUAAUGAUAAACACUUUCUUCAAGUUUGCAUUUUGUUUUUCAAAAGAUUGUCAAGGACAAAAUAAUUGGUUGCAAAUCUUGUUGUUCCAGGGCGAACUAUGUCUCCACCACACACCUUCUGCAUCUGUGCAAGCAACCAACUAUGGUUAUAGAUGAAGUUGGUUAUCUUUUGAACCUUUGUAAUCACAUCUGCAACACUCGACCUUUUAUCGAUGUCUUCGAACAUUAAGUCAAUGUAAUGUGUUGCACAUGAAGUCCAAUAAAGGUUGUAUUUUUUCAUUAACAGCUUCCCUGCCUUCAUGAAUGCCGACCCAUUAUUUGUAACUAUUUGUACCACAUUUUGUUUGCCAACUUCCUUGAUCACAUCCUUCAACAAACCAUAUAUGCAUUUGUUGUCCUUUAUAUAAUUUGAUGCAUCAGCAUAUUUGAGGAAGAUUGUGCUACCUUGUGAAUAUACCAUGAAAUUAAUUAUGCUUAAUUUCGUGGGCCCAAUCCAUUAGUCACACAUAAUCAUGCAUCCAUAAGUCUUCCACUUUUCUCUUUGAACAUUAACAUAAGCUUCUAUGUCUUUGUACUUCAUGUCCAAGUACUUGUAUUUGAUUUCAUAAGGAGACGGUGGUUCUAUACCCAUACCUACCAUCCAUAUAUAAUUAAAGCAUAUAAGAACAUUUGUGGCAAUCAUACUUUAUAAAUAAUAAUGAUAUUGUUAAAAUGAAUACUAUUUUUAAAAUUAUAAUAAUUACCUGCAUAUUGUGUACCCAUAAUCAUGUUCUUGAAGUGGUGAGAGUUUGUUUUAUUGGGUGCAACACUCUCAUAUAUGAAGAACUUACUGAUCAAACGUCCCAUGGUUUCCUUGAUGGCACCAUAUUUGAAAAGAUUUUUCACAUUUUUCUGUCUUGCUGCUAAAGAUUUGUAUAAUGAGGGUGCACUAGGCGGUGAUGGAUCUAAAUAUCGAACACUUUGCGAUCUUCGCAUAUGUCUUGUUGGAUUAGUUGGAUAUGAAGAUUUACCUAUUAUAAUUAUUAAAAUUAAACAUAUAUGUUAAUUUAAUAUUAUUGAUAAAGUUGAUAAGAAACAGUAAUAAUUCAAAUUAAUAUUAUACAUGUUUUUCUUUUGCCUCUUACAAAAUGUUCUUCUUGUUGUUGAUUCCAUUAAGUAGCUUUCAAUGCUUGAACUGUUGUUCUAUAAGUAUGCCGCUCAUGAGGGUGCAUGUCAACCAGAUACAUAUACACAUCAUCAUCAUCAAGGUUCUUCUCAUCCUCCUUAUCAGUUACAUGUCUAUGUCUUCCUCUCAUUAUGUCUUGCAAUUCAGCUCGAAUCUCUUUUAUAUCUGUUGUUUUCUUCUCUUUUAUCUUAUUUUUUUUCUCUAGAAGUCAUCUUAUAUCUUGUUUCACUUCAGGAGGCAUGUUAGGACACUUUUUUGUAUUUGAAUGAGGGUUUGUAUGCGAUAGGUGAAAUCUAAAACAAGUAAUCCCACCACUCUUUAUUGUCAAUCCACAGUAAUUGCAUAUUAUUCCAUUUUUGUUCCCUUCCAUAGGUGUACAAUAUUUCCAACAAGGAUCUCAACCCAUGAUACCACUUCCACUUCCACUAGCCAUUUUCUAAACAUGUAUUUUAAAUUCCUAUACAAAAUAAUAUCAAAUUUAAAAUUAUUAAAGAUAAAACAUCUAAGAAAUUUAAUAUUAAUAAUAUUCAUGAAAUUGAUAAGAAUCAUUGCUAAUAAAAAUUGAAAUUAAAAUUGAAUUAUGCAUAUAUGAAAUAGAUAAACAUUACAAUUAAAUCUCUAUAUGAAUUUAAUUUAAAUUAAAUUAAAUUUUCAUAUUCAUGAAAUUGAUAAGAAUCAUUACUAAUAAAAAUUGAAAUUAAAAUUGAAAUUAAAAUUGAAUUAUGCAUGGGGAAUCCAAAACUUAUAUUUAAUCUAAAAACAUCAAUUGUGAGUAAUUACAUUAUAAUAAGGUUAGUAAUAAUUUCUAAUAUUUUAUUGCAUACAUCAAAGUUAAAGCAGAUAUAGUUUUGACCUUCAAUAGAGUUUGACAAUAUUAAAUUUUUCCUCCUUUACAACUAUUUAUUCCAAUGCAUCACAAUUAUCCCAAUCAUUGGUAUUUAUGUGUGGUUAAUUUUAAAAAUUGUAAUAUCCAAAUUUUGGAUUCAUUACGAUCAAGAAGUAGGGACGAGUUUUGAUAUAAUAAUGUGAAAAUAGUGGUAUUCUUUCAAACUAUGUUUUUCCUUUUUUUUUUUUUUUUUGUUUAUGUAAUGCAUAAUUAUUAACACUUUGAAAAUGAAUCAAGUUGAAUUUUGUCAAACCUUCUCCAAGCUUGAUGAUAUAGGGAAAGAUGUCUUCCAGUUCCAUCUUUGGUUUCCACCCAAGAUAAUGGGUUAUUUAUAUGACUCACAUGAAUAUUGUUUAUCUAAUCUAUAAUGAUUACAUCAUUUUAUCAAGUCGGUUUGCAUUUCUUCUAUUUUUAUUAGAUGGGAUUUUGGAGUCCAUGUGAUUAAACAUAUGCAAACAUUCGAAAAUGGUGAUCCCAUCAAGGCUCUUAGCAUAUCAAGUUCCAAUCAAAUAUGUUGGCAAAUAGCAAUUAAUUUAGUGCUACAAGAGGGAAACAAAGAAAAACAAACGAUUUUGACUAUUAUUUGUACAAACACAUCUACAUAAGCAAUGAGAAGAUUAUUAUUAUGAAAUUUGUUGUUUUUUCAAUUUUUGUCAAUUGCAUCUCCAUAUAUGGUCAUUUUCAUGGGAAGUAGUAACAUUAGAAGACCAUAUAGGGUCCAACAUAAUUAUUAUUAUGGAUCGAUUGAGCUUUCCUCAAUUGAUAGCAAUGAAGUGGUUGAUUGGUUCUGAAAAAGAAAAAGAGUUUCCUAAAUCCAUAAGUUUCUUUUUCUUCAAUCUAACAAUUAUGUAAUACUAUGUUUAUGAUUAAACAAUAUACUAAGUCAGAACAUCAACAAAUACAAGUACUAAUUUUAAUCUAUCCUAAUUUAUUCCAUUAAGGAAUAACAAAAAGCAUGCAUAUCAUUUUCAUAUGGAGUAUUGUUUGGAUUUUCACCAUGACAUUUUGUUGUAACAAUUUGUUCAUAAUGUUGAAAUUGUGGUUCCUGCACAUUGACAAUCCAUGGUAAUAAUAUACACUUCUAAUUUCAUUACAAGUUGUUCAACAUUAUCAUUAUCCAAUAAUUAUGCAAUACUAUGUUUAUGAUUAAACAAUAUACUAAGUUAGAACAUCAACAAAUACAAGAACCAAUUUUAAUUUAUCUAAUUUAUUCCAUUAAUAAAUAACAAAAAGCAUGCAUAUCAUUUUCAUAUGGAGUAUUGUUUGGAUUUUCACCAUGACAUUUUGUUGUAACAAUUUGUUCAUAAUGUUAAAAUUGUGGUUCUUGCACAUUGACAGUCCAUGGUUAUAAUCUACACCUCUAAUUUCAUUACAAAUUGUUCAACAUUAUCAUUAUCCAACAUUAUGCAAUACUAUGUUUAUGAUUAAACAAUAUACUCAGUCAGAACAUUAAUAAAUACAAGUAUUGAUUUUAAUCUACCCUAAUUUAUUCCAUUAAGGAAUAACAAAAAAAAUGCAUAUCAUUUUCAUACAAAGUAUUGUUUGGAUCCUCACCAUGACAUUUUGUUGUAACAAUUUGUUCAUAAUGUUGAAAUUGUGGUUCCUACACAUUGACAGUCCAUGGUUAUAAUCUACACCUCUAAUUUCAUUACAAGUUGUUCAACAUUAUCAUUAAAUAAUGCAUAUUAAAAAUGUCUUAGUGAAAUGUGUUAAUGUGAGGAGAGUACGUUUAUCUUUGCACCAAGAUCCCAUAUACAUGUUAGAUGGUGGAUUUCACAUACGAUUCGCUCUCAUUCCUUGUAUUUGUAGAGUUUAAGUCAUGUAAAGUAAUGUGACUUUAGGUAUUUUUAAAGUUUAUUAAAUUAUUUAGAAGACAAUCAUACAUGACUUAAAGUUUAGAAAAUGUCAUGUGAAUAAUUUAAUGAAGCCAUCUAUUCCAUUUUAAUGUAACAUUGGGAAAAUAAUUAAUGCAUUCAAAACCAUUAUGUUAGUUAUAAAUGGAACUACAACUAAAUAUUGACAUUUACGAGUAACACGUAAAGGAUCUUGCAUACCAUAUCAUUAUCAUUGAUACCAUGAGGGAUUGUAGAUUGUCAACACUUUCAAAUAUUGUGGCCUACUUUUCUUGAAUUGUGUCAACACUUACAUACCAUAAAUGAUCUUUUACAUCGACUACAUUGUCUUCUUUUUUGAAUAUGUGAUGCAACUUUGCUUGGAUUUCCUUUAGUCUUCACUAUACUUGGAUCACAAACUUGAUGGUGACCUAUGGCUCCAUCUAUUCCUAAAUUUUUUCCCUUCAAAUUAAUAUUACAAAGCUCCUUUAUUUUCAUUAUUAAACUUUCAAUUUCAUUUUUUGGUUAUAGAAAUGAAGUUAAAGAUUGUGAAACAUAGUAAGAGAGUUUGUUGCACAUAGAACUCAAUGAAUUGUACCAUACGUGUGAACCAUGUCAUUUUUCAUCUCAUUCACAGGUGGUGAUCCUGGAUGCGACUUUGCUAACUCUAUCCACCUCUUUAAAAUACAUGAACUAGGACUUUCUUCUAACUGUUCAACCUUCAUAACAACAUAUGACAACAAGGGAUGUCAAUAAACUCAAACAUCAUUCACAAGCAUUUUAAUGUUACAAUAUUUAACCAAAAUUAGACUUCUCAUUUAGAGUUUGGGUGUCUAAACUUAGAUAAUGUGUAUGACUGAAAUGUAUCCUUGUUUAUAAGUCCUACUACAAAGAAUAACUUUACAUUCUUCAUCUUCUAGUGAAAUUUGAGGAAGAAUUCCUUAGUGUACAUAUUGGUAGCAUGAUUUUCAAGGAUGGAUAGUUUUGUUGAAAGAACAAGUCAAGAAUUCUUAGACUCAAACUCUACCUUUGCCUCAUUGUGUCGAAUUCUUGUUAUUGCCUUAUCAAAUUGUUGUACAAACUCAUACAACCACAAAGGAAUUUUCAAAAAUCAAUUUAGAUAAGCAUUCAUACCCUUACACCUUUGUGUGUUUCUCAUCUCUCCAAAGAAAUUUCCUGGUAAAUAUGCCUCUACCCACCUUUUUUGUUUCGCAUAAACCUCUGUAACCCAACAGUUUUCAUGAAGACCUAACUUUUCAAUCAUAUCAUGCCAACCGUAUUUGAAUUAUUUGGGAUUCCCUCUCAUGAACAUGCACCUUGCAAAGGUGUUUGUGAAGUCCUUAAUAUGCACAUUUGUGAAUACAUUUUAUUGGAGAUAACAUGCACUCAUUAUAUGACAUGCAUCAGGAAGCAUUUUUUAUCACCUUACACAUUGCUUUAUCCCCAUCAGUUACAAUAGAAAUGAGCUUCUUGUUCAUCAUUGUUAUAAGAAACGUCUCCAACACCUAUUCAUAUGUACCAAUACUUUCAUCCAUCAAUAGCAUAAAACCAAAGACCAUAGUUUGGUGAUGAUGAUUAAAACCAACCAACACAACUAGUGACUUCUUAUAGGCAUUAGUUCGAUAUGUUGUAUCAAAUGCCAACACAUCUCUUAAACAUGCAUAAUCUAAUUGAUAUGUAGAAUCAACUCAAAACAAGUUUGCUAGUUGACUUUCUUCAUCAAUAUUGAAUUUAUAAUAAAAUGAAUGAUCCGCUUAUGUCGUCCUACAUAAGUAAGUCAAAGCCACUUUUGCAUUACCAUCUUUAAUUUCAAUUCUAUGCAUUGCAUCAACAUGAUUAUAUAUAUCUUUUGGUGUGAAACCAACAUGUUCAUGUCCUCCAAAUUGUUGGAUCAUAUAGUCCAUAAUUUGGGCAAUUUUAACAUCAACUUUUUGCAUAACAUUAACUUCAGCCUUUUCUGGAUUACUUAUUGCCUGAUGAGACCAAAGGAAUUGUGUGUUCAUUGCACCAACCAAAGGAUGGUUAUGGUCUCCUCUAAACUUUUUAACAAUUCACCUAGUUUUCUAUUAAAGCUAAUACAAAAAGCAGUUUGACAUCUAACUCUAGUCAAUGAUUGUGGCUAAUGUUGUUGAUUCUCAUUUUCAAAACACUUUGUUGAUUGAUGUCCUUCUCUAGAACACACCCACUUUUGAGAUACUAUAUCUGCAUUUUUGUCUCAUUCCAAAUCAUCUUUUUGAAUACUAAAUCCUGUCACUUUAGUGAACAUGUUGUAAAAUGUUUUUGCUUUAUCUAUAUAAUUGAAUUCCAAUUUGCACACUUCUUCACUUGAAUACCAUUCAACACUUUCUUUUUCAAAGUUUGUGAAUCAUGGGUAUAACUCCCACCAGUAUAUGGAUCCUCAUGAAUUUCAUUUUCAAGCUGCACUAUAAAUUCUUUACUCUCUCAUUUUUCCAUGUCUAAUACUACCGCCUAAAAAUUUCAAAAUAGAAGCAUAUUAUAGUUGUCAAUUUUACAUUGAUGGACUUAGAAUAUAUUGCACCAUAUAUUUUAAUUUUUUUGUCUUCUUUUUCAAUGCCAACAGAUAGUUUUCAUAAGAGGAAUACAAAAUGUUUGUCAUUUACAUCUAGUGAGUAGUAGUUGAGAAAUGGAGUUACUGGUCCCAAAAUGGUGGUCGAUAGAUUAUGGCUAGAUGGGCCAUAAUUGUAGCAAUGUGUACUAGUUGAGGAACAAUAUUCGAUCGACAACAUUGCGGUCGACUAGUUUGUGUGGUAUUGUAGAUGGUUUUGAAUGUGGCAGGGUUUAUCAGUUGAGAAACUUUUCCUCCAUGGGUACCCACUGGUGUUUUAGGCUUCAUGUAAAAAGAAAAAGAAAAAAAUUAAAUUGAGGAUAAAAAAAAUGGUUAUGUGAAAUUUAGUCCACCUACUUUUUUGAGCUAAUAUAAAGUUCAGAAAUAUAAUUUAUCUUUCACAAUGAGUUAUUUUCCCACAAUGAAGGCUAGUAAAUAAUAUGAUUUUGAUUAAUAAGGUGAAACAUUAAGCUUACCUUGAGAAUCAAAAACUGUACUUUUGGGUUUCUUCACUAGCACAAUUUGCUCUGAUUUUUUGCUUUCAUGGCUUCCAUUCCAACACUUCUUCUUUCACACUCUCUAUUUCCCUUUAAAAAUUUUCUUCUAUUAAAACUCCUACCAUAUGGAUGUUGGUUGGUGGAUGAAUUAAUACUAGUUUUUAAUAUUUUGUCACAUUUAGGAUAUAAUUUCUACACCAGUACACUUGGUUGUUGAUAUUUACCACUUUUGAUAUAUAUGGGUAGAUGAUAUUAAAUAGGACAUUAAUAAAAAUGAGGAAAUUUUUAUUAUUUUGAUUUGUAAUGGUAAAUUGAAAAAUUCAUGAAAUUUAAAUUAUUAGCAUUUGAAUUUUUAGGGGAAAGUUACACCGUUAACAAUAACUACAACAUUAAAAUAAGUUGAAUUGAGACUGUUUAUAAAUAAAUAAAUAAAUAAAAACUAUAUGCAAAUUACUAUAAAUUAAUGAUUUGCACAUAACAAUAAGUUCAAUUGGAACUAUGUGUAAUUAAUUAAAUUUAAAAUUGAAUGUAUAGGCAACAUGUAGAUACAUUAAAAAAAUUCAAUUAACACUUAUGCCUAAAUAAUUUAAUUAUAAAUUAAAACUACAUCCAAUUUAAUCAAAAUUAAACAAUUUACCAUUUCAAUUAGUUAAAUUGAAAGUAGCCAAAAUGUAGAUUCAUUAAAAUUUCCUAAUUAACACUUAUGCCUAAAUAAUUUAAUUAUAAACUAAAACUAUAUCUACUUUAAUCAAAAUUUAACAAUUUACCAUUUAAAUAACUUGCAUUGAAAGUGUGGGUGAAUUGAGACACAUUAAAAUUUCCAAAUAAACACCUAUGCCUAAUUAAUGAAAUUUUAAAAACUCAAACUAUGUCCAAUUUAAUUGAAAUGAAAUAAUUUACCAUUUCAAUUAUUUAAAUUGAAAGUAUGGGCAAAAUGUAGAUACAUUAAAAUUUCCCAAUUAACACCUAUGCCUAAUUAAUUUAAUUAUAAACUAAAGCUACAUCUAAUUUAAUAAAAUAUUAACAAUUUACUUGUUAGUUAUUUAAAUUGAAAGCAUGGGCAACAUGUAGAUACAUUAAAAAAAUUUCAAUUAGCACUUAUGCCUAAAUAAUUUAAUUAUCAACUAAAACUACAUCCAAUUUAAUAAAAUUUUAACAAUUUACUUAUUAGUUAUUUAAAUUGAAAGUAUGGGCAACAUGUAGAUACAUUAAAAUUUUCCAAUUAACACUUAUGCCUAAAUAAUUUGAUUAUAAACUAAAAUUAUAUCCAUUUUAAUUAAAAAAAAAAAACCCAUUCUAAGUAAAUCACUAAGGUCCAUGGUAAACUGAUUUGGGGUAGCCACCUAAAACCCUCAACCCAUCCAUUUUUUCUUCCCAACAACCAUACCUGAAACACAAACCCUAGAGCUGAAAUCUCAAUCCAUGGCACCCAAACAAGCUCUAGAGGCAACAACGACCAAUAACGACAAAAGGAAGGGACUGGCGAUAAAGCAAAAUGUUGAGGUCUAGAAUAAAGCCACAUUUGAUAAAGGUAUGUUCACUACUCCAAAGUUGACAUAGAGAUUUAAUUUUCAUUUUGCCAAUAGGAGUGUCAUCCCGAUUAGGAACAUAGAUUACUCAUAGUUAGGUUUUUUCCAAUUUUUCACAGCUAGCUAUUGUGUCUAUGAACAAACUUGUUUUUCUUAGGGUUGUGAAAUGCUUUUACUGCAAUAUGAAAUUCGAAGAAGAAGAACCCAUUACUACAAACAUUAAUGGUUUAGAAAUUAAGUUUGAUGUUGGUGACCUUUGUAAGAUUUUAGAUAUUCUGAACAAAGGGUUGUGUUUAUAUGAAUCAAAGAAGUGGCUGAAGGUUGAUGGUUUCAAACCUACAAAAGUUGUACAAAGGUUGUGUAGCUAUAACAAAGCCAUUAUGACUAAUAAACCAACAUCUCAGACAUUAACUUUGUUGAGUAGGACCCUAUAACACAUGAUUUCUUACACGUUUAUCCCCAAAGGUGCACAUCAAGAUGAUGUUUCAUUCUUUGAGGCAUUUUUGGUUGACAACAUUCCAAUAGAGAGGAAAAUUAACAUGAGAUAUAUAAUUUUUCAGCAUAUGAAAGUUUGUCCAUUGAGUGAAGAUUCCGUCCUCCCAUAUGAGAUGUUUAUUACAAAGAUUGUUAAAUUUUUCAAUGCCAAUUUACAUCAAAAGAGUGACGGUAAAAAGCUAAAGUCCCUUGAUACAUACAAUCUGGCCUUAAUGCAUCGUAGGCAAUUUGUGCAUAAGAAAGAUGGUUCAUGGAGAAGAAAGUCUUUUGUGGAUCUUAUAGAGGUGGAUGUGCCUUCAGAUGAGAUGUCUUCAAAGGAGGAUGAUGACAAUUGCGAUAUAAAGGGAGAAGAUACCAAAAACGAAAUUGCCACUAGAUCAUAGAGAGGCAACGAGAAAUGAGCAAAGGUCGUUGCAGAUCAUCCCUCUCAUACAACUAGAAAAAAGGUUGAGUCUUCAGAUAACCUAAAUGCCCAAAUUAGCUCGAUUGGUAUGCUCUUAGAGGAGAUGGCAUUGGCAAAUGAUGGACGAUUGAAAUCUCUAGAAUGAUGAAUUGAUAGGUUCGAGGAGGAAUUAAAAUCGGGUAUGGAGAUUCUAAGGGGCUAGAAUAAAGAGAUGAUGACAUUUUUCAAAGCCCAAUUCCCACCUCAUGACCUAGCCUAGUACUAACCCAUUCCUACAUCUUGGACUGAUUAUAUAGUUACCAAAGUUUGGUUUUUUUUUUUUUUUGGAUAAUUUGGGAAUGUAAUUAAUAUUAUGUAUUUAUGACUUUGUCUUAGUUAUUUGGUCACUGAUGAUAAGUCAUUGACAUAUAUAGGUGAUAUAUUUAUCUUAAUAUAUAUGGAUGGUAUAUGGAUGAUAUAUUUACUUUUACAACAUCAUUAGAUUGAUGUAUAGAGUAGUACUCCAAAAUAAAAUAUUUAAGUUUAAUUUUUUUUUGUUUUUUUUAAUAUUAGAAAUAAAAUUCAACACAAAAUUCAAGAACUUUUAGACAUUUAUUUAAAGGGUAGUGAUUUUUAAAAUUGAAAAAAAAAUUACUUUCUCAAGUUUUAAAAAAUUUUUAAAUGAUUUUUAACAACAUAUGUUAAAUCCAUGCUUUAGGUAAAUUUCUAUAUUUUAUAUUUUUUGUUUUUAAAUAUAAAAGCAAAAAGCAAAAAGUUGGUUUUUGAGCCAAAAACGGCUCAAUCGGUUGAAUUGGAUGAGGAACCGGUCGACCGCUAGCUCAACCGGUCAAGGUCUGGGUCGACUCCCAGCUUAACCGAUUGAGGUCCGGGUCGACCCCCAGCUCAACCGGUCGAGGGUGCAAAAAAACUUUCUCUUUCUUCCAAAACGGUUAUUCAACCGGUUGAGGUCUGGUUGAGGUCUAGUUAAGGUCCGGUCGAUGUCCGGUUGAGGUUUGAUCGAGGUCCAACGGUCACCUGCCAAGCAUUAAAUGCUAACAGCUAGUCAACAGGUCGACCCCCAACUUGAUCGGUCGAACCCCCAACGGCUAGUUUGGUUUUUUUCUUUUAUAAAAAAGCUCAAAUUUUCAUUGUUUCAAGAGCUUAACCUUCCCAAACCUUUCUUGAAUAUAUUUGAGCCUUGGAAGAGUGUUUUUUAGUGCAUCGUUGUUCUAAAACUUGCAUAUCUUUAGUGCACCGUUCAAUCCUAGUUUUCUUGUAUCAUUUGAGCUUAAAGUUUUUGUACUGGGAUUUUGUGAGAUCAUUUAUUUGUAAAUCUUUGAGAGGAAGUUUCUCAAGUGUGGGGUAUCUCUUGAGGGGUUGUUCAAGAGUGGGAUAUCUCUUGAGAAGUGUAAAGGGUGCUUGGAGCCAAAAGUCCAAGAGGGUGAAUUGGAACCAUAAUCCAAUUGUAUUGCUUGAAGGCUUGGUUUGGAAGCCUUGAAUUAGUGGAACCUCAAGCUUGGGAUUAAAGCUAGAGGAGAGUGGAUGUAGGCCGGGUUGCGUUGAACCACUAUAAAAUCUUGUGUUUGCAUUCUCUCUUCCCUACUCUUUUAAUUUAUAUGCAAUUGUCUUUAUAUUGUUUAUUAUAUACUUGCAUAUAAUUAUCUCUUACAAUCACAUAGUUUAAAUUAGAAAAAAGAGACCAUCACCCUAUUCAGCCUCCCUCCCCUCUCUCUCUCUAGGGUGAUUACCAUAGGUUGGAUUAGCCUAUUUUUUCUAACAAUUGGUAUCAGAGCUAGGCUUCUUAUUUAAGACUUAACCAUCUAAGAAGUAAUGACUAAUCCAUCAAGUUCAUCUCACAUUGAAAGUUUUUCAACCACCCGACCUUCACUUUUCACGGGAACCGAUUAUCCCUAUUGGAAAACUAAAAUGACUUGGUUUUUUCAAUCUACUAAUCUUGAUUUAUGGGAUGUCAUUGAAGAUGGUCCCCACAUUCCUUCAAAAUUAGAAAAUGGAGUGAUGGUUCCAAAACCUAAGCAUGAAUGGGAUGAACUUGAUAGAAAGAAAGUCCAAUUAAAUGCCAAAGCCAUUUUUAUCUUACAUUGUGCUAUUGAUAGAAAUGAAUUUAAUCGUAUUUGGCAAUGUAAGUCGGCUAAAGAAAUUUGGAGACUAUUAGAAAUCACUCAUGAGGGAAACAACCAAGUUAAAGAGUCUAAAUCAAUAUCCUUGUGCAUGAUUAUGAAUUAUUUUCUAUAAAGGAUUUUGAAUCUAUUGUAGAGAUGUUUUCUAGGUUCAUGGUGAUUGUAAAUGAACUUGAAGCCUUGGGAAAGACCUACACCGAAGUAGAGAAAGUCAUGAAGAUCUUAAGGUCUCUACCAAAGAAAUGGGAAACAAAAGUGAUGGCUAUUCAAGAAGCAAAGGAUCUCACCAAACUCUCACUUGAAGAACUCAUUGGGUCACUCAUGACUUAUAAGAUAAAUUUGAACAAUCAUCAAAGAGUUGAAGAAAAUAACAAAAGUAUAGCUUUCAUGGCUUUAACAAAUGAUGAUGAAGAGGAAGAAAGUGAAAGUGAAAGUGAUGAAGAAUCCAUGGAAGAAGAAUGCACAAAUGAGGAUGUCAACAUGUGCUUUAUGGCUUUGGAAGAACAUCAAGAUGAGGUAAACUCCAACUCUAACCAUUUUGAAUUUCAAGAUGUACUCCAAGAAUUAUAUUUUGAUCUUGAAAAACUUGGUUUCAAAAAUGUCUCUCUCAAGAAAAAGAUUUCUUGUAUUCAAAAUGAGCUCAAUGAGCAUAAUGAAAAUUUUGAAAAUAUUGAGAAGGCAAAAAUCUCUUUUGAAAAGGAAAAUAAGGAGUUAAAAAUUCUCAAAUGGCCAAAAGACUUUUGAUAUGAUUUUGGCAAAUCAAAAAUGCAUUUUUGAUAAAAAGAGGCUAGCCUACAAGCCUUUCAAAAAUCAAUUUUUUUUAAGAAUUAUUUUAUAAAGGAAACCUCUAGUUUUUCACCUUUAACUAUUUGCAAUCUUUAGAGGAGGUUACAUUAGUGAUAUUUGUCCCUUAAGAAAAUCCCCUCACGUUCUUCAAAACUCUUAAUUAUUUUGGAUUCCAAAUGGAAGAAAGACUAACCCUCUAGGACCCAAAAAGAUAUGGGUACCAUGCUAGAAGGAGGAUAUGCUUACCUUGAAAAUAAUGCAUUGAUGAUAUUGGUAAUGGUAUCCCUUCUAAAGCUUAAUUUGAAAUAUCAUUUUGCUAACACUUGGUAUAUUUUUUUGUUAAUAAUAUAACAUUUGGUAUCACUUUGACAAAAUUGGUGUAUUUGUUAAACCAAGGUUUAGAUUAAAAAGAAGACUUUUUUAUACCUAAGUAAAAUUAAAUGAUCAUAUGCUUGUAUGUGCUAAAAGUGUUAUUCAAUGCAUAUUAUAUAUUUUUUAAAUUGCAUAUGUUCUCCCAUAUAUUUUUUCCAAAUCAUGCUUUAAGUUAGGAAUGCUCUAAGGAUGAACAAUCUUUUAUUUGGAAACUAUUCUCAAAUGAAAAAAGGGGAGAUUCAUUUUCAUGAGGAAUUAUAUUUUUGAUAUCAUGUGAUUCCCCUUAUAUACUUUAUUGAAACUUUUUGUUGAUGACAAAAAUGGGGAGAAGUAAUGGUAGGUUGCUAACUUAGGAAGAAAUGUCAAUAUUGUUUUAGCAAUUCUAUUCAUAUUGAUGAUAUGUGCUUUAUUGGUUAUAUUUGUAUGCGUCAUAUUUAAUAAUAAUGUCUUGCCAAAUUGCUAAAUUGCUCUUUAUGCUAUUUAUGUUUGAUUAUAUCAUUUUGAGCAUCCUUAAUAUACUCCUUGAAGUUUCUAAACUUGAAUAUUUUCUAAAUUCAAAGGAGCAUAUAUUGAGGGGGAGCUUUUUAGCAACCUUGGUUUUAUCAUCAUAAAAAAUGGGGAGAUUGUGAAACCAAGGUUUGGUUAAUCUUGAUUUUGAUGAUAACAAAACAAGGUUUAAAACUAAUGAUUAUAUUUCAAGUGUGAUUAGGCAAGACGAUUUUCAAAGUGGCAAUCACAAAGACAAAUCAAGCCAAAGAGAAAUCAUGAAGAAGAUGACCACCUCAAAGAGAAGUGUUUUUCAAGACCCAAGCUUCAUAAAAUCUCUUUGUAAGGUUGUUGGUGCACUAAGAUUUUCAUGCAUUACAUUAUUUACUUAUACACCAAAAUCAUCCAAGAGUUAUUUUGUUUUAAAUAUUUUAAAAAUUGGAUGAUUUCAUGUUUUCAACUAAAACCUUGUGUUAAAUGUUUUUCAAACUUGUUUUAAAAGGUUUUAAGUUGAAAAAGUUGGUUGUUGAGCCAAAAAUGGCUCAACCGAUUGAAUUGGAUGAGGAACCGGUCGACUGCUAGCUCAACCAGUCGAGGUCUAGGUCGACCCCCAGCUCAACCAUUCGAGGUCCGGGUCGACCCCCAACUCAACCAAUCGAGGUCCGGGUCGACCCCCAGCUCAACCGGUCAAGGGUGCAAAAAAACUUUAUCUUUCUUUCAGAACGAUUGUUCAACCGGUCAAGGUUGAACCUUAAACUGUUGAGGUCCGGUCGAGGUCCAACGGUCACCUGUCAAACAUUAAAUGCUAACGGCUAGUCAACCGGUUGACCCCCAGCUCGACUGGUUGAACCCCCAACGGCUAGUUUGGCUUUUUUCUUCUAUAAAAAAGCUUCAAUCUUCAUUUUUUUCAAGAGUUUAACCUUCCCAAACCUUUCUUGAAUAUAUUUGAGCCUUGGAAUAGUGUUUUUUAGUGCACUUUCUUGUAUCAUUUGAGCUUAAAGUUUUUGUACUAGGAUUUUGUGAGAUCAUUUAUUUGUAAAUCUUUGAGAGGAAGUUUCUCAAGUGUGGGGUAUUACUUGAGGGGUUGUUCAAGAGUGGGAUAUCUCUUGAGAAGUGUAAAGGGUGCUUGGAGCCAAAAGUCCAAGAAGGUGAAUUUGAACCAUAAUCCAAUUGUUUUGCUUGAAGGCUUGGUUUGAAAGCCUUGAAUUAGUAGAACCUCAAGCUUGGGAUUGAAGCUAGAGGAGAGUGGAUGUAGGUCGGGUUGCACCGAACCACUAUAAAAUCUUGUGUUUGCAUUCUCUCUUCCCUACUCUUUUAAUUUAUAUGCAAUUAUCUUUAUAUUGUUUAUUAUAUACUUGCAUAUAAUUGUCUUUUACAAUCACAUAAUUUAAAUUAGCAAAAAGAGACCAUCACCUUAUUCAGCCCCCCCUUCCUCUAAGAUGAUUACCAUAGGUUAGAUUAGCCUAUUUUUUCUAACAAUAUUUAACUAGAACCUCAACAAAGGUGAAUGAAAUUAAUCAUAAAAUAUAUAACAAGAAUUGUAUAAAAGGUUUUUCUUAUUUCUCGUUGUUGUUAGAUGGAUGGUUUUCCUUGUAUGUUAAGAUUUAAAAAAUUUAUGAUGUGAAAAAGUCAACCAUAUUGAUAUAGUAUCAUAUUAAAUUUUGAAUUUGGAGGCUUUAAUAGAUGAUAAAUAUGAUUUAAUAGGAUUUAAAGUGAAAAGUCAACCAUAUUAAUAUAGGAUCAUAUUAAAUUUUGAAUUUGGAGUCCUUAAUAUAUGAUAAAUAUGAUUUAAAUAAAUAAAAUAAAGGUAAAAAAUGAUUAGGAUAUAAAAUAAUGAGACUAUGAUAUAAAAGAAAAAAAAAUUAAAAUAUAAAAUCAAAAAUCAAAAUAUAAAAUAUAGAGGGUACAAAAUAAUGGAACCACAACAAGGUUUAAAAAAUGAGGAUAUAUUGUUGAUAUAUCUUCAAAUUUUUUGUUAUGUGGAUCUUGACAAUUGUCCUAUGGUUCCAACAUGGGUCUUUCAGGUACAAAACCAACCUUUGCACCAUUGGGCCAAUAUGUCUUUACUUAAUAAGUAGACCUACAUUUUAUAUAUAUAUUGAAAACUAAAAUAUUAAAAUAAAAUUUUAAUAAAGACAUUAAUUUAGUUAUUUAUUUUUAAAUUUCAUUUAAUUUAUUAUUAAAAACACAAAAAUCAUGAAUUAAAUACAAAUAUAAUAACUAUAUAUAUUAAGAUAGAUAAAUUAUCAUUUUAGUAUUAAAGUUAUUAUUAAAAUCAAGAAAUUAUAAUUUUAGUAUUAAAUAUAUUUUCAAAUAUCACCUAUUAAUAUUAUAAAAUAUCAUAAAUUAUAUAUUCAUAUAUCAAUUUCUUCGUAUCUCAAUUAUAAUAUAUGUAUUAUUACUUCUUUUAUUGUUUUUUUAUAAAUUUUUCAAUAUUUGACUAAUUAUUGUUUCAUCGAUAUUUUUUUAUAUGACCCAAUAUAUUUGUAAAAUCAAAAUACUUUAACAGAACAAAAAAUUAUAAAAUCUAAAUGCGAAUGCUACAAAAUAGUGAAACCAUAACAAAAACCAAUAAAAUCUAAAUGCCCCAUGGAAAAGGUUCGGAAUAAGUGUGAUAAUUUUCAUUAUGAUAUUUGGGAUAUGAUAAAUAUAUUUCUUUUUGCUUAUUCAAUUAGGAGGAAAUGAUUUUUCAGAUAAAUUAUAUAUAAGAUGGUAUUGUACUUUUUCCUCCUUUGCUUUCUUCAAAUGACUUCUAAUGUCUUUACUAAUAAAAUUAUCAUUUUAAUUUAAAACCAAAUUCAUAAAGAAAAAAACCCCUAAAAAUAACUUCAACAACUAACAUUUCAGGCCAAAUUCACAAAGGCUAACUAAUAUUAUCCAGGGCAAUUUUAAAUCAAAUUCACGUAAGUCCUAAAAUCUAAUAGAGGAACCUCUUUUUGGUCAACACUUACAGGCUGUUGUCAUUUCCAGACAGUAGUAAAUGUACAUGCCACUGACCCAUGAGUCAUCCCAUCAACGUUUAAAGUCCCAAUAAAUUAUUUGCUUGUUUGGAAGACUUAACACUUUCCAAUAAAGCUGUUUAAAAUUCACUCCCGUCAACUGUGAAAAAGUCUGUAUGUCCAUUAACGUGACUCUUUACUCUUGCAUCUCCUUCACUCUUCCCGUUGAACAAGAGGAGAUUCAAAGAAACCUUUCAUCUCUCUUUUUUGUUGGAAGUUGCAAGACUCUGGAUUAUGAGGUAACCUUCAGACGAUGCAUCUUCUUAUACACUUUCUUCCUUUCUUUUCUUUUUUUUCUUUUUUUUCUUGUGUUUGCUCCACUCUUAGUAAACCCAAAUGAAUUUCUCAAGGAAAAAGAAAUUGGCCCUAUCUUCUUCCAGUUAGUCAUGAUGCAGUAACAAAAUUAAACGCCCAAAGAGAAUCACUAUCUGUGGAUCCAUUCUAGUUUCUCCUCUUCUGAUUUUCUUGUUGCCAUCUUUUCAACAGUAUGGUAAAUGGGACGGUGUAAUGUGUGAGCAAGUGAUGAUUUCAACGAAUAGUUCACCAUAUCUCAACUAUUAACCUUCUGGUUUGCUUGUUUGUCCUAGUGUGUUUUCUUUUUCUUUUUUCCUGAUUUUUUUGUCAUAUACAAAAACUAAUCUAGGUGAUUUGUUUAUCGUAUGUAAUACUAAUCCAUUAUAUUUUGUUUCCAUGGGAUGAAGGCUCUAUAAGUUGAGUUGGACUCUUUUAUGAUUGGCUUUAAUGUUUCAUGAUUAGAUUUAUUCUUUGACUGUUGGCUGAGAGUGGGAUCAAAACAUUCCUCAAGCACUUUGGAAGCUCUCUUGAACACGAACUUCAGUAACAUUAAUGGCUCCUUCGUCUGGAGGUAUGCUGUUGGCUUCAACAUCUUUUGAUGUUGUGAUUUAAUUUUUAUGAAUAAUAUACCUUCCUUUGGAGACUAUCUUUGGAUUAUAUAUGUCAGGAAAUCAAUAUUUUGAUUUCUCAUAGGUAGUUUUGAAUAUUGGACUCUAUUACCAAUAUAUCAAGUAUGGCUCUCAUGUUUUGAAGGGUGUAAAAUAAAUAUACCUUAUAUAUAUAUUCUUUUUUAGAAAAUAAAGAAUUUAUUUUUGCAAAAUGCCAUGGUGCCAAAAUCAAUUAUUGAAUUUCAGAAUUUGAAAUUUGGACCAUUGAAUGUAUAUGAGGAGAUUUAGAAUAUUGAAUAAGGGUAUAAAUAAAUGAGAUAAGGUAUAAGGGAAUAAAUAAAUGAGACUCAUGAAGAUGUGUAUAUGAUAUUACCUAUUUUGUGGGAUUCGAUGCCUACUGAAAAAUGUUUUGUUUGGCAUUCUAGAUGGAUCCAUUUUUUAUUUUUUUUUAUAUAUAGCCAUAAUACCCAACUUCUACCAUAUUUGUUUACUUUAAUUUUCAACCCCUUUUGAUUUCUUAAAGUUCAUUAUGGAUUUCUGUUGGGACUAUAUAAAAUGUGUUGUUUUAUUUUAUUUUUUUCUAUUAGCUUGCUCUUAUGUUUAAAAAGUAUUAGUCCAAAUGACAAUAAUAAUUAUGAAAUUAGAAAUUAUCCAAGUUGGUUAUGCUUUAAUUAUUCACCCAAACAACUACCUUUAUGAUUUCACUUUAAUAUGAAAAAUAUUGUUGUGCUUAAGAAGUUAAUAUAACCAUUUUAGGAUGUUAAGGAGGAGAUAUUAGGAGCUGAUUAAUCAUGAGAUGGAAAAUAGAAAUUUUCUAUAAAUAUUUACAUUUUGAAUUCUAAGUUUUUUUUACUUUGAAUUUUAAACAACUACAUUCAUUUAUAAUUGAAAAUGAUAAGCAAUGACAUUUUUUCUCUAAUCGUUUUUUUUUGUAGUAUAGGUUAUUUCUUAUGGAUGAAAAUUGUUAAUGGCAUGAGCAAAGUCGGAAAAAGGCAGGGGUACUUGAAAGAGAGGUAUGCAAUUGACUAUAUUUUAUACAUUUGAUUACAAUUCAAUCAUGAUUUAAUUAUCUUAUAAUUAUUUUAAGACAUAAAGUAAAGAAGAUGAGCAAUCCUUAAAACUUAGAAUUGAAUUGAUGUUGAGCUUCUAAUAAUGAAUAUUAAUAUUAUGGGCUCACACCUAUUAUACAUUUUCAGACCAAAGAAAUAUAUCAAAUUAUAAUUUUUGGAGGCUUUUUUUUUUUUUUAUACUAAAAGUCCAAGACCUAACACUAGCAUUAAGCUUUAAUGCUAUAUAUUAAAACUUUAACCCCAUUAAAACUUUGACCCCACCCACUUAUUUGUUGAGAUCCAAAAUGUUGUGUUUUCUCAAAUUUUGGCCCUUGAAAGUAAUGUCAAGCACAAUUAUAGGUUAUUGUUAGUGGUAGCAAGUUGUUAUGACAUGGUUAAAAAUUUUGGUCAUUAUAAGCUAUUAUUUAGUUAUUUAGUUUUGAAGACAUGGUUUUGGAGCUAAAGUUUUGACAAUUGAUUAACCUCUAAUAGGGGGAGAUAAGAGAGAUCUAGUUUUUACUUAAGAAGUAUUUAGGAAAAUUCUAUGGUACCACUUCGAUACCAUACCGAAAAAAUAGUCUUGGCCAUUGAAAUAAUUUUCCUCUCUCUAUAUAAAUAAUUAUUAAUUAUCCAUGUGUAUUUUGAUUAAAUAUCUACCAUGGAUUGAAAUUUCAAUUUUUAUCAAAGAUAUUUUAUGAAUUAAAAUCAAUUUGAUAAGAUAAAUUAUUAAUAAUUUUAAUUAUUUCAAUAAAUUAAUGUUAAUAGAAAAAGUUGUUAUCACAUGUUUUUUUAAAAAAUUUAGAAAUUAAAUCUCAAAUAAAAUAUUUUAUAUAAAUUAAUUUAAAUUUUCAUUUAAAAUGUAAUAAAAUUCUAGAUUUUUAAAUGUUUGAAUGAUAAAAAUUUUAGUAUUAGAAAAAUUAGAAAUGCUUUUUAAAACCACUGUCAAACAUAUACUUAAUUAUAUUUUACUUCUUUAUAUAUGCAAGGUAAUGGAAAUAGGAUAAUAUCCAAUAAUGAAGUUUAUUGGUAGAUAAUAUGCAAUAGUGGAAAUUAGAUAUUAGAAUAAAAUAAAUAAAUAAAUUAUGAGAUAUAUAUGAUACUGUAGCAUUGCAAUCUGUAGAAGUAAAAAAUAAUAAAUAAAUAAAUUAUGAGAUAUAUAUGAUAUUGCAACACUAUAAUCUUAUAGAAGUAAAAAAUGAUAAAUAAUAAAUAAAAUAACAAAUAAAUAAUAAUAAUAAUAAUAAUGCAACACUCAAACCUAAAGACUCACCUUGUUGCAAAUAAUGAAAUGUAGAUAAUAUCCAAUAGUGGAAAUUAAAUAUUAGAAUAAAAUAAAUAAAUAAAUUAUGGGAUAUAUAUGAUAAUGCAACAUUGUAAUCCUGUAGAAGUAAAAAAUAAUAAAUAAAAUAAAAAUAAUAAUGAAACACGAAUUCGAACCUAAGUCUAUCAUUUUAAAAGAGUCCCUUAUUAUCACUAAUGUACCAACACUUGAUGAUAUAAAAUACAAUUUAUUAGUGUUAUAUUGUUUAUUUCAAAUUAUGAAUGUUGACUUGUGUAUAAAAUAAUAAUAAAAAUUUGAGGGACAAUAAAAGACAUUUUUUUAAUAAUUAUCUUUCUAAUUAAAUUUUGAUUUGUUCAAAUAUUUAAUUAAAGUAUGAGUAUGUGUUACUCAUUGAAAUUAAAUUAAAUUCUUUUGGUCAGUGCAAAAUGGUACAAAUGAAGAGAACUAGGAGAGUACUAAUGGGUAGAAGACCUUGAUUGUGUUUGGAUACGCUUAUGAAUUACAAGAGGGACCCUAGCCAUUCUAUAAACGAACAUGUGAUUCAUGUGGUUAAUAUGAUCAAGUGUUUGGAAGUGGAAUAUAUUUUUUUGUCAAGCCAUGAAAAGAGAAUUUUACAAAUGUCAUUAACGGAAUCUGAGGAUAAAGUUUUAGAAAAUAUGUGGGAAUUUGUUCAAGAAGGGUCUCAUGGUUUGACAAAUAGGUUUUUUGAUGACGUAGUAGCUCUUUUCAAGGAACAUUGACAAAUAUACAUCGUGAAGAAUAUGCCAUUAGACGAACAACGGUGCAUUCUAUUUCUCCUAACUCGCGAAAUGUAAGUUUUUCAAAUUCUAUUAGGCAUAAAAAUCUUAGAGGGUUAUGGUUAUUAAAAACAACUUCUAGAGUUAUAGAAGACAUUGUGUAUAAUCCUAGCAUUGCUCCUUUUAGUUUCAAGGGAGAAGAUUAGUUUUUUUUUCUUUCUAUAUAUUACAUUUUCUUUUAUGUUUUGUACAUAAAAUAUAAAUAAUUUGAUAUGCAAGACAUGACAUGUAUAUUUAUCUUGUUGAUGUGGCUUAGAAGAAAAAGAAUUUUUUAGCUCGCAUUACAUUGUUAAGUUGUAUGCAAGAUGAUCUCAUGAUUAUGAGGUAUACCAAAUUGCUCAUGAGAUGUGGGAAGCUUUAAAAGAAAAGGAUGGUGAACUUUUAGCUACGAAGCUGAGAGCACUUGUAACGAAAUUUGGAAAUUACAAAAUGCGAUUGAACCAUACAAUGAAACAUCUUAGGGAAAUGAAAAGAAUGAUAAAGAGAGCUUAAGACAUUCGGACAUGUCCUCACUAAUGACCAACAGGUUGAGGCAGUCCAUUAUAGGCAUCUCUUUUUAAGGGAUAGAAGUCCAUGCUAACUUGUGAACUGAACCUUAUAGGUUGACAAGAUGUGUAAGAAUGGAGUGUUGGCUAUAAAAAAGGAUUAGAUCAUCACUUCUCAUUUUAUAUAGGGAAAGUUGUGUUUCGCAAGCCCCAUUUCCCAAUAAUAUUGUUUUCAAAACCCAAGUUUGCAUAACCUAAGAUAUGUUCACUAUUUCAAGAAAAAUUUUCCUUUUCAUGCACUAUAUAUUGUUUAUAAUUGCAUUUUCGAAAAUACCCCUCCAUGCAUCCCUGUUAGCAACCAUCACCCGUCUCCAUGUCACUGGAAGUUGUGCUUUUAAUAAACACGAAAAUCUAAAACUUAAAAGUUAUCAAAUUUGCAAAACCCACAGAACACCUGACUCGAUAAACUUUGAAAUUUGGGGAAACUCUCUGUCACUUCCUCUUAUUUUGCCUUAACUCGAUUUGCAUUUUCAUGGCUUGUUUGCUCUGCAUUUUCAUAACCCUCUGUCACUUCCUCUCAUUUCGUCUCAUUUUGGCCUAACCCUAAUGUCUCUUUUCAUGAGUUGACUAGUCUUGUAAUGUACUAUUAAAACUAUUGCCCUUUAGGCUUAAAUAAGAAAUUACGACAUAUUUGUAAUAUAUUUUCCUUAUUUCAUGUUGUAGGUUAAGUUACCAAAAUCCCGUUACUUGGGAAAAAAUUCCAAUCAAUCAUAGAUACACUCCUUAUGGAUAAGAAAAAUGUCAUCAUUGAUAUGGGAUUCGGGGAAUUGCUACAGCUUGGUUGCAAAGAGUUGUGUUAUGAGCUAAUAAUGUGGAUAGUCCCUAAUUACGACAUUGCCUACCACCGCUUAUGUAUGCAAACAAAAGUUGUUGUCCCAGUCACGCCCAAGAUGUUAGGGAGAUGCUCGGCAUCCCGGACAAUGAUGUGACAUUCUCAUUUACAAUAGGCUCGACACACCCAAUUGCACAUACGACAUUAAAAUAUUGGAAGAUAAUUUGCAUGAUCUACUAGUUGGCAAAGAAUUCAUGAAGUCCUUUCUCAUUUUCGCCUGUGCCACUAUCCUUACCCCUAACUCAAAAUAAGAAGGUAUGCAUGACUUGUGGGACACGAUUUGGGAUAAUGAUGUGGGGGUGCACAAAAAUUGGAACAAGUUUGUUCUUCAAUAUGUGGAGGAUGGGAUAAGGGAUUAUCGUAAUAGUUACCCGACAUACAUUAGAGGUUGUGUGUUGUUUCUUCAGGUAUUGCGUUCUCACCUUCUCCACAUUAACGUCAUGCAUCUAUCAAAUGAAUUUAUUCUAUUGUUGAUAUUUUAAUGUCUUCUCUAACCCACUUAUAUUUGCUUCCCACUGUACAGAUUUUCUAUAUGACCAAGUUCUACAUGACGUCUUUUCAAGUUGAAGUGUGCAAUCCACUAAAGGGGUGCAAAUGGAUGUUCAAAAAGGUUGUGGCAGCAAACAAGUUACAUCUACCCUCAGGCAGAGAUUUAAACACACAGUGAAAAGGCUUGUCAAGCCAGCCAUCAUUUUCAAAUCCCCCUUCGUCUCUCAAUGUGUUAGACUAUUUCCUAAAAUCAGCCAUCAAGAAAGGUUGGUUACUGAUUAUGCAUUGGCGAAAGAUGGUGAGCCAAAGUACUUCACAUGAAUUCAUCAUCUAUUGUUAAUGCGAGCAUUAUUGUUAAAGUUUAUGGCUAUUGACUAAACGCAUUUUUUACAUUGCAGUGAGAUCUUGUGCGAUAUGCAUGACACAUAUAAUCGUGGAGGUCAGCACAACCAAUACUUUAGAAAUUGGUUUUUUUGAAGUUUUUCUAAACCAACCCAUGAUUUUGGUGUGUGUUGUGCAGGACAAGAUGCAUCUAUAUCGAUUGAGGUUGGUUGUUACCUUGGUUACGAAUACGGCAAACAAUGCUAGAGAGAAGGUCAUGAAGGCAUGUUGAAUGUGAUGUAUGGGGGUUGUGCCACUUUAGUUAGUUGCAAUUUAUGAAAUACUACAAGUCGCCUAUAAAAGACAAUGUCAAAGAGAAGGGAAAGACGUGUUUGUAAAUGAUCAUGGUUUGCUUUAUUUGUUUGUUAAUAGUGUUUGCCACUGUGCACCAAUUUAUGCUAACAGAAUAAUGCACGUUGGGACAACAGUGGAAACAUUUGUCAGGGAUUAUCUGGUGGGAUUUGUUGAACUUCCAAUCAUCCCUUUGUCUUUUAUUCCAUGAUGCUCCAUUAACUUUAUUAGUCAUGCUUAUUGUCUUCUGUUUUACAGGAAAGGUUGAGCAGAGCUACAAAUUGGCUGAUGUUAAGUGCAUCAGCAAGGCCAAGUGUGAUUAAUAGGGGAGGUCAUUGAUGGCACCUUACUUGCCUGAGAGUGGGGCUGGUGGUGGCGGCAGUCCAUAAUCAGAAGGUGGGGCCCUCUAUGCUAUUGUGAUGCUUAAAUCAGUUUUAGGUUGCACUAUUAUUAUCUACUAUAUUUUGUUUGUUUUAGAUAAAACUACUUCUUAGCUUCAUGUCACCUUCUUUUCCCUUCUUUCUAUUCUCAUGAUUAUUAUUAUUAUUAUUAUUAUUUUUCUUAAUUGCAAACGACAAUUGGAAAACAUAAUUGUUGACAACCAUGAAGACACCAUGACGAAGACAGGAGCAAUGUUACUUUGGAAUCGUGGCUGCUGGAAAAAGGGAUGUGAUCAUAAGACAUUCUCAUCAUCACUCAGACUUUAUAAUAUAAUUGUUCAUAUUUUGAUUUUUGUUUGUAAAUUUAGGCAUGCCCAAUACUAGAGCUCUCUAAAAACUAUAUAGAUACAUCAUAAUUGGUUUUUUUGGUUUACCAUUUUUACUUUGGGAAACCAUUGCAUACUUCCGAUAUAUUUGGGUUGUGCCCCCUCUUCUGUUAGGUGCUUUUAGAUUAAUUUAUCAGUGACUAAAAAAAUACAUUGGUAUAUGAAAUUUUGGUUGAGCUAAAGAGGUUACUCCAUGACCUCUUUGCAGGUGCGCGGUUCUAUGAGAGCCAUGCAAUAUGAGAAACUAUUGCCUUGGUUGAAGAACUUGCUUUCUAUUCUGCAUACUAUUUGGCCAAGGUAAUUCUGCUAUAUGAGAGGUGAAGCUAGAAUUUUUAAGUUUGUUUCAGAAGCCAUCUUUGUCAUGUAUGUUUAGGAAUUCUGUUCGGUAUGAUAUAUUUUUCUUUCAACUUCAUUCAUACUGGACCUAUGUUUCUCCCAAUGCAUUACAUGCAGGCUUAUUCUUCAUUUUGCUUGUUGGUAGGAGGUUAACACCCUUUCUAAUAAUAGCUGAUUAUGCUAUUACAUAAUUCAUUGCAGUACGAUGUGUUUGAUAUUGGCUUUAUAACUACGGACGACUUCACAAAUGUAGACAUAUUGGAAGCAACUUACCCAGCUGUUGCAAAGAGGUUAUAUAAUGAUUGGAUUAAUGGUCCUCUAGUUCCCAUAGUUACUAGUUUGCUAGGAAAGGUUCCUGCUAUGAAGUUUAAUGGUUUCAAUUCCCAGUAACUGGAAUUUUUGCGCACGAGUUGUAGGAAUAUGAUUUAUAUUCUUCUAUUUGCAGGGUUGGAGAUCUGGUGCAGUUACUACUUUGGGUAGGGGUGGGAGUGAUUUGACAGCCACAUCCAUUGGUAGAGCCUUAGGCUUGCAAGAGAUUCAGGUACGAUCAACCCCCUAGCGCAUGGAAACUGAAAGUCCUGUGGCCAUUUGCAGUCCUUUUUGUAUGUGGACCAUGUUUUUUCGGAAUUGAUUCACAAUGUUCUCUAGUUAUAAUUGAUAAGGAUGAGGCCGAUUUUAGAUGUAAAUACUUAAUAUAUUUUUAUGGAGCAAGGGUGCUUCCCGCGUUCACCAUAUUGACUUGCGAUCCAAGUAUUUAUCCAUGUGCAUUGCCUGUACUAUAUUGUAAUUAUAUUAGAACUUGAAGGUUCUUUUUUUUUUUUUUUUUGAACUAUGCCACCAACUGGUUAAUUAUCAUUGGAAGUCAUCAUUACUUGUUCUGAUGAUGACCUUUGUUGGGCAGGCCAGAGUAUUGUGUUCAUAUUUGGUGUUCUUACAUGUUAAUAGCCGGCUCUUCGAUCAUAUAGUGUUCUGAUUUACUUCCCUUUAAUGUAUUCUAGACUUUUUAUCCACUCUUACUAAGCACAGAGAGAUGACUCUCUAUCCAUUCUUCAUCUUCUAUGGACUUCUUGUAAACCUGCUUAAACAAUAUGGUUAUGCUAACGCACACAGGAAAUGGCGAUUGGUCUAUUCCAGAAGGAGAUAGCCUGAAAGGAAACAACCCUUCUGAGGCAACAAAUCCAAUGACACUGCCUCCCAGAAGUACCAUCAAAUAAUUGUGGAUUGGAGAGAGUUCAGAGCAGCUCUCUUUGUUCGGGAACAGGUGAUGUUUUGUAUGGCUUGUACAACUUUAAUUUUCCUAAAUAAAGGUAUAACCAUUGUGUAAUUGUCUCAAUAUUUCAAUACCACCAAUAUGUAUAAGUGCCUAUGGCUUAGAAACCUUCAGUUUCCUAAACAAAAUAAGAUCAAGGUAUAACCAUUAUAGUAUUAUAAGUCAAUAUAUAAAUAUCUAGUAUCUACUAGCGACGUUACAUGCAUGGGUAGUAGAGUAAGGCGAACAACAUAAAUUAGCACACACACAUAUGAAAGUUCAGACUUUCCUAACCUGGCAAAAUUGAAGUUUAGUGCAGAGUUUUAAGGUGUGGAUAAUAAGAUUAUGAGCUUUAUAGAAAUGUUGGUGUAUCUAUUAAGUACUGGCUCCUAUAUGUCAUGAACCUAUCAAGCAUAUGAUCAUAUCUUCCCCCAUCAAGCAUAUGACCAUAUGGAUUCUAUUACAACUAAAUCACCCCAUAUCAAGCAUGGUCACAUUCAUUAUAUCAUGUCUAUAUCCUACCCACAUCAAGCAUGAAAAUUUUCAUGCUUAUGUCCCUCUUUGGUUUCUGGUUGAUUGCUAAUGCAAAAUGAGCCAGAUUGUGACGCUACACCAAUUUAGCACCAGCUUGAAUAUGAGUCUACACCAGUUUAGCUCCAACAUGCUGGUGAAUCUCUACCUGCUUAUGCCACAUAUGAACAUCCCUGCCUUGGGGACAUUACAGAACUAUUCUGCAUGCUGUCAUGUAGGAU